rnacentral:lncRNA from 1 species
ACUCCACAAAUGAAGAAAAGAGCACAAAUGACGUUGGCAAACCUGAAACUUUCCCAUUGGGCAAUCAAAAUUACUCCAGUCAAAAAAAUUAUGGAACAGGCAAUAAACGUUACUGCAGUCAAAAAAGGUAUGGAAGAGGCAAGAAACGUUACUGCGAUCAAAAAAAGUAUGGAAGAGGUGCUUCUCCAUCUGACAAUCAACUACUCCAUUAUAAAGACUUAGCUAUUUUCUUCUUGGAGAAGGACAUGCGCCCUGGCACAACAAUGAAGUUCCAAUUCUCUAGAAAUUCAAACACGGCUACUUUCUUGCCACGAGAAAGCGCUCAAUCGAUCCCCUUCUCCUCUAACAAACUACCAGAAAUUUUCAACCAUUUUUCAGUGAAGCCAACAUCUGAGGAAGCCAAAACAAUUAAGCAAACAAUCGAAGAGUGUGAAGCUCCCGGCCUUAAGGGAGAGGAAAUAUAUUGCGCCACAUCUUUAGAAUCAAUGGUUGAUUUUAGCACUUCGAAGCUUGGAACAAGAAACGUUGAAGCAAUCUCGACGGAGGUAUUGGAAAAAGGAGCCACCAUGUCCAUGCACAACUAUACAACAAUGCCGGGACUGAAGAAGUUGGCCAGUGACAAAGUCGUUGUGUGUCAUAAGCAGAACUAUCCCUAUGCUGUGUUUUUCUGCCAUGCAAUAAAACAUACAGCAGCUUAUGUUCUCUUCCUGAAAGGCGAUGAUGGGGAGAAGGUUAAAGCAGUAACCAUCUGUCAUCUAGACACAUCAGAAUGGAACCCAGAGCAUAUGUCCUUCCAAAUCGUCAACGUUAAGCCCGGAACCAUUCCCAUCUGCCAUUUCAUUUCCACUGAUGCUAUUGCCUGGGUUCCGAACCACAAAUCUGCAUGAUCAUCACUUAGCACUGUACGUAUAAUUAUCUCCUUACUUAUUUCUGCCUCUUCAUCAUGUGGUGUAAGAUAUAUGAUGAGAUGAAGUUUUUGGGAUUAGUGGUUGGGUUGCCUGAAAAACACAGAUUACAGAAACUGCUUGAAAUUAACCCGAUCAUGUUUUCUCUUGUAACUAUAUAGACUUCAACUUGUACUCAUAAUAAAGCAUGCUAUAUUUAUGAAGAGAUAUUAAUCUAUAUAUAUUUUUUAUAUAUGCUUUGGCUUUGUGGUUCUACCCAAUGUUUGAGUGUUGAAUUGUUACGUUGGAAUAGGCUGCUAAUGCAUGUAGUUAGAGAAGCCUUCAUUUAUAUCAAAGUCCUCAAACUAUCAAGAACUAAUGUAUCCAGAAACAUAUACCAAGACGCAAAACAACAUAUUUUCCAUGCUCUGUCUGUAACACCAAAGCAAACUUCCUUGAUCACAAAAGGAUCAAAUUCCAGUACUAAUCUAAUCCAUCAUGUAAAGCAUACAAGUGCCUCCCUAAAUACUAUACUCUUUUUGUUAUUUCCUACUAUACUAUUUAAGAUUUAAAAUUCAGGUCAACCCAUAGAUUUCUCGCCUUUUUCUUCUUCAUCUCGUCGGGCUUGUCUUCUUCUUGAGGAUUGUAUAGGCCAAGGAAAUGCUUUGAGUUAGUUUUUGCGCUUUUGCGUUUUGGGCCUUGGAAGUUGGGACCCAAACCAACUUCACAAAAAGAAAACGCUCAGACUAUAAUGAGUGGAAAGUUAUAAGGGGUAAGUUAUAAGGAGUUCACUUUAUAGCCAUCAGAUCAAUCUAAGGGCUGGGGAGAAUUGAGAUAAAGUUUUAAAAUCGGGUAGGUGAGGAACCCAAACCCGAAUUGAAUAUCCAGCACGUCCGAAAAAGAAGAAGAAGAGGCAAGCACGUCCGAAAAAGAAGAAGAAGAGGCAAGGUCGAAGUUUGAACAGAAAAAACUCAUCUCUUUAAAACCCAUAGCUCUGAGAAACGGUUGAAGGCAACGGUUAACGACGGUUGUUGAAGCCACUCCGUUCUCCAGACCCUGAAAAAGUAUUUAUUUUGAGUAGAAGGGGCAAAUGUGUGGAUUCCGAAACAGUGAAGGGGCGAAGCAGUGGAAGGGGAAGGAGAGAAGCCGUAUUCGUUGGAAGUGGUAGGUUCCAUUUGUGGAGCAAAGCAACACAAAGACCCCGCACAGACACCUUGCGAUUGUUCAAUAACCAGCAUUUGGUGAGUAAUUUAUGGAAUUUGAGUUUAGGGUUAGAGUAAUGGUUUUCCCCAAUUUGUACCAUCAAUUUUGUUGGAUUUGGCAUCUCUUCUUUGUGCUUCAGUUGCAUGUUAAUUUUUGCUUGGGUAUAUGUUAAAAAAAGAAUGAAAAUCAAGUCAAUAACAAGUGAAUAACAUGUCAAUAAUGAUAUGAAUAAGAUAAUGGUGUUGAAUUGGAGGAGGCCCUCAAAACAUUCCACAUUUGAAGCAGUGCAUAGUGCAGAUUAUCUCUCUGGCGCUAGAAUAUAUAUAUAUUUUGAAAUAAAUAUGAUUUCCUUUGUUACUAAAUUUGCCUGAGAAACAUGAGAACAGAUAAUAAUAAACUCAUGAAUAGAAGUGCAAAGCAUUUGAUGAGUAAUUUAUGGAAUUUGAGUUUAGGCCCAGGAAAUUCCUUGACCCCAAAAAAAAAAAAAAAGUUGAUUUAAAAUUCAGGUCAACCCAUAGAUUUCUCGCCUUUUUCUUCUUCAUCUCGUCGGGCUUGUCUUCUUCUUGAGGAUUGUAUAGGCCCAGGAAAUGCUUUGAGUUAAUUUUUGCAUUUUUGCGUUUUGGGCCUUGGAAGUUGGGACCCAACCCAACUUCACAAAAAGAAAACAGAUUUGCCAAAAAUCAAAUUUCAAGUCUCUCCUCCGAUCGAAAUUUGGAUUUGAUGAACUAAAGUGGUUUUACUUUCUCCAUCAGUGUUUGAUAACUUAAUUUGUUAUUUACUUUUUUUUUAAAAAACUUUGGCUUAUAUAUAUUAGUUUUCUUUUUUCCUUCAUAUUCACCACCUUUAUGUUGCAUAAGUAUUUCAGUCUUAAUGGGUUUCCAUCUACCACUCAUCUUUGCUCUUCUCAGUGUAAGCCUUUUUUUUUUUUUAAAGCACAAGAUUAGAGGGGAGGGGGAUUUCUCAAUGUAAGCUUUGCAGUUUCAUAAUUAAUAUUUCCAAUAUCUCACUGUUAGUAAAAUACAGAAAAAGUACUAAUAACAUAUGCACAUGUUACUAAUUUAUUGAGAUAAAACACCAUUUUGCCCCUAGAAUAUUUUAUUAGGUUUAAAGUUGACUUUUUGACCAGGAAGGAAUUUGGGUAUUUAGACUAUAUCGUUGCGUAGAGCAUGGCGAGAUGAGUCCGUAGACACAUGAUUGGCUCGAAUCAGAGUUAUAAUGAGAGAGAUACGAUCAAAAUACCCUCAGUGGUAUAACCGUAAUUUUGGCUUAAAGGGUUUGAUAAAAUAUAAUUUUUCUUUCUUUCUUUCUCUCUCUCUCUCUCUCUCUCUCUCUCUCCUCUCUCUCACGACGGCAGUGAUAGCCGGCCACUUUUUGGCCAGCCAUGCUCUCGUCCGGCCACUAAAGUUGACGGGGCCGGUACCAAAAUGACCGGGCCACCAUCCUUUUCCAACCCCAGCCAGGCCCCACUGCCAGCAGUCGUGAUUUUGCUGAAAAAUGGAGAAGAAGCGGCCGAUUUCGUUCGAACUUCUCCGACUUCGUUCUCUCUCCUCCGGCCACCGAUUUCGAUGAAUGAGGUAUGGUUUCUCACCUACUUUUUAUGCUCUAGCUGCCUGUUGGGUAGGAUUCGAUCAAUUCCUUGCGUAGGUAGCUUGAUUUUCGAAUUGGAUUUCGGCCGGUUUUGGGAUCUCGAUUCCGGCCACUUCCGGUCAGUUUUUGGGGUACAUCCCAAAACAAAAGUGGUUCUAAAUAGGGUGUUAUACCUAGGGUAGGAACCUUGAACCGUAAUUUUGAGAAUUUUCGGUGAUGCCUAAUCGCUUUGGACACCUACGCUAUGCCUGCGUGUGGGCACUAUAGAAAAAGGGCAUUGUGUCCCGAUGCAAUCCCCUUGUUGUCUUGAGCGCGUAGGUGUGCUCGGAUUUCAAUUUGGAUACCGUUUGAAUCUCGAACGAAUAUCGCAUAUUGUGCGUUAUUCGGGGUCGAUAGGUUUGAACUGUUGGAUAGUCUUAGAUUUAUAAUAUGUUAAUCUAGACAUUCUUAGGAUCGAAUGGGAUUAAACGGAUCGUAAAACGGAGUCCCGGAUACUCCAAAAAUGCCAACCCUAGGGCUAGGUUCCUAGUAACCGUCCGAUCGUGCGAUCGUGAGCGAUCCGACCGUUUGAUCCGAACCAAACUUGCAGGACGUGUAUCCUAAACCUUGUAGAACCCAUAGGAACUUUCGGAUUAGAAUUUGGAGGUCGUGGGCCCCUUGGGCCGUUUGACUAAGUUUGGGUAGUUUGACCCUUGGCUGAUCGUGAGUCUUCAGAGGUCUUGAGCGUUGUUGAGCUAUGUUGACUAGGUUUAGACUUUUAGAGUGUUUAUUAUUAUCAUAGGAAACUAUUAGAUAUUAUUUUAAUAAUUGAAAUUAUCAAAUUUAUGUUUAUGUGCAUGAUUGUUGGUCUAAAAAUAACAUUGUUUUCUUGAUAAAAUUACGUUGCAGUCUACUAUAGACUGGUAUCACUAAAUGGAGAUUACCUCUAUUAUUAGUUUAGAUAAUUAAGAGUAUGUCAGUUUGAAGUGCUAUAUGCACUACCCUAAGUACCACCCUGUGAUUGUUAGGUCCCAUGUGGUGUAGAUUAUACAGCGUCAGGACAGACCCCAUACGUGGCUUUGGAUGUUCUGGCGCAUGGGGGAGAUUAUGUAAUGGUUAGGUCAUACGUGGCGUAGGUUAUUCAGCGUGUUGACAGACCCUAUACGUGGCGUUGGAUGUUCCAGUAUGGAAAGAUUUUGUGAUUGUUAGGUCCCACGUGGCGUAGAUUAUCCGGCGUGAGGACAAACCCCAUUCGUGGCUUUGGAUGUUCCUGCGUAUGGGGGAGAUUAUGUGAUGGUUAGGUCACACGUGGCGUAGGUUAUUCGGCGUGUUGGCUAACCCCAUAAGUGCCGUUGGAUGUAACGACCGGUCCUAAAUAAAUUAGUGAAUAUUAAUUUAUUCAGAGAAAAUACCAUUUUGCCCAUAGAGUAUUUUAUUAGGUUCAAAGUUGACUUUUUGAUCAGAAAGGAAUUUGAGAAUUUCGAUUAUACCGUUGCAUAGAGCACGGCGAGAUGAGUCCGUAGACACGUGGUAUGCUCGAAUCGAAGUUGUAACGAGAGAGAUACGAUCAAAAUACCCUCAGUGGCAUAACCGUAAUUUUGGCAAAAAGGGUCGAUAAAAUCAUAUAUAUAUAUUUUCUCUCUCUCUCUCUCUCUCUCUCUCUCUCUCUCUGCGAUAUUGUCCCUCUCUCUCUUUGAUUCACUGCCAUCUGCCCACGGCAGGACUUGAGACUGGUCACGUUUGAACCGGCUCGAUGUCCCGAUCACGUCGCACCCAAAAUGCAAAUGGAAACCUUGAAUUCCAGCCACGGCUUCGACUGGUUUGAACUGGGUUUUUCCCGGCGUUGCGCCACCGCCUCCGCCGCCCAAUUCCGGUGAAACAGGUAUAAUUCCUCACCUAUUUUUCGAGAUCCAGCUGUUGUUGUGUAGGAAUUAGACGAUUUUCAUGUUUAGGAACUCGAUUUAGAAUUUAGGUUUUGGUCGAAUUUUCAAAGUGAAAUUUCGGCCACUUCCGCUGGUUUUUCGGGGUAUGUCUAAGAACAAAAGUGGUUCCAAAUAGGGUGUUAUACCUAGGGUAGGAACCUUGAGCUGUGAUUUUGAGAAUUUCCGGCGAUGCGUAUUCGCUUUGGACACCCACGCGCCGACAGCGCGUGGGCACUGUAGAAAAGGGGCAUUGUGUCUCAAUGCGAUCUGCUUGUUGUCUUGAGCUCGUAGGUAUGCUCGAAUUUCAAUUUGGAUACUGUUUGAGUCUCGAACGGAUAUCGCAUAGUGUACGUUAUCCGGGUUUGAUAGGUUUGAACCAUUGGAUAGUUUUGAAUUUGAUAUAUGUUAAUCUAGGCAUUUCUAGGAUCAUGUAGGAAUUCAGGGAUCAUGAAUCAGAGCCCCGGAUGUUCCGAUUUAAUAACUUAAAGUUUAUGUUUAUAAUAACUAUCAGAUCGUGCGAUCGUGAGCGAUCCGACUGUCUGAUCUGGACCAAACUUGCAGCACGUAUAUCCUAAACCUUGUGGAACAUAAAAAAAUUUCGGAUUAGAAUUUGGAGGUCGUGGGCCCCGUGGGCCCAUUUAACCAAUUAUGGGUAGUUUGAUCCUUGGUUGACCGUGAGUCUUCCGAGAUAGUUUUACCUUCCUAGGAGGAUUAUAAUGACCCUAGUGAUAGGUCUUGACCGUUGUUCAGCUAUGUUGACUAGGUUGAGACUUCUAGAGUGUUUAUUAUAUUAUUGUAGGAAACUCUUAGAUAUUAUUUUAAUAAUUGAAAUUAUGAAAUUUAUGUUUAUGUGCAUGAUCGUUGGUCUAAAAAUAAUAUUAUUUUCCUGAUAAAAUUACGUUGCAGUCUACUAUAGACUAGUAUCACUAAAGUGGGAAUACCUCUAUUAUUAGUUGAGAUAAUUGGGAGUAUGUCAGUUUGAAAUGUUAUACCCUAAGUACUACUCUAUGAUUGUCAGGUCACCCGUGGCGUAGGAUUUUCCGGUGAGAUGACAGACCCCAUACGUGGCGUUGGAAUUUCCAACGUAUGGAGAGAUUAUAUGAUUGUUAGGUUUCACGUGGCGUAGGAUUUUUCAGCGGGAUGACAAACCCCAUACGUGGCAUUGGAAGUUUCAGCGUAUGGGGAGAUGAUAUGAUUGUUAAGUCACACGUGGCGUAGGUUAUUUGGAGUGCUGACAGACCCCAUACGUGGCGUUGAAAUUUCUGGCGUAUGGAGAGAUGAUAUGAUUGUUAGGUCACUUUGGAUGUUCUAGCGUAUUGGGAGAUUAUGUGAUUACCAGUGAGAUGAAUAAAGGAUUGUUAUGUUAUAUUGGGAAAAACAUGUUUGUAGAAAGAAUUACGUGUGGCUUGAUCCCUCAGUAAGGGUACGUAGGCAGCCUAGGGUAGUGCCUUGGUGCAGUCGCUGACUAAACAUUAUAAUGUUGUUUUUAGGUUUGAUUAUAUGGUAUUAUGGGGCAAGGCCCCUAGGACUAUUGGUGAUAAUUCAUAGAUGGUAGUGGAUGCAUGCUAGAAAUUUGUAGGAAGUUAUUUCAUGUGGAUUGCAGUGGUACUCGUAAAAUUUAUUUGAGUUCCUUAAUUGCAUUGUUAAUAUAUUAAUUUACUUAAGAGUACUGCUAGUAGUUCUGCCUUGAUUUAUUUGAAGGCUGGAGGCCUUGUCUGGAAACUGUGUGCAAUUAGAUUGUGUGUGCUGGCAGUUGACUUUUUAAAUUGUGAAUUUUGUGCAGGUUGAAAUUUGGGAAAUGUUCAAUUUACAGGGGAGACUCUGCUGAAAUUUCGGUAGAAAGUCUUGUGCCCUUAUUCCUUUUUGGGGAAAAGGAUAUAGUUUUAGAAGUGGCGAUGUCGGGAAUUUCCACAGGAUUCGUCUCGGGUUUCGGGAAAUUCGGGGCGGGUCUGAAAAAGUUGUUUCAGUUUUGGCAAGUAUCGGAAAAGACCAAAAUUUUCCGACUUUAUUAUUACUAGAAACAAGGUCGAAGUAUUUACCAAUCAUGUGGCCUUCCAAGUGCUCUAGGUUAAGCCAGGAACCGUUCCUAUCUGCCGUUUCCUUCCCAACUAUGAUCAUGUUGUCUGGGUUCCAACCCACAAAUCUACAUUGGGCUACGUAUUUGAAUUUGUACUAAAGCGUGAUCUAUAGUAUGCAUAUAUUGGAUAAGUUUGAGAUCAGUGGCUUGGGUGUCCGCUGAGCUUGAACAAGUUUGGGUGUGCUGAGUGUUUCCAUGGGUGUGUUGAUGAUCAUGGUUAUUAGAUUUGUGAUAGUUUGGGCUCAAUUUCAACAGAACUCAUCUCAAGCCUAGAUAGUUGAUUCUUAAGUUUAUCAGGAAAAAAAAUUAAAAAUUAAAAAAUCUAAAGUUAAGCCCAAGGCGCCGAACUUGGACUUCUCACCAAACUGUGCAUAAAUUGAAAUAUUUAAUAGAAGCCCAAGAUUUUUGAAGCACAUAAUAUCUACAAAAAUCUACAAAGUGUAAUACUUUACAAACUUCUUAUGUGUACCAAUUUCUGCUCAAAUUAAUUUCUCUGUGGUGCUGAGAUUCAUCAUAAUUUUAGUAGAAAUUGGAAGUUUUCAUCAUUUUUGCUUUAAGUCUCUCCUCCACUCACUAAUAAAGAUUACUCAAGUGAGUUUACAAAACAUUUUUUUUCUACUCUCUCCUGAAGACUACACAUCUUCUCAAAAGAUUAGAUCACUUCACAUCUUGUAUAUGUGAAAACUAAUGCAAAAAGUUGAAACUUUAUCAUAAAACCUCGACAAAAAUUAGCUCUACUUAGAACAUUAAAUUUGGAUUCGUUGAUUUAAAUGGCAAUUUGACACUUCAUAGAAAUUUUUACAUACAUGUGUUAGUGUUUGAUCACUUCACUUAUUACUUACUAUAUUUAUUCCAUGAUUCUCCCUCAAGUUAUGUAAAUAUUAUUAUCAAACAUUUCAAUUCAUUUGUGAUAUUUCUUGUCCAUCUUUCAAUGUACCCUGAAAUCCAUUAGCCACAUAUGAUGACCAAAAUCCACACUCUGUUGUUUGCAAACGUUCAAUAUACGACUUGCAUCCACAGUCCUGACCCAAAUGAAAUGCGGAAACUGUCAAGCUAACUGUAGGGAGGACUAUAUUUGAUUUUACCUUAAAGACUGAUCCGAAACCACCUUCUCCAAGUUUAUUGUUGUUUGAAUAGUUUUUGGUUGCACAAACAACAGCGGCCAAGUCAAAUAAUGGCAAUUCCAGAUCUUCCUUUUGGCCGGGCUUCAGUUCUCCUGUGAAGUACGUAGUGAAGUAAAUAAUGUAGCAUGGAACCUUAGCUUAGAAACCAGAGAGGCAACAGCAAAAAUUUUCUAUAGAACUGAACCUACCUAUCUUAGAAAAUGAAGGGGCAGAAGAGUAGAAAAUCAAAUAGCUUACCAUAUUUUUGUUGCUGGUUCUUCCUCACAUAUAAUAGCAGGGUAAGGCCCAGGGUCAGCAGUCCAGUAGACAACACAGUACUGGUUACUAUGAUCUUUGUAUUGUGUCCUUGAUCUAGGAAUGAAGUAUUUGAAAGCAGAAGAUUGAGGAGUCAGAAAUUCAUAAAGAAAAAAUCUCUACUUUUUAUCAUCCAACGAACAAUUAAUGCUAGUUUCUGAGACAGUUCUAAAGAAAUAUUUUUCUAACAAUGUCAAAAGUUUUCUGGCUCUAUCUUGUUUCUAAUCAUGUCACUGUUGGAAGAUUUCUUUCUUCUUUUUUCCUUGGUGGCUUUUAUUUUUCUUUCAAACUUUGUUUUAAACAGCAAGAUGAUUCCAUACCUAGUUCUGACGAAGCCAUUCUUAUGUAAAUAUCUUGCCCAUUUAUAUUGGAAUAUCUUAUAUCAACCAGAUCGCUGAACCACAGCAAGGACCCCCUUCCUCCAUCUCGGAUAUCCAAAUUUGAAAAAGCGGCGCAGGAGCAGUUGUUCAUGCACAUCAUCUCACAUUCCUUGAGGUUCAUAAUUGUGUUAUACUAGGAUUGUUCUGUACUUUAUUUCACCCCAGUGUACUUCUUAAAGAUGUCUCCACUGCAAUUCAGUUGGCUCUUUCUCACAGAUCUAUAUGACCAAUCCACCAAGUCCCAGUCUUGUUGAAAGUCGGUAUAAAUCCUUUCAAGCAGCUACGUACUGGGGACUUGUCAAUACAACAUGCACCAUUCGGACCACAUAUUCCAUAUUUGUCGCAGAUAUCAGUCGUUGCUCUUAGAUAAACAACCCAACCUUGGUUUCCAUCACUCCCGAUGUAGCUCAGCCCAAAUCCAUCUUGAGUUAACGCCAGCCUGAAAAGAGUUGAGCUGUUGAGAAGCUUAUAACCAUAAUAUACUUCAUCAUCAUUAUCCAACACAAAAUCAUAUGUUGGAUUUAAAUUAUGCAUCCCACUAAAUUGGAUUCCAUUCCAUGGUGCAGUCCGAUAUUUUAUAACAGAACCCUCCCUCAGAAUUAAUUCAUGGUACCCAUAAGGACCAAGUUGAUAUGGGUAAUGUCCUUGAGAAGGAUCCUGGGGGCUUUUCCAGGGUGUAAGAUGCCAAUUAAAACCUGUGAUUUUGUUCCUAACAAGCUUCAUACCUGGUAUUAAUGUAUCUCCUGGGUAAUCAAAACUCUGCCAUAAAAUAUUAUCAGAGUCAUUACGACCAUUGCCAUCUAUCACAACAAGAUUUCCGGAAUCCAAAAUCUGUGCCACUGGAUUCUAUGAAGAACUUGAUGUGUUGGAAGACCUGUAGUGUUCUUUGUUGAAUAUUUGGAUUGCAAAGGGAGCAAGAAAUGUACUGAGAGAGAAAGAGAGAGAGAGAGAGAGAGAGAGAGAGAGAGAGAGAGCAGUGAGCCUUAGAUUGUUCUAACAGUUUUCUUACUCUGCAUGAACAUAGCAGCAGAGCUUAUAUUCCUUCAUGACUGUUACAUGUUCUCUCUUACAUCAGUAGAUUCAAAUCUAACGGUUUGUAAUAGUAAGCCAAUGUGAGUAUGACACAUGGCAAUACACAGCUGUCCUAACAGCUGGGAAUUCAAAACAGACUCUAGCAUUGCACCUGGCAUAUAAGCACAAGGCACUCAGCUAACACAAAGAUUAAAAACAGAUUGAAUAUAAACUGACAUAGAACUUACUAACUAAUCUGAAAUUAGCUAGACAGUUUACAUUUUAACACUCCCUUCUAAAGUGCUAGCUGAUUUCACUCCAAGCAUUCUCCUCAAAUAGUCAAACCUGUCUUUGGGAAGAGCUUUGGUGAAGAUAUCAGCAAUCUGCUCUUCUCCUUUGCAGUAGAGCAGUUCAAUCACUUCUUCUUGUAUUGCAUCUCUAAUAAAAUGAAACUUCCUUUUAAUAUGCUUGCUCCGUUGAUGAAAAACAGGAUUUUUAGCCAUUGCUAUGGCUGAAGUGUUGUCACAAAACACAGUUGUUGCAGUGGUCUGUUCUUCCCCAAAAUCUUCAAGAACAAACCUGAGCCAAAUGGCUUGUGAUGUAGCUUCUGCUGCACUCACAUACUCUGCCUCUGCAGUAGAGAGAGCCACACUGUGUUGUUUGACUGAUGCCCAUGAAAAAGCACCACUUCCAAAUGAAAAUGCAUAUCCAGAAGUGCUUUUCAUAUCUUCCUCAGAUCCACUCCAGUCACUGUCACAGUAACCAACUAAGAGUGCAGAUUUUCCUGUCACAUACUCAAUUCCAUAGUCAAUUGUGCCUUGUAUGUACCUUAGAACCCUUUUAGCUGCCCCAUAGUGCAUCUUAGAAGGGUUAUGCAUGAAUCUUGCAAGCAGGCAGGCAGAGAACAUGAUAUCUGGCCUGGUUGCAGUAAGGUACAGCAGGCUGCCUACAAUUUUUCUGAACAAACUUUCAUCUGCAGCAUCACUUCCAUCCUCUCUUUUCAAUUUAUCAGUAGCCACUAAUGGAGUGCUUACUGACUUGCAGUCUUUGAGUCCAAACUUAUCCAAGAGAGUGAGAGCAUACUUCUUUUGAUGAAUGAAGAUGCUCCCUUCAGUUUGUGUUACUCCCAUACCAAGAAAAUGGUGGAGUAAACCCAAAUCAGACAUCUCAUACUUGCACAUCAUUUCAGCUUUGAAUUCUUUCAUCAUUUCAUCUCUACUUCCUGUGUACACUACGUCAUCUACAUAGAUUGACACUAUUAGUGUUCCCACCUUCCUUUGUUCUCACAUAGAGAGUGGCUUCACUUGGACUUCUGUGAAAACCACACUGAUUCGAGUAGGUGUCAAUUUCACUAUACCAGGCCCUUGGAGCCUGCUUCAACCCAUAGAGGGCUUUUCUUAACCUAUACACCUUAUCCUCAUCAUCUUUAACCACAAAACCAUCCGGUUGAUCAAUAUAAACUUCUUCUUCAAGGACACCAUUUAGGAAGGCUGACUUGACAUCCAAUUGCCAUAGUUUCCAGCCUUUCUGAGCAGCAAGAGCUAUGAGAGUUCUAAUGGUGUCUAACCUUGCUACAGGAGCAAAGGUUUCAUUGAAAUCAAUCCCUGGUUUUUGUGUGUAUCCCUUGGCAACAAGUCUUGCUUUAUGUUUUUGAAUGGAGCCAUCAAGAUUAAGCUUAAUUUUGAAUAUCCACUUCACUCCCACAAUUGGUUUACUACUUGGCCUGUCAACCAAUUCCCAACUGGAGUUUUUCUCUAUCAUAAGUAUCUCCUCAGUCAUAGCCUUCCCCCAAGCUUCAUCUUUGACUGCUUCUUCAAAAUUUUCAGGUUCAAUGAUGCUCAUCUUGCAUUGAGCAUACACUUCACUCAAACUCUUCCAUUUCUUUGGGGUGUUAUCAUAAGUUUCUAAUGGAGCAGAGUCUUGAGUAGCAUGCACAUCAUUACUUGUUUGUGUUUCCAUAGGAGACUGUACAAUCUGUUGCUGUAACAGAUUUGGUUAUGAAUCCAAAUCUGAUACAAUUGAACUUACUCCAUCACCCCAAGACAUAGGGAUUUGCAAUGCCUCAUUGGUUUCCCAAUUCCACAUUGCUUCUUCAUCAAAAAUAACACUCCUAGACAGCUCAAUCUUUUGAGUUCUCAAGUUGAGCACUCUAUACCCCUUUUCACAUACACCAUAUCUUACAAAUACUCCCUUCUCACCUGUGUCUUCCAGCUUGUGCCUUUUCUGUGUGGGGAUGUGAAUAUAGCAUAGAGAACCAAAUAUUCUCAAAUGCUUGACACCUGGUUUUCUUCCACCGAACUUUUCAAAUGGAGUGGAAUUGUCCAGUGCACUUGUAGGACAUCUGUUCUGCAAAUAUACAGCUGUAUUGACAGCUUCUGCCCAAAACUUCAAAGGGAUUUUCUUCUCAUACAUCAUGGCUCUUGCCAUUUCCAUCACAGUACGAUUCUUUCUCUCUGUAACUCCAUUCUGUUGUGGAGAGUAGCCUACUGNNNNNNNNNNNNNNNNNNNNNNNNNNNNNNNNNNNNNNNNNNNNNNNNNNNNNNNNNNNNNNNNNNNNNNNNNNNNNNNNNNNNNNNNNNNNNNNNNNNNNNNNNNNNNNNNNNNNNNNNNNNNNNNNNNNNNNNNNNNNNNNNNNNNNNNNNNNNNNNNNNNNNNNNNNNNNNNNNNNNNNNNNNNGGUGUGGUCAUCAAUGAAGGUGAGGAAAUAUCUGUUCCCUCCAAGAGUGAUGGUCUGCAUUGGACCACAAAUGUCUGAGUGAAUCAGUUCUAGAGGUUGAGUGGCUCUCCAAGCUCCUUCCUUAUCAAAAGAGCUUCUGUGAUUCUUGCUUUCAGCACAACCUGAGCAGACCUUCUCAUGUUCUUGUAAAUUAGGCAUUCCCUGAACCAUAUCUCUCUCUUGUAACAACUUCAAACUAAUAUAGUUUAGGUGCCCAAAUCUUCUGUGCCACAGCCAGGAUGUUUCUCCAACUGUUGCUCUGUUUGCCAUAGGAGGAUUAACAUAGUCAAGAUUUAAAGGAAAACAUUUGUUUCCCUUCAUUGGCACUCUUGCAAUGCAAUCUUCCAACUGCCUAUCUCCAUAGAUAUCAACUGCAUUAUCACCAAAUACAAGCCAAUGCCCAUGUUCUAUCAUUUGACCUACACUUAGCAAAUUUUCAUCUAAACUUGGUACAAUCAUGAUUUCUUUGAUAUAUCUAGUCACACCCUUCAUUUCUAUAGCCAAAGUCCCUUUGCCUAUUAACUGCACUAGAUCACCAGUCCCCAUUUUGACUUUACUCUUCAUACUUUUAUCAACAUUUACAAGUAAUGACUCAUGGGAAGUCAUGUGAUUGCUGCAUGCACUAUCAACAUACCACAUAUUCACAUUCUUUCCAAUUGUUGCAGCAUGACAUGCAUAGAACAUAAUGGCAGGUUCAGUUACCUGAUUUGCAAUGUUAGCAAGUUUCCCUGCCUUGUUUGCUUGGUCACAGUCCUUAACAAAAUGACCAAAUCGAUUGCAGCCAUGACACUUUGGUUUUCCUUUAAACCAACACUCACCAUAGUGUAACUUCUCACAAUGUUUGCAUUUUCCAGAUUUGUCUCCUUGACUUGGUUUUCCCCCUUGAUUGGCACUGUUUUGGGGUUUAGAAUCCCAUUUCUUAUCCUUGGACUUCCAAUUCUUCUUUGAUUUAUUAGAGCCAGAACUAGAACUUGAUUGAGAUCCUUUUGAGUUUAUGCUCAUGCUGCUGAAAGCUUUCUCAGUGGUGCUUUCUGCAUGUCUGUCAAGGCGCUGAGCAAAACCUCUUAAUGCUGCAAUUACCUCCUGCACUUCAAUGGUUUCAAUGUCUCUAGUUUGCUCAAUCACAUAGCAGACUGGAUCAAAUUCCUUGGUUAAGCUUAUUAGCAGUUUUUGAACUAUCCUCCCUUUGGUCAGAUCUUCCCCAUAUCCCUUCAUCUGAUUUACAAGCUCAAGUAACCGAGUGAUGUAUCCAGACAAGAUCUCAUCAUCCUUCAUCCUGGUGUACUCAAAAUCUCGACGCAGACCCUGCAACAUGAUGGAUCUGACUUGCUUAUCACCAUGAAACUCCUGAUGCAAGAUAUCCCAAACACCUUUUGAGGUUUCUUCAUUUGAGAUUCUGGGAAAGAUGUCAUCUGAAACAGCACCUUGGAUAAUACCAAGAGCCUUAGCAUCUUUCAUCAACAAGGACACCAUCUCUGAAUCUGAUGACCCUUCUUUAUCAGCUUUUGAAUCUGGAACUUGAAGGCCUUUCUCAACCAAAUUCCAGAUUCCAUGAGAUUUGAAAAUUGUUCUCAUUCGAAUCUUCCAAAACUCAUAGUUCUCCCCAUUGAAUAUUGGAGCUCUAAGAUCACUCCCUCCUGACCCAGCCAUCUGAGACCAGACUCAAUGAGUUGAGAGUAGGAAAUUUCCCGUUGGAUUUCCAGACUCAGCUCCCACAGCUUCAACGCCCUCUAUCCAGAUCCAACCUGCGCACCUGAUACCAUGUUGAAUAUUUGGAUUGCAAAGGGAGCAAGAAAUGUACUGAGAGAGAGAGAGAGAGAGAGAGAGAGAGAGAGAGAGCAGUGAGCCUUAGAUUGUUCUAACAGUUUUCUUACUCUGCAUGAACAUAGCAGCAGAGCUUAUAUUCCUUCAUGACUGUUACAUGUUCUCUCUUACAUCAGUAGAUUCAAAUCUAACGGUUUGUAAUAGUAAGCCAAUGUGAGUAUGACACAUGGCAAUACACAGCUGUCCUAACAGCUGGGAAUUCAAAACAGACUCUAGCAUUGCACCUGGCAUAUAAGCACAAGGCACUCAGCUAACACAAAGAUUAAAAACAGAUUGAAUAUAAACUGACAUAGAACUUACUAACUAAUCUGAAAUUAGCUAGACAGUUCACAUUUUAACAUUCUUAUGGUCGGCAGGGACAAGAAUUCCAGGGCUGCUCAACUUGAAUACACCUGAUGAACCAGUGAGGGGUGUGUUUCUUUUAGUCUGCACUAUAUAUGCAGGGUCUGACUCUAAUUAGAAGAUAAUUGUAUUAAUUUGGUAAAGCUUUGUCUGUAACUGUCUCGCACCUUAAAAAAAUUUCACAAUUAGCAGCAUUGGCAAUACUUGAUUAGAAAGCAGAAACCCUACAGUAUAUAGUUAAGUUGAGUAGCUGGGAAGACAAUUAGUAAGCUUUCAAUACUAAAGUUGAAUAUUGGGGAGACAAAUUACUAGAGCUUCAAGUUCAGAUAAAUAGGAUGAAUUUCUCUUAAGGGAUCCCCUUUCACUGUAGCUUGGAGUAGAAUUCAUUUUGACACAAUAUCAAUUAUCAAUGUAAACACGUUACUGAUGCACUAUUGACAAUAUCGAUGCACGUCAUAUCAUAUUUGUGGGAGUAAAUUUCCUCACGAGAAUAUUUGGUUCAAAAGAUUCCCCUUUUUUUUUUUUUUGCCGCCUCUUUCUCCUUGCAAAAUAGAACAAAUAAGAGGACCACACCCGGGGGGUGUUGGCCAAAGGCCCUCCGAUGCUAAAUUAGUUCAAGUAUUUGUAAGAAAAAUACUAGCUAACUAGGGUACAGAGGUGUAUUUAAGGUGUAAACCGGGCAGCCGAAGUCUUAUGUAAAAGAGAGAGAGAAAGGAGGUGGCUAGCGUUUGAGAGGAAUUUUCUGCAGAGUUUUUAGUAGAGAUUUCAGACGUACCUCAACCAUUGUGUGUGGCCAUCUUUUUAUAGUGGUCUUGGAGGCUAGGGUUUCAGAGGAAUAAUUCCGUAGAUGGAAAGGAAUUAUUCCUCCCCUAUUUGGAAUUGAUUUGAUUAAUUAGGGAUUUGAUUUAUUAGGGUAAAUCAAAUCCCUAAUUGUGGUAGGUAUCAAAUCAAAUCCUUUUUUAAUUAGGUAACUCCUCAUUUAAUUGGGAAUUGUGGUAGGAAUCAAAUCAAUUCUCAACCUAAUUAGGUAACGUUCAAUUUAAUUGGGUAAUUCCCAAUUAAAUUGAGUAACUCCCAAUUAGGUUGAUUAAUUCCCAAUUAGAUCAAAUAAUCCCCUAAUUGAAGGAAUUAUUUGACCUAGGGUCUGAUUUAAUUCGAUUCCCACAAAUGCCCCCCAGCUUCUGCAUGGUGCAUGGUGGCACGUAGGAGAUGUAAAUUAUCUGUUGGGCUGUCCAGCUGUAACUGGGCUUCCUUCGUGGACCUGGGCUCCCGAGUAGAGGAGGUGUUUGACUUGCCAAUUUUAUGAACACCCAAUUGGAAAGGGUUUGAGAUUCCUUGUAGGUCAAGGAAUUUUGCUCCUUAUAAAUGUAGGGCUCCUCCAAAUUAUUCUCGACAUCAGAAAUCUACUCCUCCAAAUUUGUUAGUGAGAGAGAGAAGACUUUGGAGAAUUUUUCAGCGUGCUUGAGACUUCAUCUUUGCAGCCCAUCCAAGGUAAUUUGAUAGGAAGAAUUUUAUUUUGAGUUGCUAUGACUUUUGGCAGCAAGCUGUGAGACUAAGGGCAUGUCUUGAGGUGCGCGCUAGGGCUUUAGGCAUGGCAAGAGACUCGGAAAGGCUAGCAGGUUCGUUUCCACCUACGCUGGGCUCAAGGAGAAGGCAACAGGGCUUCAGGCCUUGUGGAUGAAGUGGGCUUUCGCUGGGAGCAAGAGGCCUGGAGCUGAGGCAAGGAGACAAUGGGCCUGGUACGAGGUGUGGGCUGAGCAUGCCAGCUUUGGAGCAAGGGGGCCAGGACGACUGCUGGGCAGGAGGUGCGCUGGGCUGCAUGCGCGAGCUGCGCCGAGUGCUGGCUGGAGGAGCGAGCUGGGCUGCGCGCUAGGCCAUUCAUGCUGGGCUACUUCCGUUUUUUUUUUGUUUUUUUUUAAAUUUUAUUUGCUGUUGCUGCUUUUUUUUUUGUUUUUUUGUUUUUUUUUUGUUUGGUAUUCUAACUCGUAAUUUUUUUUUUCUUCUUACAGCUACUUGUUGAUCAACCAUGUCUUCCGGAGAUGGUAGCAAGGCUCCAAGCUCUUAGGUCCUUUUGUAUUUAUGGGGAGGCUCCAUAGUGCAUGGCAAGAAGUUUGUGGUCAACUUGCAUCGCGUCACGACUUAUGCUCAGUUCCAGAAGUGGCGGGCCACUUAUGCGUCUGCCAUUCCAGAUGACGUGCUGGUCAAGCUAUUGAAAUCUCAAACUGAUAACGAGCCUUUGGUGGACGUGAGUGAUCAUGAUGCUAGGAUCAUUACCUUCCGUCCUUUUUACUUCUCUUUAGGCUUCAAAUUCCCGUUGUCAAAGCUCUUCAAGAAGGUGUUCUGUGCCAUGGGGUGUGCUCCGAGCCACUGUACUCAUGUGCUUCAAGAAUUUGAGUCGUUUCUUCAUGUUGGAGCUGACGAUGCGAGAGUUCUUUUAUUUUUUUCGAAGUGAGGCACUUUGAGCGGUACGCCCAAGUUCGUAUCUACAAGGCCAAGCUGUUCCACGGUCUCAGUCAAGGAGAUCACGCUUGACAUGAAGAUGUGUUGGAGGUCAGCAGACGGUGGGAGGGUGACGUCGGUGACGGCCCACCUGUUCCCAUCACCUAUUGUGAUGGUAUGUCUCUUUACGAUUUUUGAUAUGCUCCUUUUAUUUGAAUUUCUUGAAGUGUGGCAGACUAACUUCUAUCUUCUGCUCGUAGUGAGUGACAUUAGCAAGCAAUUGGAGCUCCGACCAGACAUGGCUAAGGUCCGUCGUGCUUUGAACAUCCCUCUAAGGUUUCACGAGUGGCGCUGGCUGUUGAGUGAGUACCGGGAGGAAGACGGUGGUUUUCUCCUUGCCGAGGAUGUCGAAAGGUGGAAGCAGAACGAUCCUGACCCUGAUGAUCUGCUUGGCAGACAGGAAGAAUGUUCUGCUUAAUCGCUCUUAAAGAGAAAGGCUGCUGCCAAAUCUUUGAGAUGUGAAGCUACUUCUUCGCAUGCAAAGGAUGGGUCUCCAUCGAGGAAGAAACCAAGGCUCCCUUCUGCUGAGAAGACUCAAGUGGGGUCUGCUCCCUCAUCAUCUGCCAGGGUUAAGCAUCUCGUGGGUGCAGAUAGCAAGAAGGUUGGUGGUAUGCAUGGUACUCGGGGUGUUCUGCCCAAGCUUCCUGCUGACACGCUCGAAAACCAUGAUAUACUUCGUGAAGUGGCUCGUGCCCAACCUAGUUCUGCCAAGCGUCAAAGAGAUGUAGACAUUCCUCCUAGAAGUUCGAGUUGUCUGCAUCGGUCAAAAGAUGGAGACCGAAGCGGGAGGUCUGCUUAUGAUCCAGCAUUAUUGACUCAUUUGGAGAUGAGGUUGGCGAAGGCUAAGAAGGUGAAAGAGUCAUCUGCCCGGGUUAAGGGUUCUUCCUCGGCGUUGGUAGUUGGUCCCAAGAUGAACAAGUCUAGCUCUGUAGGGGAUGCAUGCGUAUCUGAUCUGCUCAAGAUGAACUUCCUAUCAAACCCGUCCUCUUGUGUUGAGUUGGUUGAUCACAUCCCUCAAGCGGGCGAUCUAGGCACUUUCUCGUGCCUUUCCUUAGAAAAAUGAAGGAAAAUGACAUUCCAUCUGAUUCAAAAAGGACUGGUUUUUGCUACUGAGACUAUUUGGAACUCAUCUGCUAUUGCCCCUCUUCUGUCCAACUCAGCGAGUUGGAGAAGAAGAAUGCUGAUUGGCUAGACAGCUUUCCGCCGAGCAGGCCCGUUACGAGAAGAAGAUGUCUGAUUUGAGGGCGAUGAUAUCUGAGCUGAAAAGCUCCCUUACCGAGAAGGAUUUCGAGCUCAACUCUUCUGCUGCUGAUUUGGCUAGUCGAAAAGAUACCUUCUUUCGUCUUGAGCAUAAGAAUGCUGACAUCUUCCUUAGCUAUAACAAACUCCUGGCUAGAUUUCAUGCCUACCAUAAGUCUGCUAAAGAAUCCAAGACAGAUGGAGCUGCUGAAGGCGUAGCCGGUCAGGUGGAUGCCGAAGAGGCUGCAGCUUAAAAGUCUUCUGCUGGCGUCUCAGAGUAGAUGAAGACUCUUUUUUGUUUCUUUUCAGCUUUUGUAGUUUGCUUUAUUGUUUAGAAUAACUGGUCUUAUUUGACCAUCUUCUUUUUGUUGAACUUGGCUGGUUGGUCUGUUUGUUAGGGAAAUUUCAGUUACAUUUUCCAACUUCAAUUUGCAUAUUUGACUUGUGAACUGCUUAAGUAACCAGCCUGUGUUUUGAUUGCACAUCCCCCUUUAGAGAUUUGUGAGUACCAGGGUCCCCCUUGGAGGACUCCGGCCAUGCACAGUAUAUCUCGUAGGAUGGUUCCCCUUAGGAAGUUGGCGAGUACCAGGGUCCUCUUUGAGAGACUCCGGGUGUGUUCUGCACAUCCCGUAUGAUGCCUUAAUCGUCGCCUUGCUUCUCCCGUAGGACGCUGCUUAUAGGCAACUAUAUGACUAUCCUGCCUUUCUUAGGAAACGGAUAGGAACCUGGAUAUUUCCCGCAUGAAGCAUGGAGACCUCCUUUUAAGAAAUUUUUGGUGCACCAUGCUUCUCCCUUAGGACGCUUUUUUCGCAGGCUGGGUCUCCAAAUGGACGCUUUUAGUCGUUGCCCUGCGUCUCCCUUAGGACGCUCCUUAUGGGCAACUGUGUGACUAUCCUGCCUCCCUUAGGAAAUGGAUAAGACUUGAAUAUUUCCCGCAGUAAGCAUGGCGACCCCCUUUUAAGAAACUCCUGGCGUACCCUGCAUCUCCCUUAGGAUGCUUUUUAAGAGGGCUGCUUCUCCAAACGGACGCUUUUAGUCGUUGCCUAUGUCUCCCCUAGGAUGCUCCUUAUGGGCAACUGUGUGACUAUCCUGCCUCCCUUAGGAAACAGAUAGGAAACUAGAUAUCUCCCUUAGGAAAUUCCUAGCGCACCUUGCGUCUCCCGAAGGACGCUUUUUUAGCUGGCUACGUCCCGAAACGGACACUUUUAGUCGUCGCCCUGCGUCUCCCUUAGAAUGCGCCUUAUAGGCAACUGUGUGACUAUCCUGCCUCCCUUAGGAAACGGAUAGGAACCUGGAUAUCUCUCUUAGGAAAUUCCUGGGGCACCUUGCGUCUCCCGAAGGACGCUGCUUAUGGGAAAAUAUUGUGUUUCGUGGGCAGAUGAGACAUUUUGGAAUGAGAAACUGAACUUAUAUUGAUAUUCAUAAGAUUACAGUCCUUUAUUUGAAAAUGGAAAUAACUUGGUUCAAAAACUUAGAACUUCUAGCAGCUACGAGGAAGCACUAUGGAUAAUACUUUCGGAGAUGGUGAGCAUUCCAUUGUCGUGGUAUUUCCUUCCUAUCCAUGGUGUCCAGUGUGUUGCUUCCUCUGCCCCGGACCUGCUGAUCACAUAAACGCCCUCCCAGUUAGGAUUCACUUUUUUUGACCCGUGUCUUGGUGCAGUAAUGAAAGCCUUAGCACGAGGUCGCCUGGUUGAAACUGUUUGACCUUAGCUCUUUUGUCGUAGUAAGACUUCAACUGCUAGUGAUAGGAGGCGACCCGAAUAAUGGUCUUCUCACGCCUGCCCUCAAGUAAGUUGAGGUUGAGCCUCAUCUGCUCGGAGUUCUGAUCAACACUGCCUACCUUAAGACUUAUAGAGAGGACAGUGAUGUGAGGUGGUAUGAUCACUUCUGUUCCAUAGGCGAGAGAGAAUGGGGUUUCACCAGUCGAUCUUCGCUUGGUGGUGUGAUAAACCCAUGGUACUCUGGGGAGUUCAUCCACUCAUUUCCCUUCAGCGCCUUCCAGCCUUUUCUUUAAGCAGUCCAAUAUGACUUUGUUGGAUGCCUUGGCUUGUCCAUUUCCUUGUGGAUACCUCGGGGUGGACAAGUGUUGUUUGAUCUUGUAUUUCACAAAAAAAGCGGUGAUCUGCUUGCCAAUGAACUGUGAGCCAUUGUCGGUAACCAACGACUGUGGGCAGCCAAACCGGCAUAUGAUGUUUCUCCAGAUGAAUCACUCCACAUCGGCUUCUUUAGUAAAUGAUAGAGCUUCGGCCUCGAUUCAUUUAGUAAAGUAGUCGGUGGGGACGAUCAUCAUUUCUUUCUUGGCGGGCGCUAGUGGCAAGGGAUCCACUAGGUCGAUGGCCCAUUGCAUGAACAGCCAUGGACUGUUUUGCGGAUGAUAGACUUCGGCAGGCAAGUUAGGGAUCGGCUUGUAUUGCUGACAGCGUCACAUUUCUUGGCACAUUCAGCACAGUCGUGACGUAUGGUAGGCCAGAAGUAGCCUAUGUUUAGAACUUUCUGGGCGAGUGACCUGCCCCAGAAUGGUUGCCAUACUCGUCGUCGUGAAUUUUACAGAUAAUCUCAAGUGUUUGAUGGUACUUUAUGCAGGUGAGAUGAAGGCCGGAGUAUGAUCUGUGGAUGAGCUUGUUGCCGUGCAUGUAGUAUCUCUCGGCCUUUUGCUGGACUUUUCUAGCUUCGGACUUGUCCGUUGGCAGGUUUCCAUUCGUGAAAUAGUCGAUGAUGAGGUCUUGCUAGCUGGGGUCCUCGUCAAUCUGCAUGGUAUUAAUCGGCUCUAUUUCUUCAAUGCUUGGUCGGUCAAGGUGUUCGACCUAGAUGGAGUGUUUGAACUGGGUAUCCAGCGUUGAACCUUGGCUUGCCAGUGCGUCUGCAUGCGCGUUCUUUGCCCGGGACACUUGUUGGAUAGUGAAGGUAGGAAAUGCCUUCAACAGCUCUUGGACUCUAUCAAGGUAUAAGAUCAUCCUUGGGUGCUUUGCCAUAUAUUCACCUGAGGCUUGAUUCGUGAUCAACUGUGAGUUUGAGUAGAUGGCUAGCUUUUUGAUUGCGAGCUCCUUUGCCAAGCGUAAGUCGGCGAGUAAUGCCUCGUAUUCUACCUCGUUGUUCGAGACCGAGAAGCCAAGCGUAAUAGCUUGCUCUAACAGGGUUCUAUCCAGGGUGGUGAUAACGACCCCUGCUCCAGCUCCUUUUUGGUUCGACGCUCCGUCUACACGCAACUGCCACAUGUCUCUGGGAUGGCUUGGUUCUGCGGAGGUCCUGUCUGCUUUUGAACUUCCCUCCUUUUGGUUGACUAACUUCUCUUUUUUGGCUGAUGGGGUGAAUUCUGCGACGAAGUAUGCUAAAGCCUGGGCUUUUAUUGCAGUUUUUGGCCCGUAGAGGAGGUCAUAUUGGCUUAGCUCUAUAGCCCACUUCAUGAGUCGCUGAGAAGCAUCAGGGCUGUGGAGGAUUGAUCUCAAAAGAAAGUCAGUCAUGACUAUGACUCGAUGAGCUUAGUAGUAGGGUCGCAGCUUUCUCGCAGAAACUACAAGAGCCAAAAUAAGUUUCUCCAAUUUCGGGUAACGAGUCUCUGCAUCGAGGAGAGCUUUUGACGUGUAGAAUACCGGAUAUUGGGCCCCUAUCUCUUCUCGGAUGAGAGCUGAACUGACAGCUGAGUUGGACUUACCUCACUAGGGACUGGAUUUGAGAGCAUGGAAGGUGAGGUGAGGUAAGUCUUCAGAUUAUGGAAAGCUACUUUGCAGUCCUCAUCCCAUUUCUCUCUUUGUCCUUUCUUCAAAGCUUUGAAGAGUGGUCUGCACUUGUCGGUUGAUCUCGAGAGGAAUCGGUUGAGAACCGCUGCUUUGUCCGUCAGACUUUAUAUCUCUUUCACCGUGGAAGGCGACUUCAUCUCUAGAAUGGCUUUGAUUUGACGUGGAUGUGCCUCGACACCUCGUUGCGUGGCUAGGUAUCCCAAGAAUCGGCCGGAGGAUACACCAAACAGGCAUUUACUUGGAUUCAACUUCAUGCGAUACUGGCGGAGCAAGCUGAAUGAUUGGGUAAGACUUCCGAUGUGAUCUGCACGUUUUGGGGCUUUGACCAGCAUGUCAUCCACGUAGACCUUCAUAGUUUUGCCGAUCUGCUUAUUGAAGAUUUUAUUCCCGAGCCUUUGAUAGGUUGCUUUGGCGUUCUUCAGCCCAAAGGGCAUGACCUUAUAGCAGCAGGUCCCUCUCUCGAUGAUGAAAAAAGUUUUUGCCUUGUCAUCCUCGUGCAUCAGGAUUUGUUUAUAGCUGGACUAGGCGUCCAUGAAGCUAAGCAGUUGAUUGCCAGAAGUGGAAUCCACGAGUUGGUCGAUUCUCGGCAAUGAGAAGUUGUCUUUAGGGCAUGCUUUGUUGAGGUCUGUGUAAUCGACACAAACUCUCCAUUUGCCAUUUUCUUGUUUUGCCACCAAAACAACGUUGGCAAGCCACUCUGAGUAGGAGGCCUCUUCGAUGAAGCCGACAGCUAGGAGUUUGUCAAUCUCGGCCUCGAUGAUAGCAAGUCGCUGGGGUGCGAAGUUGCGUCUCUUCUGCGCCACUGGCUUGCAGGCAGGGUUGAAGUGGAGUCAGUGACAGAUGAUGUUCUUGUCGAUGCCAGACUUGUCUGACGGCAACCAUGCGAACAUGUCUCUGUUGCUCUGGAGGAAGGUGGUAAGCUCCACAUUCUCUUCUGGCCUUAGGCGCGAACCGAUCCACUCUUUCCUAUCUGGUUGGUCAGGAUCCAAGGGUAUUAACUCGACGUCCUCCUUGGGUUUCCAUCCUUCUUCAGGAAAGACCUAUGGACGGAUUUCCUCGACUUGGUCCUGACGCUUUAAUUGCUAUAAGAUAGCAAGAUCCAGUUGCUCAACCUCCUCCAGAUCUGCCUGGCUCACAGGGAGAAACUGCGCUUGUUUACCUUUCUUUAGCCCUUGGGCGGAGCAUUUCCUCGCCAUUGCCUAAUCGUUGUUGAUUUGGCCGACACCGCCCCCAAGGAUUGGGUACCGAAUUUUCUAAUGUGUGGCGGAGGUGAUUGCAUUAAUUUUGCCAAUCGAUGGUCUGCCCAGAAUGCCGUUGUAGGGUAAGACCUUAUUAAUGACCAUGAAGGUUAUGAGCUGAUUAUAAGUGGGGAGUAGACGUCGAGGUCUAUCAUGCCCACGGUAACCGUUGUUGCACCAUUAAAAUCGCUCAGCAACCUAGCUAAUUUGUAAAUCUUUGUCUCCAAUCCCAUCUGUUGAAUGACCUCCAGUUGCAGGAUAUUGGCUGCGCUGCCCUCGUCUGUGUGGAUUCAGUCUACCAUGACCUGAGCAAUUUGAAUGCUGAUGACAAGGGCUUCGUUAUGUGGCAUGUAGAGGCCGAUCAGAUCUUUCUUUUGGAAGCCGAUUACAGGAUCGUCUUCUGCUGGUGGAAGGUCGGUCGAGAUUUGGGAGAUCACAGUGGUCUGUUUGAUCUUCCUCUUUUUUUCCUUUCUGGUCAGCCCAGACUCCUCGGAGUCAGCUAGGAUUGUGUUAAUUCUUAUGACCUUCUGAGGCGGCUCCUUGGCGAUGUCACGAUCUUCUAUCCGCUGGAUGACCUUCUUUGCAAUGAAUUCUGUGCAGUGACCUUCUCUCACGAGUUCUUCAAGAUGUGCUUUCCAAGCGAAGCAGUUGUUCAUAGUGUGUCCGUGCAUUUCAUGGACGGCACAGUAUUUGCUAGUAUUCCUUUUGUCCGGAUCUUCUUUCAAGGGUGGUGGUCUUCUUACCCAAGGUUGUUCUUCACUUGGGCUAAGAUUUGAUGUAUGGAGAUGGUGAACUUGGUGUAGUUCUCUCCUGCCGUAGCAUCCCCUUAUGGGUGCGACCUGCGCUUGUCCUUGUCCCUGUUGCUAAAUCCGUCGCUUCUUUGGCCUGCCCCCUUAGUCGGCUGAUCUUCCUGCUUAGUAGAGUUCUUUGCGGCGAUUCGAUCGUCAUCCCAAAGCGCAUAGCUUUCCGCGGUCUCGUAGACCUCUGCCAAAGUUUGGCUGGGAGUGAUGGUCAGCUCGUGGUACAAGUCGUGCUCAGUCGAAAGGUCUUUCUUGAAAGCAGAGGACGCAAUUUGGUCAUCACAUCCUACAAUGUUGGCCUUUUCUACUUUGAAUCUCUUGAUGUAAUCUCUAAAGGAUUCGUCGAACUUCUUGCGCAGGUUAUACAGGUGGUCAGGGUUCUUCUUGAUUGUUCGGUAAGAGGUGUAUUCUUUGGUGAAUAAGUAAGUCAGCUCCUUGAAGCUGCUGAUCGACCUGGAUGGCAGAGUAUGGAACGAGUCUUGGGCUUCCUCACAAGGUCAUUGCAAACACCUUGCACAUCAGCGCGUCGUCAACCUUGUGGAGGAUCAUGACACUUUUGAAGUGUUUUAGAUGGCUCUCAGGAUCGGAAUCCCCCUUGAAGUGUGUGAAUGUGGGCGUUGAGAAUCGCUUCAGGAGAGCAGCCUGCUCGAUUUUGGCAGUGAAAGGUGUAGAGUAUGCCUGGUCUACCUCAUUUCGUACAUCUUCGAAAUUUCCACCGGUCUUCAAGUCUCGAAGUUGGUCAUUCACAAGCUUCUCUACGUCUUCCGCACACAUUGCUUGUCGGCCACAUUGGCGACCUUCACGAAUUGUUCGAUGCUGACUGACUUCCUCGUUGAUUUCCGAGGAUCGACCUUCUUGUCUGCAUUGCCUAGGUGGAGUGUUGGUGGAUUGCGCCUACGAAAGAUUCUCUGUGGCUUGUCAAUGAGAAUCGGUUCUUCGAGAGUGAGUAACGAAGUGCCUUUCCUCAUGGUCCUUAUUGUGAGGGUUAUCCAGCUGACCUCCCUGGGGCCUAGCCUUUCCUGAAUGCUUCUCUGCGAGUAGACAGUUGAAUGCUUUUCUUCACGAUCCUCGUUGUGAUGGUUGUUUGGCUGACCUCCUUAGGGUCUUAGCCUUUGAUGUACAUUUCCCUGCCUGCCCAAGUAGGUGCGGACGUCGAGUCGUGGGCCCAGCCUUUCGUGCACGUCGUUCCUUAAACUCAAUCUGCUCUGAGUGUGGCUUGCAGAUGCUUGCGACAUGUCGGCAGGUCGAUCACGUUGUUGUCCCUCGACUUGUCUGCCCACUCUUGCUUGACCUGCUUGGUACUCGUUGAGCUGUCUACCGGCCCGUUCAUCCUUCCUUCUUUCCUCGCCUGGUUGUCCAAGGCCAAGGUUUUGAGCAAAGCUUAUUUGGUUGAGGAGCUGCCUCAUUAGAUUGUUUUGGUCGUCCAUUCUUUAAGCUAGCUGGUCAACUCUCAGAUUAAGGUCUGCUUGAUUUCAUGGAUCAGGAGGAGAGAAGUGUGUGGAGCUCAACUGCACAUAGGCUAGGGUUUCAUUAGAGGUGUAUGCGGGAGCGUGUGUCGAGCGUGGAGGCAAUAGAGGGAAUGCUUGGAGUUGCUCCAAGACCGGCCCUAGGUCGGCGGUGGUAACGAGUCCACCUUGAUGGGAAGUUCCACCAUGUUUGGCGGCAGUGACCGAUGCAGUGGUGAGAGGUGGUGGUGCCACCAUGUCGAUCGCGGGAUCGUUGGUGGAGUGGCUUUGGGCCGUCGCAAAUCUAGCCAUCAUGGCGGCUUUGCCUCUCGUGUUCAUGCUUCCAACCAUGGUUGUUUGGAAGGCUUAGGUGGAUUGGAAAAUUAGAGGAACGGAUUCCUUGAGCACGCAUUGAGUAUAACUCGUGCUCUCAAUGAAAGCACCAAUUUGUGGGAGCAAAUUUCCCCACGAGAAUAUUCGGUUCGAAAGAUUCCCCUUUCUUAUUCGCCGCCUCUUUCUCCUCGCAAAAUAGAACAAAUAAGAGGACCACACCCGAGGGGUGUUGGCCAAAGGCCCUCCGAUGCCUAAAUUAGUUCAAGUAUUUGUAAGAAAAACACUAGCUAACUAGGGUAUGGAGAUGUGUUUAAGGUGUAAACCGGGCGGCCGGAACCUUAUGUAAAAGAGAGAGAGAAAUGAGGUGGCUAGGGUUUGAGAGGAAUUUUCUGCAGAGUUUUUAGUAGAGAUUUCAGACGUACCUCAACCAUUGUGUGUGGCCAUCUUUUUAUAGUGGUCUUGGAGGCUAGAGUUUCAGAGAAAUAAUUUCGUAGAUGGAAAGGAAUUAUUCCUCCCCUAUUUAGAAUUGAUUUGAUUAAUUACGGAUUUGAUUUAUUAGGGUAAAUCAAAUCCCUAAUUGUGGUAAGUAUCAAAUCAAAUCCUUUUUUAAUUAGGUAACUGCUCAUUUAAUUGACAAUUGUGGUAGGAAUCAAAUCAAUUCUCAACCUAAUUGGUAACGUUCAAUUUAAUUGGGUAAUUCCCAAUUAAAUUGAGUAACUCCCAAUUAGGUUGAUUAAUUCACACUUAGAUCAAAUAAUCCCCAAAUGGAAAGAAUUAUUUGACCUAAGGUAUGAUUUAAUUCGAUUCCCACAAUAUUUAGAUGCAUAAUUGAAUGCGAAUAAACAUCACUCUCUCCAGUGUGAAAUGGCGAAAAUUCUCUUCAAUCAAAAGUGGGCUUACUUCAAAUUUAGUUGAAGAAUGAUGGUGUGUCUUGCCUGACAAUUGACAAUUAGGUUUAGGAGCGUUCCUCUAGUAGAAAAAUCUAAAUCAUUUGUGGUCAUCCACUCACUUGGUUAGUCUUCCAGAAUCAAAUACCAAAUCAACCCAAAGGAAGCUGCAAUUUUCUGAAUUGUAUACUUGUUUUAAUUCUUCCUAUCUUUUUCUCUCUUUCAUUUUUUUUGUCUCCCUCAAGUUAAUACUUAAGUGAGUUGCCAAAUGGGGGUAAAAAAGAGAGUAGAAGAGAUGAACCCCACAUUUGACUUUAAUAGACAAAUGCCCAAGAGAAGUACCAGUAAGAGCAUCUCCAAUUGGGAGGUGCUAUCCUAUAAUUUGACACACAUUUCUUUUUUCUUUUUUUUCAAUUCUAACAACAUGUCAUCUAUAUCGCAAUAGGCCGUUGUAGUUAAAUUUUCAAAUAACCAAGUUGCUCUCUAUUUUCCAAAGAAGACUAGAAAACAACUUACCAUCUAUCUGGUGCUGCUUCUUCCAAACAUUAGAAAAAACAGAGCUACACCCAGGAGGAGCCCAGGAGAUGACACAAUACUGCCUACUAUGAUUCUUACUUUCUUCACAUUCAAUGAGACUAUAAAAUAUAACCCAAGUGGUCUAACCCCCCAGGGCGGAAAUUGGGUUUAGCAAGUUUAGCACUGAUUGUUGUAUAGUCUUAAACAGUCCUGAUCUCUUGGACCCCUGUAGUCCAAGAGAUUUAUGGUCACCCACCGUUGGAUGUAAAUUCAACGGUUGACUUGAAUCGGGUAAUAAUAAUUUAUGUCAUAUUGCAUUUAUAUAUAUCAUUUUGAACCAUUGGAUUAAUAUCCAACGGUGGGUGACCACAAUCUCUUGGACUCCUGUGGUCCAAGAGAUCGGGACUGUAGUCUUAAAAUAAGUAGUUUAGCGAGUGCAAACUUCGACUUAAAAAAACUCUCAUGUAUAGCCGCGCGGCUAUACUAUUUACAUAUAAAUAUAUAAAAAAGCACCCCCUAGUCACGUGUCACAAAUAGUAUAGUCGAAAACAGUAGAGCCGCGCGGCUAUACUGUUUUUAAAAUAAAAAAAACCAUAUUCGAUUCUCCUUAUAUUUAAAAGGGGUAUAGCCGCAUGGCGAUACUAAUUUUUUUUUUUCAAAAAAAGGGACCCCAGUACUCCUUUUAUAUAUUAUAAUAUAUUGUCUAAUAUUUGGAAUAUUUACUCUAAAAUAAACAAUAUAUUAGGUUCUUUUUGUCUACAAAUUGACCAUUAAACUUCUUAAUCACUCUUAUACUUUCAAUUAAAUCUACUAGGCUAGGUUAUGAUAUUUUCACUAAAAAACUCCUCCUUUUUUUCUUCUCUUUCUCUUCCUGUUUUGUUUAACUUAAGCUUAAGUUUUGUAAUUUUUUUUCCCGCCCUUUUUACAUGUUUGAGUAGGGUACUUUAAUAUUGGGAUUUAUGAACUUUUUUUGUAUUUCUUCUUUAUAUUGGAAUAUAAAUUAUUAACUUUUGAGUCUUUAAUAGUGUAGAUGAUGAGAUUAUUAUUCAACCAUUUUAUAAUAUGAAAUGAAGGACAAUCAUGAUUGUGAUGAAUGGAUUAUUAAUCAAUAUGAAAUGAUAUUAUGAAGUGGGCUAAAUCGAGUAGUUAGUAUCGUAUUGUUGAGACCCAAAAAAUCCAAGGCUAGGCCCAAAUAUAUUAUGAAGUGGGCUAAAUCGAGUAGUUAGUAUCGUAUUGUUGAGACCCAAAAAAUUCAAGGCUAGGCCCAAAUAUAUUUCCGGUCCAAUGCGAUACCUUACCGAGAAGAAACCUUAUUUGGGCACGCGAAAGUUCGUCAUAUGCUCUUGCACACAUGCCAUGCCAAGCAAAUAAGCAACAUGCCACGCUACAAGCUUAAGUGGGCCCAAGCCACGUGAAUGCCUAGGGCCUGCUGAGUGGGUUGUGGUAUGGAUGGUUAUGAGUAUUCACGAGGCCCAUUGAUGGUCUAAGGAGUGGAAGUUUUGGGCUACUUGGGAGCACCAAAACUCAAGCCCAUUCAUUGAGCCCAAACAUAUGGGUAAGCAUGAGAUAAAACCUAGUAGCCCAUCACCUUAAGAAAUCCUAAUAGCCCAUAACAUGUGAGAAAAUCCCACAUCAACCAAAGCUUCCAGCAGUCUGACGAAAUCAAAGGGAACUCACAAGCCGUUGGAAACAAAACAACCCAACACUGUAACACCCCGACCCCAAAUUUCCCCAAAUUUAACCCUUAUUUAAUUAUUUAAGGGUAUUUUAGUCAUAUUUUUAACCGGAGAGAGUUUGGGGCAAUGACUAGUAUUUUUGGAUAGGUCGUACUGAGACGAGUUUAUGGACACGCAGUGAGCUCGAAUCGGAGUUGUAACGAGAGAGAUAUGGUCAAAAGAAGCCCAGUGGCACAAUCGUAAAUAUUUUGAAAUGAGAUUUUUUAUAAAAAUCUGGUUUUCUCUCUCUCUCUCUCUCUCUCUCUCUCUCUCUCUCUCUCUCUCUCUCUCUCGCUAGCGACCUCUCUCUCUCUCCCCCGUCGGUCUCUCCCCUCUUUCUCCUCGUAACUCCGGCCACCGGCCCCGGCUGUGGACGGGGCCGGUACCAAAAUGACCGAGGCGUCGUCCUCUUCCUACCCCAGCCACCUCCCACCGCCAGCCGUCGCGGAUUCGCCGGAAUCUGGAGAUGAAGCGGCCUACGUCGUCCAAAUUUCAAAGCUGCCGAUCUCCCUCCUCCGGCCACCAAUUCCGUCGACCCAGGUAUGGAUUUUGAACUUCUCGAGCUGCUCUAGCUGAUGGUUGGGUAGGAUUAGAUCGAUUCUUAGCUUAGACAACUCGAUUUUCAAAUUGAAAAUCGGCCGAACUUCGGCUGCCGUGAUCGGCCAUUUCCGGCCACUUUUUGGGGUAGGUCCAAGAACAAAAGUGGCUCCAAAUAGGGUGUUAUACCUAGGGUAGGAGUUUGGAGCCGUGGUUUUGAGAUUUUCCGGCGAAGCGUUAUCGCUUUGGGCACCCACGCGCUGCCGGUGCGUGCGGCGGCGCGUGGGCACUGUAGAAAAAGUAGCACUGUGUUCCGAUGAGAUCCUUAGGUUGUCACGAGUGCGUAGGAUUUUGCGGAUCUCAAUUCGGACGUCGUUUGACUAUCGAACGGAUAUUCGCAUAUUGCGCGUUAUUCGGGUUCGAUAGGUUGGGACCGUUGGAUGGACCCAAAUUUAAUAUAUGUUAAUCUAAUUAAUUCUAGGAUCGUGUAGGAAUUCACGGAUUGUGAAUCGGAGCCCCGGAUGUUCCGAAUAAUAAUUUUAAAGUUUGUAUUUUAUAUUAAUUGUCAGAUCGUGCGAUCGUGAGCAAUCUGACCGUUCGAUCUGAACCAAACUUGCAGGACAAGUGUCCUAUACCUUGUAGAACCCAUAGGGACCUUCGGAUCGGAAAUUGGAGGUCGUGGGUUCCGCAAGUCGGUUUGACCAGGGUUAGAGAAGUUUGACCCUUGGUUGACCGUGAGUCUCCCGGAGUAAUCUCACCUUUCUAGGGGAGAUUAUCGGGUACUAGAUGAUUGUGGACACAAUAUUAGAAUUAAUUUAUAUAAUUAUAAUUAUAUAUGGUUGUACAAGGGUACAACAGAGUCUAGAAUGUCAGUUUGGAGUGCUAUACGCACUACUUUAGGUACCUCCCCGGAUGUUGGGAUUUACUACAAGUACCACCAAGUGAAAUUGAGGUCCCGCGUGGCGUAGGUUAUCCAGCGUUGGGAUAGGUCUCAUACGUGGGGUUGGUUGUACCGGCGUAUGGGGAGAUUUGUGAUAUUAUGUUCAGGUCUCACGUGGCGUAGGUUAUCCGGCGUUGAGACAGGCCCCAUACGUGGUGUUGGUUGUACCAGCGUAUGGGGAGCUAUGUGAUAUUGUGUUGAGGUCGCACGUGGCGUAGGUUAUCGGGCGUGUCGACAGACCCCAUACGUGGCGUUGGUUGUACCGGCGUAUGGGGAGAUUUGUGAUAUGAAAUUGAGGUCCCACGUGGCGUAGGUUAUCCGGCGUUGGGACAGGCCCCAUACGUGGCGUUGGUUGUACCGGCGUAUGGGGAAAUAUGUGAUAUGAUGGCAUGGUCGCACGUGGCAUAGGUUAUUCGGCUUGUUGACAGGCCCCAUACGUGGCGUUGGUUGUACCGGCGUAUGGGGAGAUUAUUUGAAAUGCAGAGAAACGAAAUAUGGUAUCGCCCAAAUGUGGAAUUGGGUUUUAGGGAAGAACUACGUGUGGCUUGAUCCCUCAAGGAGGGUACGUAGGCAGCCUAAGGUUAAUAGGUGCAGCCGCAGACUAAAUGUUAGUCAUAAUUGAUAUUUGAAUUGUUUGGUAGUUGGUUAAGAAUUAUUGGAAGGCCGAAGGCCAUUUGUGUGAAUUGCAUGAAAUUAUAUUGUGCAUGCUGCCAGUUGGGAAUAUUAAAUGCGUUUUUAUGCAGGUAUAAAUUUUAGGAAAUGUCCAAUUUAUAGGGGAGACUCUGCCGAAUUUUCGGCAGGAAGUCUCAGUUUUUAGUAUCUGGGCCUGGCAUCGGGAGGAUGUCGGGAAUUCCAAAGGGUCGUCUCGAGUUCUGAAAAAUUCGGUGCGGGUCCUUUCAAACACCUUAUAAAAUAUCCAACGCCGUGCAUCUCUGUUAAAACCAGAUCACAGCCAAACCACCAAAACCAUGCAAACCCAUAUGCUGAUCACCAUUUUUACUAGCACCCUUACCCAUUCUUUCCUCUUCAAGCUUUGGUGAGAAAACAAGAAACAAAAGUGGGCGGAUCUUCACCCACAUGGAGAAAUCCAGCUGCCUGAGGGCCCUGGAACUCCAAAAAACUUCUUACCUACAUGCUCAGGCUAGGGAAGUUUCACCAAAUAAGCAAGAAUGGAAGAAAGUGAAGGAAAAGGGGAAAGGGUGGCUUGACGAAAUUAAGGUUUUCAGCACUUAUAAAAGGAAACACUUUCUAUCCAGCAAAAACAACUCACCCUGGUUGCUGCAAGCCUCCUAGCAACCAUGAGAAUUCAUUGAAGGCAAGCAUCCCCUUUGGAACCCUUCAAUUUCAUGCUUUGUUCUUCCAUCUUCCUCCUUUCUCUCUCUCUCAAAACCCACAUCCAGAGAGAGCAAGCAUCAUCUCUCAUCUUUGGAACCCUUCGAUUUGAAGCCUUGUUCUUCCAUUGCUUCCCAUUUUCUCUUCUGUCAAAUCACCUAGGAGCUUGACGAAACUUUCGUCAAGCUGCUGGAAAUAUGGUAAAGCCACCCAUGCUUCCAUCUUCUUCCUCUCUUUCCAUAAACACACAUCCAAAGAGCAAGCUUCAUCUCUCAUCCUCUAAACCUCUGCAAUUUCAAGCCUCAUUCCUCUAUCUUCUCCCAUUUUCAGCGGUAGUGAGAAUGAUUUCUGCGUGUGCAUGGGAAGGAUUGUAACUCAGAUGAGGAGGAGAUGGUUUGGAGUGGGGUGAGGCAGUUGGAUAGAGCUCUUGGCCUUUUCAAGUUUGGAUGGGAAAGAGCAGGGAUGAAAGAAGCUUUACAACUGCAAGGGCAUAUAUGGUGCGUAGGGGCUGAAGGCAGAACACUUACAUAUAGAGGAAACACAUUUUUUGUCCAUGGGAUUCAUGUUUGACAAACACUUGUCUUAGACUAUGAGUUCAAAUUUCAAAACCUUUUUUUUUUCUUUCUGAAAUCAGGACCAGUGUGGAGAACUAGCAAGGAUUGGAGAAACAGAUUUUUGGGCGUCACUUGACCACAGAUUGUUGAUUGCUCAAAUGUGUAGAAUUGGCCAUCUUAAAUGUCAAAAUGAUUUAUCAAUUGGGGUUUUUUUAGAAACGUUUAUGUUUGUCAAUAGAGACAGAAGUCAGAGAACAUAAACCUUUCUCAGCAAAUUGAAAUUCUCAGUGCAUGCUCUGUUCUUCCAUGGCUUUCAAACCUUCUCUGCCACGGUGAAAUGGAUCGAUAGAGAUAGUUUAGGCCGUUCCAUUUGUUUGAUGAAGCAUUCGUUCUAGGGAUUCUGUAUAUUCAUAACAAAAUCACUAGAAUGAUUCUUAGAAAUUCAUCACUGCUAAAGGCAAUGGGUUCAGCAUAAUAACUUCUUAGUCUUGCUUCUUGGUCCUUUAUUUUCUUUGCAUAAUACUCCAAGUUUACCUGGGUUCUACAGAGAAAAUCUCGUAGAUACCUCUUUUUGUGGUCUUCCAUGGCAUUUAAGUGCUGCUUUCCAUGGUGAAGUGGGCCUAUAGAGACUACCUGAGGUGUGUAGGCUUUGUCAUUUCCACGCCGUAAUCGCUCAGGAACUCUGUAGAUACACCUUCAAGGGGGACAAGGGAGACAAACUAUCCAAUUCCUUGCGCCUUACAAAUAGAUCGCAUGGGUUUUCUAUUUCAUCUGCAGCUUCAUCAAUUCCUUCCAUUUUUCUCCUGAUCAUCAUGCGCGGUGAUUCAAAUAUUUCAUAAUGAACAUUGAAAUGAGAUGCUACAAGCAAACUUAUGAAAAGAAACAGAAAUACCAAAAAGACAAAUCAAUGUAGAUGGUUUAGAAAAUCUAAACAUUGCAAUUAUACUCCUUUGCCCAACUUCUAGGAGCAAACGUACACAAAGACCUUAUUGCUUCCAACUUUUCCAACAGAAUUUCAUAUGAAUUGCUCCAAGUGAAAUCCGUAUGAAAAAUCGGUAGUUGGAUUUUCAUCCUGCUUUAAUAUGAUUAUUUAACUUCUAACAAAAAAACUCUUAUUACUUGAGCAAGUAAAAUACUAUUCCAGGUUUCUCCUAGUUCUAUAUGCGCUUAUAAUUGGUAUACUCUAUAAAUACCAUAAUCUGAAUUUCUCUGUUUUGAUUACUUUAAUUUAUUACUUAUGUUUUAAUUAUUGUUUACUUAGUGAAUUAUUAGUAUUUAAGAGAAGGCCUUCCAUCGAUUAGGCACCACGUGUCUAUAAUAAGUAAAGCCGUCCGGCUAUACUUAAAAAAAAAAAAAAUUGUAGUAUAGCCGACCGGUAUAGCCGCGCGGCUAUACUAUUUAAUACAUUAUAUUUAAACGGUAUAGCCGCGCGGCUAUACUAUUUAAUAAAAUAAAAAACAAAAGAAAAAGAAAAAUUACCCUCCUAUUUCAUUAGUUUGUACUUUAUAGAUACUAGCCCCUUGACACAUGCUCACGCAUGUGCCAAUUGGUUUUCUUUUUCUUUUUUAUUUUUAUUUUUAGAAUUAAGAAAAAAUAACAGGAUAGUUAUGUUCCAUAAAAGUAGGACCUAUUAUCUUAUUUUGUUUUUAAUUUUAAUUUUUUUAAUAUUAAAAAAAUAUGAAUUUACGAUAUUAUCCUCAUUUAAUUAAUAAUUUCAAUUCUUAAUGUUUGAAUUAACAAAGGGCAUUUUCUGGUAUUUUGAAUGUUUCACCAUUCUCUGCCUUUUGCUUUAUAUAUAUAGAUUAAUUUGCCAGUUUCAAGAUAUCCAAAGUACAUAUUAGACUUUCACUAUAUAAAUUUCAAUAUAUAUUUUUUAUAACAUGUGUUGUUCUUAUUCAAUAAUAUGUGAGAAUUAUUUGUAUAAUACGUGAAUUUUGUGUGUCUUACUGAAUUUUUUUAAAUACGUGUAUUAAACGUUACAAAUACGUACAUAUAUGUACAACACGACUAUUGUAAGUUUGCUAUAUAAAAAAAAGUGAGAUGUAUCUAGAACACGAAUGUAUUAUCGAAAAAUAUAUAUGUAUGUAUAUAUAUAUAUAUAUAUGUAAAAGCCUAUAGCCUCUCACCUAUACUAUUUAUUAAAGACAAUUUAAAAAUUACAACAACAAAAAAACCAGUACAGCCACAAAGCUAUACUAUUUUAAAAAAAAAAAAUAGAAAAAAUAUCAAGUACUACACAGGGCAAAGGCCCAGUGUAAAAUAGUAUAGCCGUACGGCUAUACGUUUUUAAGAAGAAUUUAAAAAACUAAGUAUAGCUCACCGACUAUACUAUUUUUUAAUAUAAAAAAACAACCCCAUCCAUUAGGCGCCACGUGUCAACAGAAGUUUAUUUUUAAAAAAAAAAAUUAAAAGACAAGGAGUAUAGCCGGGUGGUUGUACUAUUUUUUUAUUUUAAAAAGAAGACAGUCCAUCGAUUAGGCGCCACGUGUCCAUAAUAAGUACAGCCGCUCGGCUAUAUGUUGGAUAUUUUGAAACUAGCAAAUUAAUAUCAAUAGCCGGUCGUAACCUAUGCUGUCCACGUCACUCAUGUUUUACCAGAGUUAAAGCAUCCACAAUGAGCUCCCCAAACCAUCUCUUUAGACAAAUUUUAGGGAGAAAUUGGAAAAGUACAACUCCAACCAUGCUCCCUAUCCACCAACUAAAAUAGGGAGACCUCUAGGAGCUCCUAAAUCUGAGGAGAGGGAAAGGACUCUUAGUGACUCCCUAUAAUUUAAUGUUGCUUUGUUUUAUGCAUAUUUUAAACUUUUAAUUAAAUCAAAUUAUUAUUUUAUAUUAUUUUGUAUACAGAUGGACCAAUUAUAUUAAAUUAAAAAAUAAUUAAAGUAUUUGUGACUCUCUAAACUAAGGAGUAUGAUUAGAGUUCAAAUUUUAUAAAAAGCUCUUAAAAUAGCUUUUGUGUGUUUUUAGCUAAAUUUUAACUAAAAAAUUUGAAGAUUCUUUAUUUGGGUUUCUUUCAAGACGAAAACCAUAUCCACAACAGACAUCUUUGGCUGUUCAUCACAAUUGAGAGACAAUGAAGAAGACAUAAGGGAGAGGCUGCCAAAUACUUAUCACCUUAGCCACCACCAACACCACAAGACCAAUAUGUGUAGGCCAGGAGGCUUUCCAAUUUUAAUAUAUAUAUAUAUAUAUAUUAAAAAAUAAAAUAAAAAUCAAUCUAUUAUCAUAUAUAUUAUAAAAUAAAGAUUAUUGCUCCAUCCUCCAUGCACUUGCGUGCCCUCUUACAAAGUAUGAAGUAGAUUUUGUUAGCUGGAUUUAUAAGAUCUUUUGUUUUUUGGAAAUUUUCUGAAAUAAGGAAAAUCAAGUAAAAUUAAUAAAGCAUAAAUUGGAAAGGGAAAAUAUCUAGAGGAUGCAUUGUAGGAUUGCUCAAGCCAAUAAUUGUACCCUCUAAAUAUAUAGGGACAUAUUUUUUUUGUUUUCAUGACAUGUCGUCCUAAAAUUAUUGUUCUUAGCGGGCUCUCCACCCCCUCUCGAUUGAAAACCUAUUGUGUAAAUCUUCAAUCCUGAAUUAGAAAAGUACAACUCCAACCAUGCUCCCUAUCCAUCUCCUAAAAUAGGGAUACCUCUAGGAGCUCCUAAAUCUGAGGCGAGAGAAAGGACUCUUAGUGUCUCUUUAUAAUUUAAUGUUGCUUUGUUUUAUGCAUAUUUAAACUUUUAAUUAAAUCAAAUUAUUUUUUUAUAUUAUUUUGUAUACAAAUGGACCAAUUAUAUUGAAUUAAAAAUAAAUUAAAGUAUUUAUGACUCUCUAAACUAGGGAGUAUGAUUGGAGUUCAAAUUUUAUAAAGAGCUCCUAAAAUAGCUUGUGUGUGUAGGGGUCUUUUUCUUCUGGCAACUACAGAUGGGUUGGGCUACCGUAAGGAGCAAACUGAAGAAAAUAUCCCCUGUGUCUGAGUUCAAAGAUUCGGCCCCAAAAUAUUUCGAAAAGGCAGUAAAGCCUUAGGAAACACCUUAGUUACCUUCACCAACGAAAAUGACGGCUGCUUACAGGUAGAUUCUUAGUGCUUACAGAUGAAUUCUUAGCUUAGCAUGAGGAGAUCGUGGCAUGGAAGCAAAGUUAGCAUGAGUUUAGCACUAAAGAGAAAAUUAUGUGUUCUUGGGAGGAAGAAGGGGUGUCCAGGUAAAUGGGAAAAGGUUUUGCAAGUAGAUUUGGCUAAGAGAGAAGGGAGAGAGAGAAGAGGGUGGCUAGAGUGCUUCUUCCGGCAGCUUGACAGUGACUCUGUCAAAUGUUAGAGCAAUCUGCCAUAAGAGGGAAAAUGGGGAAGAAGGAUGAACAGUGCACAAAAUUGCUAGGUUUUUGCAAGUAAGAGAGGAAGCUUGCUCUCUGGAUGUGGAUGAUCCGUUGGGUAGAAGAGGCCCCAUUUUAUAGCCGCUGGAAACUAUCAUUUCUCAAGAAACCCUAAUAGUUUCUACCCAAUUUGGUCAAGCUUUUCCCUUCCUUUCUCAUCUCCUCCCUUGACUUUUCCUAUCUUGGUGAAAUUUCCUCUGUCUAUUUGCACAAAAUCAGGAGCUCAAGGCCUCCCUUUCCCGCAACUGUUCAAUGGGAGACUCCAUUCUUAGCUAUUUUUCUUCUUCUUUCCUUCCUCCUUCCCUGACCAAAUCUGAUGAAGGAAAGCAAAUAGGUGCACACAUUGGUUUGAAGGGUGCUUCUCCUUCUAGCAGCUUACAUGCCAAUAUCCCUUGGGUCCUUGCAUGUUUUUUGCUUUGAAACUUGUUUCUUCCUUCCCGUCAACUCACGUGGUCUUCCAUGCUUCUUCAUGGCUUUAUCUUUCAGCCAAAAGAUGGAGUUUUUACUGCUUGCUACUUUUAAUUGUAUGGGUCUUCUAGGAUAGGAAGUCAACCUACCAAACAAAUGGGCCACCUUUAUCAAAUAUUGGGCUGUUGGGGUUAGUUUUAGUGGGCCAUUUUGACUGGGCUUUUUGGUUGGGUUAUUUAAGUUAUUUUCCCUUUUGUGCUCACCCAUGUAUUUAGGCCUAAGAAAUGGGCUUGGGCUCCGAGUCUCCCAAGCAACCCGGAACCUCCAUUUCUUGGCCCAUUAAUGGGCCUCAUGACAACCUAUUACCAUCCAUACCACAACCCACUCAAGCAAGCCCCGGGCAUUUGAAUGGCUUUGGCCCACUUUAGGCUUGUAGUGUGAUUGGGUGUGGCAUAACGAUUUCUCGCUUGGCAUGGCAUGUUGCUUGGCAUGUUUUUUCAUUACGAUGCUUGAUGGAUUUGUAGAGCUACCUAUUUUUAUGAUCUUAAUCUUGAUUCCUAGCAUGACAAAUUUAUUUAUUUGGCAUGGCAUGCGGAGCGUGACUUGUGCGUGGCGAGUUUUGUAUGCUCCAACUUGGGCCUUUCCUAAAUAAUGUAUCAUUUUGGGUUAUGAAUUCUUUCGGGCCCAACCGUGAAUUUUUUGGGUUUCAACAGUGUGUUUUUAGCUAAAUUUUAACUAAAAAAUAGGGAGCAUGAUUGUAGAUCAUCUUAUAUACCUUAAUUUGAAGAUUCUUUAUUUGGGUUUCUUUCAAGAUGAAAACCAUAUCCACAACUGGCAGACAUCUUUGGCUGUUCAUCACAAUUGAGAGACAAUGAAGAAGACAUAAGGGAGAGGCCGCCAAAUACUUAUCACCUCAGCCACCACCAACACCACAAGACCAAUAUGUGUAGGCCAGGGGGCUUUCCAAUUUUAAUAUAUAUAUAUGGAGUGAAAAAAAUAAAAUAAAGAUUAUUGCUCAUCCUCCAUGCACUUGCAUGCCCUCUUACAAAGUGUGAAGAAGAUUUUGUGUGCUUCAAGUCAUUGACUAGAGCUGAAACAUGGUUAGCUGGAUUUAUAAGAUCUUUUGUUUUCUGGGAAUUUUCAGAACCAAGGAAAAUCAAGUAAAAUUAAUAAAGCAAAAUGGAAAGGGAAAAGAUCUAGAGGAUGCAUUGUAGGAUUGCUCAUGCCAAUAAUUGUACCCUCUAAAUAUAUAGGGACAUAUUUUUUUUGUUUUCAUGACAUGUUGUCCUAAAAUAUUUGUUCCUAGCGGGCUCUCCACCCCCUCUCGAUUGAAAACCUAUUGUGUAAAUCUUCAAUCCUGAACGAUGCUCCUAAAACUCAAGUGUCCCAGGCCAAUUAUUGCUCUCAUACCACUUGUUGCAAUACACAUCCACUCAUUCUCAGGGAAAGAAACCCAUCGAUAUUAUCUCAAAUUUAACCACUUUAGUCUAUUAUGAUUAACUAUGUAUUUUAUGGAUCAAUGCAGUUGUGAGGUUUUAUACCCAAUUAGAUCGACCAAUACAGAGAUCACAUGUGGACUGAAAAGCGCCAUCGGUAGGGGAGUGUUUGGCACCCUUUACUGCCGAGUGCAACACAAGACCCCUUACCAGGAACUUAUCUACUAGGACACGUGAAGCCACCACAAGUAAUAUCAACAGUCCCACAUCGAAGUUUAACAUAACAUGUACACUCCCCAGGACUGAUAAAAGUGGGCACAAGUCCCAAAAAUGGGGGAACUUGGACUUUCAGCAAUUCAUCCAUUAUUAUGUCCAAAUUACUAUACACUCCGUACUUAUUCUUACUUAAGCAUUGGAGAGCCUUCGGCCGGUACCACACCAGUGCCUAAGGGCUUACCGAGCGUUCUCUAUCUUGCAUAUUGAUCGCUCUACUGAAGCCCAUAAAGAGUUAAAGGUCAAGACAUCACUAAGUUGAGCCCAAAAGUGCUGAACCACAUCAAAAAUAUGUAUAGAUUGAAAAAAUAAAAUAAAAAUCAAUCUAUUAUCAUAUAUAUUAUAAAAUAAAUAUUGGAUAAAUUACUCAAAUGGUCCUCAAACUUAUACUCGAUUUACAUUUUGGUCUCUCAAUUAAAUUAUUUGUUCAAAUGGUCCAUCAACUCUAUAUUAUUUCUGCAAAAUCUACAAAGUGGUGGGAGGCAGACCAACAAAAAAAAUUAGCGAAGGCUUAUAACUCUGGUAAAACAAGAGUUACUUGGAUAGAAUAAUGUUACGUCGUACUGAAGAUUUUUGGGUUUCUUUAAUUGGUUAAGUGAAGAUUCUUUAUUUGGGUUUCUUUCAAGAUGAAAGCCAUAUCCACAACCACAACCACAACUGGCAGACAAUCUUUGGCUGUUCAUCACAAUUGGGCGACAAUGAAGAAGACAGAAAUUGGAGUACUGUAUGUUAUCACCCACACCACAAGACCAAUAUAAGGAGGAUGGGGAGGCUGCGGAAUACUUAUCACCUUAGCCACCACCUACACCACAAGACCAAUAUGUUGUAGGCCAGGAGGCUUUCCAAUUUUAAAUUAGAUAAAUCGGAAACUGUUUCGAUAUCCAAUUGUAUUCUAUAAAAUCAAUGAACACGGUGCUUCAAGAAAGUAAUAAAAUUUCAAUAAUUCAAUUGAGUGGUCAAAUUCAAGUGAUUUUUUGUAGUGAUGAUCUUUGAAUGAGUAUCUAUAAAAGAGACGGUUUGGAUUAGUGAAAUACAAUAUGGAGUGGGCCCUACCAGCAAUCCACGACAAAAUGUCUGCAAGCUUUCGUAAUAUAAGGAGGAUGGGGAGGCUGCGCAAUACUUAUCACCUUAGCCACCACCUACACCACAAGACCAAUAUGUUGUAGGCCAGGAGGCUUUCCAAUUUUAAUAUAUAUAUAUAUAUAUAUAUAUAUAUAUAUAUAGGGAUGUGAUUUCUCUACUCCCCUUUUCUCUACUUAUACUCCCUUUUGCUUUUAAAUACUUUUUAAUCAAUUUUUUUUCCGCUUUCCUAUUAAUAUUCUACCAUUUCCCUACAUUAAUUUCUUUUUACUUCACUUUUAUAUUAGUUCUUUUUCUUUAUACUUAAUUUUUCAACUUGCACUCCAUUUUCAUUAUUUUUUUCCUAAUCGAGUAAGAAAUUAAGUUUUUUUUCCCCAUUUAAUACUGAAAAUGGAGUGUAAGUUAGAAAAUUAGGUAUAAAGAAAAAGAAAUAAUAUAAAAGUAAAGUAAAAAAGAAAUUAAUGUAGGGUAAAGGUAGAAUAGAAAAGAGAAUGAACAAAAUUGAUAAAUAAAUAAAAAAGGUUUAAAAAGCAAAAAGGAGUGUAAAUGGAGAAAAGGGGAAUGAGGAAAUCAGCUCCAUAUAUAUAUAGAUUGAAAAAAUUAAAAUUAAAAUCAAUCUAUUAUCAUAUAUAUUAUAAAAUAAAGAUUAUUGCUCCAAGGAAAUGACAUCUUUUGUUUUCUGGGAAUUUUCUGAACCAAGGAAAAUCAAAUAAAAUUAAUAAAGCAUAAAUUGGAAAGGGAAAAGAUCUAAAGGAUGCAUUGUAGGAUUGCUGAUGCCAAUAAUUGUACCCUCAAAUUAUACAUGGACAUAGGGGUGGGCAUUCAAAUAGGCAAACUAGAAAUCCGAGCUGAACCGCACCUAGGAAAACCGGAAAAAAAACCGAGUUGACCAAAAAGUCAACAACUGGUCAAAAAUCGAACCGGACCGAUUUGGACUGGUUUUGGAUUCAGUUUAUAUGCAAUGCUACAUUUUUAGUCUCAUAACUAAUAUUUAUCCAAGUUCAAUUUCAAAACAUCUUUCUUUUUUAGCUUUAAUAUUUAUUUUUAUAUGAAAUUAAAUAAUUUAUUAAUUUUCAAGUAAAUAAAAUAAAAUUUCAGUUGAAAUUUAUAUUAAAAAAAUAAUUUUAAUAAUCCAGUUCAAAACCAAACCGGACCAUCCAGCUGUGAGGUACAUUUCUCCCACAUGCCACAAUUGUAUAUUCACAAUUACGUCUGAUACAUCACAUCAUGCCACUUGCCUCAAAUGAAUUUAAGUGAGUGUGGCAGUGGAAAGUAAUUAAGCUCUAUAUUGGUGGGUGGACUGUUACUUCUGGGUUCCCCUCAUCAUUCGUCUAUAAAAUGGUGAAGGCAGUUGCUAUUGUUACCAUAAGAGCCAGCUCCGACUUCCUUUAAUUUCUUGCUUCAUAUCCACUAGCUACAUCUGUUACCAAGUUAAUUUCAGUCCUAAUGGGGUUUCAUCUCCCACUCAUCUUUGCUCUUCUCAGUGUAAGCUCUGCAAUUUGAUUAACUUUUCCAUUCUCUCUCAUUGUACUCUAUAUAAACGAAAGUUUUGUGUUCCUAUAAUUCUCUCCGAUUUUAUUUAGUACGUACUUAAGUGUCGUCCACUAAUUAAUUACACUUUGUGAUUUGAUUUUAAUUUGAGUUCGAAUUAAUGUUGCAGCUAGCAGCAGUGGCACUGGCAAACCAUGCUGCUCAACCAGCACCUCAACUUUACUGGAACUCCGUCCUGCCAAACACACAGAUGCCAAGAUCUAUCAGUGAACUUCUGCAUCCUGGUUUGUGUUGAGCUCUUUAGAAUCUUAGAUAUCUCUUCUACCUGCCAUUUUACUAAAAUAUGUUCCACCACAUAUUUAUCAGUUAACCACUGUUAUUACAUGAGUGACACAUAUUCACAAAUCGGCUGAUCACUUAUUUUCCAUUAUGACGUUGAUAUAUAAUUUGCAGACUCCACAAAUGAAGAAAAGAGCACAAAUGACGUUGGCAAACCUGAAACUUUCCCAUUGGGCAAUAAACAUUACUCCAGUCAAAAACAUUAUGGAAGAGGCAAACCUGAAACUUUCCCAUUGGGCAAUAAACAUUACUCCAGUCAAAGACAUUAUGGAAGAGGCAAACCUGAAACUUUCCCAUUGGGCAAUAAACAUUACUCCAGUCAAAGACAUUAUGGAAGAGGCAAACCUGAAACUUUCCCAUUGGGCAAUAAACAUUACUCCAGUCAAAAACAUUAUGGAAGAGGCAAACCUGAAACUUUCCCAUUGGGCAAUCAGCAUUACUCCAGUCAAAAAAAGUAUGGAAGAGGUGCUUCUCCAUCCGACAAUCAACCACCAAUUCCAUAGAAAUUCAAACACGGCUACUUUCUUGCCACGAGAAAGCGCUCAAUCGAUCCCCUUCUCCUCUAACAAACUACCAGAAAUUUUCAACCAUUUUUCAGUGAAGCCAACAUCUGAGGAAGCCAAAACAAUUAAGCAAACAAUCGAAGAGUGUGAAGCUCCAGACCUUAAGGGAGAGGAAAUAUAUUGCGCCACAUCUUUAGAAUCAAUGGUUGAUUUUAGCACUUCGAAGCUUGGAACAAGAAACGUUGAAGCAAUCUCGACGGAGGUAUUGGAAAAAGGAGCCACCAUGUCCAUCCAAAACUAUACAACAAUGCCGGGACUGAAGAAGUUGGCAGGUGACAAAGUCGUUGUGUGUCAUAAGCAGAACUAUCCCUAUGCUGUGUUUUUCUGCCAUGCAAUAAAACAUACAGCAGCUUAUGCUCUCUCCCUGAAAGGCGAUGAUGGGGAGAAGGUUAAAGCAGUAACCAUCUGCCAUCUAGACACAUCAGAAUGGGACCCAGAGCAUAUGUCCUUCAAAAUCGUCAACGUUAAGCCCGGAACCAUUCCCAUCUGCCAUUUCAUUUCCACUGAUGCUAUUGCCUGGGUUCCGAACCACAAAUCUGCAUGAUCAUCACUUAGCACUAGUACUGUGCGUAUAAUAUGCCUGUAUAAUUAUCUCCCUACUUAUUUCUGCCUGUUCAUCAUGUGGUGUAAGAUAUAUGUUGAGAUGAAGUUUUUGGGAUUAGUGGUCGAAAUUAACCCGAUCAUGUUUUCUCUUGUAACUAUAUAGACUUCAACUUGUACUCAUAAUAAAGCAUGCUAUAUUUAUGAAGAGAUAUUAAUCUUCAGGCAAAUAGAUAUUAUGAAAACAUAUAUAGCAAUUUAUCCAGAAGAAAUAUUAUGAAAUGAAAAGAAUAAAAAGUAAAAAAACAGAAGGAAAGGAAUUCGCACCUGCUAUGUAUGAAAGGACCAAGAUUGUUUUCCCUUUGGUUAAUGACUAGAAAAGCUCACUUGCAGAUUGCUUUCUCUGACCGUAGAUGCAACAGAAAUUUUCUCUUAAUAAUAGCACAAUGAUCGGGUAAUUGUAAGAACAAGUUGAUUUAAAAUUCCUUGACCCAAAAAAAAAAAAAAAAUCAUUUCAAAUUCAGGUCAACCCAUAGAUUUCUUGCCUUUUUCUUCUUCAUCACGUUGGGCUUGUCUUCUUCUUGAGGAUUGUAUAGGCCCAGGAAAUGCUUUGAGGUAGUUUUUGGCCUUGGAAGUUGGGACCCAACCCAACUUCACAAAAAGAAAACAGAUUUGCCAAAAAUCAAAUUUCAAGUCUCUCCUCAGAUCACUAAUACAGAUCAAAUUUUGGAUUUGAUGAACUAAAGUGGUUUUACUUUCUCUGUCAGUGUUUGAUGACUUAAUUUGUUAUUUACUUCUUUUUUUUUUUUUACUUGAUCUUUGUAGGGGUUUUUUUCUUCCGGUAACUUAAACGGGCUGGGCUGCCGUAAAGGGUAGAUUGAUGAAAUUGUCUCCUUUGUCUGAGUUCGAAAAUCAAGCCCCAAAAGCGCUUCGAAAGGGCAGUAGAGCCUUAGGAAGCGUUCUAGUCAUCUUCACCAACUAAAACAACAGCAACUUACAGAUGAUUUCUUAAGGCUUACAGAUAAAUUUUCUAGCUUGGCAUGAGAGGCUUGUGACAUGGAAGCAAAAUCAGCAUGAGUUUAGCACCAAAGAGGAAAAUAUGGCUUCCUAGGGAGAAAUGGGAGUGUUUAAGGUGAGGAAGAAGAGGUUUGCAGGCUGAUUUGGCUGAGGAGAGAGAAAGAAAGAACAAUGUUCUUCCAGUAGCUUGACAAAGCUUCUGACAGAUGUGAAAGUCGUCUGCCAUAAGAGGAAAAUGAAGAAGAAUGGUGAAUAGUGCAUGAAAUUGCUGGGUUUUUGCAGGUAAGAGAGAAAGCUUGCUCUCUGAAUUUGAGUUGGUUUUUGGUUGGGUAGAAGAGGCCCCCUUUUAUAGCUGCGGGAAACCAUCUUUUUUCAAGAAACCCUAAUGGUUUCUAUCCAUUUUGGCCAAGCUUUUCCCUUCAUUUCUCUUCUCCUCCCUUGACUUUUCCUAUCUUGGUGAAAUUUCCUCUGCCUAUUUGCACAAAAUUAGAGAUUUUGAGGAGCUCAAGACCCCUUUCCCGCAGCUGCCUCAGUGGAGAAUCCCCAUUUUCAGUCAUCUUUCUUCCUUCUUUUCUCCCAUCUUCCAAGGUUAGGUCUGAUGAGGGAAAGAAAUGGGUAUGCACACUGGUUUGAAGGGUAUUUUUGCUUGAAACUUGUUCUCUCCCAUGUGCUGGAGCUUCCCAGCAACUUACACACAUGGAUAUUUUGGCUUUCAUCGUGGCUUUUGUUUUCAGCUAGGUGCUGGAGAUUUCGCAGAUAUUUUCAUGAGUUGCUUGGGCCUUCUAGGACAAUAGGUUGGUUUAUCAAGUGAAUGGGCUAACUUCAUCAAUUGUUGGGCUAUUUUGGUUGAGUUAAUGGACUAUUUUGGUUGAAGUAAUGGGCUAUUUUGGUUGAAUUAAUGGGCUAUUUUUCUCUCUUUGUGCUCACCCACAUAUUUGGGCCUAAGAAAUGGGCUUGAGUUCCGGGGCUCCCAAGCAACCCCGGGACUUCCAUUUCUCGGCCCAUCAAUGGGCCUCAUAUCAACUUAUUACCAUCCAUAUCACAACCCACUCAAGCAAGCCCUGGGCAUCUUGCGUGGCUUGGGCCCACUUAAGCUUGUAGCGUGACGUGUUGCUUAUUUGCUUGGCAUGGCAUGUGUGCAAGCGCAUAUGACGAACUUUAGCGUGCCCAAAUUGGGUUUAUUCUCGGUAAGGUAUCGCAUUGGGCCGAGAAUUUAAUUGGGCAGAACUGUGGAUUUUUGGGCCUCAACAAUCUUAUAUAUAUUGGUUUUCUUUUUUUCCUUAAUAUUCACCACCUUUCUGUUGCAUAAGUAUUUCAGUCUUAACGGGUUUCCAUCUACCACUCAUCUUUGCUCUUUUAAGUGUAAGCUUUUUUUUUUUUUUUUUAAGCACAAGAUUAGAGGGGAGGGGGAUUUCUCAAUGUAAGCUUUGCAGUUUCAUAAUUAAUAUUUCCAAUAUCUCACUGUUAGUAAAAUAUGGAACAGGAAAAGUAUGAAUAAAAUACACACAUGUUUUAUUUAGCAAAAUUUUGACAAGAUACAACUGAAAAGUUUGGCCACUAUAUAAUAUUUUGAUAUAAUUUCUACACUUCUUCUCAAAAGAUUAGAUCACUUCACAUCUUGUGUAUGUGAAAACUAAUGUAAAAAGUUGAAACUUUAUCGUAAAACCUCGACAAAAAUGAGCUCUACUAGAAAAUGUUCAAUUUGGAUUCGUUGAUUUAAAUGGCAAUUUGACACUUGAUAGAAAUUUUUACAUACAUGUGUUAGUGUUUGAUCACUUCACAUGUUACUUACUAUAUUUAUUCCACUCAAGUUAGGUAAAUAUUAUUAUCAAACAUUUCAAUUAAUUUGUGAUUUUUUUAUUAUUUAAUCAAUUAUGAAUUAAUGGAUUCUUCUUGUUGUUUUGAAGACCAAUAAAAAAAAAAGGGUAAGGAUGGCUUAUAACUCUGAUAAAACAACAGUGACGUGGACAGCAGAUGUUACACCGUACUGAAGAUUUUUGAAGAUUCUUUAUUUGGGUUUCUUUCAAGAUGAAAACCAUAUUAUCCACAACCACAAUGAAGAAGACAGAAAAUGGAGUAAUUCAGAUGUUACCAGCCAUCCACGACAAACUGAAGUCUGCAAAGCAUUCGUAAUCUAAAGGGAGACUUUGGAAAAGCCCAAAGGAGAGAGAAAAUUUUUAAAAGAAGCAAAAAUGGACAAAAUUGCCCUUAUUUAUUUUUUGAUUUCCUAAGAAAUCCUUUACAUUUGCAUGUCUUUGGUUUGAAAGUUGAGAGGUUAUUCUGUCUUUUUUCAAAAAGCUUUGGCUUUUUCCAAAAGUGAAAGUUUUUUUAUGGGUAAAACCUAAAUUUACUUAAUCCCUAAAAAGGAUGGGGAGGCUGCGCAAUACUUAGCCACGUGUAGGCCAGGAGGCUUUCCAAUUUUAAUAUAUAUAUAAAUUGAAAAAAUAAAAUAAAAAUCAAUCUAUUAUCCUAUAUAAAAUAAAGAUUAUUGCUUCCAUGGGCAGUGCUAUGCACAGGACAGUGCCUGCCCAGCACAAAUUUUUUUUAAAUAAAAAAAAAAAAUCUACAUAUGUUAUAAGCUCAUCCAAAAAAAUAAAAUAAAAUAAAAGUAAAUUCUACAUAUAUGUUGCCCAUCUAGGUGGUUCCAUAUCUUCUCUCUCCUUCUCUUUUGGCUAUUAGACUUCUUGUUUCUCUCUCUCUCUUUGCUACCUCACAUCAGCAAGUUUCUCCCUCUCUUUUUUUGGGGUCAAAUUCUUCCUCUAUUGACAAAAUCUUCUAUUAUCUUGGGUGGGCAACUUGGCAACAACAUCUUCUCUUCUCCUUUUGUCAACAACAAGUAUUAUUCUCAUUCUCUCAUUUGCUAUAUAUCUUUAAUUAUAGUUUUAAUUUAAAAUUGAGUAUUCUAGGGUUUAAUUAGGGAUGAAUUAUAAUUUUAGAAUUUUGUUGAAAUUAAUUAAGGCUUCGAUUAGGGGUGAAUUAUUCUACUGCUUUGGUUUGGAAUUUUGUUAAAAUUGAGUAUUAUAGGGUUUAAUUAUGGAUGAAUUAUAAUUUUUGAUUUUGGUAUUAUUGAGAUGUUAUUAUGAGAAUUUGUUUCAUUUUUUUAUUGGUAUAUUUGAUUAAAAUUCUUUCUACAUAUUAUUCAUAGGCUAUCUUUUAUUAUGUCGGAUCACAAUCGGAAUCCCAAGAGAACAAAGAAUUUGAAUAGUGUUGUUUUGUAUUGCAUUGCAUUUACUUUUGGUUUUAGUUUUGCUUUUAGUGUAAAUUACUCAAAUGGUCCUCAAAUUUGUACCCGAUUUACAUUUUGGUCCAUAAACUAAAUUAUUCAUUCAAAUGGUGCACCAACUCUUUAUUAAUCAGUGCUUUGGUCCUACCGUUAUGUUUUCUAUUAAAUUUAGUCAUGUGAGCAGCACAUGCUACAUUUGUAGGGGUAAAUAAGACUUUUGACCACUUUAUCACCUAUGUAUCACCACUUUAUAACCUAUUUGGAGAACAUAGGUCAGUUAUGGACGGUUUUACAAUUAUAUUUGACGGCAACAUUAACAUAAUGUAACAGUGGGAUCAAUGGAGCGAUUAAUAUAGAGUUGAUGGACCGUUUGAACGAAUAAUUUAAUUGAGGGACCAAAACGUAAAUUGAGUAUAAGUUUGAGGACCAUUUGAGUAAUGUACCCUUCGCUUUUAUAUUUGUUGAACUUUUAUUUAUGGAUAGAUAUGCAUUUGAGGGUAAGACCCAUUAUGUUCCCCCUGACUUGGUGUAUCUUUUUAUGUUUAUUAAUGAAAUUCACUCGAACUGUUGAGUUUAGUAUGUAAGUUUUGCCUAACCGGCUUUUGAAUCCUAGAACCGCCACUGUUGCUCCAUCCUCCAUGCACUUGCAUGUGCUCUUACAAAGUGUGAAGUAGAUUUUGUGUGCUCCAAGUCAUUGACUAGAGCUGAAACAUGGUUAGCUAGAUUUAUAAGGACCCAUCUCUCUAUUUCCUAGACAUAUACCCAUCUCUCUAUAAAUCUAUAUGUAAAACUCAAUUUCAAACUUAAAUGACCAGUAAGAUAUAAGAGGUCAUAGUAUUCCUAUGUUUUUACAUCGUUGCCACCAGACUUCUUAUUUUAUUUAUAAUUUAUUUCAAGCAUUUCAUUAACUGCCAUAAUUGUAAUUAAUACUCCAUAUUAAUAGCAUAUCAAUCACCCCAUUUCUUUUGAUUGCCAUUCCCUCUAACAUAUCGCCCCUUAAAAUUGAAAACCAAAAAAAAAAAAAAUGUAAAUUACAUAUCCAAUAAUGUACCUAUGAAAAAUAUAAAUAUAAAUAUAUACGUAUAAAAAUAUAGGUUUAUUAUUUACCAAAUAAAAAAUAUAAAAAAACUAGGUCAGUUGCUUUGUAAUUGAAAUUUCUAUACAUUUUCCACAAAUUAAAAAUAGGUACACAAUAAUUUAUAGAAAAUAUAGGUGCAUUAUUUAUCCAUAGGUAAAAAUACCUAUAAAUGCACAUAGGUAAAUUAUUUACCCAUAUAUUAUUUUUUUGCUAAGGAUUUACCUUAGUUUUUAGUAGAUUAAUUUACCUACCUAGAGGCAUAGGUAGCUUAAAAAAAUUGUAGCACCUUAGUUGGUUGCAUACUAAUUUACCUACCUAGAGGCAUAGGUUGCUAAGAAAAAAUGUAGGUAAAUUCAUGUACCUAAACACAUAGGGGUCAAAUAGAGAAUAACAUGUUAUUUCCCUUCGAACAAAUUAAUUUCAAACCAUAACAAUAAUUGAAUUCGGAAAUUGGUAUAAAUAAAAGGAAAUAAAUAAGCUAUCAAUUUGAAAAUUAAAAUAAGAAAUGAUCAAGUAGUCAUAUUUGAAAAAAAAGAAAAGAAUAUAUUCUUGGUUUUUAUAGGAACAACGUGUAUAUUCAAACCAAAUGGCAGUAACUACACCAAGCUUUAAUUACUUUUUUUUAAGGCCAAAAGUCACUUUUGGUCUCUGUAGUUUGACACUUCUAUUACUUUUGACGCUGUAGUUUCAAUUCCGUCAAUUUUGCCAUUGUAGUUUCAUAUUUGUAGCAAUUCAAGGACAUGUUAAUAUUAAUGUCAAUUUGUUUAAUGAUGCAAGGGGUAAUUUCGUCAUCCCAAAAUCCUUGAGCAUAAAAGCUUGUCUGAAAUUCUCCCCAUUUCAUAUUAGGGCUCGAAAUUCAACCACUAAUCCCAAUUUUUGAAGAACCCUAUACCCAAAUGACCAAUUUCAAGCCCUAAUAACAAAUUAGGGAAGUUUUAGAUGAGCUUUUAUGCUCAAGGAUUUUGAGUUGAAGAAAUUGCCCCUUGCACUGUCAAAGAAAUUGAUAGGAAUACUGACUUGUCCUUGAAUUGCUACAAAUACAAAAAUACAGGGUCAAAAUUAACAGAAUUUAAACUAUAUGGUCAAAAGUGGUUAAAGUGCCAAACUACAAGGACCAAAAGUGACUUUUAGCCUUUUUGUUUAAAUAAGGAAAAAACUUACCUAUUAAAUCCUUGGAAUCUAUACAAAAUUGAAACACAGUUAAUCAGCAUUGAAUUGCAGCUAAUUUCUUAAACAAGGGUAUUAUAGGAAUUUAAAAAGUAUAACAUUUAAUCCAUUGAGCUUGAUUAGGAAUCUUGAUGAGUUGGAUCCUAGUUAUAUAGUUUCUCUUAUAAAAAUCGGGUUUUAUUUAUAGACAAAUAAAACAAUGGGUUGUAGGUAAGAAAAUAUUAAUUUGAAGGGAAAGUGUCACAUCCUGGGAUCGGCUCCGCCGUAGCACGAUAUUGUCCGCUUUGGGCCCCCCUCUCUGCCCGCACGGUUUUGUUUCUGGGAGCUCACGAGCAACUUCCCAGUGGGUCACCCAUCCUGGGAUUGCUCUGGCCCCCAACUCGCUUAACUUCGGAAUUCCUAUGACUCCGAAGCCAGUGAGCUCCCAAAAGGCCUCGUGCUAGAUGGAUGCGGGUGUGUACAUAUAAGACACAUCACCCCCUCUCCGUUGGUUGAUGUGGGAUCUUACAGAAAGAGUCAAAUUUACUAAAUUAAUAAAGCAUAAAUUGGAAAGGGAAAAGAUCUAGAGGAUGCAUUGUAGGAUUGCUCAUGCCAAUAAUUGCACCCUCUCGAUAUUGAAAAACCUAUUGUGUAUUAUUAUCUUCAAUCAUGAAUGAUGCACCUAAAACCCAAGUGUCCCAAGCCAACCAUUGCGCUCAUACCACUUGUUGCAGUACACAUUCACCCGUUUUUAAAGAAAGAAAUUCUACCAAUCGAUAUUGUCUCAAAUUUAAUCACAUAGGUCUAUUAUGGUUAACCAUAUGUACUUUUAUCGGCCAUAUAGAGGUACCUUUUUCCAACGUGCAACAAUUGUAUUUGAUUCACAAUUAUGUCUGAUAUACAUCACAUCAUGCCACUUGCCUCAAAUGAAUUUAAUUGAGUGAGGCAAUGGGAAGUAAUUAAGCUCUAUAUUGGUGGGUGGAGUGUUACUUCUGGAACCCUCAUCAUUCGUCCAUACAAGGGAACAAUUCCCUUCCUUCUAUAAAAUGGUGAAGCCAGUUGCUAUUGUUUGUUAGAGUUUUAGGAUCUGAGUGUUAGAUUUUGUGAGAAGAGAGAAGAGAAUUUAGUGAAAACUUCCAAUACUGCUCUGCUAUACGUGUAGCAGAGAGAACAUUCUGUUUUGUUAUAUAUUUUCAGUACAACAACACACACUUGGUGUGAGAAGAAAAAUGACUGUUAUGCACAGUACCAGCUGGAUGCUUUCCAUCAAAGUAAUCUCAGCCAUUCACUAUCUAACCAAUCAAGCUAUGACACCUGGACUAAGUAUAAAGAAAUACAACUAAGCAGAAAACAAGACUCUUAAUCCUGAAAUCAACUUAAGCACUUAUAAUUCAACACUCCCCUUUAAGUCUUGAGGUGAUUUCACUCCAAGCAUGCCUCUGAGAUAAUUGAAUCUGUCUUUGGCCAGAGGUUUGGUAAAAAUGUCAGCCAAUUGUUCAUUUGUAGGACAAUAUUCCAGAUUGAUUACCCCUUCUUGCAAUGCAUCCUUGAUGAAGUGAUACCUCCUGUCAAUAUGCUUUGUCUUCUGGUGGAAUACAGGGUUUUUAGUGAUUGCAAUUGCUGAGAUAUUAUCACAAUGCAAUGGAGUAGCUUCAGUUUGAAGCUCUCUAAAGUCUUCUAGCACAAAACGGAGCCAAAUAGCUUGAGUAGUAGCCUCAGCUGCACUGAUGUACUCAGCUUCUGCAGUAGACAGUGCAACACAGUUCUGUUUCACUGAGGCCCAAGAAAAUACUCCACUUCCAAAACUAAACGCAUACCCUGAUGUGCUCUUGCAAUCACCAACUGAUCCUCCCCAAUCACUGUCACAGUAACCAACUAGAAUUGAUCUUUUGCCUUUCACAUAUUCAAGACCAUAGUCCAGAGUUCCUUUGAUGUAUCUCAAAACCCUUUUAGCUGUUCCAUAGUGUCUAUUUGUAGGACAGUGCAUGAAUCUAGCUAGCAAGCUUGAGGCAUACAUGAUGUCUGGUCUUGUAGCAGUUAAGUACAGCAAGCUACCAACAAUGCUUCUGUAUUGUUCUUCAUUUGCAGCUCAACUCCCAUCAUCCUUAGCUAGUUUCUCAGUGGCAACAAGGGGUGUUGUCACAGGUUUGCACUCAGUCAAACCAAACUUGCUCAACAAGGUGCUAGCAUAUUUCUUUUGAUGUAGAAAUAUACUAGACUCAGUCUGAAUAACUCCCAUGCCAAGAAAGUGAUGAAGUAAGCCCAAAUCAGUCAUCUCAUACUUAGCCAUCAUGUCUUCUUUGAAUUCAGCCAACAAUGCUUGACUGCUCCCUGUAUACACAAUAUCGUCUACAUAGAUAGACACAAUUAGAAUCUCCUUAUCUCCCCUUACUUUGGUAUAUAAGGUUGUUUCACUUAAGCUUUUCACAAAACCACAUUGAGUGAAGUAGCUGUCUAUCUCUCCAUACCAAGCCCUUGGGGCUUGCUUCAGACCAUAAAGGGCUUUAUGCAAACGAUAAACCUUGUCUUCUUUACCUUUAAUUACAAAACCUUCAGGCUGACUGACAUAAACUUCCUCUUGCAGCACACCAUUAAGGAAAGCAGACUUCACAUCAAGCUGGAACAAUUUCCAAUCCUUUUGAGCAGCUAGAGCAAUAAGUGUUCUAAUGGUGUCCAAUCUGGCUAUAGGUGCAUAAGUCUCAUUAUAAUCCAGUCCAGGCUUCUGAGCAUACCCCUUAGCCACUAAUCUUGCUUUAUUCUUUUGCACUGAGCCAUCCAAAUUCAGCUUUGUCUUGUACACCCACUUAACUCCAAUCACUGGUUUUUCAGUUAGUCUAUCUACCAAUUCCCAUGUUUCAUUCUUUUCAAUCAUCUGCAGUUCAUCUUCCAUAGCCUUAAGCCAAGAUUCAUCCUGAGCAACAUCAGCAUAUUUUUCUGGUUCCAUGAUACACAAGUUACACUGAGCUAGAACAUCAUCUAGCCUUCUCCAUUUUAGAGGGGUGUGAUCAUAAGCUUGAGUUCUCCUUUCUUCACUGCUUAUAUCACCUGGAGUUGAUGAAAUGCUCUCUUGCAUAUCCAAAGUUUGAGGUGUACCAGUAGAAUUCUCAUUAGAACUGUCAGAUUUCAAGUCCAAAUCAACUUGGUUUUCAAUUGAGUAUGUUGUCAUAACUGAACCAUUUUUGUUUGUCCAAUGCCAAGCAUUUUCUUCAUCAAAUGUCACAUCCCUUGAUAGUAAAAGCUUGUUAGAAACAGGAUCAAAAACUCUAUAUCCUUUUUCACAAGUUGCAUAUCCCACAAACACUCCCUUUGUACUCUUAGGAUCCCGCUUGUGUCUCAAUUCAGUUGGCACAUGAACAUAACACAGAGAACCAAACACUUUCAGAUGUGCAAUUCCAGGCUUCCUUCCACUAUAUGCUUCGAAUGGAGUAAUGUUGUUGAGAGCUUUGGUAGGACAUCUGUUCAGCAAAUAGAUAGCUGUAUGCACAGCUUCUGCCCAUAGGAAAUAAGGCAUUCCCUUCUCAUGUAACAUUGAUUUUGCCAUCUCAAUGACAGUUCUAUUCUUCCUCUCAACUACUCCAUUCUGCUGAGGAGUAUAGGCCAUUGUAAGCUGCCUUUGAAUGCCAUUAGCUUCACAAAACUCCAAAAAAUCAGUAGACAUAAACUCUCCACCCCUGUCACUUCUUAUGCACUGAACCUUGUGUCCAGUUUGUAAUUCAGUCAUGGACUUGAACUUCUUGAAACAAAAGAAGGCUUUUGACUUGUUUCUCAAGAAGUAUACCCAAAUCAUUCUUGUGAAAUCAUCUAUAAUCAGCAUGAAAUAUCUGUUCCUUGCAACAGACUCAUUUCUCAUGGGACCACAGAGAUCCACAUGUAUUAGCACUAGUACUUUGCUUGCUCUUUGAGCUUGAUCUUUUGGAAAAACAUUUCUGUGCUGUUUUCCAAAUUGGCACCCGUCACACACACCACUUUGUUCUUCCAAUUUUGGUAAACCAUGUACCAUUUCUUUAUCACUUAGCUGCUUCAAUCCUCCAAAAUGCAGAUGACCAAAUCUCUUGUGCCAAAUCCAUGUGGAUUGAAGAAAACUAGUCUUCAUUAGUAACUGUUUUUCAGCUAGAAAAGAGACAGGAUAGCAUCUGUUACUCUUCAUUUGCACCUUUAUGAUGAGAUAAUCCAUGGAUGGGCUAUCAAAUACCCUGCACAUCCCUUCUCCAAACACUAGACAGUACCCAUGUUCAUCCAUCUGCCCAACACUUAGCAGAUUUUCUUUCAAUCCUGGCAGAUACAUUACUUCUCUGAUGUAUUUCCUGCCCUUUGCUGUAUCAAUACUCAGUGAGCCAAUACCAGCUACACUCACUAAUGCACCAGUUGGCAUUUGUACUCUCCCAGCUACAUUAGUUCUCACAUCAACCAGCAAAUCUAAAUUUCCUGUCAUAUGAUUGCUGCAGCCACUGUCAAUGUACCAUUCAUUGGUUUUGAUCUCAGUGGUUGAGCAAUUGGCAUAAAACAGGUUUCCUGUAACCUCCAUUUGAUUUACACAAUUAGCCUUCUGCACAUUUUUGCUCACUGUACAGUCUCUAGCAAGAUGUCCAACUCUGUCACAGUUAUAGCAUUUUGGUUUUCCCUUAUACCUGCACUCACCAAAAUGAUGCUUUGAACACACCUUGCAUUGAGGCUUUGUGUUUUCCUGAUUUGAGAACUGUGUUGAAGUGUGGUUCUGUGCAGAAUAAUUAUUCUGCUGUGUCUUGUCUUUUGCCUCCCAUGACUUCCCUUUAGAGUUCCAGCUUCUCUGUGACUUAGAUGAACCAGACUGAGAAGCAUUUUUGUUCUGACCCUUUGAAUUCACAGUGAAUGAGGCAAAUGCCUUCUCAGCUGUAUCAACACUAUGCAUUUCAAGCCUUUGCUCCCGACUCUUCAAAAUGGCAGUUACUUCCUGCAAAUCCACAGUUUCUAGUGUCUUUGUGUUUUCAAUCACAAUGCAUAUAGGGUCAUACUUCUUACUUAGACUAAUUAACACCUUCUGAACCUACCUCUCAUUUGACAGAACUUCACCAAAUGUUUUCAUUUGGUUAAUCAAUUCAGUUAGUCUAGUAAGAUAUUCAGAUAAGGUUUCACUAUCACGCAUCCUACUGUAUUCAAACUCACGUCUAAGGUUUUGAAGCUUUACCGAUCUAACAUGCUCUCCACCAUGAUAUUCUGAGUACAGCAGAUUCCAAGCCAUCUUUGCAGAGUCAGCAUUGGCAAUUCUGGGAAAAAUCUGAUCAGAAACAGCAUUUUGAAUGAUACCCAAGGCCUUCGCAUCCUUCAUGAGAAUCGCAGCUGUUUUCUCAUCAACUUCUUCUUCUGAACCAUCCUCAGAUUCCUGCUUCGUCUUUGAAUCUGGGAUUAAAAACCCCUUCUCUACCAAACCCCAUAAACCAUAUGAUCUGAAUAUGGUUACCAUCUUAAUCCUCCAAAAUUCAUAGUUCUCACCUGAGAAAAUGGGGAUUCUAGCCUCUGAACUUCCAGAUCCAGCCAUUACGAAUUUCAGAUUCGCCUGGAAACAAGAUGUUUUCAGAUUUGACCCUUGAUCGAGCUCAAUCAGCUUCGUGAGCUUAGAAUGAGCUCACCUCGAUCGAUUUUCUUCACAGAACAACGCCCAGCUUCAGAUAAUCAAACUUGGCUCUGAGGCCAUGUUAGAGUUUUAGGAUCUGAGUGUUAGAUAUUGUGAGAAGAGAGAAGAGAAUUUAGUGAAAAUUUCCAAUACUGCUCUGCUAUACGUGUAGCAGAGAGAACAUUCUCUUUUGCUAUAUAUUUUCAGUACAACAACACACACUUGGUGUGAGAAGAAAAAUGACUGUUAUGCACAGUACCAGCUGGAUGCUUUCCAUCAAAGUAAUCUCAGCCAUUCACUAUCUAACCAAUCAAGCUAUGACACCUGGACUAAGUAUAAAGAAAUACAACUAAGCAGAAAACAAGACUCUUAAUCCUGAAAUCAACUUAAGCACUUAUAAUUCAACAUUGUUACCAUAAGAGCCAGCUCCGACUUUCUUUAAUUUCAGUCCUAACGGGGUUUCAUCUUCCACUCAUCUUUGCUCUUCUCAGUGUAAGCUCUGCAAUUUGAUUAACUUUCCCAUUAUCUCUCACUGUACUCUAUAUAAAGGAAUAAGUGUCGUCCACUAAUUAAUUACACUUUGUGAGAUUUGAUUUUAAUUAGAGUUCGAAUUGAUGUUGCAGCUAGCAGCGGUGGCACUGGCAAACCAUGCUGCUCAACCAGCACCUCAACUUUACUGGAACUCCGUCCUGCCAAACACACAAAUGCCAAGAGCUAUCAGUGAACUUCUGCAUCCUGGUUUGUGUUGAAUAAAUAUAGUAUGUUACUGGAGUACGUAUGGCAACAUAUUCACAAAUGUGUCACGUAUUUUCCAAUAUGACGUUGAUAUAUAAUUGCAGACUCCACAAACGAAGAAAAGAGCACAAAUGUCAUGAAUGCUGUUGGGAAUGGAAAGCCAAUUGACCACAAGGGCAACCUGAAAAUACUGUACUACCACAGCUUGCACGACGCCCAUUUUCUUACAAGAGUGAUGAUCGUCCCACUGACAAUCAACUCCAUUAUAAAAACGUAGCUAUUUUCUUCUUGGAGAAGGACAUGCGCCCUGGCACAACAAUGAGCUUCCAAUUCCCUAGAAAUUCAAACACGGCUACUUUCCUGCCACCAGAAAGAGCUCAAUCGAUCCCCUUCUCCUCUAACAAACUACCAGAAAUUUUCAACCAUUUUUCAGUGAAGCCAACAUCUGUGGAAGCCAAAACAAUUAAGCAAACAAUCGAAGAGUGUGAGGCUCCAGGCAUUAAGGGAGAGGAAAUAUAUUGCGCCACAUCUUUAGAAUCAAUGGUUGAUUUUAGCACUUCGAAUUUUCGAACAAGAAACGUUCAAGCAAUCUCGACAGAGGUAUUGGAAAAAGGUGCCACCAUGUCCAUGCACAAGCAUACAACAAUGCCGGGACUGAAGAAGUUGGCAGGUGACAAAGUCGUUGUGUGUCAUAAGCAGAACUAUCCCUAUGCUGUGUUUUACUGCCAUGUAAUAAAACCAACAGCAGCUUAUGUUCUCUCCCUGAAAGGCGAUGAUGGGGUGAAGAUUAAAGCAGUAGCCAUCUGCCAUCUAGACACAUCAGAAUGGAACCCAAAGCAUUUGGCCUUCCAAAUCCUCAAAGUUAAGCCCGGAACAAUUCCCAUCUGCCAUUUCCUUCCCACUGAUCAUAGUGUCUGGGUUCCGAACCACAAAUCUGCAUGAUCAUCACUUAGCACUGUACGUAUAAUAAGCUUGCACCCCUGUAUAAUUAUCUCCCUACUCUACUUAUUUCUGCCUCUUCAUGUGGUGUAAGAUAUAUGAUGAGAUGAAGUUUUUGGGAUUAGUGGUCGGGUUGCCUUAAAAACACAGAUUACAGAAACUGCUUGAACUUAACCCGAUCAUGUUUUCUCUUGUACUCGUAAAGCAUGCUGUUGUGGUUCUACUUAAUUUCGUUCUCCCCAAUGUUUGAGUGUUUAAUUGUUACGUUGGAUAAUGCUUGUAGUUAGAGAAGCCUUCAUUUAUAUCAAAGUCCUCAACUUGUAAAGAUAUCAAUGGUCCUAGUGCUGCCACGUGUAAGAAGAUUGAAGAAUAAAGCUGUUGAGAUAUUGUUAGACCUGUUAUGCAGUUUAGGAAAACUGUUAGUAUUGAUAAGAGAAGGUUAGAGAUGUUAGAGAGGUUAGAAAACACGUGAACAAGGCUUUAACUCAGCUGAUAUAAAGUCUGUAGUUGUGCUCAGUUGAACUUAAUGAGAAAUACAACAAGUCUCUUCUCUAUCUCUGAAAUUCUCUCUGCUCUCUCUGCUUUACUUCUUUUGUCUCUGCUCUACAUUUUUUUUCAAUCUUCCUAUCUUAACAAAACUAUCAAGAAUUAAUGCAUCCAGAAACAUAUAUACCAAGACGCAAAACAACAUAUUUUUCAUGCUCUGUCUGUAACACCAAAGCAAACUUCCUUUAUCACAAAAGGAUCAAAUUCCAGUACUAAUCUAAUCCAUCAUGUAAAGCAUACAAUCUACAAGUGCCUCCCUUAAUUUGUCCAUUGGAUAUAUAUGUCACUUUUUGGUAAUUUGGUAUAGCAGCACCACGUAGUCUUGAAAUAGUAGUGCGGCUAUACCAAAUAUACCAUUUGCCCCUGCAUUUAACAGAAAAGUAAACAAAAUUGACGGUAGAACUAUUUGUCCUAACGAAACUGCAGUUGAAAGACCAUGAGAACGAUUUUGAAAAUUGAGGGACUCAAAUGAAAAUUGGGUCUAAGUUCAAGAACCAAUAAAACGAUUAACCCAUAGAUUUUGGAUCCAGUACCACAUCCCAAAGAGAAAACCACAAGUUUGCAAGCAAGUUUGUCCAUAAUAACACUACGUACAGUAUGGGCAGUGCGCUAGACUCAUCUCACUUUCUCAACCUAUCCUAUAGUUGUCUAAAAGAGUUUCUAAUUUAAUGUACUGAGAUUUACGAAAGAAAUAUCAGAGAAACAAUUUUCAGGCAAUAAAAAAAUGUCUUGGCAAGAAAAUGUACAAUUUGUUACAUAACUUAUUAAAUAUGAACAGUUGAAAGAAAAAAGAAUCUGGAUGAGGGAUUUGCAAAUUCCUAUGGCCCAAUUACCUUUUUUUCUUUGUUGUUUUUUUUUUUUUUUUUUUGGUUCUUUUGAUCCAGUAGCAUAUUCCAAAGAAUGAAAACCACAGGCAUGCAAUGCAAGCUCUUUUCCCACGUUUUCCUCUGUUUUUCUCCUAUCAUGGAAGUGAUUAAAACACACCUCUAAGCUUGUUUUGCGUUUGGUAGCCGAGUGUAAAAGCUCAAUGCAAGAUAGUUUGAGGUAGAAUUUUCUCCUAUUUUAUUAGGACAAUGAUAAUUAAAAAAAAGUGUGAUUCAUUGAAUAUUUGCGGGGUUUUGUUCAGACCUGACAAAGUUCUAAGUCAACACAUCAAAUUCCUUUUUCCAACAUGCAACAAUUGUAUUUGAUUCCCAAUUUUUUCUGAUAUACAUCACAUCAUGCCACUUGCAUCAAAUGAAUUUAAUUGAGUGAGGCAAUGGGAAGUAAUUAAGCUCUGUAUUCGUGGGUGGAGUGUUACUUCUGGAACCCUAAUAAUUCGUCCCUACAGGACUCUAGAACUCUCAAACUUCUUACAAGGACUACUUAACUCUAUAGCUUAAUGCAUAUAGCAUAUAUAUGCAAACACAAUUAGAAAUUCUACAACAGAAGCAAGAUCAAUCUCACUAUGCCUUCUAAACAAACAAACAAAUAAAACAAGCAUAUUAAUUGCUUUAAUCACUCUACUAACAUCAACACAGCACACUUAGUUUACUAACAGAUGAUAUAGAAAGGAAAAAAAAGGACCAAUAGGGAGAAAAUGGUGAACUAAGGAGAGACUAAUACUUCUGGUCCUUAGAAGGCAUAACAGAAAUAAUAGAGCACACUGCUUGAAUGCAAGUCAGUAUUAGGAGCAAAACAGCUGCAAUGAAAGAAAUAGUUGCCCAAGGUGUAUUGAAAUAAUGUUGCCUCAAAUUUGCCUUCCAUUUGUUCCAAGGCUUUCUGCAGUAGCUAUUAAGGCGCUCAGAAAGAAUAGCAAAGUAGAAGCUUUCACGAUACACUGCAAUUCCUUUUCCGAGGUUGUUAAUCAGAGUGCACACCUCAUUGUAGUCACCAAGCAUAUUUUUGACAAUCCCAUCCUUCAGAAGGAACUCCACAUCCUUUUCGGUGUUCACAAACUCAUCCAUGAGUGAAACAUAAUCACUUAUGUAAUUCUUACGGCAAUGGCACUAUUCAAAGGCAAUGAGGUUACGGAGUGUGAGCUCUGUGUAAUCGUGUAUUUUUAGUUUUGGAAUUUCUAGAAUCCCAUCGUUGAAUUGUGUUAACGCAGCUUUCCUUUCCUAGCCUACACGGAAGUCAACUUCACAAUCUCCUCCUAGCAAUUAGUCUUUCCUGCUGUAAAUCAGAUUUCCUACUGUAAAUCGGAUUGUAUUCAUGUCUAUAUUAUUUCCUACUUUAAGUAGAUAUCUUGUACUAGUAUAAAUAGGGACUUUGUGUAAUCUGUUAAAUACAAGGAAAUAUAUACUCUGCAUGGUAUCAGCCUAACCUAGGGUUCUCUCUCUCUCCCUUAUUCGAUCCUCUUCUCCUUUAGGUCCACCUCAUGGCUUUGUCUGAAUCCACCAUCUCCCUCCCAAGCCCCAACUCUUCUAUUUUAUCAAGCUUAUUGACUCCAACUAUCUUCUUUGGCUCCGCCAACUCAAACCCUUUUUAGUCGGCCAUGACCUCUGGAAAUUUAUCGAUGGCAUUCAUAAACAACCUUCUGCCCACACCUCCACCUCUACCACCGCAACACCCACAACCACCACCACUCUUACCCAAAUCAAUCAUGCCCAUGCUCAGUGGUACCAACAAGACCAACUCAUUGUUAGCUACAUCACCAAUACACUCUCUGAGUCCAUUCUCUUUCUCACUGUUGGUUGCACCUCUGCCCGGGAUCUCUGGGAGUGUCUCCAACGCCACUUCUCUCAAUCCAGUAUGGCCAGUGAAUCUACUCUUCGUUUUAAACUCAUGGAUUUGCAAAAAGGCUCUGAACCCACUUAUGCUUACAUUCGUCAUGCUAAGUCCUUUGCCGAUUCACUGGCUGCCAUCAAUGAACCUGUCUCCCCAAAAGAACUUGUCACUACUGUGCUUUGGGGUUUAAGACCCUAUUGCAACAUCCUCGUCACAGCAAUUCUCAAUUUCCCUCUGCUUCCUAACUUUGCUAAUCUUCGUGCUCGUUUGUUAGCAUUUGACGCACAGACUCCUUGAAUCUCUCCUGAUCAAAACACAGCGCAAAUGGCCACCCAAUCCUCUCCUCACACCACCGGUCAUACUUCCUUCCCUUCUCACCGUGGUGGUGGCUCUUCCAACAACAGGCGUGGUGGCCUCGGUGGCUGGCGCAAUAGCGGCCGGGGUGGCUGGCGCAGCUUCUCAUCUUCCUGGAGCAACCCGUGGAAUGGCUUCCAGCAGCUCCAAUGACCUAAUCAACCAUGGCCUCCUUUUGCUCCAAGUUCUGGAUCUCAAAGCAACUGGCCUUCCUUUCAGCCUCCUUGGGCCUAAUCUGCCGCUUCUAUCAAACACUUUGCCCGGCCCAACUCAGCUCCUGGUGUCUUGGGACCCGCUUGGUGCACUACCUGCAAUACCAAUCACAUACUACUACAAUAUGUCCUCAUCGCUACAAUGGCCCAGAAUCCUUUCUUUGCUAGGGCUCAAUUCAUGUAGCCACCUGACUCUACUUGGUACCCUGACACAAGUACCACUCAUCAUAUGAUUGGUAGUCCUUCUAAUCUCCAAAAUCAAUCCUUCUAAUCUCCAAAAUCAACAGCCAUAUCAGGUUCAUAAUUCUGUAUUUCUUGGUAAUGGAGAUUCUCUCCCUAUCUCUCAUACUAGCUCUCUCUUUUGUCUUCCAUCUCUUCGUACUAAUCUUCUUUUUGUUGCCCAUUUUACUUGUGAUAAUUUAGUUUUCUUUGUCUUUACUCUUGACUUUUAUCAAAUCUAUGACUUAUGUACUGGUUCGUUACUCUUUCAGGGCCCUUCUAAAGAUGGUCUUUACCCACUUUCCAUCUCCUCUCACUCAUCCAUAGUCCCCCAUGCCCUUACCACCGUGCACUCUCCUGCUUGGCAUCAUUGCCUUGGCCAUCCAUUCCAUCGUGUGCUCUCUCAUUUAGCGCCAUCUCUAGGCUUUAAAGUUUCUCAUGCUUUCUGUAAGGAUUGUGCACUUAGCAAAUCCACCAAACUGUCAUUUCUUAGUAAUAAAACCUUUGCCCCAUCUCCCUUUUAUUUAAUUCACUCUGAUGUAUGGAUGUCCUCGGUCAUUUCUGUCACUGGUUAUCGCUAUUAUGUCUUGUUUACAGAUGACUUUUCUCGUUACUCCUGGAUCUAUCAUAUGCACCGUAAAAAUGAGGUCUUUUCUCACUUUCAAACCUUUCUUGCUAUGGUUAAAAAUCAAUUUCACACCACUGUACAAAUUCUUUAAAGUGACAAUGGCACUGAAUAUGUUAAUAAUGCUUUCUCUGAUCUUUGCAGUCAACUAGGCAUCCACCAACGUUUCACAUGUCCCCACACUCCCCAACAAAAUGGCCUAGCUGAACAUAAACACAGACACAUUGCCACCAUGAUCUGUCCCCGGUCAUUUAUUCAACCAUCUUGACCUUUUGCUUGAUCAUUUUCCACAAGCAACCGUCCACGUACCCCAAUAAUUUAAAAGGGCUGAUGAUCUUUAAUUUGGUGAAAGCUUCUAUCUACCUACCGUGCUAUAUAUGAGCUAUGCAAUCGUGACCGUGUUACAUGACGUCCCAAUGUCGUAGGGAUAAAAAAAUAAUAGUCAUGGUUUUCUUAUUAAUGUCAAUACAUUCAUAGCAAAGAGCUUGUAGCUCUAGUGGUUAAGAGCAAUUACCCAUGCACUUGAGAUAUUUUGUGUUUAAAUCCCCUCUUCCCCAAUAUUUCUUGUAUAAAAAUAAAAAUAACAAUAAUAAUGACAUUAAUGUUGUAUUCUAUAAAGUGUUGGACAUGUUUUAUACCCCUUUCUUGCAAAUUACAGUUUGCCACGUGUACAAAAAUAAUAGAUAAGUGUUGGACAUCAAGAGCACUUACAUAUAGGUUUAAUAGGUAAGUUUUGAAUAUUUCUGUAUUUAGCUUUAAAUAUUGAAAAUCAACCUAUUAGCAUAUUAAAGAUUUGUCCAUAUUCGACGUACAUUCUCUUAUUUUUCUCUCAUUGAAGUAAAUACAAAACUAAGCACAUAGUGGGAAAGUGCGUCACGAUUAGGGGUGGGUUUAGUCUAGGUUGGUUCAUUUUUGGGCUCAAUUUGAACACCGAACUGUAAGCUUCGGUUUGGCUAUUUUGGAAACCGAAACCAAACCAUAAUUGAUGAAAACCGACCACUUCGAUUACCUUCUGGUCUUCCAACCAGAAGAAAACUCAAAACUUUAACCAUACCAAGUGCAACAGAAUUACACCAGGCUGGAUUCAAGUUUAUGAUGGUUAAAGAUAAAAACUUAUUUGACAUACAAUUUGAGAAUGGAAUCCUCAAAAUUCCACACCUGCGAAUACGGGGUUUAACAGAAAUUUUCUUCCGCAAUCUUAUUGCCUAUGAGCAGUGUGAGCUUCAUGAUCAUUACAUCAACGACUAUGUCUUCAUCAUGGACCGCCUGGUCGACAGUGCCAGGGAUGUGGAAUUGCUUGUGAAGAGUGGAAUUCUUGAAUCUAUGCUACCGGACAGCGAGGCAGCAGGGGAAUUUAUUAAUUCUCUUGACUUGGGGCCUAUUUUAGGCAAGCUUGAAACAAGACUAUUUCAGUUCACCAUGGGCUGGCCUGUCUAUUAUUGUAGCCGCUAUACUAGUUGUGCUCACAUUUAUUCAAACAGUGUGCUCCGUAAUGGCGCUGUAGGUUCUUCAUUUCCUCAAUUUCAUGUUUAGUGGUUGCAGAUUUGUUGCUCAUGUACGUGUUUAUCUAAAGUUAAAUAAGAGUGAUUGACUGGAUUGACUGUUAGUCUGUUAGUUUGUUUUUCUGGGGUUUUUCCCCCCUGUUCGUCAAAAAAAAAAAUAAAAGAGUGAUGGCUUGUGCCUAUGAAAAUUACUUAGGAGUAUGCUCCACAGAGCCAAAAUAAAUAAACUAGGGAAGUGGAGGUUCUUCUGUUUGUAUAUAAAUGAGCAAUUCAAACUCUCAGUGCCAAGGGAGUUACCCUUGAUACAUUUGUUAAAAAUUAUAUAUUUGGUCUUACAUCAAACAAAUAAUUUGAAGGGCUUUUUUGACAACUGCUGACAGCGUUUGGCAGAAAAGUUUAGAAGCGCUUCUACGCUUCUAGAUCAUAAAAGUGCUUUACCAAAAAGCACUUAGAUUUCUUAUGAAAAUUUCAACAUUUUUAUAAUAAAAGCGCUUGCUAGAAGCACUUAUAAGCAGAAGUGCUUCAUAGAGAAGCAGUCCCAAACGAGCUUGAUUUUCAAAUGUGCUGCUUAAGAAGAAAUUUAAUACGUUUUGAAAACAAAAAAAAAUACGAAAUUUAAUACGUUUGUUUUACAAAUUGUAUUAAUUGUUAUCAAUAAUACUUGUGCACACCCACAACAUACUUCUUUCUUUCUUUAUUUUCCUUCAGUACAGUUCUGCCUUUCUUUAAUUAUUUUUAACGAAUGCAAAGAGUUUGUCACAAAAUCAAGGAUUGAAAAAAAAAGAGAGUAAAUUAUGUGCUAGAGAAACUUUCCUGCAGAAAUUGAAGAACAACUCUAGUUUCUCUCUUUCGCCUUGUACUCCCGCACUGAGGUUAGUAUUGUUAUAAUGUGCAGAUUAUACGGUCACUCUUGUAUAAUGGCGAGAAGGCUCUAAUUAUAUUUUUGAACCUCUUUGACAGGACCCGCCCCGAAUUUCCCGAAACCCAAGACGAAUUCUGUGGAAAUUCCCUACAUCACCCCGAUGUUGGGCCCACUUCUAAAACUAUAUCAUUUUUCCUAAAAAGGAAUAAGGGCACGAGACUUUCUACCGAAAUUUCGGCAGAGUCUCUCCUGUAAAUUGAACAUUUCCCAAAAUUUCAACCUGCAUAAAACACAUUUUAUAUUACCCAACUGGCAGCAUGCACAAAAUAAUAACAUGCAAUUCACAUAAACGGCCUCUGGCCCUCCGGUAAUUCAGAGCAAUGCAAACUAGCAACUCUAAACCUAAUAAAACAACAUAAGUAACAUUUAGCCAGCGGCUGCACCCAGGCACUACCCUAGGCUACCUACGUACCCUUACUAAGGGAUCAAGCCACACGUAGUUCUUUCAUACAAAAUUUCCAAAUCCAUCAACAUGCAAUCAAUUACAGAAUCCCAAACAAAAUCUUUCUCAAACAUCAUUAGUUCCCAACUCAGUAUAAUAAUCCUUAAUUCAUCUCUGUAAUAAUCACAAUAUCUCCCCAUACGCCGGAACUACCAACACCACGUAUGGAGCCUGCCUGUACGCCAGAUAACCAACGACACGUGGGACCUCAUCAUCAUAUCACAUAAUCUCCCCAUACGCCGAAACUACCAACACCACGUAUGGGGUCUGUCAACACGCCGGAUAACCUACGACGUGUGACCUCAACAUCAAAUCACAAUAUCUCCCCAUACACCGGAACUACCUACGCCACGUAUGGGGUCUGUCCACAUGCCGGAUAACCUACGACACGUGGGACCUCAUCAUCAUAUCACAUAAUAUAUUAACGAUCAAGAAAUAUCACUACGGUCAUUUAAUCCUCCUGGGAAGGUAAAACUAUCUCAGGAGACUCACGGUCAACCAAGGGUCAAACUACCUCAUACUUGGACAAACGAGCCCACGGAGCCCACAACCUCCGUUUUACUAUCCAAGAGUUCCUAUAGGUUCUACAAGGUUUAGGAUACACGGCUUGCAAGUUUGGUCAAGAUCAGACGGUCGGAUCGCUCACGAUAGGACGGUUACUGCAAACCUAGCCCUAGGGUUGGCAUUUUCGGAGUAUCCGAAACUCCGUUUUACGAUCUGUCGAAUCAUAGACGAUCCUAAGGAUUUGCAGACUAACUAUAAUAAAUUCAAGACCAUCCAACGGUCUAAACCUAUCGAACCCGGAUAACGCGCAAUAGGCAAUAUCCAAAUUGAAAUCCGAGCACACCUACGCACUCGUGAGGACUAGGAGAUUACAUCGGGACAUAGUGCCCUUUUUCUACAGUGCCCAUGAGCCGCCGCACGCACCAGCAACGCGUGGGUGCCCAAAGCGAUUAUGCAUCGCCAAAAAAUCUCAAAACCACGGCUCAAGACUCCUACCCUAGGUAUAACACCCUAUUUGGAACCACUUUUGUUCUUGGACCUACCCCAAAAACUGAUCAGAAGUGGCCGGAAUGGCUGAAAUGUAAUUCAAAAAUCAAGCUACCAACGCUCAAAAUCGAUGCAAUCCUACCCAACCAUCAACUAGAUUAUGAAGAAUGGAUAAAUUUCCAUACCUUGAUCGCCAACAAUGGCGGCCGGAGGAGAGAGAUCUGAUCCGGCGAAGUUCGAGUGAAAACGGCCAAAAAUCAUCUUUUUCAGGCGGCUGGAGGGCGACCGAUGUCAGGGAAGGGCAGGGUCGUGACGCUAAGGCUGAGCCUGUCCUUUUGGCACCGGUCCCUUCCGCAGCCGUGUCCGGUGGCUGGAGUUUCGAAGAGAGAGAGAGAGAGAGAGAGAGAGAGAGAGAGAGAAAUCUGAUUUUUAUCAAACCUUUUUGCCAAAAUUACGGUUAUGCCACUGAGGGUAUUUUGAUAGUAUCUCUCUCGUUACAACUUCGAUUCGAGCCCACCACGUGUGUACGGACUCAUCUAACUGUGUUGUACGCAACGGUAUAGUCGAAAUUCCCAAAUUAUUUCCUUGUCAAAAAGUCAACUUUAAACAUUAUAAAAUAUUUUAGGGAAAAAAUGGUAUUUUCUCUCAAUAAAUUAGUAACUAAUUUAUUUAGGACUGGGUCAUUAUACUCUUUUUCGCUUCAAUGGAUGGGAAAAAAUUUUAUGUAAUAUCCCACAUCGACCAACGAAGAGGGGGCGAUGUGUCUUAUAUGUACAUGCCCGCCUCCAUCUAGCAUAAGGCCUUUUGGAAGCUCACUGGCUUCAGAGUCAUGGGAACUCCGAAGUUAAGCGAGUUGGGGGCUAGAGCAAUCCCAGGAUGAGUAACCCACUGGGAAGUUGCUCGUGAGCUUCGAGAAACAAAACCGUGAGGGCAGAGAGAGGGGCCCAAAGCGGACAAUAAGGCCUCGUGCUAGAUGGAGGCGGGCAUGUACAUAUAAGGCACAUCACUCUCUCUCCGUUGGUCGAUGUGGAAUGUUAGAAUGGAAUUGUUACCUUUGGUGUGGAGGUGUUCUAUCAUUUGAGCAAGAAAUUCCCACAUAUUCUUCAACUAUUUUUCAAGCAUGCAUAUUCCUCCCUAUCAAUCUUUGGUUUCUUCCUUUACUGUGCAUAGUAAGGAUCCAGUCAGGGACGGACCGUCGCUAUGACUAUCCUGGGCUAUAGCCCAGGCAAAUUAUUUUUUUUUCUAGUCUAAAAUAGCAAUCCCACCGCUUGCUGUAGUACUUGUUCAGUUCGUCACAAACAUGAGCAUAAUAGAAGUUAUCAACAUCUAUAUAGGAACCCCAAUGAAAAGGCUGUUAACUAAUAAUGAAGUUAACCCGUCAAUUUUUCCGCAUAUCAGAUAUCUCUCAGAAUAUGCGAUUCCAUAUUCAAUAAGCCACUCCACAUGCCCUGAGGUUUUCAUCAAACCACCCAUUAAGGAAACAUACUGACUCAUGUAAUUAUCAUUACUCAUCGGGUAAUGCAAUUGUUCAAAGGCAAGGACAUUUCUCAUUAUUUAUGUAGCGAACCCCAAUGGAAAUGGUGGGAUCUUCAGAACCCCAUCGGUGCUACUGAAUUGUAUGUCAAAUAUGUUUUCACCUUGUCACGCCUCAAACUUGACUCCAGCGUGCUGUAAUUCUGUCAAGCUGGGUAUGGAUGAUGGGAGUUUGAUGCAGGAGCAUAGGGGUGGAUCAAGAUAGAUAUUUACUAUUUAAUUAGUUAUUUCAUGAUAUAUUGUUAUUUUCUUAUUUAGGUAGUUUUAUGAUAUCUUUUAUUAUUUAUGUGUGAUUUUAUAAUUAAUUAGUAUACUUUUGGACCAAGUAGCCUUGGUGCUCAAGUCUUGUAAAGCCUAUAAAUAAGGCUAAUGUAAUAGUUGUAGAAUAGAUGUCGAUGAUUAAUAAAAUCGUUUAUUUGUGGCAUGGAUUUGCUACGAUAUAUGUGAGUUUGCACUAGCCCUAGAUUUCAGUGCUCGUGUAUGUGGUUGGUGACCUGUGUCCGGAUCCCGAUCCCCAUCAAUUGGUAUCAGAGCUAUGGCUCAAGAUCUGCUAUAUCGGGGAGGUUUUUGGAUGGAGGGUCGUUUUAACAACUACAACGACAUGGAGGAAAUUAGGAGGAUGCUACGGCAACUUAUGGAACACAUUGCUCGCAUUGAAGCUCGAACCCAGAUAGGUAAGAGUUCUGACGGGGAGGGAUGUGUGAACCCUUAUCUGAACCGAGUAGCUCGCAUCGACACUCUAAGCCGUGAGAGUCUCGACGGGGAGUACGAGGGAGAUAGCCCUUUUCAUUAUUGUGCUCCGCUGUGUGAGUCAAGUGAAGAGGGGCACGGUUAUUCUCAUUGUGUCUUUGAAGGUAUAAAUGAAUUUAGUAAUUUUGGUGCAUCUUGUUAUUCAUCAAAGUUAUUAAAUUUGGAUUUACCUCCAUUAUUUGAUCCUUGCAAUUGUGAAAAUUGCAAUAAAAAUUGUUUGGGUGUUCAAAGCAAUUUUGAUAAGCAAUUUAUUGACCAGAACAGUGAAGAGAUGAGAAUUGAGAAAACUUUCGAAGAUAUUAUUGAUUUUAUGGGCAUUAAUAUUUUCACUUGGAAGGUUGCCAAAAAUCUGGUUGAUUUUGUCAAUCGGUUGAAGAUUCUAGAGAGAAACAUUUGCAUUGCUAGAGGGAGUAAGAAGUCAAGAAUAACGAAAUAUUCCAAAUAUCUUUUUAUUUGGAAAGGAAGGUUUCAAUUGGAUGCUAAAAGAUCCAAAAUUAAUAUGCAGCAAUUGAAGAUUCUACUCGGAUUUUCCUUAAUCAAAGGCUUGAAUUCGAGGACGAAUUCUUUCCAACUAUGGGAGUCUGAUGCAGGAGCAUAGGGGUGGAUCAAGAUAGAUAUUUACUAUUUAAUUUGUUAUUUCAUGAUAUAUUGUUAUUUUCUUAUUUAGGUAGUUUUAUGAUAUCUUUUAUUAUUUAUGUGUGAUUUUAUAAUUAAUUAGUUUACUUUUGGACCAAGUAGCCUUGGUGCUCAAGUCUUGUAAAGCCUAUAAAUAAGGCUAAUGUAAUAGUUGUAGAAUAGAUGUCGAUGAUUAAUAAAAUCGUUUAUUUGUGGCAUGGAUUUGCUACAAUAUAUGUGAGUUUGCACUAACCCUUGAUUUCGGUGCUCGUGUAUGUGGUUGGUGACCUGUGUCCGGAUCCCGAUCCCCAUCAGAGUUCCCCUCCAGCUUUUGAUUCCAACGGUUGAUAGAGUUUAAAUAUUUUCCUGAAAAGAUCAAUAAUAUGUGCCACUGAUCUAAAAGUCUCCAAAUUGUCUUCCAAUUUGUCAACAGGCAAUAGAUGUUCGAAGAAACUGAAAGAAAUACAAAUUAUUGAAAGCCCCUCAGUAAUGCUGUUAUUGUCAGCAUUAGCAGGGAGUGUAAUUUUCUGUGGGUCGAAAAGAUCCUCGAGAAUGAAGAAUGGCAACUGAUUUUCAAGCAACCACGUAUCUGUCCAUGCAUCUUGCAACAUACCUGGUUUGUCAAAUAUGCGGUCAUUUUCGUCCCAAAAUUUGAAGUAGUCCUUCAAUAAGGGCUCAAUAACGAAGGCGGCGCCCACUAGAAUGAUUGUUACAAAUUCAUCACUGCUAAACUUGAUGGGUUCUCCAUAACAACGUCUCAAUCUUGCUUCGUGGUCCUUUAUUUUCUUAAUAUAAUCCUCCAAACUCACAUUGGUCCGACCUAUAAAAUCUUGCAGGUAUCUCUGUUUGUUCUCUUCCAAUACGACAUUCAAGCCUUCCUUUCCAUGGUGAAGUGGACCUAUAGAGACCGACUGCCUGAGGUGUGCAGAGCUUUUCAUUCACACAUACGUAGAUAAAAUGUCUGGGGGCUCAGAGAGUGAUGAAUGUGCAACAGCUAAUGGGAGGGUUUAUAUUCCUGAAGUAAGAAAUGAGGAAACACCAGCAGUUGGGAUGAAGUUUGACUCGCUUGACCUCGUUUACAAUUUCUAUAAUAGAUAUGCAUUCUUGGCUGGCUUUGGUAUUCGACUUCAUUCUAGCUUUUGGGGGAAAAAUAAGAAAGAGAUUUUGAGGAAAGAAUUUGUAUGUUGCAAACAAGGUGCAUACAAGAAGGAUGAAACUCGGGAGAGAAAAAGACAACGGGGAAUAAGUAGAUGCAAUUGCAAAGCAAAGAUUGUGGUUGUGAAGACAAAUGGGAGCAAGAAGUAUACCAUUUCUCUUUUUGCAGAGGGACACAAUCAUAAGAUGACACCCUCAGAAAGAAUGCAUUUAUUGAGAUCACACCGUCAUAUUUCAGAUUCUACAAAAGUACUCACAAAACAGUUGGGUUCAGUUAAUAUUCCCAUUCAUCAGAAGGUAAGUAUAUUCGAGGUGCAAUCCGGAGGAAUGGAUAAAAUCGGUUUUAUCAAAAAAGAUAUCUACAAUCUUGAAUGUAGUGUGAAUGGGAAGCUGAGGAACCACGAUGUUGAACUAGUGACCGAGUAUUUUAUGGCUGAACAGAAAAAAAAUGAGGCUUUUUAUUUCAAGAUUGAGGGAGAUGGGCAUGACAGGUUUAGUCGAUGUUUUUGGGCAGAUGCAACUUCUAGACGGGCGUAUGGGUUUUAUGGAGAUGUUGUUGUAUUCGAUACCACAUUCAACACGAAUCGAUACGACUUGACAUUUGCACCAAUGUUGGGAGUUAAUAACCAUGGUCAGACAAUUGUCUUAGCAUGCGCAUUUUUGAGCAAGGAAACGACUGAGUCGUUUGUUUGGAUGUUUGAGGAGUUUAAGAAAGCCAUGCCAGGUGGGGAACCUAAAACGAUCAUUACAGAUCAAGAUGCGGCAAUGGCCAUAGCGAUUUCAAUAGCCUUCCCGAGUACAUUUCAUCGACUUUGCAUAUGGCACAUCACAUCAAAGUUCUCUGUUAAGUUACCACGUGACGCUUAUAAGGAGUAUUGGCCUGAAUUUCAGAAAGCCAUAUGGGAUACUGACAAUAAGGAUGAGUUUGAUGCAAAAUGGAAUAUUGUGGUUAUAAAGGCUGGUUUGACUGACCAUCCAUGGCUAAGUUCAAUGUUUGAUUUAAGGGAAUCUUGGGUUCCAGCCUACGCACGACAAUUUUUUGCCGCUGGAAUGUCAAGCAGCCAAAGAGCGGAAGGUUCUCAUGGUUUUUUCAAGCAAUACAUAUCAAGGAGAAAUUCGUUGAUGGAUUUCAUAAUACGAUUUGAGAGGGCAUUUUCUCAUCAACGUGAAAAAGAGUUAGUUGCUGAUCACGUAGAUGCAUUUGAAGUGGCUCAAUGUCUUCUACCGAUGCCAAUGAACAAACAAAUGGCUACCUUGUACACAAGGACAAUGUUUCAAAAGUUUGAGCAAGAACUAAUACAAAGUACAGCAUGUUUCCUAGAGCUCAAAACAGAGGAUGCAUGUAAAGUUGUGUUCAACGUGAGCGAAAGGAAAAAUUGGGAAACAAGAGUGGCAGAAGUCGUAUAUGUCAAAGAUUCUGACCACGCAUCGUGUAGCUGCAAAAGAUUUGAAUUUGUUGGAAUUAUUUGCAAGCACAUCCUAGCAUUGUUCAGAAGGGACCAGAUUGAAUAUAUGCCCGAUAAAUAUAUUUUGAAGAGGUGGAAGAAAACUGCGAAAUGUGGAUUGGUGUCAGAUGCAAAUGGCAACGAAAUUAAAGACUGUGCAGAUCCUGGCCUUCUAAUAAAGCGGAGUACAAUGUCUCGACUUGCUUCAAAUGUGGUUGAGGAUGCAUUAAUGAGUGAAGAAGGAUGUGAGCUACUGUCAGAGACUCUAAAAAGUUUGCAGGUGAAGUUGAAGUUGCUGAAGGAUGGACCAAGUAAUAACGAAGUUGGAGGGUCCAGCUCUCAAACACAAUAUAUGAAAGACCCUAAGAGAGUGAGGUGCAAAGGAAGGUCGAAAGGAAUAACGGGAGCAAAGGAAAAGGCAAUGAAGCGAGGGAUUAGACACUGUCGGGAGUGUGGACACAUUGGUCAUGAUAGAAGACAAUGCCCAGCCUUGAACACACCGUAAGAUGCUACCACUAUUUGUAAUAAUAUCUAAAAUAUGAAAAGGUAAAAUUUUUAUGUGCUUGUGUUUGAUGUUUAUGCAGGACAUCACCGUCGAACAAUGACAAAUCAACUCCAAUACAUCGUAGUGACCCAUUAUUCGACGAUUUUGACAAGAUGCACAGACCAACUGAAUGAUUGAUAUUUGUAUUAGACGAAAUGUGGUUGUUAUGAAGAUUAAUGAUCAAGUGAAGUUUUAUAGAUUCAGUUUUUGAAUGUUAUUGUGUUUUUGUUCAUGUCCACCGAUGAGCUCUUACUAUGUCCACUGGUAAUUGAAAUGAAAAUUUUCUUGGUUUCAUUCUUCCAAGACAUUUGGAGACAUGUUAAUUUUACGUCUUCUCCCUAUUUAUAAAUUUUCAUAGACAUUUGAUCAAGUUUGAAAUUUGUAGUUAUGUGAAGAAGCAAUGACUCUUACCAUGUAAAAUGGGCAGUUUAGGGUGAAAUUUGUUUUAACAGAGAUUCAUUUUUCAAUUCCUCAGGGUAAUGCAGCAAUUACAGCAGCCAGCUGUUGUUUCCAUUACCAGUAAUCAUUUCCAGCAGCAGCCACUUUUUCCGACUGGUUAUUAGGGGCACGAUUUUGUACACUUUUGUAAGUGAAGGAUACUCGAAGCACUUUGUUGGAACAGAGCAAAUAGAAACCAGCGGGUAAAAAAAAAACAUAACAUUGCAGCUAAUUACAUUUCGAUACAUAGGUGAAAAAUAUUAAAGGGUACACUAACUUACAUAAAUACUCAUAAUUCCACACACAAAAGAACAUUUGAUUGCAAAACAUAUUAUGUGCUUCCUCAUAGCAAUACCACGAUCUCCCCAACCAACUGAACAACGGUAGCCACAAUCACUGGGUCGUACUCGUCAGCUUCUUCUUAGCAGGUCUCACAUGCUUAUGGCCACUCAUAUCCCUAGUGAUAUACACGAAAUAAAUCUUCAGCAAUAUUUGGAAUUUUAUUAUAUAUAAAUAAACCAUAAACCAUUCAGUAAACAAUGUAUAGCACAUGUUAUGUAACUUAUGACUCACGUGUCAGUUUUUUUUUUAACACAUUAGUACUCCAGCUCUUUAAUGUAAAUGGACAUGAUAAGGAGCAUUUACUGAUUCCCGGCUUUCUAUGAUAUUGACUGCUUCUUGAAUAAUAUUUCCAUAUUUGCAAAAUAUAAUGUUAGACAUUAUAACACAUGAUGACUUGCAAUACAUAGUCCCAAUAAUUAUAUAUCAAGCAAAUGAAACUGAUAUUUGUGUUAUUUUAAGUUAGAUAAUGACAUUAAGGGAGUAUAUGUGCAAUACCACGGUCACCCUCAACCAACUGAACAGCGGUAGCCGCAAUCACUUAGUCGUAUCGGUCGGCUUCUUCCGAGCAGCUUUGACGUGCUUAUGCUCAUUCAUGUCACCCCCAUCGUCUAGUAUCUCUCUCACAGCAUCAGGGGACACAUAGUUCCAAUCAUAACUUGUAUGAGUAGUUGCCGCAAAUGCUCGGAAUUUGUCGAAUCCUUCGUUGAAUGCCAACUCCAGUUCAGUAUGGUGCUCUUCGCAUCGCAUAUGGUUCAUCAAACAACCUUUGAUUUCAUCAUUCAUUACUGUAUCCAACUCCUCAGCUUUCAGCUUCCUGCUAUGACUCAGCUUCAAGUACUUGUUCUUUUGGGAUAACGCUUUGUUCACCCUAAUGUUAAGAUCAGCCAAAAUUGCCUCGUCUUCAACACAUUUCUCGUGCCAUGAAUUGAUCAGUCUGGAAUUAUAAUCCAGCUUGCCACUGACUGCAUGUAUUGCCUGUAAUGGAUCAUCGGAGUCCCCCUCACUCCCAAAUGAUGUUGAAAAAGGAAGGGGUCGGCGAGUACAAUGUGGAAAUAGAACCUGCCACUCCAAUUUGUCAUCUUCGAUUGUGUUGUUGGCGCCUGAAGAGGUUGACAUGCUUGAAUAAUCCUCUUUGUUUUGGGAGGAUGAGGAUUGCAUAUGCAAUUUCGUUUGAGAAAGGGAACAUAGGUUUAUAGACCAACAUACCAAAGCUUGUGUGUAGUCAACAUAUGUACUUUUUGGCGGGAAUUUUUUAAAAAUAGGUGUUAGGUUUUGCUUUUCAAGCAUGUCAACCUCACACUCUCCUGACACCACUGCUAGUGGUUGAAACAAAGUCAAUGGAAGUGACAUCUACUUAGUUAACUCAACCAAACUAGUUAGGAUUAAACUUAGAUUGUAUCAGACCAAAAAAUAAUUUCUACUUUGUCAACCAAAUAUUUUUUGGCGGGAACCCUUUUCUUGGUAUUACUAUCACCCCUUUCAUAUAAAAUCUCCUUCCACACAAAACUCACUCCUCCACCGAAUCUGUCUCCAUCUACCGAUACUCUCUCAAGCAAACAAACUCAUUCCCCCCAAAGAAUGAGCAUAAGCACAACCAAGUUUGAUGUGAGCAUAAUAAACACCCCUCCAAACAAAGACCGGCUUCGACACGCAAGUGAGUCACCGGACAAGCAAUGUCACAUUGCUAGACAGAAUGACCAUUUUGUUGGAAGUUUUGAGUCUGAAAGAGUUGUUGCUUUUUGGAAGGAGAGGCAUCUUCAACUUGGUGAUGAAAUCCAAAGGGCAAGGGCACGUUUGGAAUUUGUGGAAGGCCAAAUUGAAGAUGACAAAAGGCAGGCCAAUCUGGAUAGGGCGAAGUUGUAGCGCAUGAAGCGUAGACACAAACGACUUCGGAGUGUAGCUGUUCAAAAAUACAAGAACUCAUCUAAUGUAGUGGAGUCAAAGAAGCGUGUGAUGCAAGCUGGAUUCGACUACUUCCGAUCCUAUGCAAAACUCGUCGUACCCGGGUUUGAUUGGUCAUCUAUUACCGUUUCCGACGUCACCAAAUAUACUCAGCAAGGGAAGUAACCAUUUUGGUUCUCGUGUUUUAGCAGAGGCAAAUAAGUGGAAUUGGAAUUUUGGUUACACUCUGCUUCAAAGCUAUUUUGAUGCUAACUACUAUGGAAGAUUUAAACCUUAAUAUUUUGAUGUCUUUAAUUACGAAAACAGAAGAUGCAAAGAGCUCAUCUACUUCAGCCAUAUGUUGCUGCCAUGUCCAUUUGUUUUUGAUCACUUAUCAGAUUUGGACAUGGUUGCAUCAUAUGCAAUGUUGCCUUUAUUUAUUAUAUGUUAGGACAAGGUUUAUGGAAAAGCUUUUGUGAGUGCGUUUGUGACAAGGUUAUGGAAUUAUUAUGUACACUUUAUAUAUUGUUUUUUGUACUGGUUCAUUUCCUACUAUUUCUUGCUUUCUUUAUAUUUUAUGUUUGUGGAAUCCCUCUCAAAGUUAACAUAUACUGUGAAAAAAAUAUUAUGCAACUGAUUAUAUAAUCACUCAUAUAGACUAGGACAAAUAUUCACUAAGGGUUUUAAACUUGCUUCACUUGUGUGAUGUUAUUGACAAAAAGUAUGGCAUUAUUUAUGUGAUUUGACAUGAUUGAAAAUAUAUUACUGAUUCCCAAUGCGGCGUCAUAUGGACAACGUAUUGAAUACCUGUGACGUGUUAAUAACUCAAGGUGCAGUUGCAUGUGGACAACUUCUUGAAUACCUCUGACGUGUUGAAAACUCUAGGUGCAGUUGCAUGUGGACAACUUAUUGAAUACGAACUGACGUCUUCAAAGCUCUAGGCGUAGUUGCAAUGAUGGCUUCAAAGCAUGUGCAAUUAUUUUUUAUGUACAUUAUUAUAACAAAACAUAUUAUUGUAUAUAGUGAAACUAAAUAUUGUAUUAUUAGAAAUUAUAUUUCGAAUAUUAUCCGAAAUAUACGUGUUAACGUGAAUUUGGGUUAAGAGGAAAGUGAGUUAUGUACAAAUAAUUUUCAUUUUCUCAUUUUCCGGGCAUUUUUUGGAUUUUCGUAGAAUUUAUUACCUAUGUCCACAGAUUGUUGCACUAAAAAAGCCAAAAUAAUAGCAAGAGGACACCUGGAGCGAUCUCAGCCCGUCACUGAUGACUACUUGCACAAGUGUACGUCAGUCAACAUGGCCACACCCUCCCAUUUUACCCUAAAUUAUUAUUUUAUUACUUUUCCUUACAAAAAUCAGAACUAAUUACACACAAAAUAAAAAAAUUAUCCGAAAAUUGCUACGAACUCAUUGACACUCCAUCUCCGUUGCUGAAUUCUCCGAUUCAUUGUUACGUAUUUGUAAAAUUAAUUCCCAACAUUAACGGGAGAUGCUUGUUGAAGUAGGUUAUUCAAGUUGAAGUUAACAAACAUCAAUACUUAGGGUUAAGAGGAAAGUGAGUUAUGUAACACAAUUUGGAUUAUUUCAUUGCGAGACGAAUGAUUUAUAGGUUCUCCUAGUUUUAUGACGUCACAAGUAGGCCGGAGUAAUUUUUGGGGCAUUUUUACGAUUUUCCUACUAUUUUUUACCUAGUUUCAAAGAUUUUUGAACAAAAGAAUCCAAAAUGUAAAAGAAGAUGACACCUGGCGCGAUCUCAGCCCGUCACUUUUCACUACUUGCACAAGUGUACGUCAGUCAACAUGGCCACAUCCUCUCAUUUUACCCUAAAUUAUUAUUUUAUUACGUUUUGUCUUGGAAAAUUCAUAACUAAAUACACAAAAAUUCAAAAUUAUUUCUGAAAAUUGCUACGAACUCAUUGACACUCCAUCUCCGUUGCUGAAUUCUCCGAUUCAUUGUUACGCAUUUUUAAAAUUAAUUCCCAACAUUAACGGGAGAUGCUUGUUGAAGUAGGUUAUUCAAGUUGAAGUUAACAAACAUCAAUACUUAGGGUUAAGAGGAAAGUGAGUUAUGUAACACAAUUUGGAUUAUUUCAUUGUGAGACGAAUGAUUUAUAGGUUCUCCUAGUUUUAUGACGUCACAAGUAGGCCGGAGUAAUUUUUGGGCCAUUUUUACGAUUUUCCUACUAUUUAUUACCUAGUUUCAAAGAUUUUUGAACAAAAGAAUCCAAAAUUAACAAGAAUAUGACACCUGGCGCGAUCUCAGCCAGUCACUUUUGACUACUUGCACAAGUGUACGUUACCGAACAUGGCCACAUCCUCCCAUUUUACCCUAAAUUAUUAUUUUAUUACCUUUUUUCUUGGAAAAUUCAUAACUAAAUACACAAAAAUUAGAAAAACGAUCCGAAAAUUUCUACGAACUUAUUGCGAUUUCAUCUUCCUACUGCAUUCCCUGUUUAAUGGUUAUGCUACAUUAGUAUUUUAUUAUUAUUUAUCCACAAUUAUUAUAAUUAUUAUGAUAUUACUUUUUAGGCUGUCCAUUUGUUAAUUAUACCACAUCCAACUUGUUGAAAACAAUUUUAUUUUCCGUGCGAAUAGGCCAUUUGUAGUGCUUAUCGGUUUCUCUGUUCUUCAAUUUGUUAAUUUUUUUAUUUUUUAGGUUGAAGGGAUGUUUUGAAACAUAAUAUGGAAAUAUACAAGUCAUCCAUUGUACUCCUUCCACACAAAAAAAUAGUCUACGUCAUUCACUGUUCAACACCCUAGGUUAAGACACGUGUAACCAAAUCCGUUCGGAUAUGCUAAGUGGGAAAAUGUCAUUCCCAAGCACUGGUGAAAAGACACUUAUUUACUCCAUGCAUGACUUUUGGUUUACCAAAUAUGAAGAUUGGGGUCGGUGAGCAAAAUAUCUGUGUCAGUAAAAUGUCAUUCCUAGCCAUCUAUGAUGUAAGUAAUAAUUCCGCUAUAUAAUAAAUAUUAUACAUUUAUAUAUAAAACGGUUUAUGACAAAAUACCAACAUUUGAACAACAUUUAAACUGAGAUAGGUAUAACGUAGCCAGCCAACCUAGAAGUGAAGAGAAGCAAGUCCACAAUGCAUCAAAACUGUAAAUUCGUACUAAAACUAAUGCAAAAAUACGUGAUUCCCUCGCACAACUUACUCACGCAGGAUUUUGCACCAAAAAAUACUCUCACGGUGCCAUUUGCAUCGGUUGCAGCAAGUCCAAAACGCAGGAUUUAUCUUGUCUUCACUAGGCCACCCUGGAAUAACAAAAUACCAUUCAUUGUUGUUACAAGCGCUGCACCGAUUGAACUUAAUCUUCCCAUAGUCAAACAUAUCUACGAUAUGUCUUGCAACAAAUGCUCCGCGACAUCUUCCUGUUAAAGCAUCCCUGGUUCCUUUCAUAUCAAUGUUGUUACGUUGAUUCAAAGAACACAAGAAUUGUAAUGCAUCCUCUUUUGACUGACCAAUUCCGGACAUACCAAGUAGUCCAACUACAUAUGCCGCUUCCAUAUGGCCUGCCGUGGCUGCAAUGCGCAUCCCAUACAACGCUUCCACCUUACCGUCUGUGAAAAAACCUUCGAAUGCUUCUCUAAAUAUGGACUCAGGGUUAUCGCAAGCCCUGCAUUGUUGCAAGAAAUGCUGGACUGCAGGUUUGGCACGGUAGCAGAUAGGAUGGUGUGGGUACUUUGCCAUUGAAAUGGUGUUCCACACUUGUGGACUGUUUGCCAAAAUGUUGAACAAUCGGCACACACAUGCCAUACGGAAGAGAUCUUCCGAUGAUUCGGUUGCCACGUAUAACAUCACUUGAAACCAAGCGGACUCCGGGAUAAAGGCUUCGGGCAUAUCGAAAUGGAGAUGCUUCCUUCUCUUUCCUCCGACUGUAGUGAAGUGUUUCGAAUUCAUUGAAAAGUUUUUGGAAUGGAACGAUUUGAGGAGUGGCAGAGGGGAUAAAUGAUAAUAUUUGGGGUACACGUUCUACUUCCGAGCCUCUGUUUAUAGUGUUUUGAAAAGGUGUUUCCAGUUGGGGUUUUUCCAAGUUGACCCUUUUGAAAGAAACUGAAUCCAAGUGAAUUAAAACUUAAGACAAAAGAAGGGAAAACGUCAUAACGGUGCAUACAGAGUCAGACAGUUAAAAAGUUAAUUAAAUGGCUAUUUGCAUAGCCAUUUUUGGGUUUAUCCCACUAUCAAAUUCAUUGAUACAAAUGUGAUGGAUUACUGACUAGUGACAGAAGGUCCCAUCAUAUACUUUUUCAUUUUCGCACACCCAACUAUCCCUAGUAAUGUUAUUAAAAUGGAACCAAUAAUGACGGAUUCUUAUCCAACUAGUUGCCUUAAUGAAAUAUAAAUAAAUUAAUAAAAUUGAAGCAGUGUCCCGUCAUUAGUCAGAAAAUAUAUUUGGUAGUGAAGUAGUUUCUAUUGCUUUUCGGGCUAAAAGAUGUCACAAUGCUGACGGUACAGGUGUCGACAUCGUGACCAACCCACCAAAUGAUCCCAAAAAAAAGUAAUAUAACUCGAUUUGGGCAGAGAUGAGAGAGAGCUGAGUGACAAGUUUAGGGUUAUGAGUGAAGGGGUAUGAAUGACAACUAUGAGUGAGAAGGUAUGAGUCCGAAGAGGUUUCAGUGAGAAGAUUUGAGUGAGAAGAGGUACAACUGAGAAGAUUCAACAUGUCUUCGUCUUCAUCUCCUGCUCAAACAAAGAGGUGUCAGUAUUGUGGAGCUACAAUGGUGCUUCGGGUUUCAAAAUCUGAAAAAAAAUCGAGGGAAGCCAUUCUGGAAGUGUCUAACCUCCUAUGUAAGUUUUAAUUUAAAGAAUAUGUAUGUGGGUGAAAAAAAACCUAUGUCUAACUCUGACAGAAUUAUAUUCCAUAUAUGAUGCCUGCAAUUAGGGAGCCACCAGUUGCAAUGGAUUCGAAUGGGUUGAUGUAACCUCCGCUGAAGCAGAACAUCAAGAUGACACGUAUGAUGUUAGAGUGCUGAACAUGCUGAAGUCCAUUAAGGACUUGGUAUUAGUUUUAUUAGUUGUAUUAAUUGUCAUUUUAUUUGUUCUUUUAAUGAUCAUUUAACUGCACGGUUUAAAAGAUUGUGAAAGUUCUCUCGCACAAGACAUAUUGCACGCACCACCAAUGAGACCCUAAACCCAUUUUGUAAUAUUUGGUAACUGCAUGUAUUUCGCAUGUUAUUGAAUGUUUAUUGAAGGUUUAUUGAUAGUUUGCUGCAUGUAUAUGGAAUAUCAUUGCCCCAAAAUUGGAUGUUUAUUGGGGCCACAAGUAUCACUCAAGUAAGAAUGAAGGGGAGAAACGGACCUUAUUCUUUCUUAUAGUAGGAAGAACAACUGUUAAGUUUAAUAUCCUAUUCAAUACGACUUCCCUAUGGUUGGUGUACUUGGGGACUGAAGUAUAUUGCAUCAUUAUUGUGGGCAAGGGCAUGUCUAUUGUGUGUGUUAAGGGAGUAUUGUGUGGGCAAGGGCAUGUCUACUGUGUGUAUAUUGCAUGUCUACUGUGUGUAUAUUGCAUAUCUAUUCUCUGUAUAUGGCAGGCCAAGUUUGUGUAUAUUGUUUGUCUGUUGUGUGUGUAUUGCUUGUCGGUGCGUUUGUGAAUUGUGGUUCAUUUUGUGUAUAUUGUCUUUGUUUCUACUUUUAUGCUACUGAGCUGCGGAAAACCUCGCAUGUUUAGACACCUAUUAUGAUGCAACACAUUGCGAUUAAUGGUGGCUUGCAUCAACAAUGACAUAUCACUUUGCAAUGAUGUAAUACACUUAAAAAGCCGUCUUCAAAUCCCAAUUCACAUAUGCAGUCUUAAAAUUCUAAUUCAAUGCAGUUUGGUUAACAAACAUGUAAAUGUCAUGAAGGAGUUAGCGGUAGAAUUCGAUAAGGACCCGUACGUCUCUAUUGUGUAUUUACAUUAGUUUGAGAAUGGACAUUCCCAAAACCUUCUCAUGUACCAUUUGUCAUCUUCAACCAAUAUCAUGGGAAGUAAGCAUCUCCCCUUGUUAUCUCCGCAGCCAAUUUCAACCGAAAAAAAGGCAUGUUGUGCGAGGUGCAAGUAGCUAACGGAAGCUUAGCGCUGAAAAGCUCAAUGUACUUUAACACAAACAUGCCACAAUCGCCUCUGAAGCAAAACAAGAACUCGAUCAAUUCAACUAAUGACAUUCUAAUGUAAUUGACAAUUGAAAGUAAUAAAAUUAAAUUGCAAGUUGUGCUUACUCAUUAGACUGUUGUGGAACAUCCACACGCUCUAUUGGCCACGGACACCACCAAUCUCGGCUGCAAUUGUUUGCAUAAACACCUUCUUCAUAAAAGUCGAUGGUGUUGAGAAGAUUUGGAAGCGUAAUUGAUAGCGGGCCGAGUUCUUCCUUUACGAUGUCAUCUGGAAUUAGUGAAACCUUUGAAUCGUACACUUUGAUUCACACAAUACCAGAUCAAACANNNNNNNNNNNNNNNNNNNNNNNNNNNNNNNNNNNNNNNNNNNNNNNNNNNNNNNNNNNNNNNNNNNNNNNNNNNNNNNNNNNNNNNNNNNNNNNNNNNNNNNNNNNNNNNNNNNNNNNNNNNNNNNNNNNNNNNNNNNNNNNNNNNNNNNNNNNNNNNNNNNNNNNNNNNNNNNNNNNNNNNNNNNNNNNNNNNNNNNNNNNNNNNNNNNNNNNNNNNNNNNNNNNNNNNNNNNNNNNNNNNNNNNNNNNNNNNNNNNNNNNNNNNNNNNNNNNNNNNNNNNNNNNNNNNNNNNNNNNNNNNNNNNNNNNNNNNNNNNNNNNNNNNNNNNNNNNNNNNNNNNNNNNNNNNNNNNNNNNNNNNNNNNNNNNNNNNNNNNNNNNNNNNNNNNNNNNNNNNNNNNNNNNNNNNNNNNNNNNNNNNNNNNNNNNNNNNNNNNNNNNNNNNNNNNNNNNNNNNNNNNNNNNNNNNNNNNNNNNNNNNNNNNNNNNNNNNNNNNNNNNNNNNNNNNNNNNNNNNNNNNNNNNNNNNNNNNNNNNNNNNNNNNNNNNNNNNNNNNNNNNNNNNNNNNNNNNNNNNNNNNNNNNNNNNNNNNNNNNNNNNNNNNNNNNNNNNNNNNNNNNNNNNNNNNNNNNNNNNNNNNNNNNNNNNNNNNNNNNNNNNNNNNNNNNNNNNNNNNNNNNNNNNNNNNNNNNNNNNNNNNNNNNNNNNNNNNNNNNNNNNNNNNNNNNNNNNNNNNNNNNNNNNNNNNNNNNNNNNNNNNNNNNNNNNNNNNNNNNNNNNNNNNNNNNNNNNNNNNNNNNNNNNNNNNNNNNNNNNNNNNNNNNNNNNNNNNNNNNNNNNNNNNNNNNNNNNNNNNNNNNNNNNNNNNNNNNNNNNNNNNNNNNNNNNNNNNNNNNNNNNNNNNNNNNNNNNNNNNNNNNNNNNNNNNNNNNNNNNNNNNNNNNNNNNNNNNNNNNNNNNNNNNNNNNNNNNNNNNNNNNNNNNNNNNNNNNNNNNNNNNNNNNNNNNNNNNNNNNNNNNNNNNNNNNNNNNNNNNNNNNNNNNNNNNNNNNNNNNNNNNNNNNNNNNNNNNNNNNNNNNNNNNNNNNNNNNNNNNNNNNNNNNNNNNNNNNNNNNNNNNNNNNNNNNNNNNNNNNNNNNNNNNNNNNNNNNNNNNNNNNNNNNNNNNNNNNNNNNNNNNNNNNNNNNNNNNNNUUUUCCUCUCCCUCAUCUCUAUUAUUUGGCCCUUCACCCCCUUCAAUCCCUUCAUCUUCUUUUUCCUCUCCCUCAUUUCUGUUACUUGGCCCUUCAUCCCAUUGAAUGUCAUCCAUUUCCCCAUAUCCCUUAAAUAGAUGUGAGACGACACAACGAUUCGUCCUCUGUUUCAGUAAAGCUAGGUCCCUCCUUACUUCCUGCUCAAACUGAGGACCUAAACAUUGGUCCAAUAGUUUUUCCAUCCGUAUGACCUUUAAGUGAAGGACGUCUUUUUCCCGCUUUUCUUGAAACAACUCGGACCUCAACAAGCUUACCACCUUGUUCAACUCAUCAAGAUCACCACAUGAAGAAGGAAUUGACUCUGCCGAGACAACAGCAGGGCGAUCCUGUGGCCAACUCCAAUAUGGCUGUCUCAUUUCCUCUUCACUUAGACAUAGCGCCCGCAACUGAACUGACUGUUUCAGAAUACAGACAAGAGUCAUAUUAAAUCAUUCUACUUCAUAAUUUCAUUCAAUCUUAUCAAUAGUUCUAAGGGCUGCAAACCAAACCUCUUUGCUCUGGAAAAAAUAAUUGUUCAACUUUCUCAUCUCUGGAACAGACGUAGUAGUUCUCCAUCGCAAAAUACGCGGGACAGCGGUCGGAUCAACAACCUUGCAGUAAUUCAGGUCCGCCAUUCUAGGAAUUAAUUCAUAUACCCAAAUCUACACAAUUCACAGGACAAAAGUCAUUAUUUAUGUUUUAAAGAAAAACAAAACAUAACUGACAUGAACAUUAUUACCAUGUACCUGGAAAGCAUACGUGAAACCUUUAAAACUCCAGCCACUCCUUUGCGCUUCACUAUGCUUAUCCUUCUUGCCCUUCUCAUUUCUCCGGCUUGUUCCCGUUACCUUACUUUUCCCCUUCCCUCUUCCCUCUUCAUUUUCCAAGCUUUUCACAUACUUUGUUGGUGCAGAAAAUAGACUGUCUUGGGUUUUGUCAAAGGACACCGAACCCCACGGAUACCUGUUGAACGCAUCCAAGUCCUCUACAAGGGUCAGGUAAUUUAGAUUGAUGUUCAAAUGUUUGUCCCUUCCCAAAACCACUAACUCAGCAAAGUAAACAAGAGGUAGCUUGAAGAUGUCAUCUUCCUCUGUGCACCUCACAAAUGCUUCUUCUAAAGCAUUGCAUGUAAUUCCUUCGUCUAUAAAAUAUCUUUUCUGAAGUCUGAUUUCAUUACUCUCUCCACUGGAAACUUCAGGCACUUCCCCAAAACGAAGCCCUGUGAUCAAACAGAAAUCCUGACGAGUGAACUGAGCAACGUCACACCCUAAUAAGAAACUCAGUCCAUCCAAGUCUUUCACACCCUGCCCCGCUACUCUACGCAACACAACCCCAUGCACAAUCUGUCCGCUAAACUGAAUCUUAUCUAUAUUCAGAAGAUGGCCAAAGCAUGAUGUCUUGAAUUGUUCUAAUUGUUCCGCACUCAACUUCGCUCGAAUUGCAGCUAGAGAUGAAUUUGCAUGUGAGCAGUUGUUCACCCGUGAUGAAUAUACCUCUGCCUCUGGCCAUACCAGCUCCACGUUGGAUCCCAUUUCCUCAAAUACAAUGUGAAAUAACGUGAACAUAUAUACUACCACGUAUUUGCACAAUCACAACUAGUCAACCAGGCACAUUACAACUUUUACAAAGUACAUGAGCAUAUGGAUUACUCAUCACAGGCUUUAACAUCAUCAAAGCAAUAUGACAAUUUUUGUGCAAAUACCUGUUAAUGCAAUGAUUAUGUGAAUUACAAACAAUUUCACGUGUUUUAUUUAUGGAUCCAUACUCGUGUGAGUGCAAUGUAGGCAAGUUCUGCACUUCACACACAUGACAAUUAUUGUCAUCUCAUACACAACCCAAAAUAAAUAAAUAAGAAAUAUAGUGGAAGGAAGCAAAGCAAAGCAUGUACUCUGCUAUCUGCUUGCUAAGCAAUUGCCACAUCCUUCUUUCUUUCUACCUUUUUCUUCAGUCACCCACAAUCGUCAUAGAUCAACCUUCAUUUCAAAUGCUUUGCACUUUUAUUCAUGAGUUUAUUAUUAUCUGUUCUCAUUUCUCAUAGGCAAAUUUAGUAACAAAUGAAAUAAUAUUUAUUUCACAAAAUAUAUAAAUUCUAGUGCCAGAGAGGUACUCUUCACUCUGCACUGCUUCAAAUGUGGAAGGUUUUGAGAUGUUAUUGACAUGUGAUUGACUUUAUUUUCAUUCGUUUUUUAACAUAUACCCAAGCAAAAAUUAACAUGCAAUUGAAGCACAAAUAAGAGAUGCCAAAUCCAACAACAUUGAUGGUACAAAUUGGGGAAAACCAUUACUCUAACCCUAAACUCAAAUUCCUUACAUUACUCAUCAAAUGCUUUGCAGUUCUAUUCAUGAGUUUAUUAUUAUCUGUUCAAAUGUUUCUCAGGCAAAUUUAGUAACAAAGGAAAUCAUAUUUACUUCAUAAAAUAUAUAUAUAUAUAUAUAUAUUCUAGCGCCUCUUCUUAAUCUGCACUAUGCACUGCUUCAAAUGUGGAAGGUUUUGAGGGCCUCCUCCAAUUCAACACCAUUAUCUUAUUCAUAUCAUUAUUGACAUGUUAUUCACUUGUUAUUGACUUCAUUUUCAUUCUUUUUUUAACAUAUACCUAAGCAAAAAUUAACAUGCAACUGAAGCACAACGAAGAGAUGCCAAAUCCAACAAAAUUUAUGGUACAAAUUGGGGAAAACCAUUACUCUAACCCUAAACUCAAAUUCCAUAAAUUACUCACCAAAUGCUGGUUAUUGCAAGGUGUCUGUGUGGGGUCUUUCUGUUUCUUUGCUCCACAAAUGGAACCUACCACUUCCAACGAAUACAGCUUUUCCCCUUCCCCUUCCACUGCUUCGCCUCUUCACUGAUUUGGAAUCCACACCUUUGCCCCUUCUACUCCAAAUAAAUACUUUCUCGGGGUCUGGAGAACGGAGUGGCGAAUCGUUGCCUUCAACUGUCGUUAGCCGUUGCCUUCAUUGGGUAUCUCAGACCUCUGUGUUUUAGAGAGAUGAGUUCUUUCUGUUCAAACUUCGAACUUGCCUCUUCUUCUUCUUUUUCGGACGUGUUUCCCUCUUCUUCUUCUUUUUGGACGUGCUGGAUAUUCAAUUCGGGUUUGGGUUCCUUACCUACCCAAUUGUGAAACUUUAACUCAAUUCUCCCCAGCCCUUGGAUUAAUCUGAUGGCUAUAAAGUGAACCCCUUAUAACUUACCCCUUAUAACUUUCCACUCAUUAUAGUCUUGGCCAGGUAUGGCGGCCAUGCUAGUAAGUGUUGGGUCUUUGACCCAACUUAAGCUAAAUGGGUCAUAAGAUGACCGAUCAUCUUAUCUCAUAAGGAUAUAUAAGUCAUGUUAUGAUUUAGGAUUUUAUAGGGUUUCCUUUGUAAGAGGUAAGAGAGAAACAAGCUCUCUCUCUCUCUACACAAGGAGGUCAGCCAUAGCAAGGGAAAGGCUCCUAGCACUCUCCUCUCUCUUAUUAUAUCAUCCUUCCAAGGACAGCUUUGGUAUGGUAAAGUUGGAGGUUGCACACUUUGUGCACUUUGGUAAGAACUCAUCCAAGGGAGCCAAGAUUAAAUUGGUUAGCUGUUGGAUUAAAUUGGUUAGCACGAUUCAACGGUUAAUAGAUAAAACUUCACAUAAAAGUCAUAUAUAAGGCCCUCACUAUAGAAUGACUCGUUAGUUUAGUCUCUUGUUACAUAUCAAAUGUUAGAGAUAUUUUUUAAUAAGGAUCUGCCAUACCACAUAGUUGGAUAAGACAUUAUACACGGCUUUUGUAAGAGCAUCUCCAGCGCUCCAAACUAGCCCAAGCAGCAGGGGGGCCUAAGUCUAGGAAGCAGCUCCAGCUCGCAAGAUUCAACCCAGGCAAGGUGUGGAACCCACGAGGAGAUCUAGCCCGUCACCUUGCCUUUGGGUUUCAGUCAAGCUGAUGUCAACGAAAGAAUUUCAAAUUUUUUUUACCGUUACAAUGUACGCGCCAACGAUAAAUUUUCUUUGGAUUUCUUGCAUUGAUCCACAGCUACCAAAAACCAACAGCUACAAGCCACGUGGCUUCUCCAGGAGCCUCCGAUCCAAAAAUCAUGUCAAAUCUAACGGCAGUCCAUUUUUUGGCUAAAAAUAUCAAAAAAUUAUGGAAACAUGUUCUAUAAAUUCCUACAAAUAUUAUUCACUUCCCACACCAAAUCUUCAUACAAAUUCAUAUCCUUUCAAUAUUUUUCACUUUCCAUACAAGAUUUUCUACUACUAAGUUUCGUUUGUGUAAAAAUACAAAUGACCUCUUCUAUCGAAGCCGGAGGCGCGUGUACAACCGUGGAAGAUAUUUUGUUGCGUGAGUGUUGGGUCAAAGUUGGUCAUUCCCUGAUCACGGGCAAUGAGAUGAAGUCCUCUCGUAGGAGUUUCUGACAUCGCAACGAAAGUAAGAUGUGAUAUGAAAAUGUAAGGAAUUUGAUGAGAGGAAUGGGAUUUGAGGAGUUUGAUGUAGGAAUUGAUGUAGGAAUUGAAUUUGGGAGGUAUGUAUAUAAGAUUUGAGGGUAUGUGUUUAGGGAUUUUGAUAAGAGGAUUUGAGGAAUUUAGAUUUGAAGGAUUUGGAUUUGGGGAAUUUAAAUAUGAGGAAUUUGAUUAGGGUUUGGGUUUGAAUAUGUGAAAUUUGAUAUGAGAGUUUAGAGACAACAGAUGAUCGAUUGCUCUGAUACCAUGCUAAAAUAUGAUAUGGUUUGAAUACUUUAGGUUGAGUUUUAUUCUUUUCCAUAAAAAGGUAUAUAUAGGAGUUUACAUGAGUGCUUUACAAAGAAAUAGAUACAAUAAUCAAUUAGGAUAAUAUCUCCUAAUUAUACAAUAAUUUGUCAACUAUAUAGAAUAGGAAAGUAAAUUCCUUAAUUAAUCAAGAAAAUAAAUCUCAUUGAUUAAUUAGGAGACUAACGUCAACAUUUAUAAGCCAUAAAAGAGCAGAAAAAGAGGUACUUAGGAGAUUUUAUACGUCGGACUAAGGUAAGCUUAAAGGACUAUAUCAAAAAAAUAAGGGACCAAGAAGCAAGACAGAGAAGUUGUUAUGCAAACCCAUUAAGUUUAGCAGUGAUGAAUUUGUAAAAAUCAUUCUAGUGGAUUCUGCCUUCACUAUUGAGUUCUUAUUGAGGUUCUAUCUGAAAGGAUCUGGACAUGAAGGAGACCGCUUAUUAAACAAACCGUGGAUGUUUACAGCCUGACAUGUGGUUGCUUGAAAAUCAGCUCCCAUUCUUUAUUCUUGAGGAUCUUUAUCACACAUACAUAAUAACCGACUCUUUUAGGAAUUAUUACAGUACUCAUGAUCAUGAGAGGCUUUCAAUAAUUAAUAUUUCUAAGAAUUUCUUCACAGCCGGAAUAUUGAAUUUGGAGGGGAAGGGAGACAAAUGGAACAGAAUAUCAUCUUCUUCUAGUGUUGGAAAUUUUAUAUUAUUUAAUAAUAUUUAAUUUCUAUUGUGAAUGAAAAAUAAGUUUCUUUAAGAAACGUGUGUCUUAGGCCAGUUUUUCUAACUGGUCGGCUUCCUUAGAUUUGUGCCUAUUGCUUUUCAAAGUAUAAUGAUGCAAUGGUUGUAUCUCGUUCAGGCAAAUGGAAGGUAUAUAGCAAUUUAUAGAACAAUACAGUAAUCCAGAAGAAAUAUUAUGAAAUGAAAAGAAUAAAAAGUAAAAAAAGAGAAAGAAAGGAAUUCCCACCUGCAAUGUAUAUGUAUGAAAGGAAGGACCAAGUUUGUUUUAAAAUGGUAAGAACAAGUUGAUUUUAAAUUGGGUUCAGAUCAACUCAUAGAUUUCUUGCCUUUUCUGUUCUCCUUCCUUGGACAUGAACUGUUUAAUCUUGGACUCUUCCCCAUCAUGUUGGGCCUGUCUUCUUCUUGAGGAUUGUAUAGGCCUAGGAAAUGCUUCGGGGUAGUUUUUGUGUUUUGGGCAUUGGGACCCAACUUCACAAAAAGAAAACAAAUUUGACCAAAACACAAAUUUGAAGGACAUUGAAAUUGUACCCGUAGGAUAGAUUAAAACACUAUAAGGGAGGUAAAUAGUACGUUUACAGAGUUUAAGUGUAAUAAAGGAAUAAAAACAUGCCCAGAGAAUUGAUAAGUGAUAUCAAUUCUUGAAUAUACGUGAAAAUUAUUUUAUGUGGUUAAACCCCACCUCUGGGGAAAAUCCACGGAACUUCUUAGUCCAACUUCUAUCACUUAUCCUAGACACAUUCUAGAUAAUGUUUGCCAACCUCUUCGUAACUCAACUUCUGUCACGAGAUGAUCUUUCAACACUUUAUGUCGAACGCAAUACUGGUCACGAUUUCUUCAAGCUCGCCGGAGUUCUUCCAAUUCUCCUUAUAUUGAAUCUGAUACUAGUCACGAUCGAUUCAAGCUCAUCGGAGAAAAAUCGCCACAACAAUCUUGGUGCCCUCAACCGUAUGAGUCACUGAACAUGCAAAUGAAUACAAUAUGAAUGAUAAAAGUGUUUGAUAAAUCACCAAGUUAUGGAACACUUGAUGAUUUAUCUCAAAUAAAAAUUCAGCUUUCCAAAGUUUAUGAAUUGAAAAUAUGACCGUUAAAGCUCUCUAAACAAAGAAGACGAAGGUCUUAUUUUAUAGACUUUUACUUUACAAGAAAGAAAACACGUUGAAAACCAAAUCUCCAAUUUCCAAGGCUUGACAGAAAAUCACAAAAUUAUCUUUCCUAUUCUAGAGAUUGGUCACAUGAAGUCCAACCAAUAGGAAAUGAGAUAUUUAAGAAAGGAAGAUUUUGAUCAAUAUCAAUAUCAAAUGAAUUCUUAUACGCCUAGUCAAUUGUUAUGGGUAUCUUGACUCCUUGAUAUUGUGAUAUGAUUGAAACAUGAUUUCCACGUUAGAAAAUUAAGGGGAUGUUAAAACAUGAAGGUAAUAGGAGAAUCAAAUUGAUUUGGGCCAAAAUUGCCUAAAAAGAAAACACUCCUUAAUAAACUUCAAUUUACUUUUAAAAAUAGUAAAACGUGAUUGAAUCGUUCUUUAAAACAAUUCCCUAAUAUACAUGCAUGAUAGUGAUAUCACUUACCUUUGAAUCAGAUGGCUUUCACGGGUCAAGCCACAAGUUUUUGUCUUGGGGAUUGCUGAGCUUCAUCAAUCCUGCCAAUGUCAAUUUUGCCCCUAAGCUCUCUCAAAGCACGUUUACAACCUAUGCUAACAUAUAUUAGAGUUUAUGUUAGUAUCAAGAAAAUGCCAACACUAAUUUCGUAACACGUAGAAAUUGUUAGAGAUUGAAGUUUUUAUCAUUUUUUCUUCCAGACUCUCCACCACUCACUAAUAUAGUUUACUCAUGUGAUGAGUUUACAAAACCUAUUUCUCUACUCUCACAAAGACUAUACUUAGGGGGGUGUAUUCAAUUAGGAUUCUAAAGCGUUUAAAAAGAUUUUGUUUAAGUGCCAGCUUUCAUAGAACUUGAUGGAACUUUAUAAUUCGUAUAGAACUUGAUAGACUUUCAGAAGACUUCUGUAUAAUUUUUUAAUAAAACUUUCUUAAGCUUUCAUAGAACUUGAUAGGCUUUCAUUCCAAACUUAUGUAGAUGGUAUAUUUCAUUUUAUCCCCAUCCUUGACAUUUAAAGAAAGAAACUUGAAUUUUUUCAAUCAAAUUUGUUUUUGUUACCAAAGCAGCAAAAACAAAAAGUACUUGUUUGCGAUGGAAGAACAUAUGCACAGUUCAAAAUGAAAAGAAUAAGAAGCAAAGUACCUAUUUGACCAAUGAAUGCUGUGUCAACUAGAGAAGCAAUUGGAUCGGCUGUCAAAGCCAAUGCUGCAGGCAAUGCAUCGAUGGUCCAAAUUGCAAUAAAAAAAUAUUUUGAAUAAUGGCUCUUGCAGACAAAGACCACAUAAAUUCUGAACUGGUCUAGCUUGAAUAAUAAGGUUAGAUUAGCCAAUUGAUGAGAUUAAAAGCAAAGCAAGUUGAUGAAUUUAUCAUCAACUAUUUAAUAACCACAGUCCUGAUCUCUUGGACCCCUGUAGUCCAAGAGAUUUAUGGUCACCCACCGUUGGAUGUAAAUUCAACGGUUGACUUGAAUCGGGUAAUAAUCAUUUAUGUCAUAUUGCAUUUAUAUAUAUCAUUUUGAACCAUUGGAUUAAUAUCCAACGGUGGGUGACCACAAUCUCUUGGACUCCUGUGGUCCAAGAGAUCGGGACUGUUAAUAACCAAUAGAGUAUUUAAACAUAAACAACAAUGUUUGAUCAACAAAACAAAUAGUCCAAAUAUCAUCCAAAAAACAAUAACAAAAAAUCAAUCAUUCCAAACAAACUAGUCAUUCUCAAAAACUCUCAAAAAACCCACUCAUUCCAAAUUGUAGGAUAUCCAAUUUGAGCACUCCUCAGGAGACAUUUUCAAAAAUGCAUCCUUUUUUGUGUUACUAUGCAACAAAGAGAGUGCUUUAUAACGAGCAUGUUCAUCCAAAUUUGGGGUCUCCUUAAUGGCAUCCCAUAUAUAACUCCGCUGCUCUCUCUCUUUUUCCCUUUUUGCCAAUAGGUUAUGGACCUCCCGGAAGUCGAUGACAAUUGAAUCAAUGCUAAGGCUAAUUCUUCCCAUAGCUUGCUGGGUGGUCACAUUUGAGAUAGCAUUCCCUUCCAAAUAUGUUCUAGUUCGUUUCCUCUAGUAACAAGCAUAAAUCCUAGUAACAAGCAUAAACCCUAACCCCAACCUAUAACCUAAUAACAAGAAGAAAACCCAACGAGGUAUUGAUCAAAGAAAAAUUAGGGAGCAUACCUUCACAGAUGGAGGAAGGAAGCUGUUCGUCUUCGCAGAGAGAAAAUCUAGGGAAAGAGAAAAACGUCUUAUGAAAUACUUGGGGGGGAGGUUGGAUUUAUUUUGGUCUUUUUUAUUUAUAACUCUCCCCUUAAAACCUACGUAAAUUUAUCACUUAAUGAAAUCCUUCCAAAUAUAUGACCUUUCGAAUACACCUAGAUUUGAUUCAACUUUUUUAUAAUCAUAAUUGAAUACACCCAUAUUUGAAUGGACUUUUUAAAAGUUCAUAUAGGUCCGAAAUGAAUAUACUCAAACUUGUAAAACCUCUUUUAAAGUUUGUAUAAAUCCAAAUUGAAUACACCUGGAUUUUUAAAAUCUUUUUAAACACUUUAUAAUCCUAAUUGAAUACACCCCCCUUAUUCUCAAAAGACUAUAUUACUUUACCUCUAUCUCUGUGAAAUGUAAAAAGUUGAAACUUUAAUGUCAAACCUCAACAAAAGAUGAACUUUCAUCAGUUACGUUGAAUUUGGAUUUGUUGAACUUAAGUGGUUUUAUUUUCUUUGUCAGUGUUUGAUGACUUAAUUUGGUAUUUAUUUCUUCUUUUUUUUCCUUGGAAAUGUGUUCCACCAACGUGAGGAAGAAAAAUAUGCACAAAUUAAUAUAUUUAAUAGAAGCCCAAGAUUUCGGAUGCAUAUAAUUUCUACAAAAAUCUACAAAGUUUUUUACUUUACAAACUUCUUAUGUCUACCAAUUUCUACUAAAAUUAAUUUCUCUGUGGUGCUCAAAUUCAUCAUAUGUGUGUCGUUAAUUUUAUUGAAAAUUGGAAGUUCCCAUCAUUUUUGUUUUUUGGGAAUUUUCUGAACCAAGGAAAAUCAAGUAAAAUUAAUAAAGCCUAAAUUGGAAAGGGAAAAUAUCUAGAGGAUGCAUUGUAGGAUUGCUCAUGCCAAUAAUUGUACCCUCUAAAUAUAUAGAGACAUAUUUUUUUUGUUUUCAUGACAUGUGGUCCUAAAAUUAUUGUGUAAAUCUUCAAUCCUGAACGAUGCACCUAAAACUCAUCCACCCAUUCUCAGGCCAAUUAUUGCACCUAGUGGGCUCUCGACCCCCUCUCAAAUUUAACCACAUAUUUUAUGGACCAUCCAGCUGUGAGGUACAUUCCCCCCACAUGCCACAAUUGUAUAUUCACAAUUACGUCUGAUACAUCACAUCAUGCCACUUGCCUCAAAUGAAUUUAAGUGAGUGAGGCAGUUGGAAGUAAUUAAGCUCUAUAUUGGUGGGUGGAGUGUUACUUCUCGGUUCCCCUCAUCAUUCGUCUAUAAAAUGGUGAAGGCAGUUGCUAUUGUUACCAUAAGAGCCAGCUCCGACUUCCUUUAAUUUCUUGCUUCAUAUCCACUAGCUACAUCUGUUACCAAGUUAAUUUCAGUUCUAAUGGGGUUUCAUCUCCCACUCAUCUUUGCUCUUCUCAGUGUAAGCUCUGCAAUUUGAUUAACUUUUCCAUUCUCUCUCAUUGUACUCUAUAUAAACGAAAGUUUUGUGUUCCUAUUGUUCUCUCCGAUUUUAUUUAGUACGUACUUAAGUGUCGUCCACUAAUUAAUUAUACUUUGUGAUUUGAUUUUAAUUUGAGUUUGAAUUAAUGUUGCAGCUAGCAGCAGUGGCACUGGCAAACCAUGCUGCUCAACCAGCACCUCAACUUUACUGGAGCUCCGUCCUGCCAAACACACAGAUGCCAAGAUCUAUCAGUGAACUUCUGCAUCCUGGUUUGUGUUGAGCUCUUUAGAAUCUUAGAUAUCUCUUCUACCUGCCAUUUUACUAAAAUAUGUUCCACCACAUAUUUAUCAGUUAACCAUUGUCAUUACAUGAGUGACACAUAUUCACAAAUCGGCUGAUCACUUAUUUUCCAUUAUGACUUGAUAUAUAAUUUGCAGACUCCACAAAUGAAGAAAAGAGCACAAAUGACGUUGGCAAACCUGAAACUUUCCCAUUGGGCAAUCAACAUUACUCCAGUCAAAAACAUUAUGGAGGCAUACCUGAAACUUCCCCAUUGGGCAAUAAACAUUACUCCAGUCAAAAACAUUAUGGAAGAGGCAAACCUGAAACUUUCCCAUUGGGCAAUCAGCAUUACUCCAGUCAAAGACAUUAUGGAAGAGGCAAACCUGAAACUUUCCCAUUGGGCAAUAAACAUUACUCCAGUCAAAAACAUUAUGGAAGAGGCAAACCUGAAACUUUCCCAUUGGGCAAUCAGCAUUACUCCAGUCAAAAAAAGUAUGGAAGAGGUGCUUCUCCAUCCGACAAUCAACAACUCCAUUAUAAAGACUUAGCUAUUUUCUUCUUGGAGAAGGACAUGCGCCCUGGCACAACAAUGAAGUUCCAAUUCCCUAUAAAUUCAAACACGGCUACUUUCUUGCCACGAGAAAGCGCUCAAUCGAUCCCCUUCUCCUCUAACAAACUGCCAGAAAUUUUCAACCAUUUUUCAGUGAAGCCAACAUCUGAGGAAGCCAAAACAAUUAAGCAAACAAUCGAAGAGUGUGAAGCUCCAGACCUUAAGGGAGAGGAAAUAUAUUGCGCCACAUCUUUAGAAUCAAUGGUUGAUUUUAGCACUUCGAAGCUUGGAACAAGAAACGUUGAAGCAAUCUCGACGGAGGUAUUGGAAAAAGGAGCCACCAUGUCCAUCCAAAACUAUACAACAAUGCCGGGACUGAAGAAGUUGGCAGGUGACAAAGUCGUUGUGUGUCAUAAGCAGAACUAUCCCUAUGCUGUGUUUUUCUGCCAUGCAAUAAAACAUACAGCAGCUUAUGCUCUCUCCCUGAAAGGCGAUGAUGGGGAGAAGGUUAAAGCAGUAACCAUCUGCCAUCUAGACACAUCAGAAUGGGACCCAGAGCAUAUGUCCUUCCAAAUCGUCAACGUUAAGCCCGGAACCAUUCCCAUCUGCCAUUUCAUUUCCACUGAUGCUAUUGCCUGGGUUCCGAACCACAAAUCUGCAUGAUCAUCACUUAGCACUAGUACUGUGCGUAUAAUAUGCCUGUAUAAUUAUCUCCCUACUUAUUUCUGCCUCUUCAUCAUGUGGUGUAAGAUAUAUGUUGAGAUGAAGUUUUUGGGAUUUGUGGUCGAAAUUAACCCGAUCAUGUUUUCUCUUGCAACCAUAUAGACUUCAACUUGUACUCAUAAUAAAGCAUGCUAUAUUUAUGAAGAGAUAUUAAUCUUCAGGCAAAUAGAUAUUAUGAAAACAUAUAUAGCAAUUUAUCCAGAAGAAACAUUAUGAAAUGAAAAGAAUAAAAAGUAGAAAAACAGAAGGAAAGGAAUUCGCACGUGCUAUGCUAUGUAUGAAAGGACCAAGAUUGUUUUCCCUUUGGUUAAUGACUAGAAAAGCUCACUUGCAGAGUGCUUUCUCCGACCAUAGAUGGAAGAGAAAUUUUCUCUUAAUAAUAGCACAAUGAUCGGGUAAUUGUAAGAACAAGUUGAUUUAAAAUUCCUUGACCCAAAAAAAAAAAAAAAGUUCUUUUCAAAUUCAGGUCAACCCAUAGAUUUCUUGCCUUCGUCUUCUUCAUCACGUUGGGCUUGUCUUCUUUUUGCGUUUUGGGCCUUGGAAGUUGGGACCCAACCCAACUUCACAAAAAGAAAACAGAUUUGCCAAAAAUCAAAUUUCAAGUCUCUCCUCCGAUCACUAAUACAGAUCAAAUUUUGGAUUUGAUGAACUAAAGUGGUUUUACUUUCUCUGUCAGUGUUUGAUGACUUAAUUUGUUAUUUACUUUUUUUUUUUUACUUGAUCUUUGUAGGGGCUUUUUUUUUUCCGGCAGCUUAAACGGGCUGGGCUGCCGUAAAGGGUAGAUUGAUGAAAUUGUCCCCUUUGUCUGAAUUCGAAAAUCAAGCCCCAAAAGCGCUUCGAAAGGGCAGUAGAGCCUUAGGAAGCGUUCUGGUUACCUUCACUAAUUAAAACAACAGCAACUUACAGAUGAUUUCUUGAGGCUUACAGAUAAAUUUUCUAGCUUGGCAUGACAUGGAAGCAAAAUCAGCAUGAGUUUAGCACCAAAGAGGAAAAUAUGGCUUCCUAGGGAGAAAUGAGAGUGUUUAAGGUGAGGAAGAAGAGGUUUGCAGGCUGAUUUGGCUGAGAAAAGAGAAAGAAAGAACAAUGUUCUUCCGGCAGCUUGACAAAGCUUCUGACAGAUGUGAAAGUCGUCCGCCAGAAGAGGAAAAUGGAGAAGAAGGAUGAAUAGUGCACGAAAUUGGUGGGUUCUUGCAGGUAAGAGAGAAAGCUUGCUCUCUGAAUCUGAGUUGGUUUUGGUUGGGUAGAAGAAGCCCCCUUUUAUAGCUGCGGGAAACCAUCUUUUUCCAAGAAACCCUAAUGGUUUCUAUCCUUUUUGGCCAAGCUUUUCCCUUCCUUUCUCUUCUCCUCCCUUGACUUUUCCUAUCUUGGUGAAAUUUCCUCUGCCUAUUUGCACAAAAUUAGAGAUUUUGAGGAGCUCAAGGCCCCUUUCCCGCAGCUGCCUUAGUGGAGAAUCCCCAUUUUCAGUCAUCUUUCUUCCUUCUUUUCUCCCAUCUUCCAAGGCUAGGUUUGAUGAGAGAAAGAAAUGGAUAUGCACACUGGUUUGAAGGGUGUUUUUCCUUGAAACUUGUUCUCUCCCAUGUGCUGGAGCUUCCCAGCAGCUUACACACAUAGAUAUUUUGGCUUUCAUCGUGGCUUUUGUUUUCAGCUAGGUGCUGGAGAUUUUGCAUAUAUUUUCUUGAGUUGCUUGGGCCUUCUAGGACAAUACGUUGGUUUAUCAAGUGAAUGGGCUAACUUCAUCAAUUGUUGGGCAAUUUUGGUUGAGUUAAUGGACUAUUUUGGUUCAAGUAAUGGACUAUUUUGGUUGAAAUAAUAGGCUAUUUUUCUCUCUUUGUGCUCACCCACAUAUUUGGGCCUAAAAAAUGGGCUUGAGUUUCGGGGCUCCCAAGCAACCCCGGGACUUCCAUUUCUCGGCCCAUCAAUGAGCCUCAUGUCAACUUAUUACCAUCCAUACCACAACCCACUCAAGCAAGCCUCAGGCAUCUUGCGUGGCUUGGGCCCACGUAAGCUCGUAGUGGCAAUGUUGCUUAUUUGCUUGACGUGGCAUGUGUGCAAGUGCAUAUGACGAACUUUCGCGUGCCCAAAUUGAGUUUCUUCUCGGUAGGGUAUCGCAUUGGGCCGAGAAUUUAAUUGGGUAGAACCGUGGAUUUUUUGGGCCUCAACAAUCUUAUAUAUAUUAGUUUUCUUUUUUUCCUUAAUAUUCACCACCUUUCUGUUGCAUAAGUAUUCCAGUCUUAGCGGGUUUCCAUCUACCACUCAUCUUUGCUCUUUUAAGUGCAAGCUUUUUUAUUUUUAUUUUUUUAUGCACAAGAUUAGAGGGGAGGGAGAUUUCUCAAUGUAAGCUUUGCAGUUUCAUAAUUAAUAUUUCCAAUAUCUCACUGUUAGUAAAAUAUGGAACGGGAAAAGUACGAAUAAAAUACACACAUGUUUUAUUUAGCAAAAUUUUGACAAGAUACAACUGAAAAGUUUGGCCACUAUAUAAUAUUUUGAUUUAAUUUUUUUUAUUUUUUUAAUAUAUAUUAUUUUUAUUCAAUAAUAUGUGAAAAAUAGGUGUACAAUAUAUGAAAUUUGUAUGUAUUAUUGAAAAAUUCGUAAAAAAAAAACAUGUUAUUAAAUGUGAAAAAUAUGUACGUAUAUGUAUAAAACAUGUAUUGUACAUUACUUUUUAACAAACUUGUAUUUUACCUAGUCUUUAAACCGUAUAUGGAAAACGGAAGUAUUAUUGAAAAAUACAUAUGUACGUAUAUGUAUAAAACAUGUAUUGUACAUUACUUUUUAACAAACUUGUAUUUUACCUAGUCUUUAAACCGUAUAUGGAAAACGGAAGUAUUAUUAAAAAAUACAUAUGUACGUGUAUAAUAUGAGUAUUAAACAAAAAAAUGUGCUAAGUACUUAUCUUUUAAUUUAAUAAUUCAUUUCAUUUUGUGAUCUCAUACGUAGUAAUGAGAGUUCAAAUUAAUGUUGCAGCUGACAAUGGUGGCUCUGGCAAGCCAUGCUUGAUGCAGGAGUAUAGGGGUGGAUCAAGAUAGAUAUUUACCAUGUAAUUAGUUAUUUCAUGAUAUAUUGUUAUUUUCUUAUUUAGGUAGUUUUAUGAUAUCUUUUAUUAUUUAUGUGGGAUUUUAUAAUUAAUUAGUUUACUUUUGGACCAAGUAGCCUUGGUGCUCAAGUCUUGUAAAGCUUAUAAAUAAGGCUAAUGUAAUAGUUGUAGGAAAAGAGAUGUCGAUGAUUAAUAAAAUCGUUUAUUUGUGGCAUGGAUUUGCUACGAUAUAUGUGAGUUUGCACUAGCCCUAGAUUUCGGUGCUCGUGUAUGUGGUUGGUGACCUGUGUCCGGAUCCCGAUCCCCAUCAAUGCUGUUCUCCCAGUACCUCAACUUUACUGGAACUCUUUCCUGCCAAACACAAAUGCCAAGAGCUAUCAGUCAACUUCUGCAUCCUGGUUUCUAUUAAGGGACUUUUCGUGAGCUUAUCAUCUACCCAAAUUUUACUCAUCCGACGUAAUUUUAAAAGUGAUUUGAUCCUUUGGCAAAGUAAUCUUGAACUACAAAAAAGGAGGGCACUCGAAUAGGCAUGCCAUUUGGUAUUACCCACCUCUAAUUUCUUUUAAAAUUUUAGUAAUUGAUUUUUAAGAUUAGAAAAUGGGAAAGUUCAAAACCGAAAAAGUUGUUUCAGUUUUGGCAAGUAUCGGAAAAGACUAAAAUUUUCCGACUUUAUUAUUACUAGAAACAAAGUCGAAGUAUUCACCAAUCAUGUGGCCUUCCAAGUGCUCAAGGUUAAGCCAGGAACCGUUCCUAUCAGCCAUUUCCUUCCCAAGUAUGAUCAUGUUGUCUGGGUUCCAACCCACAAAUCUACAUCAGUACCUGAACUAAUCAGUUCUACAUGAAUAUUCAUUCAUGGCAACCUUGGGCUAAGUAUUUGAAUUUAUGCUCAUAAAGCUUUAAUGCUUUUGAGGGCCAAUCGUUGUCUACAUAUGGUAUUGUAGCAUCUUUAGAUGGAAGAGGUCAGGGGUUCAAUUCUUGUUUUCCACUUCUUUAUUUGUUGGUUUAUCGAGUGUAGAGUGGAGUUGCACCUAUAUGUUCGUCUCUCACCCCAUCAUUUACCAUUGAUAUAUAUUUAAUAGAAGCCUAAGAUUUCGGAAGCACAUAAUUUCUACUUUACAAACUUCCUGUGUCUACCAAUUUCUACUAAAAUUAAUUUAUCUGCGGUGCUGAGAUUCAUCAUAAUUUUAAUAGAAAUUGGAAGUUUUCAUCAUUUUUGCUUUAAGUCUCUACUCCACUCACUAAUAAAGAUUACUCAUGUGAGUUUACAAAACAUUUUUUUUUUCUACUCUCUCCUGAAGACUACACUUCUUCUCAAAAAAUUAGAUCACUUCACAUCUUGUGUAUGUGAAAACUAAUGUAAAAAGUUGAAACUUUAUCGUAAAACCUCGACAAAAAUGAGCUCUACUACAAAAUGUUAAAUUUGGAUUCGUUGAUUUAAAUGGCAAUUUGACACUUGAUAGAAAUUUUUACAUACAUGUGUUAGUGUUUGAUCACUUCACAUGUCACUUACUAUAUUUAUUCCACUCAAGUUAGGUAAAUAUUAUUAUCAAACAUUUCAAUUAAUUUGUGAUUUUUUUAUUAUUUAAUCAAUUAUGAAUUAAUGGAUUCUUCUUGUUGUUUUGAAGACCAACAAAAAAAAAAAAAAGGGUAGUGAUGGCUUAUAAUUCUGGUAAAACAACAGUGACGUGGACAACAGAUGUUACGCUGUACUAAAGAUUUUUGAAGAUUCUUUAUUUGAGUUUCUUUCAAGAUAAAAACCAUAUUAUCCACAACCACAAGCACAUCCGGCAGACAAUCUUUGGCUAUUCAUCACAAUUGGGAGACAAUGAAGAAGACAGAAAAUGGAGUAAUUCAGAUGUUACCAGCCAUCCACGACAAACUGAAGUCUGCAAAGCAUUCGUAAUCUAAAAAGGAUGGGGAGGCUGCGCAAUACUUAGCCACGUGUAGGCCAGGAGGCUUUCCAAUUUUAAUAUAUAUAUAGAUUGAAAAAAUAAAAUAAAAAUCAAUCUAUUAUCAUAUAUAUUAUAAAAUAAAGAUUAUUGCUCCCAUGGGCGGUGCUAUGCACAGGACAGUGCCUGCCUAGUCCAAAUUUUUUUUAAAUAAAAAUAAAAAUCUACAUAUGUUAUAAGCUCAUCCAAAAAAAAAAAAAAAAAUAAAAGUGUUGUAAAUUAUAAGGUGGAGCCCACAUGUUGGAAGGCUUUGCCUACAAAAGGGUUCACACCCUCCCUUUGUAAUUAGACAUUGAGAAUACUAAGGAAGACAGAAAUGAAUAGAGAGAAAACAUUCCCUUCUCUCCAUCUCAAUUCCCUCUCCAAUUCCUCUAGAUUUAUAACACGUUAUCAGCAGCACGAAUCGCUUUCAAACAAUACCAGCUGAAUUUUAUGAUGAAACCCAGAUCUCUCAUCCAUCUCUGCUGCUCCACUACUUCAAAAUAAAUCCCACAGAAAAAGAAAAAGCCUCAAUGCUCUCUCUCUCUCUCUGUCUCGCUUGGGAGACUUGGACAAUUCCUCAUCCCCGUUACUGACAAUUUCAACAGCUUCAGGGGAAGCUAGUUUAUCUUCCUCUGCUCACGAAACCAUGACUCUUUCAGAGCCAAACAACAACACAAUAGACAACGCAUGGAGACCAGACUGGAGCUCGUCGGCUAAGGCACCGACGAUCCGACCCUACCCGUAUGGACCUUCCGGAUGUGGUUCCUGGGUCUUGUCUCAUGUGCCCUCCUCUCAUUUCUCAACCAAUUCUACAAGCAGCAGAGCUUCAAAUCAAACAGAUCAUGGCAUCGCUUUCACACCUCCCCAUCUUCCUCUUCCUCCUGUUCACCGCUUUCUAUUCUACAGCUUCGCAGUCCUUCAUCGGCGCAUCCAAAGGCGACAUACCGGCGCUCGCCUCAGAUCCGAACGCGGCGGCUCAGUGGGUGAACUCGAAUGUCCUCGCCUUCUACUCGGCCAGCAACAUCGACCUCAUCAACGUCGGCAACGAGGUCCUUUUUCUCCAACGACCAGGGCCUCAUCUCGCAGCUCCUCCCCGCCAUGCGAAAUGUCCAAUCUGCCCUCUCCGCCGCGUCCCUCGGCGGCAAGGUCCGUGUCUCCACGGUCCACUGCCUCGCCGGAUCGGGAUCCUUCCUUCAAGUGUUUCUCUGUCUUCGACUUGAAAAAGAAGGUCAUGGCAGGCCUAUGUAAAAAUUGCGAAAAGGAAGGCAAUCUUCAACCUUUUCUCCUGUCUCUCUCUUGAUCAAUUCAUGGAAGGCACAUUUGGGUCUUCCGGGGGCUCAUCAAAUGAGUCAGCAAUGUCAAAGGUGGAGGUGGUGGAGCAAGACUACGUGGGGAUGUCAUAUGAGGCAACCUCAUACCCAGCUGAGGCAGAGCUUGUGCUGGGCCUGGGCCUUGGCCUGAGCCUUCGUGGUGGUGGUGCAGGGAAGCAGCCAAAGCCAUGUGCAUGGGGUGAGCGUGGUAGAAUCUUGACUGCUAAAGUUAGGUGCUGAGUUACACUGUGUUCUCUGCUACUGACCCUAAGAGGAGUGCUAGAAACUUCCAUGUUCCGCCAUCAUUUCGCUUUCACUGUUACAAGGCACUGGAGUAUGUUUAAUUGAAAAGUGAGAUACACAGCAAGUUGAUCAGCCUAGUGGAAAGCAAAGGAUUAUUGCCAGGGAUAUGAACACCCACCGAAAUAAAGGGAUAAGUACUCUUUUUCCCUUCGACCAGUUUUUUUUUGUCCCACUGGGUUUUUACUGGCAAGGUUUUUCACGAAACAUAUUCCGUAUCAUUUGUGGUCUCUAAGAGGGAGUGUUGUAAAUUAUAAGGUGGAGCCCACAUGUUGGAAGGCUUUGCCUACAAAAGGGUUCACACCCUCCCUUUGUAAUUAGACAUUGAGAAUACUAAGGAAGACAGAAAUGAAUAGAGAGAAAACAUUCCCUUCUCUCCAUCUCAAUUCCCUCUCCAAUUCCUCUAGAUUUAUAACAAAAAGUAAAUUCUACACAUAUGUUGCCCAUCCAGGUGGUCCCAUAUCUUCUCUUUCCUUUUCUUUUGGCUAUUAGACUUCUUGUUUCUCUCUCUCUCUUUGCUACCCCACAUCAGCAAGUUUCUCCCUCUCUUUUUUUGGGAUCAAAUUCUUCUUCUAUUGACAAAAUCUUCUAUUAUAUUGGGUGGGCAACUUGGCAACAACAUCUUCUCCUCUCCUUUUGUCAACAGCAAGUAUUAUUCUCAUUCUCUCAUUUGCUAUAUAUCUUUAAUUAUAGUUUUAAUUUAAAAUUGAGUAUUCUAGGGUUUAAUUAGGGAUGAAUUAUAAUUUUGGGAUUUUGUUGAAAUUAAUUAGGGCUUCGAUUAGGGGUGAAUUAUUCUACUGCUUUGAUUUGGAAUUUUGUUAAAAUUGAGUAUUAUAGGUUUAAUUAUGGAUGAAUUACAAUUUUUGGUUUUGGUAUUGUUGAGAUGUUAUUAUGAGAAUUUGUUUGAUUUUUUGUUGGUAUAUUUGAUUAAAAUUCUUUCUACAUAUUAUUCAUAGGCUAUCUUUUAUUAUGUCGGAUCACAAUCGGAAUCCCAAGAAAACAAAAAAUUUGAAUAGUGUUGUUUUGUAUUGCAUUGCAUUUACUUUUGGUUUUAGUUUUGCUUUUAGUGUAAAUUACUCAAAUGGUCCUCAAAUUUGUACCCAAUUUACAUUUUGGUCCAUAAACUAAAUUAUUCAUUCAAAUGGUCCACCAACUCUUUAUUAAUCGGUGCUUUGGUCCUAUCGUUAUGUUUUCUAUUAAAUUUAGUCAUGUGAGCAGCACAUGCUACAUUUGUAUGGGUAAAUAAGACUUUUGACCAGUGGCGGAUCCACGUUGGGACAAGAGGGGUCGGACGACCCCUUGGAAGGCUGGAAAUUUGGCAAGGGAGUCCAUGAAAGCCCCCUUGGACAGCUGCUGGAAGCCCCCUUGUAUGCACACAAUGUGCUCGACGAAAUGCCCCAACGAAAUGUCCUGCGCAGCUGUGCUGCGCCUUGCGCGUAAUUUUUUUUUAAAACCAGCCUUGCCAAACGACGUCGUUUGGUCAAGGCUCAGUCAAAUUUUUUUUUAAUUAACCUGGCCUCAAAACGACGUCGUUUUGGGCCAGGUUUAAAAAAAAAAAAACAGAACAGUACACACGCACAGCAGCUCUGCACAGAUUCAUUUUCUCCAAACCUUUCAUUCCCAAUUCCACAGCCCCUCUUCCCAUCCUCUCAAACCCUAACCUCCCAACCUCCCAACCUUGGACAACCUCCAUCAACUCUUCACCGGUGGCCCAAUGCCGAUCACCACCACCUUCUACCGCCGUCCGCCGCCCAUUUUUUAAACUACAAGUAAGUAAGCAUGGAAAAUCUGAUAUUAAUAAUUAUAGUGAUAAUAUAUAUUGUUGAUAUUGAUAUUUUUUUUUUAUGUAAUGAAAUUUAUGGAUAUGAAUCAUAUUGAUUGAUUGAGUUUAUGCUUGAAAUUUAUGGAUAUGAAUCAUAUUGAUAUUUUUUUUUAUGUAAUUAAAUUUAUGGAUAUGAAUCAUAGUGAUAAUCAUAUUAAUGUAGAUUGAUUGAGUUUAUGCUUGAUUGAUAAUAUGAAUUGAUUGGGUAUAUUAAAUAUUGAUUGCUAUUUGAUAUGAUAAUUUGGUAUAUUGAAUAUUGAUUGAUAUGGGUUUAGGGAGUAUAUUGAAUAUUGAGAGUGGGUUAUUGAAAUUUUCAUAUUCAUAUGAUAAUUAGGAUAAAAAUUAAUGAUUGAUUGAAUUAAUUGAUUUGUAGAUUUAUGGAACGAUUCUUUAAAAGAAAAUUAUCUACGGAUAGUUCUUCUCUGUCUAAUCCGGGUAGUUCAAAUGCAAGACCAAUUGAAGUAGAUGAGAUCUUAGCUAAUCUUCAAGCAGACCCUGGACUAAGAACUCGAAUGGCGGAUUAUAGUCCUAAUAUUAGGGAUGAGAUCCGAAGAGCAUAUCUACAAAAGGGACCUUGUCAACCUAGAAGUUAUAAAUUCCCACAAACUAAUCAAUCAGGAAUUAAUAGACGCUUCAUUGCUCAUUGGUUUGAUGAUCAUGAUUGGUUGGAAUAUAGUAUUGCUAAAGAUGCUACGUUUUGUCUUCAUUGUUAUCUCUUCAAAUCUAAUUUUGAUCAAGUGGGUGGUGAUGCAUUCACUGGGGUAGGCUUCAAUAAUUGGAAGAAGGCGAAAGAAAGAUUUAACCUUCAUAUUGGACCGGUUGGUAGUGUUCACAACCAAGCUAGAGAAGUUGCUUACAAUUUGAUGCAUCAAACUACACACAUUGAAACAAUUGUGCUCAAGCAAACAAGCCAAGCUCGCACGGCUUAUCGCACUUGCUUGAAUGCAUCACUUAAGUGCACUAGGUAUUUGUUGCGGCAAGGGCUUUCUUUUCGUGGUCAUGAUGAAAGUGCACAAUCAAGUAAUAAAGGGAAUUAUUUAGAGCUCUUGCAAUUUCUUGCGGAUCAUGAUGAAAAAGUUAAGGCCGUUGUAUUGGAAAAUGCUCCGGGAAAUUUAAAGUUAAUAGCUCCUUCAAUUCAAAAAGAUCUUGUCAAUUCUUGUGCCAAAGAAACCAUUGAUCUUAUCUUGAGUGAUGUAAAAGAUAGAUAUUUUUCAAUAAUGGUGGAUGAAGCACGUGAUGUUUCAAUAAAGGAGCAAAUGGCAAUGGUGUUGCGUUAUGUGAAUGACAAAGGACAAAUAAUUGAAAGGUUUGUGGGGGUUCAACAUGUAACCGACACUACUUCAAGUGCACUAAAGGAAACAAUUGAUGAAUUCUUUUCUUCCGCGAAUUUGAGCUUUUCCAAGCUACGAGGACAAGGUUAUGAUGGAGCUAGCAAUAUGAGAGGUGAGUUCAAUGGCCUUAAGAGAAAGAUUUUGAGAGAACAACCUUGUGCAUUUUAUGUUCAUUGCUUUGCUCAUCAACUUCAACUAGCUCUUGUUGCGGUAGCAAAGAAAAACAUUGAUGUCAACUCUUUUUUCACAACGGCUAAUAGUUUGGUUAAUGUGGUUGGAGCAUCUUGUAAGCGUCGCGAUGCACUUAGAGCACAAUACCAAGAAGAGCUUGUGAGAGCUUUUGAAGAUGAUUGUCUUAUAACGGGGCGGGGCUUAAAUCAAGAAAGGACUCUCAAACGUGCCGGCAAUACACGAUGGAACUCACAUUAUGGUACGUUGAUUAGUAUCAUUUCUAUGUUCCCAUCUGUGGUGAAUGUGCUUCAAAUGAUUGUUGAUGAUAAUCUUAAUGAUAGUUCGGGUGAAGCCUAUAAGUUAAGGAGAGAAAUACAAUCUUUUGAGUUUGUGUUUCACUUAUUUGUAAUGAAAGCUAUAUUGGGAAUAACAAACACUUUGUCUCUAGCAUUGCAAAAGAAAGAUCAAGACAUUGUGAGUACAAUGAAUUUAGUGAAAACAUGCAAGGAAAACCUGCAGUUGAUGAGGGAUAAUGAGUUUGAAGAAUUGGUUGGGCAAGCAUCCUCGUUUUGUUACAAAUAUGAUAUUAUAGUUCCUACCAUGGAUGAGGAAUAUGUAAUUCCAGGGAGAUCAUGGCGUAAUGCUCCAAUGAAGACAAAUUAUCAUCGUUAUCGUGUGGAGAUCUUUAUUCAUGUAAUUGAUGGGCAACUUGCGGAAUUAAAUGAUCGCUUCAACGAGGUAAGUACUGAGUUACUUACUUGUUUGGCAUGCUUGAGUCCAAAAAAUAACUUUGUGACUUUUGACAAACGAAAGCUAGUUCGUCUUGCUCAAUUUUAUCCUUAUGAUUUUUCGGAUAGAGACUUAUUGAUGCUUGAAGAUCAACUUGGUGUUUAUGUUCAUCAUAUGCGUUCGAGUAGUGAUUUUUCUCAAUUGGAAGGGAUUAGUAGUCUUGCGGAAAAAAUGGUGGAGAAAGGAAUGCAUGAAAUAUUUCCUUUUGUAUUUGCUUCUUACAUUGGCUUUGGUUUUACCGGUUGCAACUGCAUCAGUGGAGAGGGCAUUUUCCGCUAUGAAUAUUAUUAAAAAUCCACUUCGCAACAGAAUGGGAGAUCAAUGGUUGAAUGAUAGCUUGCUUGUUUACAUUGAGAGAGAUGUUUUUGCUUGUAUUGAUAACGAAAUUAUAAUGCAAUGUUUUCAGAAUAUGAAAACUCGUCGUGGACAAUUGUAACUUGUAUUAUUGGUUUUGUUAUGAAUUAUGAAUGAAAGUACUAUCUUUCUAUCUUUUUAGCAUUAUUUUCUUUGUAGAAAAAUUUCAGAACUUUUACACUAAGCCCCCUUGGCUACAUAAUCCUGGAUCCGCCACUGCUUUUGACCACUUUAUCACCUAUGUAUCACCACUUUAUAACCUAUUUGGGGAACAUAGGUCAGUUAUGGACGGUUUUACCCUUACAUUUGACGGCAACAUUAACAUAAUGUAACAGUGGGAUCAAUGGAGUGAUUAAUAUAAAGUUGAUGGACCAUUUGAAUGAAUAAUUUAAUUGAGAGACCAAAAUGUAAAUCAAGUAUAAGUUUGAGGACCAUUUGAGUAAUUUACCCUUCGCUUUUAUAUUUGUUGAACUUUUAUUUAUGAUAGAUAUGCAUUUAAGGGUAAGACCCAUUAUGUUCCCCUGGCUAGGUGUAUCUUUUUAUGUUUAUUAAUGAAAUUCACUCGAACUGUUGAGUUUAGUAUGUAAGUUUUGCCUAACUGGCUUUUGAAUCCUAGAACCGCCACUGUUGCUCCAUCCUCCAUGCACUUGCAUGUGCUCUUACAAAGUGUGAAGUAGAUUUUGUGUGCUCCAAGUCAUUGACUAGAGCUGAAACAUGGUUAGCUAGAUUUAUAAGGACCCAUCUCUUUAUUUCCUAGACAUAUACCCAUCUCUCUAUAAAUCUAUAUGUAAAACCUAAUUUCAAACUUAAAUGACCAGUAGGAUAUAAAAGGUCAUAGUAUUCCUAUGUUUUUAUAUCGUUGCCACCAGACUUCUUAUUUUAUUUAUAAUUUAUUUCAAGCAUUUCAUUAACUGCCAUAAUUGUAAUUAAUACUCCAUAUUAAUAGCAUAUCAAUCACCCCAUUUCUUUUGGUUGCCAUUCCCUCUAACAUAUCGCCCCUUAAAUUUGAAAACCAAAAAAAAAAAAUGUAAAUUACAUAUCCAAUAAUGUACCUAUGAAAAAUAUAAAUAUAAAUAUAUACAUAUAAAAAUAUAGGUAUAUUAUUUACCAAAUAGAAAAUAUAAAAACCUAGGUCAGUUGCUUUGUAAUUGAAAUUUCUGUACAUUUUCCACAAAUUAAAAAUAGGUACAUAAUAAUUUAUAGAAAAUAUAUGUACAUUAUUUAUCCAUAGGUAAAAAUACCGAUAAAUGCACAUAGGUGAAUUAUUUACCAAUAUAUUAUUUUUUUGCUAAGGAUUUACCUUAGUUUUUAGUAGAUUAAUUUACCUACCUAGAGGCAUAGGUAGCUUAAAAAAAAUGUACCACCUUAGUUGGUUGCAUACUAAUUUACCUACCUAGAGGCAUAGGUUGCUAAGAAAAAAUGUAGGUAAAUUCAUGUACCUAAACACAUAGGGGUCAAAUAGAGAAUAACAUGUUAUUUCCCUUUGAACAAAUUAAUUUCAAACCAUAACAAUUAUUGAAUUUGGAAAUUGGUAUAAAUAAAAGGAAAUAAAUAAACUAUCAAUUUGAAAAUUAAAAUAAGAAAUGAUCAAGUAGUCAUAUUUGAAAAAAAAGGAAAGAAUAUAUUCUUGGUUUUUAUAGGAACAACGAGUAUAUUCAAACCAAACGGCGAUAACUACACCAAGCUUUAAUUACUUUUUUUUAAGGCCAAAAGUCACUUUUGGUCCCUGUAGUUCGGCAUUUCUACCACUUUUGAUGUUGUAGUUUCAAUUCCGUCAAUUUUGCCAUUGUAGUUUCGUAUUUGUAGCAAUUCAAGGACCUGUUAAUAUUAAUGUCAAUUUGUUUAAUGAUGCAAGAGGUAAUUUCGUCAUCCCAAAAUCCUUGAGCAUAAAAGAUUGUCUGAAAUUCUCCCCAUUUCAUAUUAGGGCUCGAAAUUCAACCACUAAUCCUAAUUUUUGAAGAACCCUAGACCCAAAUGACCAAUUUCAAGCCCUAAUAUGAAAUUACGGAAGUUUUAGAUGAGCUUUUAUGCUCAAGGAUUUUGAGUUGAAGAAACUGCCCCUUGCACUGUCAAAUAAAUUGACAGGAAUACUGACUUGUCCUUGAAUUGCUACAAAUACAAAACUACAGUGUCAAAAUUAACAGAAUUUAAACUAUAGGGUCAAAAGUAGUUGAAGUGUCAAACUAUAAGGACCAAAAGUGACUUUUAGCCUUUUUGUUUCAAUAAGGAAAAAACUGACCUAUUAAAUCCUUGGAAUCUAUACAAAAUUGAAACACAAUUAAUCAACAUUGAAUUGCAGCUAAUUUCUUAAACAAGGGUAUUAUAGGAAUUUAAAAAGUAUAACAUUUAAUCCAUUGAAUUUGAUUAGGAAACUUGAUGAAUUGAAUCCUAGUUAUAUAGUUUUUCUUAUAAAAAUCAGGUUUUAUUUAUAGACAAAUAAAACAAUGGGUUGUAGGUAAGAAAAUAUUAAUUUGAAGGGAAAGAGUCAAAUUUACUAAAUUAAUAAAGCAUAAAUUGGAAAGGGAAAAGAUCUAGAGGAUGCAUUGUAGGAUUGCUCAUGCCAAUAAUUGCACCCUCUCGAUAUUGAAAAACCUAUUGUUUAUUAUUAUCUUCAAUCCUGAAUGAUGCACCUAAAACCCAAGUGUCUCAGGCCAACCAUUGCGCUCAUACCACUUGUUGCAGUACACAUUCACCUGUUUUUAAAGAAAGAAAUUCUACCAAUCGAUAUUUUCUCAAAUUUAAUCACAUAGAUCUAUUAUGGUUAACCAUAUGUACUUUUAUCUGCCAUCCAGAGGUACCUUUUUCCAACGUGCAACAAUUGUAUUUGAUUCACAAUUAUGUCUGAUAUACAUCACAUCAUGCCACUUGCCUCAAAUGAAUUUAAUUGAGUGAGGCAAUGGGAAGUAAUUAAGCUCUAUAUUGGUGGGUGGAGUGUUACUUCUGGAACCCUCAUCAUUCGUCCAUACAGGGGAACAAUUCCCUUCCUUCUAUAAAAUGGGAGCAAUUCUCUCACUGUACUCUAUAUAAAGGAAUAAGUGUCGUCCACUAAUUAAUUACACUUUGUGAGAUUUGAUUUUAAUUAGAGUUCGAAUUAAUGUUGCAGCUAGCAGCGGUGGCACUGGCAAACCAUGCUGCUCAACCAGCACCUCCACUUUACUGGAAUUCCAUCCUGCCAAACACACAAAUGCCAAGAGCUAUCAGUGAACUUCUGCAUCCUGAUUUGUGUUGAAUAGAUAUAGUAUGUUACUGGAGUACGUAUGGCAACAUAUUCACAAAUGUGUCACGUAUUUUCCAUUAUGACGUUGAUAUAUAAUUGCAGACUCCACAAACGAAGAAAAGAGCACAAAUGUCAUGAAUGCUGUUGGGAAUGGAAAGCCAAUUGACCACAAGGGCAAACCUGAAAAUACUGUACUACCACAGCUUGCACGACGCCCAUUUUCUUACAAGAGUGAUGAUCGUCCCACUGACAAUCAACUCCAUUAUAAAAACGUAGCUAUUUUCUUCUUGGAGAAGGACAUGCGCCCUGGCACAACAAUGAGCUUCCAAUUCCCUAGAAAUUCAAACACGGCUACUUUCCUGCCACGAGAAAGAGCUCAAUCGAUCCCCUUCUCCUCUAACAAACUACCAGAAAUUUUCAACCAUUUUUCAGUGAAGCCAACAUCUGUGGAAGCCAAAACAAUUAAGCAAACAAUCGAAGAGUGUGAGGCUCCAGGCAUUAAGGGAGAGGAAAUAUAUUGCGCCACAUCUUUAGAAUCAAUGGUUGAUUUUAGCACUUCGAAGCUUCGAACAAGAAACGUUCAAGCAAUCUCGACGGAGGUAUUGGAAAAAGGUGCCACCAUGUCCAUGCACAAGCACACAACAAUGCCGGGACUGAAGAAGUUGGCAGGUGUCAAAGUCGUUUUGUGUCAUAAGCAGAACUAUCCCUAUGCUGUGUUUUACUGCCAUGUAAUAAAACCAACAGCAGCUUAUGUUCUCUCCCUGAAAGGCGAUGAUGGGGUGAAAGUUAAAGCAGUAGCCAUCUGCCAUCUAGACACAUCAGAAUGGAACCCAAAGCAUUUGGCCUUCCAAAUCCUCAAAGUUAAGCCCGGAACAAUUCCCAUCUGCCAUUUCCUUCCCACUGAUCAUAUUGUCUGGGUUCCGAACCACAAAUCUGCAUGAUCAUCACUUAGCACUGUACGUAUAAUAACCUUUACCCCUGUAUAAUUAUCUCCCUACUCUACUUAUUUCUGCCUCUUCAUGUGGUGUAAGAUAUAUGAUGAGAUGAAGUUUUUGGGAUUAGUGGUCGGGUUGCCUUAAAAACACAGAUUACAGAAACUGCUUGAACUUAACCCGAUCAUGUUUUCUCUUGUACUCGUAAAGCAUGCUGUUGUGGUUCUACUUAAUUUCGUCCUCCCCAAUGUUUGAGUGUUUAAUUGUUACGUUGGAAUAGGCUGCUAAUGCAUGUAGUUAGAGAAGCUUUCAUUUAUAUCAAAGUCCUCAAACUAUCAAGAAUUAAUGCAUCCAGAAACAUAUAUACCAAGACGCAAAACAACAUAUUUUCCAUGCUGUGUCGGUAACACCAAAGCAAACUUCCUUUAUCACAAAAGGACCAAAUUCCAAUACUAAUCUAAUCCAUCAUGUAAAGCAUACAAUCUACAACUGCCUCCCUAAAUUUGUCCAUUGGAUAUAUAUGUCACUUUUUGGUAAUUUGGUAUAGCAGCACCACGUAGUAUGCAUUUAACAGAAAAGUAAACAAAAUUGACAGUAGAACUAUUUGUCCUAACGAAACUGAAGUUGAAAGACCAUGAGAACGAUUUUGAAAAUUAAGGGACUCAAAUGAAAAUUGGGUCUAAGUUCAGGGACCAAUAAAACGAUUAACCCAUAGAUUUUGGAUCCAGUACCACAUCCCAAAGAGAAAACCACAAGUUUGCAAGCAAGUUUGUCCAUACUAACACUACGUACAGUAUGGGCAAUGUGCUAGACUCAUCUCACUUUCUCAACCUAUCCUAUACUUGUCUAAAAGAGUUUCUAAUUUAAUGUACUGAGAUUUACGAAAGAAAUAUCAGAGAAACAAUUUUCAGGCAAUAAAAAAAUGUCUUGGCAAGAAAAUGCACAAUUUGUUACAUAACUUAUUAAAUAUGAACAGUUGAAAGAAAAAAGAAUUUGGAUGAGGGAUUUGCAAAUUCCUAUGGCCCAAUUACCUUUUUUUCUUUGUUUUUUUUUGGUUCUUUUGAUCCAGUAGCAUAUUCCAAAGAAUGAAAACCACAGGCAUGCAAUGCAAGCUCUUUUCCCAUGUUUUCCUCUGUUUUUCUCCUAUCAUGGAAGUGAUUAAAACACACCUCUAAGCUUGUUUUGCGUUUGGUAGCCGAGUGUAAAAGCUCAAUGCAAGAUAGUUUGAGGUAGAAUUUUCUCCUGUUUUAUUAGGACAAUGAUGAGCUAUAUGUGACAACAAAUUGCUUUAAUAAUGAAAAUUAAAAAAGUGUGAUUCAUUGAAUAUUUGCGGGGUUUUGUUCAGAGCUGACAAAGUUCUAAGUCAACACAUCAAAUUCCUUUUUCCAACAAUCGUAUUUGAUUCACAAUUUUGUCUGAUAUACAUCACAUCAUGACACUUGCAUCAAAUGAAUUUAAUUGAGUGAGGCAAUGGGAAGUAAUUAAGCUCUAUAUUGGUGGGUGGAGUGUUACUUCUGGAAUCCUAAUCAUUCGUCCCUACAGGACUCUAGAACUCUCACACUUCUUACAAGGACUACUUAACUCUAUAGCUUAUUGCAUAUAGCAUAUAUAUGCAAACCCAAUUAGAAAUUCUACAACAGAAGCAAGAUCAAUCUCACUAUGCCUUCUAAACAAACAAACAAAUAAAACAAGCAUAUUAAUUGCUUUAAUCACUCUACUAACAUCAACACAGCACACUUAGUUUACUAACAGAUGAUAUAGAAAGGAAAAAAAAGGACCAAUAGGGAGAAAAUGGUGAACUAAGGAGAGACUAAUACUUCUGGUCCUUAGAAGGCAUAACAGAAAUAAUAGAGCACACUGCUUGAAUGCAAGUCAGUAUUAGGAGCAAAACAGCUGCAAUGAAAGAAAUAGUUGCCCAAGGUGUAUUGAAAUAAUGUUGCCUCAAAUUUGCCUUCCAUUUGUUCCAAGGCUUUCUGCAGUAGCUAUUAAGGCGCUCAGAAAGAGUAGCAAAGUAGAAGCUUUCACGAUACACUGCAAUUCCUUUUCCGAGGUUGUUAAUCAGAGUGCACACCUCAUUGUAGUCACCAAGCAUAUUUUUGACAAUCCCAUACUUCAGAAGGAACUCCACAUCCUUUUCGGUGUUCACAAACUCAUCCAUGAGUGAAACAUAAUCACUUAUGUAAUUCUUACGGCAAUGGCACUAUUCAAAGGCAAUGAGGUUAUGGAGUGUGAGCUCUGUGUAAUCGUUUAUUUUUAGUUUUGGAAUUUCUAGAAUCCCAUCGUUGAAUCGUGUUAACGCAGCUUUCCUUUCCUAGCCUACGCGGAAGUCAACUUCACAAUCUCCUCCUAGCAAUUAGCCUUUCCUACUGUAAAUCGGAUUGUAUUCAUGUCUAUAUUAUUUCCUACCUUAAAUAGAUAUCCUGUACUAGUAUACAUAGGGACUUUGUGUAAUCUGUUAAAUACAAGGAAAUAUAUACUCUACAUGGUAUCAACCUAACCUAGGGUUCUCUCUCUCCCCCUUAUUCGAUCCUCUUCUCCUUUAGGUCCACCUCAUGGCUUCGUUUGAAUCCACCAUCUCCCUCCCAAGCCCUAACUCUUCUCAUUUUAUCAAGCUUACUAACUCCAACUAUCUUCUUUGGCUCCGCCAACUCAAACCCUUUUAGUUGGCCAUGACCUCUGGAAAUUUAUCGAUGGCAUUCAUAAACAACCUUCUGCCCACACCUCCACCUCUACCACCACAACACCCACAACCACCACCACUCUUACCGAAAUCAAUCCUACCUAUGCUCAGUGGUACCAACAAGACCAACUCAUUGUUAGCUACAUCACCAGUACACUCUCUGAGUCCAUUUUCUCUCUCACUGUCGGUUGCAUCUCUGCCCGGGAUCUCUGGGAGUGUCUCCAAUGCCACUUCUCUUAAUCCAAUAUGGCCAGUGAAUCUGCUCUUCGUUUUCAACUCAUGGAUUUGCAAAAAGGCUCUCAACCCAUUGAUGCUUACCUUCGUCAUGCUAAGUCUCUUGCCGAUUCACUAGCUGCCAUCAAUUAACCUGUCUCCCCAAAAGAACUUGUCACUGCUGUGCUUCGGGGUUUAGGACCCGAUCACAAAAUGCUCAUCACAGCAAUUCUCAAUUUCUCUCCGCUUCCAGACUUUGCUGAUCUUCGUGCUCGUUUGUUAGCUUUUGAUGCACAGACUCCUCGAAUCUUUCCUGAUCAAAACACAACGCUAAUGGCCACCCAAUCUUCUCCUUACACCACCGGUCAUACUUCCUUCCCUUCUCACCGUGGUUGUGGCUCUUCCAGCAAUAGGCGCGGUGGCUGGUGCAGUAUUGGCCGUGGUGGCUGGCACAACUUCUCAUCUUCCUAGAGCAACCCGUGGAAUGGCUUCCAGCAGCCCUAAUGACCUAAUCAACUGUGGCCUCCUUUUGCUCUAAGUUUUGGAUCUCAAAGCAACUGGCCUUCCUUUCAACCUCUUUGGGCCCAAUCUGCCGCUUCUAGCAAACACUCUGCCCGACCCAACUCAGCUCCUGGUGUCUUGGGACCCGCUUGGUGCACCACAUGCAAUACCAAUCGACAUACUACUACAACAUGUCCUUAUUGCUACAAUGGCCCAGAAUUCUUCCUUUGCUGGGGCUCAAUUCAUGCAGCCACCUAACUCUACAUGGUACCCUGACACAAGUGCCACUCAUCAUAUGACUGGUAGUUCUUCUAAUCUCCAAAGGAAAUUAAAUGAAGGAGUCCUACGAAGGCUCAAGGCUCGAAAGCACACGAUCCGGCUCUGCUGCGGAGCUCACUCAACUACUGGCUGAGGGGGCGCAAAACAGAAAAUUGUGAGUGGACAAAAAUAAAAAUUCAGUUCAGUGUAAACCAACGUAAUAUAACCCCACCGUUUAGAAAACCAUGCAAGAAAUCCAAAUGCAUCUCAAAACCAUCAUAAUCAUCAAAUCAAAAUCAAAUACUGGAUGCCAAGUCCGAAAUCCAUAAAGAAAGCUUUACAAACCCACCAUCCAAAUCUUACAAUCCCACAACUAAACUCUCGAAAGCGUACCCAUUGGCAGUACCAGCAAGGAAGUAUCCUCACCGAGAAACAAGAACAAAAGAAUAGCUAUAUAUAUAAUUAUAUAAUAUAACCACACCUAGUUGUACCGGGAAAACAAUCCAACCGGGGGAUUGUUUGACUAGUCACCAUGGCAGAGUCAAAGUAAACAAAUUCCUCAAUUCACCAUGUGACUAGGGAACGAGCUGUCCAACUGGGGGACCAACUCUCAGCCAGCAUGUACCGUCGAUAGCCUCAAAACCCGUACGUCUGUGACCAGUCCUACGCGUGCAGACUACCCAAUCAAGGGUUUACAGCAACAUCCCAUCAAGGAUGCCCUAGGUUCCCACAAUUCCAAGUAUCUCAAGUUUGCGUAUCCAAGUUCCAAAUCCGGGGAGGUACAUAGGGUAGUGCUUAUAGCACUCCAAAUUGACAUUCUAUACUCAUCACUUUCCACAAUCUCAUCUCAACAACCUAAGUACCCCACACAUAGCCAAACAUAUAUAGAAAUUCUCAAAAUCCAUAUAUACAUACUCAAGAUACUCAAAUAUGUCAAAAUCCAAAAUAUAUUUCCAAUGCAUCAUAAAAAUAUCACUUUUAACAAUUGAAUAAAUAAUAUAUAUCCAAUAUACCAAUUAAAACAUCAUGCAUAAUAUUUCCCAUCAUAAAAUCAUGCAUAAGAUUUGAAAACAAAGUCCACUCACAAGUAGUCCCACACUGCUUGACCUUGAGAGGGUCCCGCCUACUGCGUAUGCGUGGUUGGAGUACCUAUUUCAGAAUACGUAUACGAGAUUAAUAAGAAGCGUUUCGAACGAGAACUUUGAAUUAAAUAUCCUAAUUUCCCAGGUUUCUAGUAAGUGUACUAGGAACGAGACGUUCUAAGGUUCCACUACCCAAUUCGAACCAUGGAAGAGCUUCGGGAGACACUCGGUCAACCGGCGGUCAAAUUCCCAAAUCGGGUCAACUGGCCCACGGGACCCACGACCUCCGUUUUUAAAAUCCGUAAGUUCCUAAAGGUUUCACAAUGUCUAAGAUACUACUAUCACAAGUUUGGUCCGAAACGGACUGUUAGAUCGCUUACGAUCGCACGAUCAGACGGUUAUUGUAAAACGUAAACUUUAAGUUAUUGAAUCAGAACAUCCGGGGCUCCGAUUCACGAUCCGCGAAUUCCUACACGAUCCUAGGAAGGUCUAGAGUAACAUAUAUUGGAAUGGAGUCGAUCCAAAGGUCCGAACAUAUCGAACCUAGACCGGAUAACUCCUAAUAUGUGAGAUUCGUUCGGGGUUCGAACAUCAACCAAAUUGGAAUCCUAAGGUACCUACGUGCUCGUGACAUUAAGGGGAUCAAUUGGGACAAAAAUGCCCCUCUGCUACAGUGCCCACGUGCCACCACACGCGGCGGUAGAGAGUGGGUGUCCAAAGCGAUUUCUCUUCGCCGGAAAAUCUCCAAAUUACAAGCCACUCUCCUGGCUACAGGUUCUACUCAACGAGUGGAACACUUUAUUCAACUACAGCCAAGUCCAAUUCGGACGGCAAGUGGCCGGAAACUCACGGUUUAACCCGGAACUUCAUGGCUUGGAUUGGGCGACCAUCGUCACCAUUGUCGUGGCACAACCUAGGAAAUAGCUAAAAGGAGAGGAGGGCUACCUAUUCCAAGCGAUGGCGCAGCUCGCGGUAGCCGAAAAUGUAGCCGAUGACGUUGGCAGUUUUGGCCGGUUUUUCACGUCGUUGCCAUCGCCGUUUGUCGAGUUUUCGAUUGGAGAAAAGGGGUGGGGUGAGUAGAGGAGGAAGAGAGGAAGCUUUUGCAAGAAAUGACACUUGUCAGGGAGGGGGGGGUUGGGGGAAGAGAGAGAGAGAGAGAGAGAGAGAGAGAGAAAAAAAAAAAAUUUCAGAUUUUCAUCCAAACCCUUUUCGAAAUAUUUACAAGUUUGCCACUAAACUACUUUUGGUUGCCAAAUCUUCGUUAUAACUCCGAUUCAAGCCUACCACGUGUCUACGGAUUCGUCUCAAUACAACCUACCCAAAAAUACCAGUCACUGCCCCAAACUCUUUUUGGGUAAGAAAAUGACCAAAAUACCCCUACCCCAAGGGUAAAUUCAUAAUUUCACUUCAAUAAUUUAAUAAAGAAUUAAAUUUGGAGUCGGGGUGUUACAUUAACUACCUGUUUAGUAGGUGUGGGGUUUUAUACAAAAAGCAUCGAUGUUAUUGGGAGUGGAACCACUUAUUAUAAGUUGUGAUUUAUUUAGUCAAGUUUCCUAUGUGGGAUUUUCUAUUCUUCAACAAGCCCCCUCAUGUGGGACCACCACAUAGUGGGCCACAUGUAAAGCUAAGUCCACAUCGGAGUCAAUCAUUCAAGCCCAAUACCUAAACACCACGUAUUGUGUGAGGGGUAGGGGUAAACAUUCAAGCCCAACAUGUGAACCACCAAAUAUUAAGUAAGGGUAAAGGCUCAAUUCAGGCCCAAUCAAUGAACCCAUUAUGAUAUCAUGUUAAAUUUCAGAUAGACGGGACUGUGGCCCACCACUAGCAACAUUGAUAUUGUCCCCAACUUAACUACAUGUUUAGUAGGUGUGGAGUUCUAUACAUAAGGUCUCGAUGUUUUUAGGAGUGGAACCACUUAUUAUAAGUUAUAAUUUAUUUAGUCAAGUUUCCAGUCAACCUGACUUUGAUACCAUGUUAAGAUUUUAAAGGGACGAACUCUUGGCACUAUUAGUAACAUCGACAUUGUCCCCAACUUAACCACCUGUUUAGCAAGUGUGGGGUUUUAUCCUAAAGGCCUCGAUCUUAUUAAGAGUUGAGUCAUUUAUUAUAUGGAACUUUCUAUUUUGUUAACUCUGUGUAUUCUUCAUCAAUGUGAACACCCCUAAACCAAUCAUACCUGAUACGAAUUGAAACACAAGUUUGUUUUUUGCCUUUGGUAGAUGAGUAGCUAGAAAAGCUCAAUGCACUUGCUCUUCUGCUACAUUUCAAUAUAAGAACAAGGUUUGGAAGUCAGGUCAACUCCUCAUAGCUUCCUUGCCUUUGCUUUGACAUGUCUAUGCACUUCUUGGGGAAGUUUGAAUAAUCCAUUGCAGGCCCCAUGACAACUAAGGAACCAACAUUUUGUAGAAGGUUUUGUCUAUACCUUUUGACUAUAAGUAAAAUCUUUUGUAUCUGCUCUUAUGUUUCGGUGAAGUUUCUAUGUGUCCUUUGUGCCGAGUUUCUAUGCGUCCUUUGUUGAACCAAAAAAUGAGGUUGUUUCUUACUAGAUUCAAAUACUUAAAAGAAAAAAAGAAAUUGUUGUUUCUUAAUGGAUUUUAUGAUGAACAAUAUCAAACUCUCCUCUUAUACGUCUGUUGGUAAAUUUUAACAACAAUAUUAAAACCUUGCAAGUGCACAAAUCAAAUGAUAGUAUAGUAAGCAAGCAAGGGUCGAUCCCACGGAGAUUGUGAUCUAAAGAGAUGUUUAUCAAUGUCACGCAAUGAAAAUCAAAACAAAGGACUUCCAAACACACGCCAACACCAAGGGGGGUUUUGAUUUGUUUUUGUGAAUCAAACAAAAUAAGGAAAAGGAAACAAAAGAGAAUUUAAAUUAGAGUUUAAGAGAAAUUGGUUUAAAAUCAAUCAAGAUCAAUAGCUAGGACUUACUAUCCACCUCCAAACAAUCAAUCAAUCCAUAAACAACAAUAGAUAAUCAAUUUCUAGUAAGCACACUACUACAAAAAAGCAAAAAGACGACGGUAAAUCACCGUCGUGUAUUCGGUUUUUCAAUGGUCGUGGAAUCCACCGUCAUCUUUUCCCUCAUAAACCACGACGCUAAAUCACCGUCGUUGUUACAAUAUACAACGUCAUCAACAAAUACAAAACGACGUCUUUGUACUGCAAAAAGAUCUAAAAAAGCAAUCGAUGAUGAGAAAAGACGACCAACUCUCUAAACAAACCGUCGUUAAAAAGAAAAAAUAUGACACAUAUUAACAGAACAUGGCCGCAAGAUAGACAUACAACGACGAAAAUUAAAAUAAGACGCCGUUAAAUAUCAUUUUCACGACAAUAAAAAAUAUGUCGUCUUUAAAUACAUUAGAAGACGACGUUAUUGAUACCUACUACGUCGCCUAUAUAAAAAUAACCGUCGUAAAAUAAAUUUUCCACUUCGAUUUUUCUAUAAAAGAUGACGUGGAAAUAGUUGUCAGUGUCAUUAUUUACGACGUAUGUAUUUAUAGAGUAGACGUUGAACAACGAAACAACGUCGGUUACAAAUAUAUGAGAGUCGUAUUACAAAAUUUAUACGUCCUAUUUUCAGAAACAAACAACGACGAUAAAUAUUAGACGUUGUUAAAUAAAACAACGUCGAAAACAAAUAAAAACAGACGUGUUUAGUCUGCUAAAGUUCUAAAAAAUAGUCGAGGAUGAGAAUAGACGACCAACUCAAACAAAUCACCGUCGUUAAAAAGGAAAAAUAUGACACAUAUUAAAAGAACAAGGCCGCAAGAUAGACAUACAACGACGACAACUAAAACACUACGCCGUCAAAUAUAAUUUUCACGACAAGAAAAAAUAUGACGUCUUUAAAUACAUGAGAAGACGACGUUAUUGAAAUAUACUACGUUUCUUAUUUACAAACAACCGUCGUGAAAUAAAUUUUCCACUUCGAUUUUUCUAAAAAAGAUGAUGUGGAAAUAGUUGUCAGUGUCAUUAUUUACGACGUAUGUAUUUAUAUAGUUGACGUUGAAAUGCGAAACAACGUCGGUGGCAUUUAUAUAGUCGACGUUGUAUUUAUAUGUAUUCAUUACUCACGACGCACUUAUUAAUAUAGACGACGUUGAACUUCUAAACAACGUCGGUUCCAAAUAAAUGAGAGCCGUAUUACAGAAAAUAUAGAUGGCGUUGAUUAUGAUGAGAGCCGUAUUACAAAUAACGUCGUUUAAUUGAUAUUAGACGGCGGUUAUAAUGAAUUACCGUCGGAAUUCAUUUCGUUCCUCUUCGUUUAUAAAAGAACUUGCGACGUGGAAAAUGUAUGAUGACGUCGUAUUUUUUAACGUUCAGAUUAUAUAUCUCGUUUUUUAGACGUCGGUAUUAUGGGAUUGGAGUCGUGUUAUUUUGAAUUACAUGGCGGUUCUUAAUCCUUCCCCGACGUGAUAUCCUGAAUAAUUGCUUCAUAAUAGCGUCGUGGUUCUUCAUUGUUACGUUGCUUUAAGACGUCGGUAAAUAUGCUGAAUAACUGGUUCACAAUAACGUCGUGUUUUAUUUGAACGUAGAAAGUGAAGAAAUCACAUUACAAUAUAUUACAAAAUUAAUGUCAUACACUGCCAAUUACAUAAGCAUCAUUCAAUCCAUAUAUCUUCACACCCAUCUCGAAUAUUUUGACCGCCUAACUCACCCACCAGUUCAUCAAAUGUGUCAACAUUUGGCAUCCCUCUAGUAAAUGGCUCACACUCAAUUAUCACAUCACCUAAGACUUCAUCACCAAUAACAUUAUUAUAUUCUCUAUUAGGCAUUGAUAACACUACCGACCAACCACGAUGCAUCGGGUCGUCAACAAAAAAUAUUUGUUUGACUUGAGAAGCCAAAACAAAUUGGUCAUUCCUAUGUCCAAUUUUACUCAAAUCUACAAGGGUAAAUCCAAGUUCGUCGACUACAAGACCAGAACUAUCUAUCCAAUCACACCUAAAGACUGGGAUUGUAAACUUUUGGUAGUCAAGGUCCCAAAUUUCUUGAAUGACACCAUAGAAACCCAUAUUUGAGAGAAUUGAGUUUUUAUCCUUGGCACUAGCAACUUGCAUGGUAUGUGCAAGUAAAUAAACUCCACUAUUUUGAGUUGUCCGCACAUCAUCUUGUGCCUUGAUAUUGAAUUUAAUACCUUUAAUAAGAUAGCUCCUAUAUAAUGGCACAGCCAUGUUUGGACCAGCUGCUAGCCACCUUAAAUUUUCUGAUACGCCAUGAUUGUCUUCCUCAAGUUCACUUUGAACCUGCAAAUUAAUCAUAUAUCUUAAUGCAAUCUAACAUAGAAAUAAGAAGAAAAUUAAAAGAGAAAUAUGUUAUUCAACAACAUAUACCUUGAAGCGUAGCCAUUGAAUGAAAGUGUUAUUGUGCUUAUCCUGCAGCCACUUUGUGAUUUAAGGUAUGACAAUCAUGUGAUUUAAGGCCAAGAAGUCUUGAAUCUUGUAAAGAUACAAGAUUUUUAAUAUUUGAAGAAUAACCUUCAGGGACCUUCAUACCAUAGAAAGAAUUGCAAACCUCUCUCUUCUCUGCUCUUGACAAAUUCCAAGGCCCAGGAGGCAAACGAGUACGUCUUUCUCCAUACUCGGGUUGCAAAUCAGUUUUGACCCCCAUGUUCAAUAAAUCUAAUCGAGCAGCAAUCCCAUCUUUAUUUUUUCCAGGGAUCUCCAGCAAUGUACCAAUGAUACUAUCGCAAACAUUCUUCUCAAUGUGCAUAACAUCUAGGGCAUGCCUCACAGGAAGGUAUUUCCAAUACUCGAGAUCAAAGAAUAUUGAUUUCUUCUUCCAACAAACUCUGUCACCAUUUUCAACCAUGUGCAGCACUUCUUCUCCGGUUAAUGGCUCGGGAGGUAUGCCAUAUUCAGGUUUCCCAUUAAAAGCUGCACGUUGCCUCCUAUAUGGAUGAUUGAUUGGUAACCAUUUUCUAUGCCCAAUGUAACAAAUUUUGUGGCCAUUUUCAACCUGUGACUAGGUGUAUCAUCGCCGCAUAUUGGACAAGCUUUAUAUCCUUUAACAACACAACCAGAUAAGUUUCCAUAGGCGGGGAAAUCAUUAAUUGUCCACAUUAAUGCAGCUCUGAGUGUAAAGUAUUCUCCAUUAUGUGCAUCAUACACUCCUCUAAUCCCAUCCCACAAAGAUUUUAAAUCAUCAAUCAAAGGCUCCAAGUAGACGUCUAUAUCAUUUUCGGGUUGUUUAGGACCGGAAAUCAAUAAGGUUAACAUCAUGAACUUUCGUUUCAUGCACAGCCAUGGAGGGAGAUUAUAUGUAACUAAGAUAACCGGCCAACAACUAUAUCUGCUACUUAGAGAACUGUGGGGAUUGAAUCCAUCAGAUGAAAGAGCCAAUCUCAAGUUUCUCGGCUCAUUACCAAACUCAGGCCAUUUAUCAUCAAGAAGUUUCCAAGACGGGGAAUCCGCCGGAUGAGACAUCUGACCGUCAAUUGAUUUUCUAGCAGCAUGCCAAGUCAAACUCUUAGCUGUCUCAUGUGAUUGAAACAUCCUUUUAAACCUUGGAAUUGGAGGAAAAUACCACACCACCUUCGCUGGCACAUCCUCUUUCAAGAUUGAAUCUUUGCCUUCCUUCCACCUUGAGAUACCACAAGUAGGACAAUUAGUUGAAUCCUCAUACUCCUUCCUAUACAAGAUGCAAUCAUUGGGGCAUGCGUGCAUUUUCUCAUAACUCAGCCCCAAUGCACACAAAGUCUUUUUUGCCUCAUACAUAGAGGUUGGUAUUGUAUUUCCUUCUGGAAGCAAAUCGCCUUGAAGUAUCAAUAAUUCUGUAAAACAGACAUCACUCAUCCCAUGUUUUGCCUUCAAAUUAUACAACUUCACUAAUGCCGAUAACUUCGUGUACUUUCUACAACCAGGGUACACUGGUUGAUCUCCAUCCCCAAUCACAUUGGCAAACUCAUACGGAUCGGAACCAAAAUCACCAAAAUCAUUAUCAUCCAUAUCAAUUUCUUCAGACACAAAACUGUACCUACUAUGGCCAUCAUCUUCUUCAACAUUUCUACUAGCAUUAGUAGUUGCUUCCCAAGGUUCUCCGUGAAAUGUCCAAUUCUUAUAGCUUUGGUCAAUUCCAUUAAAGUAUAAGUGAUCCCUUAUAAUUCCAACCCCAAACAACUUCAAAUUAACACAUUUAACACAUGGACAACGGAUAUGUGUUGUAGUUAGAAGAUUUUCUACAGCAAAGUUCAAAAAUGCUUCCACCCCAAACUCAUAUGCCUUCGAUCUUCUAUCCGAGUGCAUCCAUGACUUAUUCAUCUCCGACACUAUAACCUAUUAUCUAUAAUAAAGUGAAAAUACAGGCAAUGACCAUCACUAUAGCAGAUUAUACAAAGAUCUAAUAGCAAGUAAUACAUAACAGAGACGACGGGUUUUAAACAAAAACAGACGUAUUUGGCAUAUAUAGACGACGGAUUUUCAACAGACGUCGUCUAAUAUAAGUAAUACAAACGACGGUUUAUGAAAAAACCGUCGUGUAUAAGUAAUACAACGACGGUUUUUUCAUAAACCGUCGUGUAAUCGUCGUCGUAUGCCUAAAAAGGCGUCGUGUCUCAGUUUAUUUUCAAGAACCCAAAACCCAUUAAGAACACAACAUAUAUAUGAAACCAAGCAAGAAACCAACAUAUACAUGAAGCCAAGCAUGAAAACAAUAAAUCCAUUCCCAAUUCAACAUAACAUAGGGUGAUUAAAAGAUCCGACAAAAUUAAAACCAUUCCCAAUUCAACAUAACAGAUAAUGUAAUCCAUGAACCCAUUAAACAGAAAAUCCAUGAACCUAUACCUAUAAGCACAUUAUUAACAGAUCGCAAAGCAUAUACCUAAAACCCUUUAACAAAACAACCUAAUAUCAUUCAAUGAAUUUACAAAGGGAAGAUAGGGUUUGUACUUACAGGUUGGACGAGCUCACAGAUUCGACGAAGCCUGGAGAGUGCAACUUUUAAUUAGAGCAGAAGUGAGAGAGCGAAUGUUAUGUUGCGCGAAAUCUGAAAAUUUUAGGGUUCAGGGUUAGAAGUAUAAGAAUAAGAGCCAAAUAUAAAAAAAUUUAGGGCGCGCGAAAAUUUUUAGAGCGCGCGCUCUUUAAAACGUCGAAAGAAAAACCAUGGCGAAAGUUCUACAAGAACCGACGUAAAUGUAAUAUUCCACGACGAAAACACUUAACGUAACGCCGUUUAUUUUGACGUUCAUUUUUCGGAUUAAUUUUAAAUUUAUUUUGAAUAUUUUGAUAUAAAGACGACUGAAAAACCACGUCGAAGUUAAGAAAUUGAAAACGUUGUAAAUUAUAAUAGACGACUUACAUAUUAAAAUGACGUCGUUUAAAGUGGAAACCAUGUCGGAUAUUUUACUGCACGACGUAACAUAUGUAUUCCACGACUCAACCACCGUCGUUAACAAUUAAUACCCUAAACCCUUAAAACUAAAUUAUAUAAUUUUAAAAAUUAAGUUUAUAAAAGGGUUUAUGGUUUUACAGCCUAAUAUAUACCCUAUACUACCCAAAAAUUAUACUUUAAAAAUAAACCCCAAUAAAUAACAACCCUAAUCUCUAAACCCUAGACUCUAAACCCUAAACCAUAAAACUAGAAGUGAUUUUAUGACUCAUCAAAACAAUUUUGUUUUGGAUGGUCAUUUUAAAUUUUUUUUAUUCAAAAUGAAUUUUUUCAAGGUUUAGGGGGAAGAAAAUAUAUCAAUGACUUCAUAGGAGUUGACUUUUCAUUUUUCUGAUUUAUUUUAAAUUUAUUUUGAAUAUUUUGAUAUAAAAAUAAUAAAAUAUUCUUAUCACAAUAACAAACCACGUCGGUGUUAAUAAAUUUUAGACGUUGUAAAUUGUAAUAGACGACUAAGUUGUUAAAAUGACGUCGUUUAAAUGAGAAACCAUGGCGGAUAUUUAACUAUCCGACAUAAAAUAUAUAUUCCACGACUUAACCGCUGUCGUUACAAAGUACUACCCUGAACCCUUAAGAAAUUGAAGACGUUGUAAACCAUAAACGACUCAAUUGUUCAAAGAACGUCGUCUAAAUAUCCUUUUACGUCGGAUUUGGUUAAAACGAAACAACAAAAAACGACGGCUUUUGACUUUAUUACGUCGUUGGAAAAGUAUUACACGUCGGUUACGCAAUUUGUAUGUUUGUUUUUUUUUUUAAUUUAAGAAAACCUCAACAAAUUUUUACAUUAUAUAUUAUAGACAAAAUUUGUACAUUAUACAUAAAUAUCAAGUGUUCAAUAAUUCCCCUAUUCCAGGUGAAGGCAAACAAACUCUGACCAUUCAUUCCGGACUUCAUCAAUUGCUUCUUGGGGGUAUGGCGCUUCCUGUUUUCCCUUGGCAUACUGCAUAAACAAUGACUAUUAGGGUUUAUAAAUAAAAAGAAAUUCAAUCACAGACGACGAUAUUUUUCAUAACCGACGUACUAUAUCUAUUCAACGACGGUAAUUUUACAUGACCGUCGUUGAUAAUACAAAAAACGACGUAAAAUGUAUGAAGGUAAUUUCUUCUUACCUUCUUCUCAAACCCCAAGGAAGGAUCCAUGAUGAUGUCCCUCAUGAAGCGCAUCACAUAAUACCCGCAUUCGACAUUGCUGGGUUGCUUUGGUGUCCCUGACAGAGUUUUCCAAAUGGCUGCCUUACGGCCUGGUCUGGCUAUGUGAGAAUUAUAAAUUUUUAUAGCACUGUUCACAAUGUUUUUGGCCUCUUCAUCGACCACACGAUUUCCUGGCAGAGGAUCCAGAAAAUAGACGGUUUCUCUCUUUGCUCUUACAAUCAGCAAGAUCCAAUGACGGCUGCACAAAAUUAAUAUAAAAACGACGGUUAUUUACAAUAACGACGUAUUAUAAUGUUUCACACGACGAAAUAAAGUAGCAAUCGACGACAUUUUACAUUUAUCACGACGAUAAAUAACUACCGACGUGGUUAGUAGUUUCAAACGACUCAAUAAAAUAAAACACCGACGUGGUUAGUUUAUACGCUGUAAUUUAUUGAAAAUCAUAAAAACAAAAUCCUGUUAAGGAGACUAACCCUGGAUUGUAAGGCAUCAGGAAAAUCUGUUCACCGUCAGUCUUUUGAAGUCGAGCUGCUAGUAAGCGUGAUCUGUCAGCUAUUGUGCCAGAGUUGGCACUAACUGUAGCAAGGUCGAUAAAGCCAACCAUAUUGCACAUAUUUGCUCGUUUCAAAACAUCGUGCAAGUGCCUAAAUAUAUAAAAUAAUAUAAACAAGUCAGCACAAAAAAACACACGACGGUUAUGUAUAACAAAACGACGUAUUAUAAAAUUUCACACGACGUACUGAAAUAGACAACGACGUUAUAAUAUAUUUAUCACGACGGUAAAUACUAACGACGUGGUUAGUUAGUUAAGACGACGUAAUAAAUAAACCAACGACGUAUUAUUUUAGAAUGACAAACCUCAUAUAUACAAAAAAACACGACGGUUAUGUAUAACAAAACGACGUAUUAUAAAAUUUCACACGACAUACUGAAAUAGACAACGACGUUAUGAUAUACUAACGACGUGGUUAGUUGGUUAAGACGACGCAAUAAAUACACCAACGACGUAUUAUUUUAGAAUGACAAACCUCAUAUAUACAGCAAUGACAGUGGCUCCUAUUUCUUCCAUGCCUGCAAAUUGUGUAAUAUCUUCAGGCAGGAGGAAGGUAUCGCGCUCUAGACCAAACACCUCCUUAUCAAUUGUAAAGUGCAGGGUCUUAUCCUGAGGCACGAGUGUCGUUUCCACAUAACGACAAAGGGAGUUUAAAGAAGAUGGCGCCUCCAUAUUUGAAUAAUCAACAACUUUAAUAACCUGUUUAAAGAAAUAUAAAAAAUGACGUGGUAAUUCAAUAAAAACGACGGUUUAAGGAAUAAAACGUCGUCUGAAAAGAAUUUAAACGUCGUCUGAAGAAACCGUCGUGGUGAAUAAUUUAUUACGUCUUAAAAAAAAUUCCGCCGUCUAAGUUGUAAACAAACGACGGUUUAAAGAAAAAUAUCGACGUCUGGAAUUUUGAAAAACAAAUAAAAAAGGCAAAGUUAUGUGAACAUACCUGGUCGUCAUCUUCUUUCUCCUUUUCAUCAUGUUUUUCUUCUGUCUUCCCUUCAUCUAUUACGUCGAGAAUGACUAACUCCGUCGUCUAAAAACCACAAAGUUUUAAAAUAACGACGUUUAAUGGCGUGUAAAACAAGUAAACUAAAUACGACGUGGUAUUGAAAUACAAACGACGGUUUAUGUUUAAAAUCGUGGUGGUAUGUAUUUCAAACGACGGUUUUAUUAAUAAUAACGACAUCUAAUGGUUUUUAAAAAAACAGAGAAUUCAAAGUUCAGAUAUGUUACCUUUUCUUCCUGAUGUUUCCCAUUUUUGGCAGUAUCAUCCUCAAAAUGCUGGGAUCUCACAUCACCUCCAGAGCAGCUUGCUUUGUCAGACAUUGGAUUUUUGGGACUUUGGCUAAUUCUGGGUUUAAGCAUGCUUGGAUCAAAAUUGGGAAUUAAUUGGGAAAGCUGACUCAGGAAAUGCUCCCUCUCAGCCUCUACCAAUUGUUUCGUUCUAGCCUCCAUCCUUAAAGCCUCUUCCCUUGCCUUAGCUUCCAUCUUUUUAGUCUCUUCUUGAAGGAGAACUCUUAAACUGUCCUUCAAACGGUCGUCAAAGCUCACUCUCUGUGGUUUGGGUAAAUUGAAAUAUUGCCUUGGUGAGAUCCCAGCACCUACUCCUCUCACUCUGCCUGGAUGCUCGGGGCCCAAAGCCAUGGUCAGCACAUCAUUGCUGCCAGAAACAGUGACUUUGCCUUCCGAGACUUGUUUUUGCAAUUCAUCCUAAAACAAAGAUAUAUAAAAAAGUAAGAACAAAAACACACGACGGUUAUUUAUAUACAAACGACGUAUUAUAUAAUUUCACACGACGCAAUAACAUAUAAAUCGACGUUAUUAUAAUUUAUCACGACGGUAGUUUUUAAACCGACGUGGUUAGUUUUUAAAACGACGAAAUGAAUAAACCACCGACGUCUUAUGCUUUAUUUACAGAUAACAGAGGGAUGAUUCAAUAUUCACACCUUUAACGACCUUGUUUAAAAUAUUUCGACGUAGUAAUUCAAUACAAACGACGCGAAAAUGAACCACCGACAUCUUAUGCUAUAAUUACAGAAAACAGAGUAGUGAUUCCUGAUUUAGACCUUUAACGAUGUGGUAAUAUCAUUCACACGACGCAAAAUAUAACAUAAGACGUAAUAAGAAUUAUUCACAGUUUAAUAAAAAUUUAAAACAGAGUGAGUAGGCUUACAAUUAAUUUUGCUUUCUCUGCCACCUUUGGAUCCGGGAUGUUACCAUGUUUGUCCUGUCUAGCUCUCUUCCAUAAGGUAGAUCGAUCAAUUUCUACCCCAGGCAUGGUUUCCUCCAAUUGAUCCUCCAAACCAGCAUAUCCUUUUCGAGACAAUCGAUGAUUGUACUCAAGUUUCUCCCUAAUCUGUGCAUGUUGAGAAUGCACAGACUCAAAAUCUUUGGAUAACCUUGAAGCUACAAAGGCAUCCCAUUGUGCUUUCUCUAUGAAUUUAUAUAUUUCAGGGGGUUGGCUUAAUCUCUCCCUGUCAUUAGUGUAUGGAAGGAUAUAUUGCCUCGUUAGUGUAGACUUGAAAUCCUUCCAUUUCUUGGCAGCAGAAGCUAACACAGAGCUCUUGCCCCCUUGACCUACCACAAAAGCAAUGUCAACUGCUUCCCAAAUCUGCUCCUUUAUAUCCUUGGAGAUUUGAGCCUAUUUCAUGUCCACAAGUGGAACUCUGGAGCGUGCCAACACACCAAUGUAGGACUGCAUCUCACUAUGUGCUUGGCCAAUUCCUUUCCCCCUUUUAUUGUACUCAACAAUUGGCCUCAGUUUCUGAAGUUUUCUCUUCACAACAUGAGGCAUUGUGCUCAUACCUCGACCAGACUUUGAAUCAUCAGAGAUUGUUGUCGUGCUGGUUCGUUCUGUCUCAGCAGAUGAUGAAGCAAACUUCAUCUUCUUCGAAGGCUUCACUUGAGGAGGUACCAUUCCAAGGUCCUUACCUCCAUUUUUCUUGGAGCCAGAAUCCUUACUUUGGUCUUAGUGAGAAACCAUUUUUACAGACAAAACUGCAAGUGAAAAUAUUUCAGGAAAAGAUUAAGAACACAAACGACAGUUAUUAAUAAAAUACGACGUAUGAUAUGAUUUUAAACGACGCAAUGAAAUAAUCUCAGACGUAAUAAAUGUUUAAAACCAAGGUAAUUAAACAACGACGAAAUAAUUAACUAUAAACGACGUGAUAAUUAACUAUAAACGACGAAAUAUUUAUAUAACGUCGUGGUAUUGAUGUUCACACGACGUCAGUCGUAAUAUACCGUCGUCUAUAUAAGGAUCCAAAACCCUUCUUUCUUUCUCUGUGAAUGUUUGAUUGCAGAUUUGAUUUUUCUGAACCAUGGUUUUUGUUUUCUAAUUUGAUAAAAUACAAGGCCAAGAAAGAAAGUUUUGGAAUCUUAUAUAGACGACGGUAUUUUAAUAUGACGUCGUGGUAUUAACAUUCACACGACGUAAAACAAUAAGAUACUGUCGUCUAUAUUAGAUACCAACCCUACUUUCUUUUUCUUUAUAUUUUAUCAAAUUAGGGAAAAACAAAAACCAUUGUUCAGAGAAAUCAAACCUGCAAUUAAACAAGCAAAUAAAAAAAAGACUAUAAUUUUAAAAACAACUUUGUCAAUUUUCAGACGACGCUAGAACGACUGACGAACCGUCGUGGUCUACAUAUUUAACCACGUACAUAAGAAGCUACCGUCGUCUUAUUUAGUUGAGGUAGUUGUCUUCAAAGUUGGAAACUUUCCCUCUUUGUCUGUAUAUUUUAUUGAACUUGGAAAGAAGUAAAAUGAUUUUGGCCAGAAAAAAGGUAAAAAGAUUUUUCAAACAAAAAACGUAUGAGCAUGCAAAACAACAACCAAAAUAGUGAAAAUGAAAGCUUACCUUUUGCGUGCAAUGAAAGCAAGAGGAAGAUUAUGUUUAAGUUCAGAGACGACGAAGAAGAAGAGAGGAAGACGAUGAGAUACUCUGACAGUGCUCUGACAAGGAAAAAAGUCUAAAAGUUUUCUCUGGGAGAUUGAACUUUUUAAUCGGGUUUGAAAACGGCGCAUGUGUAUGUCAGGUAGACGAAAAGUUGCUUACAUAUAAAACCAUUUCAAAAAAAUAAUACGGCGGUUACAUAUAACUACGACGUAUAAAUUACAAAAUACGACGGUACAUUUAACUUCGGACGUGGUAAAUAAAUACGACAGUAGUGUUGUAGGUACCGUCGUAGUAAACUCAAAAAUUAAAGUACAUAAGUAAUAACUCGCGUCAUGGUAGAUUAUUUAACACGUCGUUUUUAUUAAUUUACCGACGUGGAUUUCUGUAAUAUACGUCGAUAAUACCGACGUUGAUUUUACAAUUUAAACGGCGGUUUUUUUGUAAGGACCGCCGUUGGUUUUAAAAAUUUAUUCUAUAAAUUUGUCGCUUUCAUUCAUUUUCGGUUUACAUUUAAGGUUCCAAGUUCUUCCUCUCUCAGUCUCUCACGUCUCAAAGACAAUAAUUUGGAUGUCUUUCUCAAAGAGAAAUUGAGCUUACUCGCAUCAAAUAUAUGUCCACAAGAAGAAGCUUGUCAACUAGCCUUCUCACUUCCUUGAUCAAGCCUGAUAGGACACUUAGUGCUUCUGAAUACUCCUUGCUUUCCAUCAAAAGAGAUGCAAGCCUGGCCUCCACUCGCUGUCGAAGGAAAGUUCGCUUCUCAGGGAAAUCUUCUUGAUUUUCUUGGCUAAGAAGAUCCGUCAGAUUUGUGAUAGCCUCUUCCUUUAUCCGUAGAGCUUCAGAAGAAGAAGAUGGGUUUCAAGAAUGCGAUAAAGAAUAGAAAUGGCUUCAGAUGGCCUCUAAAGCAUGAGCAAUCGAAUCAGUAGUUGUUGGGAGAUAUGAUGAAGACAUUGUCAAUGCUUUGAACUAUACAAGUCCUGCAGAAAGAUAAAGGACCAAACUGUUAAAGAAACUGAAACAAUGGCGGUUUUCUGUUCUACCGUCGUCUUUUCUCGUCGUCUAUAUUAAGGUAAGAUGGCGGUAGAUUUAUAAUUACCGACGUAGAUUAUUUUGUUAAACGUCGUUAAGUGUACUACAACCGACGUGGAUUUUAUUUUUAAAUUAUAAAUAGAGUUUUUUUUCCCCUAUUCUUUCAGUUUUAGUUUUCAAUUACAAAGCGUGAUAAAUAGAUUUUUCUUUCCCGAGGAAAUUUAAAAUGAGGGAAAUUAAUGUUCUAGAAUUUGUAAACUAACACGACGCAAUAUUUGCAAAUCUGUGUCAUCUGUUAAGAUUAUGAUGUGGAACAGAGUUCCAUCUGGUAAGAUUUCGUAACCCUUGGGAUCUCAGACAAAUCUGAUUAUGUCGGCGGUUUUCUAUAUAAAUCGUCGUGGUUAUUUCAAUUCUUGUCAUUAAGUAGAUCUACCGACGUAGGAUAAGAAAAUCAAAGAAAAAAAUUGUUAACAAAAAUUCUUAUUAAGACGACGGUUAAAAUUAAAGGUACGACGUAUAAAAUGAAUAAAUACGACGUUAAAUUUUAUUGUACGAUUUAAAGAUAACGUCGUAGAACUAUAAGAGAAUGACGUCGAUAUAUUUAUAUUUUCCGUCGUUGUACAUUAAUUUAAUACGGCGAUAUUUUGUAUUUUAAAGCCGUGGAUUUGUUUGUAAUUAUACGGCGUCUUAUACGAAAACCUCGUCGUGUUAUUUUAUGAGUAAAAACGGCAGUUUUUAUUGAAAUCGUCGUCUUUACUUUCUACGUCGGUCGAUUCAUAACUUCUGCCGUUCUUUGUUGGCAUUGAUUUUACACUGCGAAAAUCUGUUUCAAAUAGACGUCGGUUGUUUAAUUAUGUACGUUGUUGUUUUUGAACAGCCAUUUGAAUCUCCAUUUUUUAGUUGUCUAAGGUUGUAUUACACGACGGUGUUUUUAGAACCGUCGUCUUUUUAAAAACCACGACGGUUUUCACUUAGACCGUCGUUGUUUUCUGGUCGUCUUUUUCACUUUUUGUAGUAGUGGCAUAUGAUGACGACACUCACAACAAGAUCAUGGCAUUUGACUCGAGUUGUAUGAUUCUCUCUUAAGUGUAUGUAAAGUGUAUGACAUUUACAUCAAUACGUGUAUUCUUAAUUGAAAUCUACUAUGGCAUUUACUCAAAUUAACAAUCAAGAAUCCAUUAAGAUCAAAGAGAAUAUGAGUGUCACAAAAACCCUAAAACAUGGCAUUUGUUAUUAGGAAUUCAAGAAUCGAUUUCUCAUAACUAGUUCUUAACCCAAUUAUUCGUUGCAAAUAAGAACACAUUCAAUAUGGCAAUUGACCUAUGUUCUACAACAAUUUAAUUCCAAUACAUGCUUCUAAGUUAGCUACUCAAAGAAACAAAAUAUCAGAAUUCACAUAACAUAUAGAAACCGAAAACAUCACGCUUGUAGAAACUAAAAAUCCAUUAACCUUGUUUAUAAAAUUGAAAUCAUGUUUAGGGCUUCAAGAUUAAGCCCUAACUAACAAGAAAUUAGUUACUCAUGGUCUUGGAUGAACUCAAAAAUAAAUACAUAAGAACUGAAAAUUAAAGAAGGAAGGAAAAGAAAGAACUCGUUCGCAGCUUUCUCCUCUUGCGCUGUUGAUCUCUUUAGGACGUGAAUCCUUUUUAUCAGCCUUGCCUCGUCUUUUAUAUCACUUAUAUCAGAGUUCUAAACCCUAAAAUUGACUGAAAAGUCGUCCAAGAAGUCUUGGUAAACAAGGAAUCCAAAUAGGAAAGUAAAAAUCACAAUUCCUAACUCCACUGGGAAAUACAGCUCAGCCCAAUGUUCACACGAUUUUGGGAUCUUCGACCUUGUAGAAAAAUCAUUAAAAAUAUAUUUUAGAAAGAUAAAUGUCUUAUCUUUCCAACCAUAUAUAGCACGUAACUUGAAAAAUUCGGAAAGGCUUCCGUUUCUUCACAUUCACGUAGCAUGUACGAAACUGUCCUGUCUGCACGUGGGCUAACUUUACUUGUAAUACUGUACCAAUUGGCUCGGUAGAAAAUUCUAGAAAAAUCAUAGAUUGAACUUCAAGAUGUUAGCUUUCAUCUCCAAUCAGGGGCGGCCUUGGGGAGGUGCAAGUGGCGCCACCGCACAGGGCCCCCGAAAAAAAAAAUAUUUAUAUUAUAUAUAUAUAUUAAUAUUAUAUGAAUCGUAUAUAUAAUAUAGCGUCUGGAUAUUUGCACAACAGCGUGUUCAGGGGAGUUGGAUGGAGCACAUCUCUCUUUGGCAAAAGGGCCCGAGUUCGAUGCUCCUUGAUGUCGUUCUACUGGCUAGCCUUUUGUGAUAUUAUUUUUGCAUUCAAACUUUACAUAAUUAUUGAACCAUUGGAUUAAUAUGCAACGAUGGGUGACCACAAUCUCUUGGACUCCUGUGGUCCAUGAGAUCGGGACUGAUAUUACAUGACUUAUUUUAUUAAAUUAUUAUCAUGUUGAUGAUUGGUUGUAUGAGAAUAUAGUUUGUAGAAAUAUUUAUCUAUUUCUUGUUGGGGUUUUCUUCCAGGUUAUAGGGUUUUGGAAUUUUUCUUUGUAAUCUAAACAUGCCACCUACUAGAAAAUACGUUUAUGGAUAUACAAAACGGCUUAGAAAAAGAAAAUUCGAGGAAUUGACUCAAUCUCAAAGAGGAGCUCUUGAUAGAUUCAUUGUUAGAGAAUCACAUGCUACAAUUGAUGAAAAUAUUUAAAUUUUUAUGAAUUUAAUUUCUGAUUUUCAUUGCAUAUUUAUUGAUGGUGAAUUUUAGUUAUAAAAAAAAAUUGUUUAUGACAUUAAGUUAUGGCAAAUUUUUAUAGUAUUUUCGUAUUAGAUUAUGCAAGGCCCCAAUUUAAGUUUCGCACAGGGCCCUCAAAAUCUCAGGGACGGCCCUGUCUCCAAUUGGUCUUGUGCUAAAAUUCCUCCGAAAAGUUGAUUUUCCCUUAAAAACCUUCUAAGAGUGCAGAAAAGCUGAAAAUCAGAAAAAUAAAGUAAUAAGCCAUUUUUAAAUCUAAUUCUCUUACAAAACCAAAGUAAAAAGAGUACAUAAAUGAGUAUAUUUAUGGACUUAUCAACGUCUUCUUCGUUGGACUUGGGGUUGUUUUCCUUAUAUGUCCCCUAUAUAUAUAUAUGGCCUUUAGUUGAGCCCACAAAUACCUUCAGUUAGUUUUUGGGUUUAGGGGCCUACAGAACCUGCACUAAACAAUAAAAGAAAAUACCUAAUUAGUUUAGUACGAAUUUAUAAUGAAGGCUUUAUUAGGUGAAGUUUUAUUUCUUAAUCGUUAGAUCAAAUUGGUUAGCAUCUGAAGUCGCCCAAAGAUUUGAGAGGGAUUCCACAAACAUAUAAUAUAAAGAAAGAAAGCAAUAGUAGGAGAUGAACCAGUACAAAAAACAAUAUAUAAAUAGUACAUAAUAAUUCCAUAACCUUGUCACAAACGCACUCACAAAUGCUUUCCAUAAACCUUGCCCUAACAUAUAACAAAUAAAGGCAACAUUGCAUAUGAUGCAACCAUGUCCAAAUCUGAUACGUGAUAAAAAAAAAAGGACAUGGCAGCAACAUAUGACUGAAGUAGAUGGGCUCUUUGCAUCUCGUGUUAUCGUAAUUAAAGACAUCAAAAUAUUAAGGUUGAAAUCUUCUAUAGUAGCAAGCAUUAAAAUAGGUUUGAAGCAGAGUUUAAAGAAAAUUCCAAUUCCACUGAUUUGCCUCUGCUCAAAGACGAGAACCAAAAUGGUUACUUCCCUUGCUGAGUAUAUUUGUUAACGUCGGAAACGGUAAUAGAUGACCAAUCAAACCCAAGUACGACGAGUUUUGCAUAGGAUCAGAAGUAGUUGAAUCCAGCUUGCAUCACACGCUUCUUUGACUCCAUUGCAUUAGAUGAGUUUUUGUAUUUUUGAACAGCUACACUCCGAAGUCGUUUGUGUCUACGCUUCAUGCGCUGCAACUUCGCCCUAUCCAGAUUGGCCUGCCUUUUGUCAUCUUCAAUUUGGCCUUCAACAAAUUCCAAACGUGCCCUUGCCCUUUGGAUUUCAUCACCAAGUUGAAGAUGCCUCUCCUUCCAAAAAGCAAGAACUCUUUCAGACUCAAAACUUCCAACAAAAUGGUCAUUCUAUCUAGGAAUGUGACAUUGCUUGUCUGGUGACUCACCUGCGUUUCAAAGGCGGUCUUUGUUUGGAGGGGUGUUUAUUAUGCUCACAUCAAACUUGGUUAGUAAAUCCAUUCUAUGGGGGGAGUGAGUUUCUGUGGAGGAGAGAGUUUCAGUAGAUGGAGACAGAUUCGGUGGAGGAGUGAGAUUUUUGUGGAGGGAGAAUUUCUAUGAAAUGGGUGAUAGUAAUACCAAUAAAAGGGUUCCCGCCAAAAAGUAUUUGGUUGACAAUGUAUAAAUUAAUUUUUGGUCUGAUACAAUCUAAGUUUAAUCCUAACUAGUUUGGUUAGUUUGGUUGAAUUCACUAACUAGAUGUCACUUCCAUUGAGUUUCUUUCAACCACUAUCAGUGGUGUAAGGAGAGUGUGAGGUUGACAUGCUUGAAAAGCAAAACCUAACACCUCUUUUUUUUAAAAUUGAAAGAAAGUACAUAUGUUGACUACACACAAGCUUUGGUAUGUUGGUCUAUAAAGCUAUGUUCCCUUUCUCAAACGAAAUUGCAUAUGCAAUCCUCGUCCUCCCAAAACAAAUAGAAUUAUUCAAGCAUGUCAACCUCUUCAGGCGCCAACAACACAAUCAAAGAUGACAAAUUGGAGUCGCAGGUUCUAUUUCCACAUUGUACUCGCCGACCCCUUCCAUUUUCAACAUCAUUUGGGAGUGAGGGGGACUCCGAUGAUCCAUUAGAGCUAAUACAUGCAGUCAAUAGCAAGCUGGAUUAUAAUUCCAGACUGAUCAAUUCAUGGCGCGAGAAAUAUGUUGAAGACGAAGCCAUUUUGGCUGAUCUUAACAUUAGAGUGAACAAAGCGUUCUCCCAAAAGAACAAGUACUUGAAGCUGAGUCAUAAAAGGAAGCUGAAAGCUGAGGAGUUAGAUACAGUAAUGAAUGAUGAAAUUAAAGGUUGUUUGAUGAAUCAUAUGCGAUGCGAAGAGCACCACAGUGAACUGGAGUUGGCAUUCAACGAAGGAUUCGAAAAAUUACGAGCAUUUGCAGCAACUACUCAUACAAGUUAUAAUUGGGACUAUGUGUCCCCUGAUGUUGUGAGAGAGAUACUAGACGAUGGUGGUGACAUGAAUGAGCAUAAGCACGUCAAAGCUGCUUGGAAGAAGCCGACCGAUACGACUAAGUGAUUGCGGCUACAGUUGUUCAGUUGGUUGAGAGUGAUCGUGGUAUUGCACAAAUUAGAAGUAUAUUCCCAUAAUGUCAUUAUCUAAUUUAAAAUAACACAAAUAUCAGUUUCAUUUGCUUCAUAUUGUAACACCCCGACCCCAAAUUUCCCCAAAAUUUACCCUCAUUUAAUUAAUUAAUUAUUUAAGGGUAUUUUAGUCAUAUUUUUAACCGGAGAGAGUUUGGGACCAUGACUUGUAUUUUUGGAUAGGUCGUACUGAGACGAGUUCAUAGACACGUAGUGGGCUCGAAUCAGAGUUGUAACGAGAGAGAUAUGGUCAAAAGAAACCCAGUGGCACAAUCGUAAAUAUUUCAAAAUGGGAUUUUUAUAAAAAUCUGGUUUUUCUCUCUCUCUCUCUCUCUCUCUCUCUCUCUCCCGCGACUUCUCUCUCUCUCCCGUCGGCUCUCUCUCUUUCUCUCCUUGUAUCUCCGGCCACCGACCACGGCUGUGGGCGGGGCCGGUACCAAACUGACCGGGACGACGUCCCCUUCCUUCCCCGACCAUUCCCCGCCGGCAACGCGGCCGUUGCUGGCCGGAAAAUGCAGAAAACCGCCGGGAGGUCGUCGAAACUUCAACGCCGUCGAUCUCCCUCCUCCGGCCACCAUUUUCGUCGACCCAGGUAUGGAUCUUGAACCUCUCGAGCUGUUCUAGCUGUUUGUUGGUUGGGUUUUGAUCGAUUCGAUCUCUAGAUCACUCGAUUUUCGAAUUGAAAAUUGGCCGAAACUUCGGCCGCCGUGAUCGGCCAUUUUCGGCCACUUUUUGUGGUAGGUCCAAGAACAAAAGUGGCUCCAAAUAGGGUGUUAUACCUAGGGUAGAAGUUUGGAGCCGAGAUGUUGAGAUUUUCCGGCGAAGCGUUAUCGCUUUGGGCACCCACGCGUGCGGCGGCGCGUGGGCACUGUAGAAAAAGUAGAUGUGUUCCGAUGAGAUCCUUAGGUUGUCACGAGUGCGUAGGAUUUGGCGGAUCUCAAUUCGGACGUCGUUUGACUAUCGAACGGAUAAUCGCAUAUUAUGCGUUAUCCGGGUUCGAUAGGUUGAGACCGUCGGAUGGUCCCAAAUUUAAUAUAUGUUGAUCUAGGUAUUUCUAGGAUCGUGUAGGAUUUCACGGAUCGUGAAUCGGAGCCCCGGAUGUUCCGAAUAAUAAUUUAAAGUUUAUAUUUUAUAUUAACCAUCAGAUUAUGCGAUCGUGAGAAAUCCGACCGUCUGAUCUGAACCAAACUGGCAGGAAAAGUGUCCUGUACCUGGUAGAACCCAUAGGGACCUUCGGAUCGGAAAUUGGAGGUCGUGGGUUCCGCAAGUCUGUUUGACCAGGGUUAGAGUAGUUUGACCCUUGGUUGACCGUGAGUCUCCCGGAGUAAUCUCACCCUUCCAGGGGGAAUUAUCGGGAGCUAGACUAUUGUGGAGGGUUACACAAUAUUAGAAUUAUUUAUAUAAUUAUAUAUGGUUGUACAAGGGUACAACAAAGUCUAGAAUGUCAGUUUGGAGUGCUAUACGCACUACUUUAGGUACCUCCUCGGAUUUUGGAUUCGCUACAAGCACCACCAAGUGAAAGUUAGGUCCCGCGUGGCGUAGGUUAUCCGGCGUUGGGACAGACCCCAUACGUGGCGUUGGUUGUACCGGCGUAUGGGGAGAUUUGCAAUAUGAUGUUCAGGUCUCACGUGGCGUAGGUUAUCCGGCGUUGAGACAGGCCCCGUACGUGGCGUUGGUUGUACCAGCGUACGGGGAGAUUAUGUGAUAUGAUGUUGAGGUCCCGCGUGGCGUAGGUUAUCCGGCGUUGGGACAGGCCCCAUACGUGGCGUUGGUUGUACCGGCGUAUGGGGAGUUAUAUGAUAUGAUAGUAUGGCAUGGUCGCACAUGGCGUAGGUUAUCCGGCGUGUUGACAGGCCCCAUACGUGGCGUUGGUUGUAUCGGCGUAUGGGGAGAAUAUGUGAAAUGCAGAGAAAGGAAAUAAGGUAUCACCGAUGUGUGGAAUUGGGUUUUAGGGAAGAACUACGUGUGGCUUGAUCCCUCAAGGAGGGUACGUAGGCAGCCUAAGGUUAUUGGGUGCAGCCGCAGACUAAAUAUUAGUCAUAUUUGGUAUUUGAAUUGUAUGGUAGUUGUUUGAGAAUUAUUGGAAGGCCAAAGGCCAUUUAUGAGAAUUUGCAUGAAAUUAUAUUGUGCAUGCUGCUAGUUGUGGAUAUUAAAUGUGUUUUUAUGCAGGUUGAAAUUUUGGGAAAUGUCCAAUUUAUAGGGGAGACUCUGCUGAAAUUUCGGCAGGAAGUCUCGGUUUUUAGUAAGUGGGCCUGGCAUCGGGGUGAUGUCAGGAAUUCCAAAGGGUUCGUCUCGGGUUUUGAGAAAAUUCGGGGCGGGUCCUUAAACAUAUAUAAUUAUUGGGACUAUGUAUUGCAAGUCAUCAUGUGUUCCUUCUGUCUAACAUUAUAUUUUGCAAAUAUCAAAAUAUUAUUCAAUAAGCAGUCAAUAUCACAGCAAGUUGGGAAUUAGUAAAGCCCCAUUAUCAUGUCCGUUCACAUUAAAGAGCUGGCGUACUUUUUCUCAAAAAACUGACACGUGAGUCAUAAGUAACAUAACAUGUGCUAUACAUUGUUUAGUGAAUGGUUUAUGGUUUAUUUAUAUAUAAUAAAAUUCCAAAUAUUGCUGAAUAUUUGUUUUUUCUAUAUCCCUGGGAACAUGAGUGACCAUAAGCAUGUAAGACCUGUUAAGAAGAAGCUGACUAAUACGACCGAGUGAUUGUGGCUACCGUUGUUUAGUUGGUUGGGGAGAUCGUGGUAUUGCUAAGAGGGAGCACAUAAUGUGCUUUGCAAUCAAAUUUUCUUUUGUGUGUGGAAUUAUGAGUAGUUCAAAUGUUAGUGUACCCUUUAAUAUUCUUCAACCGUUUGAAAUGUGAUUAGCUGCAAUGUACUUUUUUACACGCUGCUUUCUAAUCACUCUGUUCCAACAAAGUGCUUUAAGUAUCCUUCAGUUACAAAUGUUUACAAAAUCGUGCAUCUAAUAACCAGUCGAGCUCAGAUCUUAAUAACAAGUAAAACACUAGAACAUAACAUUCGGAAAAAGUGGGUGCUGCUGGAAAUCAUUACUGGUAAUGGAAGCAAGAGCUGGCUGCUGGAAAUGCUGCAUUAGCCUGUGAUAUAAUCAAUGAAUCUCUGUUAAAACAUAAUUCACCAUAAACUACCCAUUUUACAUGGUAAAAGUCAUUGCUUCUUCACAUAACUCAAAAUUUGAUACUUUAUCAAAUGUCUAUGAAAAUUUCUAAAUAGGGGAAAGACGUAAAAUUAACAUGUGUCCAAAUUUCAUGCAAGAAUGAAACCAAGCAAAUUUUUAUUUCAAUUAUCAGUGGACAUAGUAAGAACUCAUCGGUGGACAUGAACAAAAAAAUAAUAAUAUUAAAAACUGAAUCUAGAAAACUUCACCUGAUCAUUAGUCUUCAUAACAACCGAAUUUCGUCUAAUAGAAACAUAAAUCAUUCAGUUGGUCCGUGCAUCGUGUCAAAUUCAUAGAAUAAUGGGUCACUACGAUCUAUUGGAGUUGAUUCGUCAUUGUUCGACGGUGAUGUCCUGCAUAGACAUCAAACACAAGCACAGAAAAAAUUUACCUAUUCAAAUUUUAGGUGUUAUUAUAAAUAGUGUUAGCAUCUUACGGUGUGUUCAAAUUUCUUGCGCAUUGUCUUCUAUCAUGACCAAUGUGUCCACACUCCAGACAGUGUCUAAUCCCUCGCUUCAUUGCCUUUUCUUUUGCUCCCGUUACUCGUUUCGACCUUCUUUUGCACCUCACUCUCUUAGGGUCUUUCAUAUAUUGUGUUUGAGAGCUGGACCCUCCAACUUCGUUAUUACUUGGUCCAUCCUUCAACAACUUCAACUUCACCUGCAAACUUUUUAGAGUCUCUGACAGUAGCUCACAUCCUUCUUCACUCAUUAAUGCACCCUCAACCACAUCUUAAGCAAGUCGAGACAUUGUACUCCGCCUUAUUAAAAGACCAGGAUCUGCAGAGUCUUUAAUUUCGUUGCCAUUUGCAUCUGACACCAAUUCAGAUUUUGCAGUUUUCUUCCACCUCUUUAAAAUAUAUUUAUCGGGCAUAUAUUCAAUCUGGUCCCUUCUGAACAAUGCUAGGAUGUGCUUGCAAAUAAUUCCAACAAAUUCAAAUCUUUUGCACCCACACGAUGCGUGGUCAGAAUCUUUAACAUAUACGACGUCUGCCACUCUUGUUUCCCAAUUUUUCCUUUUGCUCACGCGAAAGACAACUUUAGAAGCACCCUCUGUUUUGAGCUCUAGGAAACAUGUUGUACUUUGUAUUAGUUCUUGGUCAAACUUUUGAAACAUUGUCCUUGUGUACAAGGUAGCCAUUUGUUUGUUCAUUGGCAUCGGUAGAAUACAUUGAGCCACUUCAAAUGCAUCUACGUGAUCAGCAACUAACUCUUUUUGACGUUGAUGAGAAAGUGCCCUCUCAAAUCGUAUUAUGAAAUCCAUCAACGAAUUUCUCCUUGAUAUGUAUUGCUUGAAAAAACCAUGAGAACCUUCCACUCUUUGGCUGCUUGACAUUCCAGCGGCAAAAAAUUGUUGUGCGUAGGCUGGAACCCAAGAUUCUCUUAAAUCAAACAUUGAACUUAGCCAUGGAUGGUCAGUCAAACCAGCCUUUGUAACCACAAUAUUCCAUUUUGUAACAAACUUAUCCUUAUUGUCAGUAUCCCAUACGGCUUUCUGAAAUUCACGCCAAUACUCCUUAUAAGCAGAAUGUGGUAACUUAACAGAGAACUUUGAUGUGAUGUGCAAUAUGCAAAGUCGAUGAAAUGUAGUCGGGAAGGGUAUUGAAAUCGCUCUGGUCAUUGCCGCAUCUUGAUCUGUAAUGAUCGUUUUAGGUCCGCCACUUGGCAUGGCUUUCUUAAACUCCUCAAACAUCCAAAUAAACGACUCAGUCGUUUCCUUGCUCAAAAAUGCGCAUGCUUAGACAAUUGUCUGACCAUGGUUAUUAACUCCCAACAUUGGUGCAAAUGUCAAGUCGUAUCGAUUCGUGUUGAAUGUGGUAUCGAAUACAACAACAUCUCCAUAAAACCCGUACGCCCAUCUAGAAGUUGCAUCUGCCCAAAAACAUUGACUAAACCUGUCAUGGCCAUCUCUCUCAAUCUUGAAAUAAAAAGCCUCAUUUUUUUUUUCUGUUCAGCCAUAAAAUACUCGGUCACUAGUUCAACAUCGUGGUUCCUCAACUUCCCAUUCACACUACAUUCAAAAUUGUAGAUAUCUUUUUUGAUAAAACCGAUUUUAUCCAUUCCUCCGGAUUGCACCUCGAAAAUACUUACCUUCUGAUGAAUGAGAAUAUUAACCGAACCCAACUGUUUUGUGAGUACUUUUGUAGAAUCUGAACUAUGACGGUGUGAUCUCAAUAAAUGCAUUCUUUCUGAGGGUGUCAUCUUAUGAUUGUGUCCCUCUGCAAAAAGAGAGAUGGUAUACUUCUUGCUCCCAUUUGUCUUCACAACCACAAUCUUAGCUUUGCAAUUGCAUCUACUUAUUCCCCGCUGUCUUUUUCUCUCCCGAGUUUCAUCUCUCCUGUAUUCACCUUGUUUGCAACAUACAAAUUCUUUCCUCAAAAUCUCUUUCUUAUUUCCCCCCCAAAAGCUGGAAUGAAGUCGAAUACCAAAGCCAGCCAAGAAUGCAUAUCUAUUAUAGAAAUUGUAAACGAGGUCAAGCAAGUCGAACUUCAUCCCAACUGCUGGUGUUUCCUCAUUUCUUACUUCAAGAAUGUAAACCCUCCCAUUAGCUGUUACACAGUCAUCACUCUCUGAGCCCCCAGACAUUUUAUCCACGUAUAUUAUUGAUCCACUUCUAUAUUAUUGCAUAGCAAAUAUUAAUUCAUUAAUAAAUCAUUACUGCAUCACAACAUAUCAAUGCAUUCCACUUACACAAAACAUUGCCCAAAUUGACACAAAACACGCAUAGCCUAACUUGUUGGAUUCCGAUUACACAAAACGCAAGCAAAAUUUAAUAAUAGUUACGUCAUCUCUUGUGAAAUAAUCUAGAAAAAAUAACAUUAGAACCAACAUGUUCAACUAAGAACACAAAUGCAAUUCAAACCAGCAAUCACAUAACUUCACCCAAUAUCCUCUCCAAAUGCUUACUCCUAAUGUCAUUAAGCCUAAGUUUAGGAUCUUUUACCUACAUUUCAUAAUUUUUCACCCCCACCAAAAAUAAUCAACUAAGUAUACUGAAUAUUCAUAAGGAAAUGACGCAUUAUUGAUGCCACAAAUGACGAAUUUCCUACCCUCACAAAAAACAAAUCAAACCCAAUUAAAUCAAUCCAGCAAGAGUGAACUUACCUCUCAAAAUCAAUCGGGAGCUCCGAAGUCAGUAAGCUUGAGAGAAUGUGGUGGACAUUAGAGAAGACUCUUUGGUAUUGGAGACUCCAUCUCUACCAAAAUCGAGGAACGAACUGCUGCUACGGCGUCUAGCUACAGAAAAAGAUAUGCUACUUUACUUUCAUCUGGAAUCUUGUUUGCUGAACGAAAAAGAGAAAGGGUUUUCACUUGAGCCAUAGAAUCAAAACAAGGCAACAUCUAGGUAAGAGCCAUUAAUCGUCAUAUCGAGGAUACCAUAGAUCGCAGGCCUCCCAAGGAGCUGAUGACAAUGGAGCGACUAUAGGGUUUGGGAGCUUUGGAUCCUUCUAAUUGUGGGUUUGCGUUACAUUCAAAAAAAGAGGAGUGUGUUGUUGAGUUUUUCACAUAGAGGGAAAGAGGGAAAGAUCUUCAACUGAAGUUGGGUUUCCAACGGGUCAAAUUUCAACCCGGUUCUACAUGCACCCUCUUUUAAAAACUCACCGUUGGAUUUCAUCCAACGGCUCGUACAUACCCCUCAAAAACACCCCUUAUAACUUUCCACUCACUAUAGAAGCUCUCCCCAGGAAAUGCUUCGAGGUAGAUUUUAUGUUUUGGGCCUUGGGACCCAACUUCACAAAAAGAAAACAAAUUUGACCAAAAAACAAAGUUGAAGGACAUUGAUAUUGUACCUGUAGGAUAGGUUAAAACACUAAAAGGAAGGUAAAUAGUACGUUUACAGAGUUUAAGUGUAAUAAAGGAAUAAAAACAUGCCCAGAGAAUUGAUAAGUGAUAUCAAUUCUUGAAUAUAUAGAACGUAAAAUAAAGGAAUACGUAGAAAAUUAUUUUAUGUGGUAAAACUCAAUCUAUGGGGCCACGGGACUUCUUAGUCCAAAAAAAAUCCAUUGAACGAUGAUUACAAGAAGUACUCACACACUUAUCCUAGACACAUUCUAGAUAAUUUUUACUAACAUCUUUGUAACUCAACUUCUGUCAUAGGAUGAUUUUUUGACACUCCUUAUGUUGAACGCAAUACUGGUCACGAUUUCUUCAAGCUCGCAGGAACUCUCCUUAUAUUGAAUAUGAUACUAGUCACGAUAGAUUCAAGCUCAUCGGAGAAAAACAGCCACAACGGUCUUGGUGCCCUCAAUGGUAUGAGUCACUGAACAUGCAAAUAAAUACAAUAUGAAUGAUAAAAGUGUUUGAUAAAUCACCAAGUUAUGGAACACUUGAUGAUUUAUCUCAAAUAAAAACUCAGCUUUCCAAAGUUUAUGAAUUGAAAAUAUGAUCGUUAAAGCUCUCUAAACAAAGAAGACGAAGAUCUUAUUUUAUAGAAUUUUUCUUUAUAAGAAAGAAAACACAUUGAAAACCAAAUCUCCAAGGCUUGACAGAAAAUCACAAAAGUAUCUUUCCUAUUCUAGAGAUUGGUCACAUGUAGUCCAACCAAUAGGACAUGAGAUAUUUAAGAAAUGAAGAUUUUGAUCAAUAUCAAUAUCAAAUGAAUUCUUAUACGCCUAGUCAACUAUUAAGGGUAUCUUGACUCCUUGAUAUUGUGAUAUGAUUGAAACAUGAUUUCCACGUUAGAAAAUUAAGGGGAUGUUAAAACAUGAAAGUAAUAGGAGAAUCAAAUUGAUUUCGGCCAAAAUUGCCUAAAAAGAAAACACUCCUAAAUAAACUCAAUUCACUUUUAAAAACAGUAAAACGUGAUUGAAUUGUUCUUUAAAACAAUUCCCUAAUAUACAUGCAUGAUAAUGACAUCACUUACCUCUGAAUCAAAUGCCUUUCAUAGGUCAAGCCACAAGUCUGUGUUUUGGGGAUUGCUGAGCUGCAUCAAUCCUGCCAAUGUCAAUGCUGCCCCUAUGCUCUCUCAAAGCACGUUUACAACCUAUGCUAACAUAUACCCUAAACCCUAGUAUCAAGAAAAUGCCAACACUAAUUUCGUAACACGUAGAAAUUGUUAGAGAUUGGAAGUUUUUUUUCUUCAAGUCUCUCCACCACUCACUAAUACAGAUUGCUCAUGUGAUGAGUUUACAAAACCUAUUUCUCUACUCUCACAAAGACUAUACUUCUUCUCAAAAGACUAUAUCACUUUACCUCUAUCUCUGUGAAAUGUAAAAAGUUGAAACUUUAAUGUCAAACCUCGACAAAAGAUGAACUUCCAUAAGUUACGUUGAAUUUGGAUUUGUUGAACUUAAGUGGUUUUACUUUUCUGUCAGUGUUUGAUGACUUAAUUUGGUAUUUACUUCUUCUUUUUUUCCUUGGAAAUGUGUUCCACCAACGUGAGGAAGAAAAAUAUGCACAAAUUAAUAUAUUUAAUAGAAGCCCAAGAUUUCGGAAGCACAUAAUUUCUACAAAAUUCUACAAAGUGUUCUACUUUACAAACUUCAUAUGUCUACCAAUUUUUACUAAAAUUAAUUUAUCUGCAGUGCUCAAAUUCAUCAUAUGUGUGUCCUUAAUUUUAGUGAAAAUUGGAAGUUUCCAUUAUUUUUGUUUUACGGGAAUUUUUUGAACCAAGGAAAAUCAAGUAAAAUUAAUAAAGCAUAAAUUGGAAAGGGAAAAUAUCUAGAGGAUGCAUUGUAGGAUUGCUCAUGCCAAUAAUUGUACCCUCUAAAUAUAUAGGGACAUAUUUUUUUUGCUCAUACCACUUGUUGCAGUACACAUUCACCCGUUUUCAAAGAAAGAAAUUCUACCAAUCGAUAAUGUCUCAAAUUUAAUCACAUAUUUUAUGGACCAUCCAGCUAUGAGGUUUUAUCUCAAAAACCUUCGGUACAUUUCUCCCACAUGCCACAAUUGUAUAUUCACAAUUACGUCUGAUACAUCACAUCAUGCCACUUGCCUCAAAUGAAUUUAAGUGAGUGAGGCAGUUGGAAGUAAUUAAGCUCUAUAUUGGUGGGUGGAGUGUUAGUUCUGGGUACCCCUCAUCAUUCGUCUAUAAAAUGGUGAAGCCAGUUGCUACUGUUACCAUAAGAGCCAGCUCCGACUUUCUUUAAUUUCUUGCUUCAUAUCCACUAGCUACAUCUGUUGCUCUUCUCAGUGUAAGCUCUGCAAUUUGAUUAACUUUCCCAUUAUCUCUCACUGUACUCUAUAUAAAGGAAUAAGUGUCGUCCAUUAAUUCUCUCCGAAAGUGUCGUCCUGAUUUUAAUUAGAGUUCGAAUUAAUGUUGCAGCUAGCAGCGGUUGCACUGGCAAACCAUGCUGCUCAACCGGUACCUCAACUUUACUGGAACUCCGUCCUGCCAAACACACAGAUGCCAAGAUCUAUCAGUGAACUUCUGCAUCCUGGUUUGUGUUUGAGCACUUUAGAAUCUUAGAUAUCUCUUCUACCUGCCAUUUUACUAAAAUAUGUUCAACCACAUAUUUAUCAGUUAACUACUGUCAUUACAUGAGUGACACAUAUUCACAAAUCGGCUGAUCACUUAUUUUCCAUUAUGACGUUGAUAUAUAAUGUUGGGAAUGGAAAGCCAAUUGACCACAAGGGAAAACCUGAAAAUACUGUACUACCACAGCUAGCACGAAGCCCAUUUUCUUACAAGAGUGAUGUGGGGACCAAAUCUCAUGUAUCAUAGCUUAACCCAUAUGCCACAACUAAAAGACGUGGGAUGAUCGAACAGCAUACCCACAUGGUCAUGGAUCUCUUCAGAUAAUCAAUAUUAAACAACCCAUAAACUUCUCCCUUUGAAGAACAAAUUAAAACCAAUUUCUAGAGGAAGGUUACAAAACAUUUUAGCCCGUGAAGAACAAAUCAAGACAAUAUAACCCAUUUGAUAACAAAAUCAAAAUGAGAUUUACCAAUACUAGAUGACCACGGCGCCAGUAUAAUGGUACGACGGCGGCGUUAUUGUAACGGUGGAGAAGUGGAUGGUAUGACGACGGUGUUAGUGUGACGGUGGAGGAAACGAUAUUAUGAAGGAGGCGUUGCUAUGUUCGGUGGAGGAGUCGUGUGUUUCACAGUUCAAUAUAUCCUUUUUAGUCAUUUUAUAUUAGGGUAAAUCAGUAAUUCAAUAAAUAAUUUGAUAGUAUGGUGUACUCAGUUAAUAUUAGGGUUCAUUUAACAGCACUCAAAUUAACUAGUGUAGAGUCUAUCUAUAUUAUUAAUACUAAAAAUAAAUAUAUGACUAAAUAACUCAAAAAAAAAAUAAAUCUACAAUCUUUUUUUUAAAAAAUUUUUUUUAUAGAAUUUUAUUAGAUUAAUAGGCACUACUAAAAAAUCUCCUUAUAAACUACAAAUACACGCAUAACUUAUACUAAUGUGAGCUACUGACACCACCUGCCACAUGACAGUUGUCCAAGCAUAGUGUUGUCAUUCAUUAUUCCCCACAGCAACUAACAUCCAAUAAAGGGUUGGGGCCCACCCAUACUCCACCUCUCUGUAUGUAGCUCUUUGAGAAUACAGAAGAAAUAUUUUUUAGGGAAAUAGCUUAAAAUGAUACCCAUUUCAUAAUUUUAAUUAAAAAUACCACCCCUUUCCAAUUUUUGUACAACUAUCACCUAUAAAUAUAAAAUUAUUGUCCACUUAUUGCUGAUUUUUCACAAGUUCAGAAAUUUUGGAAAGAAGAAGCUCACACAGCUCUCUCUCUCUCUCUCUCUCUCUCUCUCUCUCUCUAGCACAACUCUCUUUCUUUGGUAUCUGUCUAUCACAGCUCUCUGUGUCUCUCUUGGCUCUCUCUAUCUUGGCUCUCUCUCUCUCUAGCACAACUCUCUGUCUCUCUCUUUGCUCUCUUUCUCAUAGCGCAGCUGUUUCUCUCUCUAGCUUCGUUAUGUCUCUUUCUCCCCUAUUCGAUCUCUUGCUUUCUGUUUGGAAUCGCGAACCCCUCCCUUUAGCUAUGUCUUCUGAAUAGCUGCUUGCAACCUUGAAGCUCUAGUGGAUUGCCGACCUCGAAAAGGUAGUGUUGAUGGUUAUUUUCUUAAUAUCAGUGGGAUUAUGUGAAAUGGGUUAUAGUUUGAUUGUUUGGGUUUGUGUUAAAUUCGUUUUGGCUUUAAUUUCUUUGGGUUAGGUUUUGUUGAAUAUUCAUACUCAUUCAUCUGGGUUUGUACCAAUUGCAUUUAGAUUGGUCUGGAUAUGUGAAUCUUGAAACUUGGGAUUUUCUAUUUGAUGUAGUAGAUCUGUAUAGUGUGAUUCUGUUGUGUUCCUCUUAUUUUACAGUCGUAUUGCUGUUAUAUUGUCAUUAUAUUGCUUAUAUAUUGCUGUUAUAUUGUGGUUAUAUUGCUAUUGUAUUGUUUGGUUAUUGUGGUUAUAUUGUGUUAAUGAAAUGUUGUUUUGUCAUGGUCAGAAAUGGAGACAAUUGUUAUUCUCGUGUGCUACAAUGGAAAAUGGGUCACCUCGAAGAAGAUGUGCAAAUACGAAGGGGGUGACUCAAAAGGCUUAAUAGUUCCACGGACCAUCAAAUUUGUUGAACUGUUGGACCGUGUGCAUUAGAUUGGUAAUACAAACAGCAGGGAAGACAAGGUUUGCUUAAAAUUCUCAGUUUUGGUGGCCUCGAAUGAGUGGAAGCACAUAAAUAUUGAGGACGAUGAUGAUAUCAAUUUUUUUAUGAAGUACAAUUCCGAGGUAACACCUUCAAAACUAGCUCCCUUACUCGUGAGUAUAGAAGAUAAAGGAUUGACAAAUGAUGUAGUUCAUAGUAUGCAUAUCACGACAGAUAGUAGUCGGAUGGGUCAUUCUUCAGUUGCCAUUGUUGAAAGCAAUGAAGUAACUUGGAAUAAUACGAAUGUCACUGAUGUGGGAGGUGAAGUAGGGACAGAUUUUGUGGAUAUGAUUGAUUUUAGCGAGGUGUAGGAGAUGCAUGGUGGUGAUAAUAGUACUGAAAGAAAUGAAGUGUCAGUGUACUCUGCCCCUCCUAAUUUGGGCUGCUUCAACAUAGCUGCCCAGUUGCCAAUAAUGCGUUUAGGAGGAGAAUCUGAACCCACUCGUCAACAUUAUUGGAGUCAAAUAGGUGAACAAAAUCGGUACAAUGCAGCCGGUGUAAAUGAUGAAGAAGCAUAUUUGGACAGCGGGUUUUCACGAAGUGAUUGGAAUCCGAAAAUUACAGUUGGGCAAAUUUUCUCUAGUAAGAAAGCAUUGUUGACGGAGUUACGGUUGACGGCAUUAAGAGGCCACUUUGAAUUUAAGGUGCAAUUCUCUUGCACUAAAAGGUUGCUUGUGGUUUGUUGUCAACGUCCAUGCCCAUGGCGGGUCCGAGCAUCGAGAAUUGGAGAAUACAGCUUCAUGAUUGUGAGGUGUACAACUGUCCAUGAAUGUGAUUUGAGGUUCGUAAGUGACAAGCAUCGUCAAGCAACCGCAGCACUUGUAGCCACUUCACUUAAAAGGAAGUGACAUUAUGAGAGAUGUGAAACACAACUUUGGUUGCACCAUCCAUUAUUCGAAAGCUUGGAAAGCAAAGGAGUUAGCUCUAUUGUCCAUUAGAGGAUCAGCGGAGGAGGCAUAUUAUAUCCUUCCAGCUUAUUGCUAUGAAUUGGAGCGUAUGAAUCCCGGCACAAAAACACACAUCCAAACUGAUGAGAACAAUCACUUUGUGUAUUUAUUUAUGGCGGUUGGCGCAUGUAUUAGAGGGUUCCGUUCUUCCAUGCGCCCAGUGAUAGCCGUGGAUGCCACUCAUUUAAAAUCCAAGUACAAGGGUGUUAUGUUUGUAGCAAAUGCAUUCGAUGGUAAUUGAAAUAUAUAUCCUCUUGCUUUUGGGAUCGGGGAUUUGGAGACGGAUGCAUCAUGGCAUUGGUUUUUCACUAAACUUCAUGAAGCCAUUGGUGAGUGUCCCAAUCUUGUUAUUAUUUCUGAUCGCAAUGUUAGCAUAGAGAAUGUGUGGAACAAAAUUUUUCCAACUGCACAACGUGGCAUAUGCUUUUAUCAUAUGAAGGGGAACAUGAAACGCACUUGCUAGUUGAAAAAGCGUGAUCACAUACUUAUGCACUUUGAGCAGGCUGCGAAAUCUUAUUCCAUUGCUGAAUUUGAUUGUCAUUUUUGCAAGAUCAAGCGAAAGGAACAUGUUGCUCAAUAUCUUGAAGAGACAGGGUUACAUAAGUGGUCUAGAGCUCACAUGGAUGGACGCCGCUACAAUGUAAUGACAACAAAUAUUGCAGAGUCAAUCAACUCAGUCCUUAGGUUUGCAAGGAUGCUGCCAGUGGUUCAUUUGAUAGGGGAAAUUGUUAAUCUCCUUGUGAAAUGGUUCACCGAACGUUGUGAGUUGGUUUUGAAUUGCACAACAACAUUGUGCCCCAAUUUUGGAGAGAAGAAGUUGAGGAACAGGUUGGAGGAUGCUGCAAGGAUGAAUGUGGUUAAAGUAAAUAAUGCACAGUUUAAUGUUUUGGACGGUGAUAUGGACGGCCUCGUAGAUUUGGCGAACAGCAGUUGUAGUUGUAGAAAGUUUCAGCUUGAGCAGCUACCUUGCAAGCAUGUAGUUGCAGUUUGCCGCUUCUUGAAAGUAAAUGUAUACGCAAAGGCUUCUCGGUAUUACACUCAGAAAACCUGGAUGAUGCUUAUUCGGAUAGCAUCUACCCGGCACAACCUCACGGAAUGUGGGAUAUUCCUGAAGAUGUUCGAAGUCGAGUUGUGCUGCCUCCCAUGGCAAGGGUCAUGCCAGGCAGACGAAAGAAGAUCAGAAUUCCCUCGCAAGGAGAGGGCACCAUUAGAAGAAAGUGCUCAAGGUGCGGUUCCGCAGGCCACAAUAAAAGCACAUGUAAAAACAAUAUUCCAUUGCGCAAUGUAUCUUAGACAAUAUGAUUUGUGUUGCUUUGGUAGGUCAUGUAAACUCUACUUUUAUUUGUGGUGGGUUUCGUGUUAUGUUGAAUGGGAAUUCUUUUAAAUUUGCAUAAUUUGGGUUGCAUUGCUACAGCAUGCUGUAUUGCUGACAGAUUGCUAUUAUAUUGGACUUUUAUUGUACUGGUAUUGCUUCCAGAUUGCUAUUAUAAUUUGAGUGCGAAAUUAAAGGGACUGGAAUGUAAUUCCAAAUGGAUCCAAAUCAUUAAAGUUCUUAGAAUUCCUAUAUUACACAGUUACUGUGAUACUCCGACUAUACCUUCUUUUAUGAUUACAAAUUCGGCCAAUGCAUAGGCCAGAUGUGGGGCAAAUACAAGGUGAAAUGUCCUAUGUGUUUGACUACAUAUACUUGUUGAAGGAGCAUUACGAAUGCUAACCUCAAUAGAUUGCUCAUGUCUUGCCAAGAACACUCUUGAAUUUAUGCAAUGUGCCCAAGCCAGUCCCAAAGCUGGACUCACCCGUCUGCCUGAUGUGUCCAGGGACUCCAAGUUUCCCAACCUCACCUCAUUCACUUUAUCAUGUGGCCCAAUAAAAUCCACCACUUGGUUGGUGACAACCACCGCCAACCCAAACUUAUUUGCUAAACCCUUCAAUGUCCCAGAUAUGUUGAAAAAUAUUUCAAACCGCCAUUUCAAAUCUGCUGGUGUUGUCUGAUACUGUGAUCGGAACAAUGCAGCAAUGGAAUCAAUGACAAUGAGUUUCACAGGUAGGUGGGUGUGAUCAAUGGCAAUAAAUGCUUCUAUGUCUCCAAGGACAUGGAUGAGUUGUUGAGCAUCAUGAACACCAUGAACAUAUAUGUCUUCCAAUGGCUCCAACCUUAUUAAGUUGGGGUAUGAUGCAUGAUAAAGGUUGCCUAGUUGUUGCAAUCGACGAAAUGGGAAGCUGAAUUCUGUGAAUAUGUAGACGGUGGAGCCCUCUAGUCCGCCAUGUGAGGGUGGGAGCUGAGCUGGUACCGUAAGUUGGAGACAAAGUUGCGUCUUCCCAGAACCACUCUCCCCUACCAAUUCUGUUAUAGAGUUGCAGGGUAUCCCACCCCCCAAGCAGUCAUCUAGUAUUGGGCAUCCAAUGGAUAAUUGAGGGGUUGAAAGAGGAAGGAGCAUGAGGUUUUAGGGUGUCAUAUUUGUGUAAUUUAGGGGGGGAUGUGAUGGUGCUACAAGGCAUGCAUUAUAUAUAUAUAUAUAUGUAGAGUUCAUUUUGAAGGUCUGUAUUGUAGGCCAUAUGUCUUUUAAGGGAUGUAUAAUCCAUCCUUUUUUCAGGUUGUAAUUAAUUUUUUGUUUAUUUAUUAGUAUUUUUUUGGACCAAAUAAUUUAAAAAACAUUAUGAUGCAGUACGUACUGUAAUAGGAUCAUAUUGUAACUCUAUCAUCACUCUAUUGUACUCUUAUUGACAUAAUAUUGCCGUUAUAUGCAUGUUUAUUAUAUAGUUAUUACUGCUAUAUCGCCACUGAACUGGACACCGAUAAACUGUAUACGCACAAAUACAAAAAGAGGCUUCAUCAUUCCAUAAAAUCCUAUUUCCAAACUUACAUAAUACAACAACAGGCCACCCCAUCGUUACAUAAUACAAAAAUACGCCACCUCAUAGUUCCAUUUCCCUACUGUUGACAAAUUCGAAGUUGCAUACUCUUCAAGUGCGGUGACCGCGACGCAUGAAAUUCAUGACCCCGGCCACAGUGAUGUUGGCCUAGUUUCCUGCCGGAUCCACUAUUUUUGCAAACUUACGAAAUAGUUCGAAUCCGCUUUCCACUUCUUCUUGCUUCAACUUGGCCGUUGCUUCUGAUUCCUUGAAUACCAUAAUUGCAGUGGUAGGGGCAAUUUCAAUUUUUGCUUUCAUUGUCUUUAUAUGUAGGAGAUGCAUGCGCGCAUGAUAACGAGAGCGAAUUGUGCGGUUUUUUAUGACACCCCAUCUAGUUUGGCCCUCCACAAUUUUGAAACUAUGUCUGCAUGAAGAUUUUUCCAAAACAUGGUAUUGCCUCGACAUUGCUGCAUGCCAUGGACCAAGUCUGCAGGGAGUGAAUUGGGUGACUUGGCUUGUGUUUCAGUCUUCUCUCCUUCAGUAAUUGAAAGUGUUGGGUGUGGUGUGAGGUUAUGGUCCAUGGUCUUCGAUAUUUAUUGUAGCCUAGUGUACAACUUAAUUGGAAAAAAAGGGGACUAAAUGCGAUGGGAGUGAAAUCAGUGGGGAAGGUAGUGGCUGUAAGCAGGAGUUAAUGUGAUGGAAGUUUUCAUUUCAAACAACUGGGUUGAUUAAUAUAGGCAAGUUUUAAUGACCUGGAGUAACUCAGAGAGUUAUUGGUGGGAGGGAUUAGAGGGAGUAAUUGGCGGGAGGGAUUGGCGGGAGUCUUAGGCGGGAUAGUAUUGGGCGGGAGUUAUUACCCAGUUGACUGUAUGCCUUUUUGUAAUAUAUUUGUAUGUUGGACGUUCCAAACUUGGUAAUUUUCCCAUUAUGUAAUUCAAAUAAGGGAUUUGCCUAUUUGCCUAAUUGACCAACUCAUUCAAAUUGACCAAUAUGGUUAUUGUCUUAUUUCUCAUUUCAGCAAUCUCAAUUCGUUUCCAUUUUUCCAUUCUUCAUAUUUUCCUAUUUUCCAUGUGUCAUCCAAUUUUCCAAUUUUCCAAUUUUUCAUUAUUUUUGCCUAUUUUUUCCUAUUCCCUAUUUUCCUAUUGUGCAAUUUCCCAAGUUUCCUUUUGUUGUAUUUCUAGUUUUCCAAUUUUUCAAUGUUCCCAUUUUCCCAUUAUGUAAUUUAAAAAAAGUUGCCUGCUUUGCCUAAUUCAGAAAGUAAUUAAAAUGGUCCAAUAUGGUAAUUGUCUUAUUUUCCAUUUCCACAAUUUCAAUUCGUUUCCAAUUUUCUUAUUUUCCAUGUGUCCCUAUUUCCUAUUUCCAUUUUUCAAAUUUUAAGUUUUUGUCCAAUUAUCCAAUUAUCUUUUUUCCAAUUGGACUAUUUUCUAAGUUUCCUUUUUUUCCUAUUUCCAAUUUUCCAAUUUUUCAAUUUGCUAACUUUCCUUUUGUUCUAUUUCCAAUUUUGCUAUUUUCCAAGUUGCCUUAUUUCCUAUUUUUCAAUUAUCCAGUUAUCCAAUAUUCCAAUUUUCCAAUUAUCCAAUUUUCAAUUUUCCAAUUUGCGAAUUUGCCUAUUUUCCAAGUGUCCUUUUUUCCUAUUUCCUAUUUCAAAUUUUCCAAUUUUCAUGUUUUCAGAGUUUCCUUUUUUUUUCCUAUUUUCCAAGUUUCCUUUUGUCCAAUUUCAAAUUUUCCAAUUUUCCAAGUUGCUUUAUUUUCCAAUUACCCAAAUUUCCUAUUUUCCAAGUGUCCUUUUUUCCUUUUUCCAAUUUUCCAAUUUUCCAAGUGUCAUGUAAUCCUAUUGCCUAGUUUCCUCUUUCCAAUUUUUCCUUUUUUCCUAUUUCCAAUUUUCAAUUUUCCAAAUUUCCCAAAUUUCCAACUUUCCAUUUUUUCGUAUUUCCGAUUUGCCAAUUUUCCUUUUGUUCUAUUUCCAAUUUUCCAAGUUUCCUUAUUUCCCAUUCUCCAAGUUUUCACUUUUCCUAUUUUUCAAUUUCGCUAUUUUCCAAUUUUCUGUUCUGAAAUUCGCAAUAAAUGCUUAGUUACACAGUCCUAUUUUGGGUUGAAAUCCACAAUUUUCAAUUUCCCAUUAAGGUUUGCUUUUUUGUCGUUUGGAAGCCAAUUUUAUUGUUGUUAAUGUAAUGUUGUACUGUUGUAAAUUACAGCCAAUGAGUUAAUGAUGUAGUUUGCAAUCCCAUCAAUUGAAUGCACCAACUAAAUACCCAAUAUACUUCAUAUAAGUUCGUACAUAUAACUCAACCUUCCUAUACAGAACUGCAACAGAGGCACCUUCUUAACGGGAAAGGUAAUUAGUCUUACUAAAACGCAAAUAUUCUCCACUACAGCUAACCAAUUGUCGUUUACAACUGGAGACUGAAUCUACCUUUAUUUGUUUUGUUGCAGGCAACAGCUGUGAAUUGUCCCCGGCAAUACUUAAAGAUGUCGGAUGUACGCCCUCCAAAUGAGCAUGUCACAGUUACCCGGGGGACCAGCCGUGGCAUGUGCCAUUCCCAUCUCCACCUCGGACUCCCAAUCAUGAUCCCACUUCAUCUGGAAGUGAGGCUGAGAGCAAUGAUCCGCUUGACAAAAUCUCUGCCGUCAAGCACCACCUCCAAUAUAUGUCAAAGGCAACGGAUUGGUGGGAGAGUAAGUGCGAUAUUCAUGGCCAAGUUAUGGGAAACUUGGCCAACAAGUUGAACAAAGCAUACGCUGGAGAGGUGAAGCAAACUCUAAAAGCAAAAAGUCGGAGCAAAGAGUUAGAGUCCUUGAAGUUGAAAUUGGAAGAGAGAAAGAAAAAUGCUGUCGAAAAAUUCACACAAUCUGAAGAAUAUAACCAUGAAAUGGUUGAAUGUUUCAACAACGGCUUUGAAAUGUUCCGAGAUUAUGCUUCGGUCAUCUCACCAGACUACAAUUGGAGUGAAAUUGAUGUAGCUGGUGUUUGGCAGGUGCUGAAUAUGGGUGCUGAGGGAAUGGCUCAUCAUAGCCUCGUGCAUGCAGCAAGGAGAAAGGACAAAGACUUGGAUCUUUUGAUGGACCUGUAGUAACAGUGAGUGCUGCUUCAGUUCAACUCACCUGAGUACAUGGAUCUUUUGUUGCCUUCAUUUUCCCUUCGCAGGCUAGUAUUGUUAAGGUUCGGUGGCGAUUUCUUUUGCAUGUGUAAAAUGUUGUCUGUAAUGUGUAUGUAUUGUAUGUAGAUUGACUUAAUAUUGUAGUUCUAUUGUAUGUAUAUUGCCUUAAUAUUGCCUUUGUAUAGCAUAGAUAGUGUAUGCAUAUUGCCACCGUAUUGGAUGUAUAUUGUAAAACUAUUGGUAUCGUAUUGCCCUUAUAUUGCUCUAAUAUUGCCUCUAUAGUGCACCUAUAUUGACCUAAUAUUGCUCUUAUAUCGUAUGUCAAUGGCAUGUGCUCUAAUAAGUCUCCAGUUCGUUGAAAGUAAUCCUGAAUUCAAAUAUGAUGGACAAGACAAUUGUUAUCCAUCCUUAUAUUACCAUGAAUUGAUUUGGACCUUUCAAAUGAUAGUUGGAGUUGCACAUGGAUUCAUAUUCAAAAGGAAAGUAAUUCUCUCCCUCAAUGAAUUGUCGUUCAAAAGAAGGCAGCUAUCAAAUUUUGGGUACAAAAAGGCAACAUCCACGGUAAAUUAAUUGGGCACAAACCACAUAUUACAAAACCAGGAUGAUUUUUGGCAUGCUUCAAAAGAGAAGGGCCAAAUACAACAGAAAAGAAAAUCCAUUCAAGCUUGUACAAUAGAAUGCACAAUAACCCUUUUACAUGUCCUUCCAACACCAGUGUUUUGCCUACUUUAGAGUCGCAGGAGGAGAGCUUAUUGCCAUUGUGCAAUUCGAGGGGGCAGUCAAUUUGGAAUGGUGGCAUAAACAUGUUUACUCCACGGAUCACCUAUAUGGGACAGAGCUUCCUUCUUCCCUUGUCGUCUGUAGGUUUCAACUUCACACUUUUUAUAUACAUGUAUGAGAACUUGUGGCUAUUUAUUUAUGGCCUUCUAACACUUGUUCUGCCAUUCCAAAGUGGGUUGGAGACUUUUUGAGUUGAAUGACUGGAAAGACUUCAGAUGACAGAAACUAGAGAGUUUGAAGAAAAAGGGUUACCAAGAACAGCAGUCAUGCCCACGACAUAAACUAAACAUGCUAUAAGCUCCACAGUAAUAUUUACUUCAUCUCCAUAAUCAGAAUAUUGGGAAAAAAAUACCACGGAGAAAUACGUGAAAUGAAAAACAACUCGGCAGUUACUGUGAGAUUGUGUACAUAAAACUUGGAACAACCAAACCAAUUAAAGCUAAGCCAUCUCAUACGUAUACCUACAUCAAAUAACAGUGUAUGGUCAUCUUGUUUAGAAUAUUGCAAUCAACACUUGGUUGAGACCGACCUGCAAAAACAACUGGGUUAAGUACAGAUGAAGCCAUUUAUGAAGGGCAGUUCCAGAAUUAAGACCUACGUUAAUUUGUAACUGCCACCGAAUCAGUUCAUAGUGCCAAAUGCAUCUACCAAGCACACAGAUAUGACCAGCCAAAAGAAAAAAAAGCAAAGUAAAAAAGAUAAAAGAGGCAUGCCAUAAAUGGGAACCUCAGCAGAAAUCAUCAGAUAUGCAUACAAGCAGAUUGAGUAACAUCUCACUAAGUAGAGGUCAUGUUGGUAAUCGCAUGUUGUGUUUGCACACAGACAUUUGGUUUUUGCAAACACAACAUGCAAUUGCAUUCCAUGAUGUGUGUGUUGUGUUUGCACACAGACAUUUGGUUUUUGCAAACACAACAUGCAAUUGCAUGAUGUGUGUGUUGUGUUUGCACACAGACAUAUGGUUUUUGCAAACACAACAUGCAAUUGCAUAUUGUGUGUGUUGUGUUUGCACACAGACAUAUGGUUUUUGCAAACACAACAUGCAAUUGCAUAUUGUGUGUGUUGUGUUUGCACACAGACAUUUGGUUUUUACACACACGAUAUGUAACAUUUAGUUUUACCCUUUUAUUCUUAUUUUCUUCGUUCAAACAUGGUGGUGAGAAAAGCACCAAACCAUCCCAUCAUAUAAAGCAAAACUCAUACAAUAUUUUAGAUGCAAAAGUUAUAUAUUUUAUAUAAAUGCAUCAUCCGCAUGGCUUGAAAUUACAAAUUCACGUUCACAUAUUACUUUUCACAAGCGCACAGACUAACAAUAAUAAUAAUCAACCAAGUAGUUGCGACAUUCAUCCUAUUACGUCCAUAUUGAUAAUGUCAGAAGUUUCAUCGAUAAGCCUCAUCAAACUACAAGUUUUUUAAUUUGAAUUAUGAAUUCAGAACUAAAAGCUCAUGAUAUGCAGAAAAUGACAUACAUUGUCCACAAUCGACUUUUCGAUAUAUUUCUGCUCUAGCAAUUUAUCGUCCAAAUUCUGGACUCUCUGUGUCAGGUGCUUCUUUGUGUUCUAUCCAGCAUAAGAAUAUUUAAUAGUGUGAUUUCAAUUGUUUAUACAAAUUCUAUAAGUAAUAUUGAUGAGUGCUGUAAAUCUAUUUGAUAUUGGGAACAAACAUGGUCCCACUAACAGAAACUCAAACAAAACAGGAAUUUUUUUUUAUUUUUUUUGGCAUAGACAGCCGAAAAGAAACUUACAGCAAUAGCCUCUGUCACGCUCUCCAGACGUUUAUGCAAUUUUGAAACAGCAGCAUUCAUACUACGCUUUGUCACAUACAGAAGAUCUGAGAAUUUUAGACCCUAACCAUUUGUGAAGAGCAAAUAUUAGAUUUGCUUAAAGAAGACAACAACUCACAGAACCAAUGGAUGAAAUAAUAUGAACAUAAAUAUAUCAUUUGGAUACCUUCCACCACAUGUAACCAUAACCCAAUGCCCCCAAGGUAGCUGUUGGCAUUAUUAGUGAUGUCAAACCUAUUAAAAAAAUCAAAAAAAAAAAUAUAACCAAGUAUAAAAUGUUUCUAUUGCAUUAUGAAAUACAUACGUGUAAGGAAUUAAUCGUUUUACAACUUAACCAAAAAGUCAAGGCAGGAGCAUGCAUUCAUUGAGUGGUUAUAAGCAAGAGGAAAAAGCACAAAGCAUGCUAAGAAUUCAUUUGAACACAGAAGAGAAAGUAAGCUACCUUGGAAUUUGGCUGUCAUUCCCCUUCAGGACGGCUCUCUGUAGUGACGAGUCUAGUUGUCGGACCUCAGCUGCCAGUCGGCGCACCUAAAACAAAGUAACACAGGAAAAUUGAUAUCCAUUACAAAAAACAAAAAUUGAACACGAGAAAGCAUCCUUCGACACUAAAUUUAUAGCAGUUUUUCCAAUACCUGUGAUGCGAUCGCAUAAAAGUCACCUUCUGAUUGUUCUCCGGUUCCAUUGAACAAAGGCUGCAAACAAAACAGAAAUAGACACAAAUCCAUCAAUUUUUUGAGCAACAAGACACAAGCUCCGAAAUAAAUAAACUAUCUAACUGAUCAAAACCCUAGUUUACCAAAUGCAUUACAAAAUUAAAAACUCAUACAAAAAUAACACCAAAUACAAAUGUUCUGCGAGUUCCACUAGCAAAGCAGAGUACAAAUCAUGAAAAUGGUACCUGAAGUUCACCGAUCAAUUCAGAUAAUUGACCAUUCUUACGCAGGAUGGUGCUCGUAUACCCUGUAGAAAGAGAACAAUCACUCAGAUCAAAUGUAGCUAAAUACACAAGGAAACUAAUCCAGUAUGCAAGAUGAAAGAGGAGUGAUUGGUACCUACUCCAGCGAAGAUCAGCAAACACAGUAUGAGGUUCCAAAUUCAAAUAACAACAUAAUGCUAAGCAGAGAAGUAGAAUUGCUGCCGAAAUUAUUUAAAACGAACUAAGUCAAAACUAAAUGGAGAAAUGUUAACAAAGUUGUAUGCUUCAGUAAGUCCAGUAACAGAUUCCCAAAACCACAGAGACAAAAUGUGAACAAUGGCUACAAAAGCAUCCAUAAAGAGCAACUAUGUUUAUAUAUGGAGGUGUACAAAAUAGUUAACCUUCAAAAUCGAAACAGUGUGUGUGCCAUGUAAGGCAAUUAGCCACUGCUUCUAGACUAUACAAUAUUACACCUCACAAUAAUAACUAAACCAACUAGCUCUAGCAAAAAGGCAGGAUGACCAUAUAAAGUACCCCCAGCAAAGCAUCUACGUCUGCAUCUUCAUAUCAAGGAGUUCCUGACAUAAGUAAUGAGCAAAGUGAAUUCCCAAGUCAUAAGUCCAGAAUGAGGUGAAUUCACGGACAUUAAAACAUUUACCUCAUAAAUAUGCCUCCCCCCUUAAACCCUCAAUUGCAAGCCUCAGCCGGUAAUAUUUGAUCUUCAAAGGGUCAACUUUAUCUACCGAAAUCCCAGCACUGAGAUGCUCGAUGAAUUUGACGGUCAUGAUUCCGCAAGACGUACUGUGAGACCAAUAAGUUGGGAAAUUAGAACUGCAGUUAUGUAAGAUUUGGAUAAACUGCACUAAAUUCACAAAGCUUACCCAUCUCGUUGUUGUGGCACAUCUGCAAUGCUGCAAACUGAGAAUGGCGUAAACGUCAACAUCUUCAGCCCCUUUUGCUUAACCUUUUCAACCUCAGAAUCUUCAUAAAAGUGCAUAUCGUACAGCACUCGUGCCAGCGUAUCGCUAAUAGGGUGCAGAAGUGUAACCAGCUUCGAACAUUUGGUAAAAGCAACAUAUGAGUCAUACACAGUUGCAGUAUGUCAGACGAAAUCAAUUUCGAUUGCAACCCAGUAAGACCCUUUAAGAUUAUAUGGAAUAUAGACCUUCCGGACUUUUGUCCAAGCUUGGCCAUACCCGUGUUGCCACGUACCGCGUACAAAGUAAUGUAUAUUCUGCAGCUUGCUGGGUGGAAGGUCAACGGUGUUUGAAGCAACUGCCUUCUUCGAUCCACGUUUCUUGGCAGUCGGUUUGAACGGAUCUAGAAAUUGCUGCAUAAAUUGAAAUGAAGGCAUAUUAGAAAAUCACAACCGAAAGCAAAUGAAGCAGCGAAUGUAACAUGGUAACAUGUUUACCUGCAAGCAACAAUCUGCUGUUGUCCAGUCAGUUCCAAAUACCAACGGAUGAGAGAGUUGCCUUUUCCAGAUAAGAAAGGUUGCCAUGUCCAGGUGCUGAAAGUUGACACACAUAAUAUCAGCACAAUUUCAUACAACUGUACACUUAAAAAAGGUGAGAAAACAAUUUAAUUAUCGCAAUAAAGUAGAGCUUUGUGUAUUCUUACCCUUGAGCUAAUCCAUUCCGUUUCAUCGAUAAGUCUGUAGAAAAAAUCAGCGCCCACUGAAAAUAAUUCCAGCUGCACCUCCGCACUACAAAAGGCAAACUUGCAAUGGUUACUUUUAUAGUCAUCUCAUAAUUCUGACUUUGUUGAUGACAAAAAUACACAUGUAUAUUAAAGCAAACUCUACGUUUUCUCAUUAGUCUAUGACUACAUACUAGAAUAGGAUGAAGAUUGGAAUUCAAAGGUAAAGAAUCCUAACCUGAUAUCGUUUUUCCAGGCAGUACAAAACUCUAUUACUGCCUUCACAUCUUCAAUGGGCACGGAUUUUGAUGGAUCAAAACAUGGCGGGGUUGCAGUCGCAGCCAACACACUCAUCGUCCUCUUCUUCCUCAAAGGAUCAGUAAAUGGGCUCAACAAUGUCUGCGCCGGGCGCUUCUGUCUGCACCCUUUACCUUCCACUUCUUUUUUUUCCACACUCGAACUACCUUCUUCAUCACCAGCCAUACUAACUGUGGGUAGACUUGGAGGAUUCAUCGGACCUCCCGAUGGCAUACUCUUAGUCACUUUCCAAUCUUCUAACAGAGACAACACUUUUUGGCAGAUUUCGUCACACCCGGCCACAUCUUCCGGGGUAGGCAGCUUCUCGGAUUGUGCCUGCUCAGCUGCUUCAUGCACUUGUAAGUGAGGAACUGAAGCGGCCAUUUCUGCCUCUUCGACUACCAUGGCUGCGGAAGGUUCGGCUCCAUCACCGGGAACUUGUGUUUCCAUUACCGCCGGUUCUGUAGGCGGACUAACAUGGUCAUGUAAUGGCGACAAGUGAUUGUCGCCUCCUUCAUUCAUAUGAGGACUACUGAGGUCCUCAUGUCCUUUCCCACCUUCAUUCACCCCACCAUUUCGUUUUUUCAGCUGCUCUAUCUCCACAUUAAAAUAAUGCUCCAUUAAAGCCAGGGUGUUGCGGAAAUCCUCCACACACUUUUUAUUUUUUUCGAACUCUCUUUCAACUUUCAAUGACUCCUUCCGUACCAUGUCUUCCAACUGAUGCACUCUGUUGCGAAGCGCUCGAUUUGAUAUGGCAACUUUGGCCAAUUCAUCCUUUGUCCUUUGAAAGUCACGCUUCAAAGUGCGUAACUCUCUGGACGCGACUGUACCCUGCAUUCAGUUAUAAUGCAAGUGUUACAAUAUUUUCAAAAUAUAUUGCAACAAUACAGCAGUUAUUUUCCUAUUGUAUUAUGACGUAUAUCUUGGAAAAAAAUGUAAUGCUUGCCUUAGAAGACGACGGAAGGCUAGCAGUUUCGUCAAUGUCCUUAUCUUUUUCUUCUACAGAGGCAGAAGUGCUGGUUUUUUGUUCAGCGUCAUCGCCAAACAACUGAACAAGUUCUUCAGUGUCGUCAACACUGUCACCCCAAGUCCAAUACGGCUGCUGCUUGUCGAUUACAGAUGGCCGGAGAAGUUGCACAUCAACCUGCAAUUUACACAUACAAUAUACAUAUCAGUAAACUUAUUAUAUUAUAUUUUCAUAUGCCUAACAUUAUCAUUAAAAACUUAACUAACCUCACGGUUCUCGAAUACUUGGCUCAUUAGCUCAUAAAAACACGGCGAACUAUUGCUCCUCCAAUGUAGUAAACGAGGGAUGUAGGCAUUAUCUUCGUGCACCACCAAAUGUAGUGCAGCCAACGCUGGAAAAACCUCAUAAGCCCAAAUCUGGUUUGAGGAAUAAAACGUGAGUCACUGUAAACAAAUGAAAUUUAACUUCAACAUGAAUGGAAAUUUGCUCACCUGAAGUGCAUAGGCAAAACCUUUGAGGUGGUACUCUCUUGGUCUACCAGUUGCCGUUGUUUUUGCUUUCUUUUCAGAUUUUUUUGUUUUUGCAGCUUUUUUGGGCACUUUCACUCGCUGGUAAUCUGUACAAAGUGCCCUCAGAAGUGACACAAUUGUCUUGGCAUAACACACAGCACCCCAUGGAUACUUCCCAAACUCUUCAAGGUCUUCCACCAACUUCAAAUAUCGCAUGUCAAUCUGGACAUGUUUUUCACUGCCCAACAGCACAAACACAGCAAAGUAUACAAAUCUGAGCUUCAAUACAUCGUCCGCAUCAACGCAUUUGAGGAAGGCCUUUUCUAAUUCCAAAACAUUGACAGUUUUAUAGUUGCCAAAGUACUUCCUUUUCAAUGAGCAGUUCUCAUUAGUGGGAAUCGGAAUAAAGGGAAGGUUUCCAAACCUUAGCCCUGUCACGAUGCAAAAUUGCUGCGCCGUGAAUUGGAUCACCUUAUUGCCAACGAUGAAUUUGAUCCCGUUGAGUUGGGAAACUGUCUUUGGAUCAGCUUUCCUCAGCAGCAAGCCGUGGACAAUUGGCGAAGUCCACUUGAGGUCCUCAAUCAGUAGGAGAUGCCCAAAACAACUCUCUUCAAACCUUUGUAGCUGUUGUUCACUGAAUUUCUCCUUUAUCGUGCUGAUUGCAGUCUUCGUAUGGGAUAGGGACAAUGCUUUUCCUUGGAACUUUUCUUCCUCUGCAAUCAUCAACUUCAUUUGAGCAACCAUCUUUCCCUGCAUGCCAAUAUUAUAAAAAAAAAUUCAGUCCGUUGCAAUCUAGACAAUAACAAGCAAUAAACAAUCAGCACUUAUCUACAGCCUAUUAUAGGAUAUUAAGUGAAAACAAAAAAACAAAAAAUACAGGGCAUAAACAAAACCCCAGCUAUUUACAACUGACCUACUAAUUCAAUAGCUCAAAGCCACAUCCCAAGACACCCAGUACUCUACCACUCUUGCAUAAUAUAAUAUCUAAAGACACAUCUCAACACACCAGAUAAUCAUGACACAGCUUCAGCUAGAAUGGGAAUGUGCGGUAGCACAAGCCUAAUUGAGAACAAUUCAAGACUAACGAUAGAAAUCUAUCUGACUAGAAAGAGUUUUAAAAAAACAAGAAGACAUCGGGAAAGAAUUGAUUGACUUCAAGGUAUAAUGUAAUGGAACAUCCUAUGAAUUAGUGGCAACCAUAAUAAUGACUCCACUAUGGCCCUCCUUUCAAAUGUAAGAAAAUGAAUGAAAUUGGCACCAUCCCUUCAGUUUUUUCUUAACAAAAUAAGAGAUUUGUAUGUAUUCUCUGCUUUAUCGAUAUCAAAGAUAAAUUAAUAAAUAAACCAUCAAAACUGUAUAAAAUGUUUGUUAGACAUGUACAAUUACAAAAUUAUAAGUUCUCCUCAGAAACAAAGUUCUCUAAGUACGCAAACAAGAAAAGCAAAAGCUUAAAGAGUUAGCUUAUAGCAAAAUCAAUGUCCCCAUUUCUCUAAACCACACCUGCUGGUGGUAGGUUCCCAUCUUCACUCAUUUCCCGCUUUCUUUUAAACAGACAAUGAUCAAGCACAAAAGAGCAAACUUUUAAAUAACUCAUAUUACACCACAAAUAGUUCUAAAGAAAACUUAUUCAUAUCCAAUAUGCAACCCCUAAAGUUAGUAAACAGAGUUAUAAAAAAAUAUGUCAAAUUAACAAGCAUUAUUCUCAAACAAAAAGUAUGAUAUGGUUGGGAGUUUACAAGUUCAAAAUGAUAUACACAGGUUAAUUGUCUUAGACUUUAGAUAUCAUCUUCAACAAAGAAAAUAGAUACCGAUUAGACUUGUAAGAAGGUUAAAUGCAAUGGUCAUAAAGACCCAUAGUAAGCCACCAAAUACCAAUCAAUAACUGCUAUAAAAACCAUAAUAAAACCAUAAUAAACUAAAAAUACAACAGCACUAAAAUGCCAACACAACAUCACUACAUUAGCAAUAUAGUAGCAACAAAACCACAAUACGACAUCAAUAGCAACAGCAAAACAACAGCAGUGCAAGCAUCAGUCCACAAAGAACAAACCCAUUCACUGUUUCAAACAAGGAAUCAUCAUACUAAGAUCAUUUCAGAGAAACCCCAAAACCAAUUUCAGUGAAACCCCUAAACCAAUUUCAGAGAAACCCCUAAACCAAUUUCAGAGAAACCCCUAAACCUUCAACCAAUUUCGAACAAAUCCCUGAACCAAUUUCAUAGAAAUGCAUAAACCCUAAACCAACUUCAAAGAAACCCUAAACUGUAAGAAAAUGACGAUGAACAGUACCUGUUCAAGGUGAACGAUGGAGUUGAGCUUCGAUGAACAAAUUUCGCUCGGAGAGGAAGAGAGAAGAGAGAGUCAGAGCUGAGCGACGAGAGAUUAAGGGCUGAGCGACGAGAGAGUGAGAGCUGAUCGACGAGAGAUGAGAGAGUGAGAGCAAAGUGACGACAGAGUGAAGAGAAAUUGAGAGAAGGAGCCAAGAGAGAGAGCUGAGAGAGAACUUCAGCAAAACUGAUAGAGAACUUCAGCAAAAGUGAUAUGUGUACAAUAAGGGGACAAUAAAUAUAUAUUUAUAGGUUAUAGUUCCAAAUUUUUUUAAAAAGAGUGGUAUUUUCAGUUACAAUUAUAAAAAUGGUGGCAUUUUGAGCUAUUUCCUUAUUUUUUAUUCAACAUGGACGCAGAAACUGUUGCUAAACUGCAAACUUCUUAAAAUAUUUGUCUCACUUUCUCAACCCUAUAUUUGUCUAACUUUCUAGAUCCAUGUACUGAGAUUUAUUAGGGAAAUAUUGUAGAAACUGAUUAUUUUGAAAUAUUAAAUGUGAAAAACUGAACAAAAAUUUGAUGGGUUACAUAUUUCAACUCAUUUCAGCAGCUUAGAUUUUGAAGACCUCGGAAGAGGCCAUGCAGUGAGCCUAGCUAGUGCACUGUUGAUCACUUCAGUGUCUACCGAUCUGUAAUUUUUCCAGAUUGGUUAUAUUUUCCUUUACAUAUUCUUAUAUUAUUCCCAGCUGUAAGUGUUUUACACACUUGUCUAUUAGAAAAGGGGAGACUUAUAAAUAAAUCCAAAAUGGGUACAGUAUUUAUAAAGAAUGACAAAAUUAAAGUGUUUGGGCAAUAAUGCCCUUAUUCAUUUUGAGAUUGCCUAAGGAAUAUUUUUUCUGAUUUUCAGAAGAUGCCAAAGGACCGUUGUUUGAUGAUUGCCGUAAGGAGCUAAGAAAACUUGCUUUGAUAGUUUUGGACAGAUGCAUGCUACUGUUGCUGGGAUGAUCUCUUCACGUGAAAUGAGGAUGAUGAUGCUUCUACACUACACAAUCCAACGAAUUCACAUGUCUAUUUCAGAUACAAGUAUAAACUAACAAGGCUUUAAAAUAUGGGCUGAUGCACUGUUGUUGAUGUUGCUGACACUGUUACUGUGUUGUUGAUACUGUCACUGCGUUGCUGUUGGAAAAAGCACAAGGACUUCACAUGUUGCUUUCGUCUUUUGUGGAGGAGAGAGACCUAGGACUUGCAUGUCUUAGAUAUUUAAGAUAAGGGGCUUUCGUUCCAUUUUGAAAAUACUUUGGGUGUUUUUGAAAGGUGAUUGUUUCUUUUGGGUUUCUCACUAAAUUUCGCUUUAGAAGGGAAAAUAAUAAUAAUAAUGUCAAACAAAGUAGGGUAAAUAUUCAGAUAUGCUCAUAUUAUUAUUCUUCUCCAAUAUUGAGGUAUUUAUACAAGUACAAAGAUGUGUUAACCCUAAAUAAAAUAGGAAAUAUAUCUAAAUUAUAAUAGGCAGUAAAUCUCUAUUACAAUAGGACUAAAUAAUAAUUGGUAAGUAACCAAAAUUCUAAUGAAAUAAGGAAUCAAAAUCCUAACUAAGUAAGGACUCGCCAACACUCCCCCUCAAGUUAGGGCAAACAUAUUUCGCAUGCCUAACUUGACAAGCGAGUCAUAGAACACCAUACUUGAGAAGCACCAAUUGUAGAGAAGGUCUUUUCGUCAACCACGAGUGAAACAAGUGACAAACUAAAGCAAAGUUCGCAGCGGAAACACAAGAGCGAAUCCUAAAAAAUAGGGCACAUAGCAGAACACAAAAAUCCUGGAGCACGACAGUAGAUAAGGCAGAACACAGAAACCCUGUUAGCACGGCAAUAGGUAAGGCAGAAAAAGUCAAGAGCAAAGGCAAGGUCAACAGGCGUGACCACAACGAAAACACACCAGCAAAGACAUGAGCAACAAUAUUAGCACCAUAAUAGACAUGAGCAACAAUACUGGUACCAACAACAGCAAUACAAGGCACUGGCACCAGCAAGAGCAACAAGGCAUGGACAUAACAUGCAUAAUCAAUAGUAAUCAACAUUGUCCCCAACAAGAGUCAUAAUAGGCAUGAGCAAUAACAUUGUCCCCACUAAGAGACUUAACAGGUAUGAGUAACAGUACUGGCACCAGCAAAGGGCAUAGUAGUCAGCAGCAAUAACAAUGACAAAUACUUCUAUUAUUGCAGAGACAACUUCUCUUCACUCCCCAUCUCCCCUUGAAGAGAAGGGGUCAUCGGAACCAUAAGAAAAGUGGCACUUAAGAAACAGAAGUUGACUGACGCUCAAAUGUAGAAGAAUCAGCCAUGGCAAAUAGGUAGCUGAAUUGCAGCGGAAUAGAUGAGCAGCGGUGUCACUCCCCCUCAUAUCUGAUAAUGUAUGAGAGUCGAGAUUUGGAGAAAGCAAUAUCGAAAAAUAAAGUUGCAGAACCCAAAUAAAGUUGCAUCUAUCUCCCCAUCAAAUCCGACACUGGUAAAGGGUCGAGAUUUGAAAGAGGAGAAAUUGAAAUAAUAGUAAAGAGACUCAAACAUGCAGUCUCAUGGCAGAAACAAAUGCAAGAGGGGAAGAUGGUAGCAUACGGUUGUCCCAUGAAGAAAAAACUUCAGAAAAGGAGAAUAGUAAGGGAGGAAACCUAGCAAAUCAUGAACAGAGACAAAGACAAAGAUGCUCAAACUGAGAAGCGGAAAGGCAACUCAAGAGAGCAACCGAAGAAGACAGAGGCCCGCAGAACAGUCAAAGUUAAGGCUCGGCGAGUGGUGACGAUGCUCGCGGAGGAAAGCAACGGCUCGGUGAGCGGUGAUGAGGCUCACGGAGUAAAGAGACUUGUUAUGAAGUUUCAAAGAUAGAGAAGCUGAGACAUCAAGAAAGACCAUCUGGCAUACAAAGAUGAAAAAUAAAAAUUUUGGAACAGUAGCAAAGAAGCAUGUGAAGGCUGGUGCGGUGAAAACACAUAUGAAAGGAUGAACAAAAGAAGAUGACUAUACAAGAUGAAGACCCAUGAUGGGUUAGGAAUGAGGAGUGCCAACGACUCUCAAUUUGGCAGAGGUUAUCGCAGGUUAGGAACCUGGCUCUGAUACCAUGUCAAACAAAGUAGGGUAAAUAUUCAGUUAUGCUCAGAUAUGCUCAUAUUAUUAUUUUUCUCCAAUAUGGAGAUAAUUAUACAAGUACAAAGAUGUGUUAACCCUAAAUAAAAUAGAAAAUAUAUCUAAAUUACAAUUGGAAGUAAAUCUAUAUUACAAUAGGACUAAAUAAUAAUUGGUAAGUAACUAAAAUUCUAAUGAAAUAAGGAACCAAAAUCCUAACUAAGUUAGGACUCGCCAACAAAUAAUAGUACAACUCUUAUUAGCAACAGGUUACAAACUUCUUCUACAACACACCAACAUGAAUCUAGCCCUGAUCCACUCUUUUACAUACUUGAAAACAAAACAAAACACGAAAAACAAAAAACAAGAAACAAGAUAGGGAGAAAAUGGCUACGGAGAGACUUCCUGCUAAUCAGGGGCGGCCCUGGGGUGGUGCAAGUGGCGUCACCGCACAGGGCCCCCGAUUCUUAAGGGCCCCCAAAAAAUAAUUCUUUAUAUUAUAUAUAUAUAUAUUAAUAUUAUAUGAAUCGUAUAUAAAGUAUAGCGUCUGGAUGAUAAAGAGACUCAUUAUCAUUAUCUUAGUCAUAAGAUUCAAAAUGAAUUGAUACUUUUGUUAGCUUCUGAGCUCAAAAGUGCAAUCAUUAAAAAGAUUGAAGAAGCUAAAUAUUUUUCUGUGAUUCUUGAUUGUACUCCAGAUGCUAGAAACCAAGAACAAAUGAGUUUGAUAGUAAGAUGUGUGGAUGUCUCUACUAAUUCAAUAAAGGUUGAAGAAUUCUUUUUGGAAUUUUUGAUUGUGAAUGAUACAACAGGACAAGGACUUUUUGAAGAGUUGCAAACGGUGUUGCAAAAACUUAAGCUUGAUAUUGAUAAUGUGAGAGGACAAGGCUAUGACAAUGGAUCAAAUAUGAGUGGGAAAUAUCAAGGUGUCCAAAGAAAAUUUUUGGAUGUAAAUCCUAGAGCAUUGUACACACCUUGUGGUUGUCAUAGUCUUAAUUUAACACUUUGCGAUAUUGCAAACUCUUGUGGAAAAGCAAAAGAUUUUUUUGGAAUCAUACAACGUAUUUAUACAUUGUUUGCUAAUUCUACAAAGCGGUGGAAGAUAUUGAAAGAUAAUGUUAAACACUUAACUCUGAAAUCAUUGUCAGUUACACGUUGGGAAAGUCGUAUUGAAAGUGUGAGAGCAAUAAGAUUCCAAGCUGCAGAUUUAAGAGAAGCUUUACUUCAGUUAGCAGAAAGUGACGGUGACUCCAAAAUAACAAGUGAAGCUAAUUCUUUGGCAACAUAUGAACUUGGAAAUUUUGAGUUCUUAUUGGGCAUGGUUAUUUGGUAUGAUAUAUUAGGUGGUGUCAAUGUAGUGAGCAAAAACUUACAAUCUGAAGACAUGCUUAUUGAUGUUGCUAUUGAUAAAGUGAAAGGGUUGAUUACUUUUUUUUUGAAAAGUAUAGAGAAAAUGGGUUUACAGAAGCUAUGUGUACUGCUAAAAAAAUUGCUACUGACAUGGGAAUUGACCCGGUGUUUCCUGAGAAGCGAAAAAUUCGUAGAAAAAAACAUUUUGAUGAGAAUACUUGUGAGCUAUCCCAAUCAGUUCCUGAAUCAACUGAAGAAAAGUUUAGAAUUGAUUAUUUCUUGUAUUUAGUGGACCAAGCUAUUGGUUCUUUACGAAGAAGGUUUCGACAAUAUCAAGAGUAUGAGAAUUUUUGGGUUUUUGUUUACUUCAGAGAAGUUAAAUUCAUUGGAUGAUUGCGAUUUGAAGAAUAGUUGCAGUCAUCUGGAAAGCAUUUUGAAAAAUGACAAGUUUUCUGAUGUCGAUGGGGAGGAUUUAUUUGUUGAGUUGAAAGUUUUACAAGAGCUUUUACCAAAAGUAAAUACCACAGCUACUGCAAUAUUAAAUUUCUUGAAAAGAUUAAAUUGUUUUCCAAAUGCAUUCAUUGCAUAUAGAAUCCUAUUGACUAUUCCUGUUACUGUUGCAUCUGCGGAAAGAAGUUUUUCAAAAUUAAAAUUGUUAAAAUCAUACUUGAGAUCAACUAUGUCGCAAGAAAGAUUAAAUGGACUAGCUUUGAUUUCAAUUGAAAGUGAACUUCUUGAAAAACUUGAUUAUGAACAUUUGAUUGAUGAUUUCUCUUCUAAAAAUUCAAGAAGAUCAAUUUUCAGACAUUAGUAUUGUACUAGCUGUGUUUUUUUUUUUCUUCUAGGGUAAAAGCUCUCAUAAUAAUUUUAAUUCUUCAAAUAAGACAGCAAAUACAAUGUGAUGAAUUUUGGAUAAUCAGGUAUGUUUUUGUUGUUGCUUUUGUGUUUAAUGCAAUAUAAUCUAAUUUUUUUAAUGACAUUUGUGUGCAACUACUCUUUGAUUUGUGAUUGCCAAUUUUUUUUUCUUUCUAUUAAACACAGAUUGCUUAUUGGAGGCAGCAAGAGACCUUAUAGGGGCACAAGGAGCUUAUUUUUGUACAAAACAUUUAACUUUAUCAAAUGGAAACAUUUAAAUUUUUAUGAAUUUGAUUUCUGAUUGUCAUUGCAUAUUUAUUGAUGGUGAAUUUUAGUUAUAAAAAAAAAAUUGUUUAUGACAUUAAGUUAUGGCAAAUUUUUAUAGUAUUUUCGUAUUAGAUUAUGCGAGGUCCCAAUUUAAGUUUCGCACAGGGCCCUCAAAAUCUCAGGAACGGCCCUGCUGCUAAUACUUGAUCAAUAACAGAGAUAAUAGAGCACACUGUUUGUAUGACAAUGAGUAUCAGAAGAAUAAUAGCUGCAAAGAGAGAAAUAGCUGCCCAAGGUGUGUUGAAAUACUUUUGUCUCAAAUUUGCCUUCCGUCUGUUCGUGGUCUUCUUGCAGUACUCGUUUAGUUUGCCAGCAAGAUCACCAAAAUAGUAGUUUCCGUGGUUCGGAGCAACUUUACUGCAAAGCUUGUUAAUCAUAAUGGAAACCUUAUUGUUGUCACCUAGCGUGUUUACAACAAUUCCAUUGUCAACAAGCAACUCUACAUCCUUUGGGGUGUUUACAAAUUUAUCCAGGAUGAAAACAUAAUCGCUUAUGUAUUUAUCCACGCAAUGGCCUUGUUCAAAGGCAAUGAGAUUUCUAUGUGUAAGCUGUGUAAUCAUGUAUUUCAAUUUUUGGAAUUUCCAAGGUGUUUUUCUUGAACUGUAUAUCGAAUAAGUUCUUGCUUGAUCCCACGUUAAACUUAACUCCGGCCUGGUGUAGUUUUGUCAUGCUGGGUGUACUUUGGAGCCCUCCAUUUUUUUUUCUUUUGGCAGAUGUAAAGUUCUAAUAAAAUCAACAAAAUGUAAAGGUUUUUUAGGAUCAGGAGGCAUAAAAGACUUACGGAAGGCUGGUGAGUUCUCCAAGUUUUCUAAACGCAGUGCCUGUUGGAAGAACUUGUAAGAGAGUUCAAUUAUUGAAGGCUCCCCAGUCUGAGCACCUGUGAGAUUGUAAAGAUCCUCGAGAAUGAAAAAUGGCAGCUGAUUUACGAGCAUAAGCAUGUCAGGCAAUAUAUUUUGUAGCACCCAUGGUUUUUUAAAUAUCCAAGCAUCAUCAUCCUGCAAUUUUUCUUCCUGAAAUUUUUCUUCGGAUUUAUUCCUCAACAAUAGCUCAAUGACAAAGGCGGCAUCAACUAGAAUGAUAUUCACAAAAGUAGCAAUGUUAAACUUCUUAGGGCUAGUUUGGCGGCGUUGUGCUUUUAAAAAAAUAUGCUUCUGCUGUGCUGUGAAAAUAAUUAGCUGUGAAAAAAAGCUACUAGGCGUUUGGUAAACUGUUUUUGAAAAACUGCUGUGAGUAGUCAAAGUGUUUGGUAAAUUUUUAUCAGAAGUACUUUUAGUGUGUAUAAUGACCAAAAAGGACAUGAUGAUGAAAUUGUUUGUUAUUUUCUUCAUUCUUUUUCUACUUUAAAAAAAAAAAAAACCCAAUUUCACUACAUAAAUUUUUAUUCUUUUUUAAUUCACACCUUUUUAUCAAAAAAUUUAAUCUACAAUUAACAUACAUAUUUUACCAUAAAUUAUAAAUUACUAUUAUAACAAAAGUAAUUCUAAAUAUUGUUAUAUUAAUAUGGGCUUCGGACAUGACAAAAAUACAAAAAUUGUUCAAUUUUAAAAUGCCCCAAUAGAUCACUACAAUAUAAAAGAAGCUAAUUAGAUGCAUUCAUUAAACUUGUAGCGAUGCUAUUUCUUAAUGCAUUCAUUAGCUUCUUUUUUUGGUUUCCAAUGGUUCUCUAACAAUUUUAACUAAAAAAACAACCAUAAUGCUUUGUGAACAAUAAAUUCAAGUCCAAAUCUGCUAUUGCCCACACCAUACAUAUAUACAUAAUUGUUCCUUUCAUAAAACUUGAAGAUUCAAUAGUAAUUACACAGUUUACCAAUCUUGAUUCCAACUAUAUCCAUAAAAUUAAACUAUAAUUAGAAAUAGAGGAGCUACAUGUGAUUACUCAUAAAUGCUUCCCACUCUCAUCAUCAUCAUCAUCAUCAUCUUCCUCCUCUGUACUUUGCCUUUCACAAAUGGACAAGACCAGAUGGUAACGUACACGACAUGGUCCACAUAUAGAUAAAUUUUGGGUUCACUGGAGAACAUAAAAGAGUUUUUACACGAAUACAAAGUUAGUUAAGUAGUGAAUAAAGUAAAACUAUUCUGUACAAUUCUAGCUGAUGCAGUCCAAAAAGAAUAUAUGUCUAAUAACUUAAAUAACAAUAAAGAGAAACAAAAGCCUCAUGAAAAAUGCUAGAGUAAAAGUUACAUAACUGAAUCGAUGGACAGAGAACUCCACAGGCAGAGAAACAGCAACAAAAAUUGUCAAAACAGUAGCAAGACCAUGUUGGAGUCAAGGCCAAAGAUCAUAUUUCCUGUGUAUCUUCUUCCAUUCUGAAUUAUUCUCGUAUUCAAAUACUGUAACUCUAUUUCAAGUGCACCCCAAAAUACUUAUCUAAGGCCAGUACAUAGGACUUCAUAAAGGGUGCGAUAAAAAAUAUUGCCCCUUAAUUGAUAAACAGAACCAAGAUCCCAACAGCACACCAAAACUAUACCAACCACACCUACAUAAUAUGGACAGAAAAUCCUGUUGUUCCGAUCUCUAACCACACCAAUGACAUUCAUUAGGAAAAUACAAAAGAUGGGUACCCUGCAUUUCUAACAUUUAAGAUAAAAUUCACUGCCAGCUAAUCACAAAUUUGAAAAGAUGGCAAGAAAAUUGGCUAAGCUUUAACAAAAACCAGAGCAGUCCUUGCAUAGACCUGACUUUUUGCUCCAAGCUUUAGCAGAUCACUUACUGGUAGAGAGCAGAGAACAUGUAUGUGAAUAUCUGAAGUUGGAAGGGUAAGCCAUCACAAACACCAAGAGAUCUGAUUCUCAUCUCUUGUUACAACAACAAAUCACAAACACCAAUACAUCUGAUUCAGAAUCUCAUAAACAAUGGAGGAACAAACACAUAUUCACACACAUAUAAAUCCCUAAACAGAAAAAAUAAAAAAUAAAAAAAAAACCAUGAAAGUCAUAGGAGAAUCAAAUUGAUUUGGGCCAAAAUUGCCUAAAAAGAAAACACUCCUAAAUAAACUUCAAUUCACUUUUAAAAACAGUAAAACAUGAUUGAAUCAUUCUUUAAAACAAUUCCCUAAUAUACAUGCAUGAUAAUGACAUCAUUUACCCCUGAAUCAAAUGCCUUUCACUGGUCAAGCCACAAGUCUGUGUUUUGGGAAUUGCUGAGCUGCAUCAAUCCUGCCAAUGUAAAUUCUGCCCCUAGGCUCUCUCAAAGUGCGUUUACAACCUAUGCUAACAUAUACUAGAGUUUGUUUUAGUAUCUAGAAAAUGCCAACACUAAUUUCGUAACACGUAGAAAUUGUUACAUAUUGGAAGUUUUUAUCAUUUUUUCUUCCAGUCUCUCCACCACUCACUAAUACAGAUUACUCAUGUGAUGAGUUUACAAAACAUAUUUCUCUACUCCCACAAAGACCAUACUUUUUCUCAAAAGACUAUAUCACUUUAUCUCUAUCUUUGUGAAAUGUAAAAAGUUGAAACUUUAAUGUCAAACCUCGACAAAAGAUGAACAUCCAUCAUCAAUUACAUUGAAUUUGAAUUUGUUGAACUUAAGUAGUUUUACUUCUCUGUCAGCGUUUGAUGACUUGAUUUGUUAUUUACUUCUUCUUUUUUCCUUGGAAAUGUGUUCCAUCAACGUGAGGAAGAAAAAUAUGCACAAAUUAAUAUAUUUAAUAGAAGCAAAAAUUAAUAUUUACAAAAAUAUGCACAAAUCAAGUAAAAUUAAUAAAGCAUAAAUUGGAAAGGGAAAAUAUGUAGAGGAUGCAUUGUAGGAUUGCUCAUGCCAAUAAUUGUACCCUCUAAAUAUAUAGGGACAUAUUUUUUUUUGUUUUCAUGACAUGUGGUCCUAAAAUUAUUGUUCUUAGCGGGCUCUCCACCCCUCUCGACUGAAAACCUAUUGUGUAAAUCUUCAAUCCUGAAUGAUGCACCUAAAACUCAUGUUGCAAUACACAUCCACCCAUUCUCAGGCCAAUUAUUACUCCUAGUGGGCUCUCCACCCCCUCUCAAAUUUAAGUGGUCCAUUAUUAUUAACCGUAUAUUUUAUGGACCAGCCAGCUGUGAGGUUUUAUCUCAAAAACCUUUCUCCCACAUGCCACAAUUUAUGUCUGAUACAUCACAUCAUGCCAGUUGUCUCAAAUGAAUUUAAGUGAGUGAGGCAGUGUUACUUCUGGGUACCCCUCAUUAUUCGUCUAUAAAUUGGUGAAGCCAGUUGCUACUGUUACCAUAAGAGCCAGCUCCGACUUUCAAAAUAAAAAUUCCAACAACGGUCUUAGUGCCUUCAAUUGUAUGAGUCAUUGAACAUGCAAAUGAAUAAAAUAUGAAUGAUAAAAGUGUUUGAUAAAUCACCAAGUUAUAGAACACUUGAUGAUUUAUCUCAAAUAAAAAUUCAGCUUUCUAAAGUUUGUGAAUUGAAAAUAUAAUCGUUAAAGCUCUCUAAACAAAGAAGACGAAAGUCUUAUUUUAUAGAAUUUUUCUUUACAAGAAAGAAAACAUGUUGAAAACCAAAUCUCCAAUUUCCAAGGCUUGACAGAAAAUCAAAAAAAUAUCUUUCCUAUUCUAGAGAUUGGUCACAUGUAGUUCAACCAAUAGGAAAUGAGAUAUUUAAGAAAGCAAGAUUUUGAUCAAUACCAAUAUCAAAUGAAUUCUUAUACGCCUAGUCAACUAUUAAGGGUAUCUUGACUCCUUGAUAUUGUGAUAUGAUUGAAACAUGAUUUCCAUGUUAGAAAAUUAAGGGGAUGUUAAAACAUGAAAGUAAUAGGAGAAUCAAAUUGAUUUGGACUAAAAUUGCCUAAAAAGAAAACACUCUUAAAUAAACUUCAAUUCACUUUUAAAAACAGUAAAACAUGAUUGAAUCAUUUUUUAAAACAAUUCCCUAAUAUACAUGCAUGAUAAUGACAUCACUUACCCCUAAAUCAAAUUGUCACGCCCCGGACCUGGGGGUCAGUGGAAACCCCACGUUCGGUGCGUGAGAAAAUAAAAAGUAAAAUAAAAUAAAAAGAAUGCCGAAACAAGGGUUUAAAAUAAACUUCUCUUAUAAAAAUAACUCCAAAAUCUUACAACUUUACAAGAAAUAAAUAAAGCCCUAUCAUUCUUAUCUAAUUCAGCCUCAACUGGUUUAGUCCUUGUCUUGCCCACUAAUUCAUCUAAAAAAUGAAGAGUGUUGCUAAACGAACCCUAAAAUUAAUUGAGUACACCCUACUACCAAACGAUUUAUUGAAUUUGUCACAUCUCGGGAUCAACUCCGCCGUAGCACGAUAUUGUUCGCUUUGGGCCCUCCCUCUCUGGCUCGCAUGGUUUUGUUUCUGGGAACUCACGAGUAACUUCCCAGUGGGUCACCAAUCCUGGGAUUGCUCUAGCCCACAACUCGCUUAACUUCGGAGUUCCUACGACUCCGAAGCCUGUGAGCUCCCAAAAGGUCUCGUGCUAGAUGGAUGCGGGUGUGCACAUAUAAGGCACAUCACCCCCUCUCCGUUGGUUGAUGUGGGAUCUUAUAGAAUUACUAAUUUAUCCUAAUAUAAAAUGACCAAAGAAGAUAAAAUAAUAUUGGUAUCUAUUGCUUUGAAUCCAUGCCUUCAAACAAAUUGACUUAAUUUUUAACAAACAACACGGAGUCCAGGAGAAGUGUAUUGAUCCAAGUUGAUUUUUGUAUGCGUAAAACUUAAACAAUCAAUAACACAAAGCAGUUCAUGCUGAAAUAUUGGAAACCCACACCCAAAGAGUUCUCCGCUGCGAGGUUGAAGGCAGGAGAGAUGGGUGACAGAUUUUACUUCCACUGCGAAGUUGGAGGCUAGGAGAGUCUGUGACUGCCAUGGUUGAGGGAGAAGAUGCGUUCAAAAUGCCUAUUGAUAUUUUACAUUAUUGGCUUUUUUCAAAAGUGAAAGUUUUUUUAUGGGUAAAACCUAAAUUUACUUUUUCUAUACAAGUUAACAGUGUUUGUGUAUUGUGAAAAGGUGGAGAGACGUGUCAAAAUUUUAGACAAAGGACAGGAGGAGAUAGGGAAUUUGGGGACAGCAGAUCUCAACUCCCUUGAGACCCUAUUCUCUACGCCACCCCUCCCCCUCAACAACCCUAGUCACCAUUUCUCCUUCAACUCCAACGGCAACUCAUUAAAACCCAAUUCUCAAAUGCAACAAUCUAAUCCCAAUCCCAAUUCAGAUGUUUCUAAAAAACCCAUUGUCGUGGUGGAGAACUGCAAUUCCAGGUGGUGGUGGUGGUACCACAUGGGAGAGAGAAAAAAGAAGAAGAAGAAGCAGGAGAGAGAGAGUUUUUUAUUUUAUUAUUAUUUUACUGUAAUUUUUUAAUUUAAAUAAUUAAAAAAAUUAAAAGUUAAAGAGGAUGUACCAUGGGUAUUUUUGGUAGUUAAAUAAGGUGUACUUAGGGUCAGUUUGGCAUUGCUGUGCUGUGAAAAUAAUAGCUGUCAGAUUUGCUGUGAGAGAAAUCAGCUGUGAGAGAAAUCAGUUUGGCGUUUGAUAAAAUUUUUGUUAAAAGUGUGUUGAUAUUGAUUUUAUGCUUAAUCCGAAAAUGAUUGCUGCAUAAUCAUUAAACCCAGCGCCUCUUCGAAACUGAUUCCUAUAUAAUCAGAAAAUGAAAGCACCUCAUUAGCUGCUUUCCUUUAUAGCUUUCUCUCACAGCAAUUUUUAACAAUAAGUGAUUUUCUCACAGUUUACCAAACGGGUUGGGCUUCUCAAAAUUUUUUAAAAAUCACUUAUUACCCCAAAUAAGCAAUACCAAACGGGCACUUAGUUAAUUUUACAUUUUAAUUUAAACAUUAGGGUGUACUCAGUUAAUUUUAGGGUUCGUUCAGCAGCACUCAAAAUUAAACAAGGUGAGGGAUGAGCAAGUAGGGACAUGAGACAUUGCCACAGUAGAUUGAUAUAACUAAAUAUUAUUAUAAACAUAGAAAUAUAUAAGUAUUAUUAUAAUAGGAUUCAUAAUAAUUAAUAUAAAAGUAUAACAACAAUAUUUACAUUUAUGUACCAAGAUAAUUACACAUAUAAAUAUAACCAAUAUAUAUUUUUAUAUAUUUUAAAAUAUAAGUCUUUACGUAAAUGCCUUUCACGGGUCAAGCCACAAGUCUGUGUUUUGGGGAUUGCUGAGCUGCAUCAAUCCUGCCAAUGUCAAUUCUGCCCCUGAGCUCUCUCAAAGCACGUUUAAAACCUAUGCUAACAUAUACUAGAGUUUAUGCUGUAUCUAGAAAAUGCCAACACUAAUUUCGUAACACGUAGAAAUUGUUAGAGAUUGGAAGUUUUUAUCAUUUUUUCUUCCAGUCUCUCCACUACUUAUUAAUACAGAUUACUCAUGUGAUGAGUUUACAAAACCUAUUUCUCUACUCUCGCAAAGACUAAACUUCUUCUCAAAAGACUAGAUCACUUUACCUCUAUCUCUGUGAAAUGUAAAAAGUUGAAACUUUAAUGUCAAACCUCGACAAAGUGUUCUACUUUACAAACUUCUUGUGUCUACCAAUUUGUACUAAAAUUAAUUUCUCUACAGUGCUCAGAUUCAUCAUAUGUGUGUCCUUAAUUUUAGUGGAAAUUGGAAGUUUCCAUAAUUUUUGCUUUAAGUCACUCUUCUGAAGGAAGUUGAGGUUCCACUUCAUAAUCCAAAAUGUCAGGUUGACUUAUGGCAAACAAUGUAAAUAUGUAGGAGUACUAUGACCUUUUAUAGCAUUUUUAGUUUGAAUUUGGGUUUUAUACAUAGAUUUCAAAAUUAAUAGGUUGAUGCCUAGGAAAUAGAAAUUGUAAGGGCCUAUAUUAGAGUAGCCCUCUUAAAAAUAAUAUUAAUUAAUGAAUAUUUGUUCUUCUUGUUGUUUUGAAGUAGUGGUGGGAGGCAGACCAACAAAAAAAAAAUAUAGUGAAGGCUUAUAAGAGCAUUUACAAUCAUGCUCCCUAUUUUUUAGUUAAAAUUUAGCUAAAAAUAGAAAAAAAGUUAUUAUAGGAGCUCUUUAUAAAGCUCCUUUAUAAAAUUUGAACUCCAAUCAUACUCCCUAGUUUAGGGAGUCAAAAAUACUAUAGUUAUUUUUUAAUUCAAUUUGAUUUUGGUUAAUCUCUAUAAAUAUGAAAAAAUAGUUAGCAUUAAUUAAAAGUUUAAACUAUGCAUAAAACAAAGAAACAUUAAAUUAUAGGGAGCCACUAUGAGUCAUUACUCUCUCCUCAGAUUUAGGAGCUCCUAAAGGUCUCCCUAUUUUAUGAGGUGGAUAAGGAGCAUGGUUGGAGUUGUAUUUCUUCAAUUUCCUCCCUAAAAUUUGUCUAAGGAUGUGGUUUAGGGAGCCCAUUGUGAAUGCUCUAACUCUGGUAAAACACGAGUGACAUGGACAACAUAUGUUACGUCGUACUGAAGAUUUUUGGGUUUCUUUAAUUGGUUAAGUAGCAUCCACACAGCUUCCUAAAUCAUCUCCUUAGACAAAUUUUAGGGAGGAAUUGGAAAAGUACAACUCCAACUAUGCUCCCUAUCCACCAACUAAAAUAGGGAGACUUCUAGGAGCUCCUAAAUCUGAUGAGAGAGAAAGGACUCUUAAUGACUCCCUAUAAUUUAAUGUUGCUUUAUAUUAUUUUGUAUACAGACGGGUCAAUUAUAUUAAAUUAAAAAAUAAUUAAAGUAUUUAUGACUCUCUAAACUAGUGAGCAUAAUUGUAGAUCAUCUUAUAUACCUUAAUUUGAAGAUUCUUUAUUUGGGUUUCUUUCAAGACUUAUCACCUUAGCCACGCCACCUACACGUCUGCAAGCUUUCCUAACAAGGAAGGGGAGGCUGCGCAAUACUUAUCACCUUAGCCACACUACACCAAAUUGACGUCUGCAAGCUUUCGUAAUCUAACAAGGAAGGGGAGGCUGCGCAAUACUUAUCACCUUAGCCACACCAACACCACAAGACCAAUAUGUGUAGUCCAGGAGGCUUUCCCAUUUUAAUAUAUAUUAUCAAAUAAAAUAAAAAUCAAUCUAUUAUCAUAUAUAUUAUAAAAUAAAGAUUAUUGCUCCAUCCUCCAUGCACUUGCAUGCCUCUUACAAAGUGUGAAGUAGAUUUUGUGUGCUCCAAGUCAUUGACGAGAGCUGUAACAUGGUUAGCUGGAUUUAUAAGAUCUUUUCUUUUCUGGGAAUUUUCUGAAUCAAGAAAAAUUAAGUAAAAUUAAUAAAGCAUAAAUUAGAAAGGAAAAAUAUCUAGAGGAUGCAUUGUAGGAUUGCACAUGCCAAUAAUUGUAUCCUCUAAAUAUAUAGGGACAUAUUUUUUUGUUUUCAUGACAUGUGGCCCUAAAAUUAUUGUUCCUAGCGGGCUCUCCACCCCCUCUCGAUUGAAAACUAAUUGUGUAAAUCUUCAAUCUUGAAUGAUGCACCUAAAACUCAAGUGUCCCAGGCCAAUUAUUGCUCUCAUACCACUUGUUGUAAUAAACAUCCAUCCAUUCUAAAGGAAAGAUAACCAUCGAUAUUAUCUCAAAUUUAACCACUUAAGUUCAUUAUGAUUAACUAUGUAUCUUAUGGACCAAUCCAAUCAUGAGGUUUUAUACCCAAUUAGAUCGACUAAUACAAAGUUCACACGUGGAUUGAAAAGCGCUAUCAGUAGGGGAGUGUUCGGCACCCUUUACUGCCGAACGCAACACAAGACCCCUUGCAUGCCUUCACUAAGUUGAGCCUAUCUAUUUUUUAGCAUUAACAAUAUAUAUAGAUUGAAAAAAUAAAAUAAAAAUCAAUCUAUUAUCAUAUAAAAUAAAUAUUAUUGCUCCAUCCUCCAUACACUUGCAUGCCCUCUUACAAAGUGUGAAGUAGAUUUUUUGUGCUCCAACUCAUUGACUAGGGCUGAAACAUGGUUAGUUGGAUUUAUAAGAUCUUUUCUUUUCUGGGAAUUUUCUGAAGCACGGAAAAUCAAAUAAAAUUAAUAAAGCAGAAACUGUACCCUUUAAUUAUAUAUGGACGUAUGUUUUUUUGUUUUCAAGUCUUAGAUGACAUGGGGACCUAAAAUUAUUGCUCCUAGUGGACUCUCGACCCCUCUCAAAUUUAAGUGGUCCAUUAUUAUUAACCACAUAUUUUAUGGACCAUGCAGCUGUGAGGUUUUAUCUCAAAAACCUUCGGUACAUUUCUCCCACAUGCCACAAUUGUAUAUUCACAAUUACGGCUGUUACGUCACAUCAUGCCACUUGCCUCACAUGCAACAAGUCUGUGUUUUGGGGAUUGCCGAGCUGCAUCAAUUCUGCCAAUGUCAAUUCUGCCCCUGGACUCUCUCAAAGCACAUUUAAAACCUAUGCGAACAUAUAUUAGAGUUUAUGAUGUAUGUAUCUAGAAAAUGCCAACACUAAUUUCGUAACAUGUAAAAAUUAUUAGAGAUUGGAAGUUUUUAUCAUUUUUUCUUCCAGUCUCUCCACCACUUAUUAAUACAGAUUACUCAUGUGAUGAGUUUACAAAACCUAUUUCUCUACUCUCGCAAAGACUAAACUUCUUCUCAAAAGACUAGAUCACUUUACCUCUAUCUCUGUGAAAUGUAAAAAGUUGAAACUUUAAUGUCAAACCUCGACAAAGUGUUCUACUUUACAAACUUCUUGUGUCUACCAAUUUGUACUAAAAUUAAUUUAUCUACGGUGCUCAGCUUCAUCGUAUGUGUGUCCUUAAUUUUAGUGGAAAUUGGAAGUUUCCAUAAUUUUUGCUUUAAGUCACUCUUCUGAAGGAAGUUGAGGUUCCACUCCAUAAUCCCAAAUGUCAGGUUGACUUAUGGCAAACAAUGUAAAUAUGUAGGAGUACUAUGACCUUUUAUAGCAUUUUUAGUUUGAAUUUGGGUUUUAUACAUAGAUUUCAAAAUUAAUAGGUUGAUGCCUAGGAAAUAGAAAUUGUAAGGGCCUAUAUUAGAGUAGCCCUCUUAAAAAUAAUAUUAAUUAAUGAAUAUUUGUUCUUCUUGUUGUUUUGAAGUAGUGGUGGGAGGCAGACCAACAAAAAAAAUAUAGUGAAGGCUUAUAAGAGCAUUUACAAUCAUGCUCCCUAUUUUUUAGUUAAAAUUUAGCUAAAAAUAGAAAAAAGUUAUUAUAGGAGCUCUUUAUAAAAUUUGAAUUCCAAUCGUACUCCCUAAUUUAGGGAGUCAUAAAUAUUAUAGUUAUUUUUUAAUUCAAUUUGAUUUUGGUUAAUCUCUAUAAAUAAAUAAAAAUAUGAAAAAAUAGUUAGCAUUAAUUAAAAGUUUAAACUAUGCAUAAAACAAAGAAACAUUAAAUUAUAGGGAGCCACUAUGCCAAUAAUUGUAUCCUCUAAAUAUAUAGGGACAUAUUUUUUUUGUUUUCAUGACAUGUGGCCCUAAAAUUAUUGUUCCUAGCGGGCUCUCCAACCCCUCUCGAUUGAAAACCAAUUGUGUAAAUCUUCAAUCUUGAAUGAUGCACCUAAAACUCAAGUGUCCCAGGCCAAUUAUUGCUCUCAUACCACGUGUUGUAAUAAACAUCCAUCCAUUCUAAAGGAAAGAUAACCAUCGAUAUUAUCUCAAAUUUAACCACUUAAGUUCAUUAUGAUUAACUAUGUAUCUUAUGAACCAAUCCAAUCGUGAGGUUUUAUACCCAAUUAGAUCGACCAAUACAAAGUUCACACGUGGAUUGAAAAGCACUAUCAAUAGGGGAGUGUUCGGCACCCUUUACUGCCGAGCGCAACACAAGAUCCCUUGCAUGCCCUCACUAAGUUGAGCCCAACUAUUUUUUAGCAUUAACAAUAUAUAUAGAUUGAAAAAAUAAAAUAAAAAUCAAUCUAUUAUCAUAUAUUUUAUAAAAUACAUAUUAUUGCUCCAUCCUCCAUACACUUGCAUGCCCUCUUACAAAGUGUGAAGUAGAUUUUUUGUGCUCCAACUCAUUGACUAGGGCUGAAACAUGGUUAGUUAGAUUUAUAAGAUCUUUUGUUUUUUGGGAAUUUUCUGAAGCAAGGAAAAUCAAAUAAAAUUAAUAAAGCAGAAACUGUACCCUUUAAUUAUAUAUGGACAUAUGUUUUUUUGUUUUUUUGCUCUCGACCCCUCUCAAAUUUAAGUGGUCCAUUAUUGUUAACCACAUAUUUUAUGGACCAUCCAGCUUCGGUACAUUUCAAAAAGCUUCGGUACAUUUCUCCCACAUGACACAAUUGUAUAUUCACAAUUACUUCUGGGUACCCCUCAUCAGUCGUCUAUAAAAUGGUGAAGCCAGUUGCUACUGUUACCAUAAGAGCCAGCUCCGACUUUCUUUAAUUUCUUGCUACAUCUGUUGCUAAGUUAAUUUCAGUCCUAAUGGGGUUUCAUCUCCCACUCAUCUUUGCUAUUCUCAGUGUAAGCUCUGCAAUUUGAUUAACUUUUCCAUUCUCUCUCAUUGUACUCUAUAUAUAUAAAUGAAAGUUUUGUGUUCCUAUAAUUCUCUCCGAUUUUAUUUAGUACGUACUUAAGUGUCGUCCACUAAUUAAUUACACUUUGUGAGAUUUGAUUUUAAUUAGAGUUCGAAUUAAUGUUGCAGCUAGCAGCGGUUGCACUGGCAAACAAUGCUGCUCAACCAGCACCUCAACUUUACUGGAACUCCGUCCUGCCAAACACACAGAUGCCAAGAUCUAUCAGUGAACUUCUGCAUCCUGGUUUGUGUUCAGCUCUUUAUAAUCUUAGAUAUCUCUUCUACCUGCCAUUUUACUAAAAUAUGUUCGACCACAUAUUUAUCAGCUAACUACUGUGAUUACAAGAAUGACACUUAUUUUCCAAUAUAAUUUGCAGACUCCACAAAUGAAGAAAAGAGCAAACCUGAAAUUUUCCCAUUGCAGGGCAAUAGAGUUUACACUCAAAGCCAUUAUAAAAAACGUCCUCCUCCUCCAUCUGACGAGGGCAAACCUGAAACUUUCCCAUUGGGCAAUAGCCAUUACACUCAAACCCGUUAUAAAAAACGUCCUCCUCCUCCAUCUGACGAGGGCAAACCUGAAAAUUUCCCAUUGGGCAAUAGCCAUUACACUCAAACCCGUUAUAAAAAACGUCCUCCUCCUCCAUCCGACGAGGGCAAACCUGAAAAUUUCCCAUUGGCCAAUAGCUUUUACACUCAAACCCGUUAUAAAAAACGUCCUCCUCCUCCAUCUGACGAGGGCAAACCUGAAAAUUUCCCAUUGGCCAAUAGCUUUUACACUCAAAGCCAUUAUAAAAAACGUCCUCCUCCUCCAUCUGACGAGGGCAAACCUGAAAAUUUCCCAUUGGCACGUUCUCCUCCAUCUGACAGUCAACUAAAGCAUUACAAAGACUUAGCUAUUUUCUUCUUCGAGAAGGACAUGCGCCCGGGCACAACUAUGAAGUUCCAAUUCCCUAGAAAUUCAAACACGG